GGUGGUGGUGGUGGCUUUUUCGACGGAGGAGGAGGUGCGUAGGAUAGUGUCGAGGGUGCAGGAUAAAGGGGGGGGGGGGGAGUGGAGAGGAGACUUUUUGGUGUGGUGUUAAUGUAGAGAGAGAGAGAGGGUUGGCAUGACUGGGCUACGCUACGUGGCUUUAAUGUUACUUUUUUUUUAAUUGACUAAUGGGCUUAGAUCUGGGGCCCAUUAAAAAUUCUCCCUCGCUAUUAUUUUUGAUUUUUUUAAAUGUAUAAUAGUGUUUGUUAUUCACUUUUACCAAAUUUAAUUAAUUUUUAAUUUAUGUUUAGAUUACAUCCUUAAAUAUGUUUGCUUAUUUAAAAAUUAUUUUAUUAAUUUCAAUGUUUUAUUUUAAUUACAUACUAUAACAUUUUAUGUGGAUGUGAUGUGGGAUAUUUUUAGUAUGACUAAAGUUACAGUUAUUGAUAGGCAAUGUUCUUGUACCUGUAAAAAUGUAUUUAAAUGAUUCAUACUAGUCAAUAUUUCCUUCAAAUUUCCAUUUUACGACACCUUAGUAUACUGUUUAUCAAUAAGACUAUUACUAUGUUAUUUUUCUGAAUUUGAUCGGGAUCCAUUGUCUACUUCAACAUUUACCUUUAUCAAUAUUUACAUUAAAUAUUGUAUUAUUCACAUUGAUGUUUCUAGUCUUGCCUAACAUUAACUACUGGUCUUCAGACUGUUAGGUUAGGUUGAUUGACAAAACAUAAGUUAUUGAUAAAAGAAUUGGAGGGUGGCAACUUAAUUUUUAAAAGUAUGGCGUUGUUAAGAGCUGAUGAUGACAGUUGGUUCUAACCUAAAGUCUUUAUUAUUCUUUGUCUUUGAGCUGAUAAGAGAUACUCAUGAUAAUUCAUAAACUUAAGCCAAUCCCAUAUACAAUAUAAUUUUAUUAAAUAUAUUAUAUGUAACCUGCUAUUCAAAUAACUAGCCUUCUCUUUUAAAUACUAUAGGAUGUAAAAUGAUUUAAAUGAUUAACCACUGAGAAGGCUAACUAUAUAAUAGUUUGUAGUAAAACGUUUCGAAGCAGUCUGCCUGUAGUAGAAUCGAGUAUUUUGAAGUAAUCUACGAAUGCGUAAAACAUUUUUAUUUAUAAAAAAAUCGUAAAAUUUGAACAAAUAAAAGUCUUAGGCACUGGAAUAUUUGUAAGUAGCUGGAAAUAAUAAUGUUUCUUUUUGCCCUCUAGGUGUCACUGGAUAUGAACCAGACUUGGUACAUAAUUAAACAAAAGUUGCGAAUGCAAAUGAGAAGAUGCUCCAAAAUCCAGUAGCGUGACUUCAUUAUCCUCCCCAACAAUGUAUUGCAAGACGUAGUAGGGCUUGGCCUUGGUAUUGUCAGGGCUACGUAUCCACCUUUCACGACAUGUAGCGAUUUUCUUCUCAUCAUCCACCAAGAAACUUGUCCGGGUGCAAUAGCCAAGACGAGGAUCAUCCAAAGCGAAGAUCUUGCUCCACGACACAGCUUUGGAAUCAUCAAUAGAACUGCUUAUCCAUAUCUCUAUCUCGUUUCCAAGUCUAUCAUGGGGUCGUAAUAAUACUGAAAGCUUCUCUUCUCUAACAACCGAUAGAGACACAGUAUGGAGUCUACAAUACGGGCCAGGAAGGCACAGUCGUCCAAAUCUCUCUGUUGUAUAAUCAAAGCUCAGUAAAUGCAUGCACGCAUCAAACUCUUUUGAAUCCGAAGCACACCAGUAGGUCUUUCCUUUCAAAUACACGCUGUAAUGAGGAACCUGUAAUAGGCAGUCUGGAGUGACAUCAUGAGGAAUCCUCCAGCAUAAAUCGGAGUUGAUCUCACAGAUUUCAAAUAUUAGCUUCUCGUAACAAGGCACGUGUCUCAAUAAUUUAUAGCUAUAAUUAUUUUCUUGGUAGCACCUUCGAAGAGUAUAAGUUACCCAAUACAUGACACGAUCGGUGGGAUCGGUGAUCCACUUGGUUUGACCAGUACACGGGUUCCAAACCACGAUUCUAUUGUAGCUUUCGCUGGUGCAUAACAACAAGCCAUCGCAGUGAAAGGCAUGAGAUAUCCUGAAUUGAGCUGAACAAAGCGGAUCUAUUAGUCCAAGCUCACCACGGAAUGAGCAAAGCCUAUAUUCCUCCGUUAGCUUGAGAACCAUAUAUUGCUUUGGGGCUUUAUCAAAGUGAUUUUUUGCGAAUCUCCUAUCGUUGAAUAUACCGUUCCAUAGUUUGCAUGUUGAUCGUAAACGUUUCAGACAUGUGGCCGGAACACGACUUAGUAUCUCCUCUACUAAAUUAUCUGGCAACAUCGUCAUCAUUGUCUCUUAAUUUUUUUUCUCUGUGUAAACAUAGGUGAUGACCAUAUAUCCUUUAUAUAUAUAUAUAUAUGGUCAUUGUCUUUUUUUUCACAAAUAAAAAAGUAAAUAAACAAAAACAUUUCCUUUUAUUAUUUUGUUAAGAAUAAUUUAUUGGAAAAAUAGAUUUAAAAGAGGAAUUGGAUUGCAUAUACUGUACAUAAUAACUCCAAAAAUUAAUUGUGUGACUAUACAAUACUUUGAACAUGCUAUCUCUAUAAUAUUAUUUGAGAAGUCAGUUUCUUAUGUGUCGUUUUCACGUUAACUCUCACGAUGAUUGAUUACACUGAUACUCUUAAUGAAUUUAAAAUAUUACAUUUAAAAUACUAUUAUUUAUUUUUAUAUAUAGUUUCCUUUUUAAAAUUUUCCAAAAAACAUUUACAUAUAAUAAAAAAGGAAAUCUUUUACAAACUUAAAAAAACGAAUUGAAAAAUGAAAAUAGUAAUAUUACAUUUAAAAAAUAUUUUUAAAUGACAUAAAAUAUACUUUUGAAGUAAUAAAAUACUUUUUUGAUAUCUAUAUUUUCUUAGAUGAAAAAUAUAAAUUUGUAUAUAAUUAAUUGAGAUUGCUAUUAUUAGUAGAUUCUAUCCAAAUAAUUAACUAAUUGCUUUUAGUUAAAAAAUAUCCUUUGUAUAUGUUCCUAAAUAAUUUUUGGAAGAGGAGGAAACAACGGCAAAAGUUAAGGAUAUAAACCACAGUUUAUAUGGAUGUUAACGAAUGAAGCUUUCACAUCUGCAAAUUUACAAUAUGCAGAGAGUUUCUUCCCCGGCUUUGCAGAUGUGAGUUUGAUAUGUUCCAUCACGAUGUUAUGACACCCUUGAUUUUCAUCGCAGUCUAGCUUUAUUGCAAUUUUACUUGCUGAAGUCCCUUCAAUAUAUCUGAAUGUUACGUCGCUUACUUUCACCGCAUUCCCCUACAAUAUUCAUAAAACAUAUAUAUGCGUUCAAUAAAAAAUAUGAAUUGAACGUAAAACUCAUACCUAAAGGAAAACUAUUGUAAGAUUUGCACACUUAUGUUUUAGCAAAAAAAUAAAAGAUUUGCAGACUUAUGUCGUGAUCGUAAGAUACCAAAGGUGAAGCAUAUUGUAAUUUAGUCAUAUGGUUUUAUUACCAAUUGGUUAGUACAGUAACAAUAUUUCAUCGAAUUUGAUUUAUCAUCCAUUUAAGAUGUCUAGUUUGCAGGACUAGAUGCAAAAAAAAAUUAGCUUAUAGUAUAUAGGUUUAUAUGUGAUUUGUAUACAGUAUUCUAGUAAAAAUUAAUAUAUUUUGAAUAUUACCUUGACAUGACCAGUGCCACCAUUAGAGUAAUGUUGAUCGAUGAUUAUGGGGUAUUUAGUAUUUGUUACCGUAAUAUUUUCAAAUAAUAUAUUCUUGGCUAACCCUUUUCCUCCCUAAAAUAUGUAAGGUUCAAUAUCUUUAUAUAUUCUUCAGAAGAAUAUAAUAUUUUGGUUGCAAAAAAAUUUACAUGCCAAGUCUUGAUUCUUGCCCCAUUUUGAGUUCCCCAAAAGCUGCAGCUUCUUACGAUCACGUUCUCAACAGUGUCAUCUAUAUCACCUUUCCCCAAACUUCCAAUGCUUCAUUUUAUUUUGAAUUUUUAAGACAUGAUAAACAAGUUAAUGUUUAAAAUAAUUUUCAUGAAACUUAAGUCAAAUAUGGAUGAAUUUGAAUCUCUUUGUGCUGUUAUGUCUACAAACCUGAUACCAUGACCUGGACCACAUGCCACACGAGUAAUGUUGAUGUCGGAAGAACCACCACGCCCACCAGUAAUUGCAAUACAAUCAUCACCUAAUAUGUAUGUAGGAAAUAUAACGACACAUAAAGAAGGAGUUUAUCAUACAUUUUCUCAAAUCCAGUCCAUGUAAUGUAAACAAAACUCAUUUUCAAAUUCAAAUAAAAAGAAGAAUUAAAGAGUACCAGUUUGGAUAGACGAGUCUAAGAUACGAAUAUUGUGUGAAAGAGAAAUACCAAUGCCGUCAGUGUUUGGACUCUUCUCGGGUGCUAGCAAAGUAAGAUUUGAUAAAGUUGCAUUGGUGCAACCAUAGACUGAAAUGUGAUUCUUUGGACUAUUGUAUUGAGUUAGCCCAUUAUAUAUUAUGUCGGUGCAUUGCUUAAAGCUAAGUGUCUGCACAUGCAACACACAACAGAAUAAUGUAUAUUACAAUAAAAUUUACUACAUUGUUAUAUAUAGAGAGUGAAAAGGAAUAUGGUGGAAAGGUGACUUACUCUGGGUCGUUUAGAGUGACGAACAGAUCGCCACCAAUUUUCUCCAUGGGGGUCAAGGACACCUGAGCCGUUGAUGAAGAGACUCUCCACGUUCUUGAACAUUAACCAACUCUCAGUUCGUUUGUUUCCCCACUGUUUUGGUCUCUUCGGCGCUUCUAUUUUCCCAUCGAUCUUACCCCAGAAAAAUAAAUUAUACAUGUAUGUGAAUAUGUGAAUCAUGUAAUACAUGUGUAUAUGUGUGAAUGGAUAACAAUUUUUGCAUGUGGUAUGUGGAUCUUCAUAUAAGUCAGUUGGAUUUAUAACGUGUUCAGAGUACCUGAAUAUGAAUGUAAGAAGAUACGCAUGGACCUUCAAACAGUUGUGGUUGUAUAGUGUAUUUUUCAUUCUCAUUUAUCACUAGCGAUGACCCGCCAGUUCCUUCACCUUCACCUUCGCAUAACCCUUUCCAUGCUUUUUGAAAUACCUUUUUUUAAAAUGAUAAAUUUAACAUAUUACGUUUGUUCUUUUGACAAGAAUCUAACUACAGAUCAAUAGUUAUAAGAGAUCAAUUACUUGUGAAUAGUCAACGUUUUUAUGGUUAGUAUCAGUUAUGAAAUCUUUGAUCCUUAGAAUCCUCCGGCCAUCUCCGUAUUCCAGAUGACACGAUACAAGUAUAAUCAUUGAGAAUAAUGUUUUCAAACACUUCAUAGUAAAAGAAAAUAUGGGACAAUUGUAUGUAUAUGUUUAAAUAAAAUGAGAAAAUGAUAAAAGGAAAUCAAUGGGAAAGAAAAGGUAUUGUAUCACCAUUUGAAUAUUGUCUUGAAGAUAAGAUUAUAUAACAAUGUUUUUAAUGUCUUUUGCGUGGUGUAGGUUAAUACAAUAUAUUUUUUUUUACUAAAGUUAACAAACAUUUGGAAAAUUUUGUAACUUGGAAAUACAGUGUAUUAUGUUGAUAAUAUAUGUGUAUAUUUAUAUGUUAACUUGAGACUCGAUAGUCUUAUGAUAUUUUUGAUUACUUGUCAAAAUGUCAAAAUGUCAAGAUACAUGCCACGUUCACAGUAUAAUCUGAUAUCAUUUAAGAGGCUAGCACAACAAAAGUUUUUUUUUUUUUUUUUUUUUACUGCACACAGCAAAAGAUUAUAUACAAAUUUUAAGAUAACUAGAUUACUAUACACGAAUAAGUUUACUCCGAACUUUAUAACAAAAAAAACAAGAGUUAGCUCGGGAUCUUAAAAGUUUGGAAAACUGAUUGUAUAUAGAAAUUAGAACAUUAUCUGAAAGCCUUAAUUAAUUUCUAUAUAACGAUUUGUAGAUUGUUAUUAAUUAAUAUAGUUUGCUUCAACAACUCUACUAUUAUUAACUAUAGAUUUUUAAAUAAUGAAGAGGAUAAAUAUUAAGAUAAAACUUCUCUUUACAUAUUAAUCUUUGGUUUUUAGUUAUAAAGUCGUUUUAGAUUAAUUGAACCUAUAUUUCAAAGUUAUGAUUAAAUAGUGAUGAAAACACAUAACUCAAUAAUAAUUAGUGUUGUAACCGCCUUCCAUUCUUCUAAACAGAAACACAUCCUUUCAAUUUUGUUUAUAAACUAUUAAAUGAAGCCCAACAUAGCAAACAAAUGAUCAAUAACUCUUUGGGGUCAAUAACAAUGUGUCAGACCAACAAUGGUAAAGUAAUAGUAAGAAGUGAGUAAUGGGUAAUAGAAUAUGUAAUCUCCAUACAGACACUAUGUUUCUCUAAGCUCAUAAACUGCUCAAAACAUUUACCUUCCUUUUAGCUCUGCAAAUCUGGCAGCCAAAUCCUCAUAGUCAGGUAACUUGGGGUGAACGUGCUUAGCUUCACUACGUUCUGGCUGAAACGAGGCGGCACGAGCAAACGUCUUUGCGGGUUCAGAUGGUCCGGCAAAUUGUUCACUGGGGAGACUGAGUGACCGAGCGGGAUGAUGAAUCUCUUCACCUUCUGCUUUUCUACGAUGUGAACGUCUGCUUUUAGAUUCUUCAUAACUUGAAGGCUUUUUACUGUAAUGCAUAAGAAGUUUAUCCAUCAUCUUUUCCUCACUGUCCUUCUCAUCUUCAUCUACUAAGACUUGAAGGCCUUUCCUUGAGUGUUCCCUUCUUCUGCUGCUUCUUGUAUCAUCAUCACCAUCAUUCGAUUGUAUAAUGUGUUUUCUUCUACUAGAUCGCCGCUUCAGAGAUUGAUCAUCUACGUCAUUCACUUGAUGCUGACCUGCUUCAGAAACCUUUUUAUCAGUGUCUUGACAGUUUCCUUCUUCACCAUCAAACCGAGCCUUUGGAUAAGCUGAAGCUUCAGGUUUUUCGAUCUUUGCUUUACCACUCGGUUUAACAUACGGAGGUGGGGGAAGGGACUUCAUCAUUCUCUCCGCUUCCCGCUCCUCAAACUUCCUUACUGGAUCAUAUCCAUCUCCACCACCCUUGAUGUUACCAGCAGAUGAAUCUUUUUCUGUGCCCUCUCGCACAGGAACUGUGUUUUCUCUCCUCUCGUGAUCGCUGCGAUGUCUACGGGCUGAAUCUAUAGAUGGUGUUCUUUUCGACCUUGGCUUUGGAGGCAUUGAGAGGUUAUCUUCUACUUUCUGAGGCGCAUGCUCUUCACCAUUCUCAUGUUUGUAGCCUUUGAAGAAACUUUCUUGCUUAAAGCCAAGAACUAACUUAUCUUCUGUUUUGGUGCUGCUACGCUUGUGUUUCUCUGUCACCUCUGUUUUCUUAGGCGCAGCAGCAGCUUCACCAUUUUGAUGUCCAACCCCUUGAACGAGAUUCUCACGUUUGAUCUUCAUCACUAUAGUGUCACCUUCGUUAAAAAUAGGUUGAGGUCUUCCUCUGGAAGACUUGUGAUUCGGUUGCAAAUGGAACUCGUUCCUUUCUGCCUUAUCGUCCUUGCUUUCCGAUCUGGAGGCGUGACGAACAUCAUCUGACUUAUUUUUAGAUGCUAGCCCACGCUGAUGUUCUCUGAGACCAUUCUGAUAAUUAUCCGGUCGAAAGAAAGGAUCUCUUCUCUCUGAUGCAACAUCCUUUUUCCUUUCUGAUGGCAAGGCCACACUUCCGUCUAAAGACUUAUGCUUCUCGUGAGUGGUAUCCUGUUCAUGACCAUGAGAAAAAUCAUAAAUCAGUGACGUUCCAAAUAUUUCAGUUUAUUGUCCCUAUUCGUCAUACCUUUACUGAACUACCAUUUUGCCUCAAGAUCCUCUUCUCAAAAGCUUUAGAAUCCCAACGAAUAGCAUACUCCGAUGCAACAUCUUCCAUCAACUUCACUUUCUUCUCCAAAGAAAAUGGCUUUGAUGUCAUAUUCUCAACAAGCUAUAAAAAAAAACAGUACGUGCUUAACCAUACAUGCUGUAUAAGAUUUCAAGAUGAGUUUUAACUGAGAAAUAAUACAUUAGAAAAGAAAAACAAUUACUUCUUGGUUGACAAACACACUAAGUGAAUCUCCAUACUUCUCGUGAAACAUCUGCCUCAGUUCACGCAGCUCAGGCAAUUCAGAAAAUCCAGCGGCUGCAAACAUUAAGGACGACACAGCUUCACGACAAUCUUCAGGACAUUCCCUGGAAAAACAAACGCAAAUCAACUAAUCAAAAUAUAAUCAUGUUUCCAUCAAGAACAAAGUACUUAAACUAUCUUUGAGAAUGUUUAACUAAGCCACAUCACUAAGCAAACAAGAACAAUGUGAGUAGGAAAACGCCAAAAGACUUUCGUUAUAUAUAUUCAAUUCAAUAUUUAUAAACAAAAGUCCAAACAACCUGAUCUUGAUUCUUCAAUAUAAAACCUAACAAGUUGAUAUGCCAGAGAAUCUACAAUAAAUUUCUCAACUACUCAUAACUAUGUUACAGCUAACUCAAGAAUCAUAAAAUAUUCUCAAAGCAAAAGGCAUUGGCCCUUACUCCAUCUUCUGCAUGGUGGAGAGUUGCUUAUACACGAAAUCACAAGUGCUCUCAACAAAAUCAAGAUUCCAGAGAUGCCUUAGUUCAUCAAGAAGCCCUCCCGCCUGCAUAUCUCAAACGUUUAUCAUCAAAAAACCAAAUCUGAAUCCCCUAAAUCAAUCCUUCUAACGAACGAUAACGUUACCCUGGUAUAAGCAUUGACGUCACGGCUAUUAGAGAUAAGAUCAGCAAAAUCUCCCUUGAGAAACUUGAUCGUGGCAGUCCUCUUCCUCCGAAGAACAUCGAUCCGAUUCUUAGUCAGUUUUAUCAGUGGUUUCCUGCCGAAUCACAAAUCACACAAUCAAAUCGCGAUUCGCACAUUAAAAAGAGUUAAUCAGAGAGAGAGAAGAGAAACAAACCCCUUGGGAGCAAAUCCGCGGCCUAAGAUACCGUCAAACAUCGUAAGAUCGCUUCGCAACAACGACGGUUAAGAUUCCGAUUGUGAUCCGCCGGAAAACGGAAGCUCGAGUGAGAGAGAGAGAAUGGCGUUUUUCUUCAGCUGUGGGUUUUUAAAAUUGAAGGCAACCGCAUCUCAAGCUGAGUGGAGAACAUGAAGGUGGUGGUGAUACGACUACGUUUUGACCUUUUGGUGUUGUUAACGUUAUAAAGGGUAUUUUGGGGAAUUUAAUUUAAUUUUUCUUUUUAGGUGGUGAGUGAGGAAUCAAAUCGAUACCUUCUGCUAGCUAGCUGUUGUUGUUCUAGUGGAAUUGGGUGGAAUGAUCUGGUGCAGAUGGGUCCACUCCCAUUGCAUGGAGUCUGUAUAACUGCACCAAUUAAGGAAUUUAAUUCACCGACGGGUUUAUUUAAGCUUUUUCUUUAACCGAUUUUCUUUCUCUUGUCGGAAAUGUUUCUUUUUUGUCUAAUUUUGUCGGAAAUGUUUGUAAAAUAUUUUACAUUUGUUUCGUUUAUGUUCGAUUUAUUUUUGUAAAUUGGAUUUGAUAUUACGGUUUAUGCAUUAGUAAAUGUUUUCAGCUUGUUAUAGGUAUUAACAAACAAAUUAAUAUGUUGACUAAUAUGUGGACAUCAAAAAACAUCAUUGCUAAUUGUCCAAAUCCAUCGUCUGCUAUUUAAUUCCUCAUCGAUUAAUUUAAAAAGAGAAUAACGCUUGUGUCCAUGUUCUUGAUUUGAUUAAGGCCGUGGAAACCGGCUAAAGAUGCGAAGGAUUUCGCCUUUAAGCCUAUUUGUUUAGGCAGAAUCAAAUUCCUUAAUCCACUUAACUUACGUGCUUCUGUGUCCAGUCAAAUUAGAUUAAAAUACUUUCCGUCCCGACAAGAAUAAUUAUCCUUUUUAGACAAGAAUAAUUAGAUUAACCAAAUUCCACAAUUUUGCCUUAAUUAAUAAUUCAUGGAUGUGAUUAAUAAAUAUUGAAACUUUGGGGUCAAUUUGAUAGUAUUAACAAAUAGCGGGGCUGAUAAGAACGUAUACUCAUAUGAUAUUUUCAGUCUCAUAAAUAUCUUUCAUCUCUCUCACACACACUCCACUAAAAAAACAAGAAGAUUACUAAAAGAUGAUCCUGAGAAGCGCGUCGUCACUGGACCUUAACAUACGCGCCGCCCAAAAAUCCUCAGCUCCACGGUGUCCAAACGGAGCUCGCGUUGCGACGACGGCUCGUCCCGUCUCUGCCUCUCUCCGAGGAUGUAAGUCGAUGCCCAGAGCUUCUUCAGACGGAAACCUCCACGAGAUGAGAGCGGUUCAGAGCAGAACCAAAACGUCCAGCGUCUACCACGACGACGCGGCGUCUUCUAGGGUCUUGGAGAGAUCAAGGCUCCACCAGGGAGGUUCCAACGGUGGCUUUGGCAGUAGAGGUGGAGACGGUGGUGCCGGAGGUGACGGCGGAGGGGGAGGUGGAGGUGGGAGCGUUGAUGGUUACUACGAAGAGAUGAUUCAACGUUAUCCUGGAGAUGCUCUUCUUCUCGCUAACUACGCUCGUUUCCUCAAAGAGGUAUACAUACACAAACACCGUAUGUAUAUAUAGAGACAAGAUAAAGACAAAAGCUAAACUAUAAUGUAAUAAUUUUAAUUAACACCUGGACCUUGUAAUAAUUUUAAUUAACACCUGGACCUUGGUAUACGUAUUAUAGCUCUAUAUUGAAGUCGAUCUUUGAGCAUGAGUUUAGUAUUUUGAUUGGUUAAAUUUACUAACUUUGUGUAUUAAUAUUGUGCAGGUGAAGGGUGAUGAGAGAAAAGCAGAGGAGUACUGUGAGAGAGCGAUGUUGUCUGAAGAUGGGAGAGAUGGUGAGAUGCUGUCUAUGUAUGGGGACUUGAUAUGGAAGAAUCACGGAGACGGUGCUCGUGCUCAGUCUUACUUUGAUCAAGCUGUUCAAUCUUCUCCUGAUGACUGGUGAGUAGAAACAUAACUAUAUUUGUUACAGUUCAGUAUCUGCUUAGAACCCUGAUGAUAUAUAUGCAAGUAAAGUCUCUAACUUUGGAUUUGGGUUUUUCUUAAAGUAUAUCCAAGAUGCAAACUUCACAAGUUUUUUAAUCCAUUUUUGGUAGAUUGCUGAGAUAUUGGGCCAUUGAGUAUUUGUUAUGGGUAGCUUUAUUGAUUGUUUUAAUAGGAAUGAUAUUGUUGAAAGGGAAUAGUAAGAUAACAUUUCACGUAAAUGAUUUUGUGGAUCAAAUUUGAUUCGCUCUAUAUCCAACCUUUGAAGAAGUUGAUUGGUCACGUUAUUGAAAAUGACAUACAUCUCAUUCACGAUUUUUUCUAGCUGCAUCUUCAAUGUUUAUGUGGUGUGGCAGUAGUCAGUAGAUAAUGCGUUACUUCAUCAUGAUCAAUAUAAAUCUAAUAUAACUGAUAAAUGGUGUUUAUGGCAGUCAUGUUCUUGCCUCAUAUGCUCGGUUUCUAUGGGAUACUGAAGAAGAGGAAGAGGAGGAAGAAGAAGGGGAGGAAGAAAGUAAAUAUGAGAAUGGUUUCUCUACAUAUAACCCAUCUGUGUCAGUUAUGUCCUGACCCUUGGUGCUGAUUUUAAACCGGUGUAAUAUAUAAUAACAAUUUGAAGUCCGGUUUAAUCAUAAAAUAUCUUGUGCCAUUGAGAUAGAUUGAUGCUUAUGUGUUGGAAGAAACGAACCAAGUAUCAAAACUCCAAAGAUGCAUUAUUGUGACGAAGUGUGAUAUUUCAAAGAAGAUAAAAGUGGUUUGUGUCCAUAGGCUUAGAGCUAAAAAAGGUGUGAAUUGGGAUUGGUCAUGGGCUCUGGAUAGAAUCAAUUAUUGGUUGUCAAAAAUAAAAUCAAUUAUUGAUCAAUGGUUGCUAGAGACGUCACGCUCAAGUCAAGUCAUUUGUGUUUUGUGUCGAUGCAUGCAUGAAAUGAACUUUUAUCGUUGCAAUUUGCAAUAAGGAAAUGAACCUUUUUGUGUUUAUAUGAACAAAUAUCAAGAAAUUAUAUUUUCUUUAUGCAAGAAUGUUUAUUAAAAUUUUCUGUCUACACCUUCACGUAUAUUAGAUUUUUGUCAAAAUCUAUACUCCAUGUUUACUAUGUUAAAGAUGCUCCAACUAUAACAAAAGAAAUGGCACAAUAAUAAAGAUAAAGAAUACACUGAGCAUACGAAAAAAAGAAUACACUGAGCAUACGAAGAAAAUCUCCUGAAUAUUCACUUUUUAGAAACCAAAACAUCAAAAAAGAAAAGAUCUUGACAUCAAAAUACAACAUAAAAGAUUAAAAACAUUACACCAUCAAACAUAGAAAUAUAUAAAAAAGCAACAACCUUUAGAACCAAACACAAUGAUUCUUUUCACUCUUUUACCCAUUUCUUCUCAAACAAGUUUUGGUCGAAGAUAUAUAUAUAACUAUUACAUGCUUUCUUUUCCUCUUGUCUUCCUUAAUUAACACAGAGCUCUUUAUGCUCAACAGCAACCGCUUCAGGUACCUCAACAGACUCCACUCUGUCUUCAUCCAUCCUUGGAGACACAGUCUCAUGCGAGUCCUUUUCUCCAUCAGCAUUGGGUGAUGCAGUCACUUGUGCUUCCUCUUCUUUGGGAUUUGAAGACUGGCUUUGAGUUUCUCCAUCUUUUUCAAGUUUCUUUCUUUCAGGUUUCACCUUUGCUGAGGUUGUGGCGGCUGGUUUUCCAUCAGGGAGAGUUGUUUUCUGAGAUGGCAAUCUUGGAAGUGACUUGCGCAACGGUUGCUUCUUGGGAUCAACCGUUGCCGCAGUUCCCUUAGCAGCUGGGUGAUCUCUUGAGGCUUUCUCAUCUAGGCUCAGCCUACCGACGCGAGGGGUUUGAGUUUCUUCAGCAUCAGUCUUCUUCCGUCCGAGUUUUGGAGAUUUGGGUCUUGUUGGUGGUAUCUACAAUAACAAUGAAAAUUAGUACUUGAUUAAAAAAGUGAGAUUAUGGUUUUGAGAAGAGAGGAGAAGUAAAUACCUUCUUUAACUCUGUUUUAGGCGGCUGAGAAAAGCUAGGCAUGGGUGUGGCUUUGAAGUUCAAGCUCUUCCUCAGCUUCCUAAGCUCAGCUUCUUCUGUUUCCUGUGAGCGAGCCACAAGUUUUUUGUUUUAAAUUUUAACAAUAAUAGGUCGAUGAGAAUACUAUGACAAAGAAGAGGGGUUAGAAGACAAACCUUGGACUUGGCUUGCAUGUUGUUAAUCUCCUCUUCUUUCGCAUGAGUCUUUUCCUCAAGCUUAACAUAGAACUGCACAACGCAGAAAACAUGUUUGUGGAGAGAAGACAAGUAUAUUGAAUCAAAAGUUCAAGCACACAAACCUCUCUUCUCUUCUCAGCCCGUUGGUCACAUUUGAAACUGAAUCCAUAGUUUGGAAGUGCACCAACUUUACGAGGUUUGCCAUCGUCUGCCUUGGGGCUACUAUAAAGCCAGAACGUCAAAAUCAACAUAAAAGCAGAAAGGCCUCAGCUUGCCACAAGAAAGAAAAGCCAAAGGUGAAAGAAAAUACUUAGAAGACUGAGUAUCAUCUUCUGAUGUCUCAUGGACUUGUUUCUUUUGAGGCUUUGGUUUCACCUUGUCCCUGUAUCAAAGAGAGAAACAUAUCUCCAAGUUUCAACGAUUGCUAAGGGACUAAAUGAUAUACUAAUGUGAAAACUAUAACCAAUGUCUGAUAUGGAAAUAAAUUUUUAAAAUUGAGGACUCAUACCCGGUGGCGCUUUCUGCUGGUGUAGAGUCUUGCUUUCCAUGCUGAUAUGCAAAAAAGAAUAAAUCAGAAUCAAUCAACAGCCCGAAAUACGAAGAUAAAGCAGAUCACACAAGAAUACGCAAAUAAACCUAGAAGAUUACCUCUGUUACUUUAGCCGCUCUACCAUUGGAUGAUGUGCUCUUAAGAGACUUUGUUGAGUGUGCAUUAGGAGCAACAGAACCAUUUGAUGCUGCCCCUUUAGACAUUGCACCUUUGUUCUCUUUCUUCUUUUUGAUAUGUACCGAUGGAACACUCUUUCCACCUGGGAGUUUCUCAUGCUUAAGCUUCUUUUCGCCUUUAACAUGCUCUUGAUCUUCUACAUUUAUACCUUGUGUGACCUAAAUAGUAAAAGAGACAAAAACACAAACGUUAAUCAUAUCUGUUUAUCUAAAGGACAAGUAGACAAAACCACCCAGGAGUUACAAACCUCAGCUGCUGCCUCUUUGGGCGGCUGUUCAAAUGCAUCCAAAUUGGAACUAUCUCCAGAAUUCUCAUUCUGACUAUCCGAAGUAGUAUCCAAGGUCUCUCCAGAAUCAACACCAUUUCCUUCAACACCAACAUCUUCCACUGCUACACCACCAUUUGCAAGAGCAGAGUCCGUCCCAUCAGCAGCCAUGACACUUUCCGGAUCCAUAGUAAACUACAAAAACAACAAAGAUGGAGUUCACACUGAUAUAAGUGAAGAGACAGAAAAGAUUAUGAAAAUUUUUAAGUAAAUUUUACCUAAAAAGCAUUCACUUGAAUUAACACAAACUUGAAACCCAGGCAUUGUAAUGUAAAUCAAUCAAACAUGUUUCAACAAAAAUCAAAUCAAAGUGCUUUUGUAGGGGUUAUGAAGUGAAACAAGUGACCAAGACUCAAGCUACAACAUUUUAGAAGUGUUGAACAUCAAAAGCACUCUUCUUGUCCAAUACCCAGAGGCUUCAGCUACUCAUUAAGUAAAUGGAUUCGUACAAAACCAGGUCGAUCAAAUUAAAGACAAAACCUACUCACUUAGCUUACUCAUCCAUAACUAACUGAUCUAAGUAAACAAAUCAGAGAAACACAAAUUUAAUCUGGAAUUAAAAAAAAAAAAAAAAGCAAAUCUAAAUCUUGUGGUACUGAAGCUCACUAGUGAUGGCAGUUUCAACUUUGGAUCUACCGACACUCUAAACCAAGCAAUGAGAAACGAACACAAGUAGAUAACUUUCCUCAGAAGUUCCGCCAGUUUUUUCACAGCAACCAAACAAAGAAAAAAAAGACAAGGCCAAAAGAAACAAACAAACAAACAAACAAACAAAAAAAAAACACGAAGACGCACAUCUAACCAAACGCAGUUACCAGAGCAAAUCAAGCAUCCAUUGAAGGUGAAAUCGAAGGAGAAGACUAAGGAAGACGAGGUUUCAUAGAGUUUUGAGAUUUCGAUUUGUUCUUUGAGUGCUUUUUUUUUGUUGGUUUUGGGUUUUGUGAGGGAUGGAUUCUCUCUGUCUACUCAAGUUUUUUUUUUGUUCUUGUCUUUUUUUUUUUCUCUAUGUGAAUAGAGAUGUCAAAACUCCCAUUUAAUAUUUUAUUACAACGACUAAUCUAAUUACCACGUCAUCGGUGAAAUUACGGUUAAUCGGCGGUUUAUUUAUAUUUUAAUCGUGGGAUUGAUGGGGAGAGUGGAGGUUUUAUGGAACUAAUAGUAUUUUCCUAAUUUCCACUGUUAAAACUAAAAGAUAAUUUUAAUAUUUUUCUUUUUAUAUACUACAAGUCUAUAACUAUAAGACAUAUGCAACUUGGGGGAGACAAAAAACAAACCAUACGCGACUGAAACACUCUUUUUUUUUAUUUGAAGCGAUUUGAGUUAAAUUUUAGUCUGUCUAAAACUAUAUAUCAAGAUAGUGGAAAAUCAGUAAAAGAUAUAAAUAUAUAUACUAGCUAAUAUAUUUUUUUUAAUGAAUCUUUAAUUUUGAAUGGAAUGGGUACAGUGCUAGCUAAUAUUUAUAGCUUUCAAAGAAAAGGUCUGGAAUCAGGUGAAUAAUAGAUGGUAAAAUCACAAGAUCCUCAGGAUGUUAAACUAUUUAGCUUACUCUUUGAGUCUUUUCACACAUAUUUUCAUAAUAUUACAGUUUUGGGUAAAAUCCACUAAUUGAAUUUAGAUGGGAUAUUUUAAGAACAUAUGAGAAGCUUAGGAUUUAAGAACUAAAAGGCAGAAGUAGUUGGCCAAAAAUAGAAGAAAACAUAUGUGGGAAACAAGUCCAAAUUAAACAUAUGCUAAUAGAAAAAGAAACCCGGAUUUUAAGGGGGUUUUGGAUAUGGUUAGGUUACUUUUUACAUAUUGGUUUACAUACAAAUGAGAAAGAGGUACGUGACCUUCUCCAACAUCCAUUGGUAUUAACAAAUAAAAAAAGAACUUCACAUUUUCUUAAUCAAACAGUAUAAACUUUUCGUUAAUUAUUAUACAUAUUUCAAUCUAUUUGGGUCGCUUUAAUAAGGUGAACCAUGCUAUUCCCCACACUAUUAUAACAUACUUUACUCUUAAAUGGGAACUUUACUCAUCCUGUUAAUCAUCAGAAAUAUUAAAGCCAGCUCAUGGAAUCUGCACUAUCUGUUAUUUAAAUGUAUACGUUUUAAAUAUACUUUUCAAAAGUAACAAUCAAACUAAAAUAAAAGCCUUUUAUUAGGCGCAAGAGGCGCAAAUUCACCAACAUCAUGGCGCUUUGGAUCAGAUGACCAGGUCAUAUCCAAUAGCCAAAAAUCUACUACCUUUCUUGUUUUUUAUCUAAUUUUUGCCAAGAAAGAUGUAUGUAAAAGCCUUUUAUUUUGUAAAAGACAAAAGUUUCAUUUUUAAUGAUAUUUACAGUUUAGCAAAAAAAAAAAAAAAAAAAAAAAAAAAAAAAAACUAAAAUAAACUUGAAGACGACUUAAGACACAUGACCUAACCGGCUCGAUAUACAACUUGACGACUGUAGAACUACAUGUAAAUACAAAUUGAUUGUCUUGUAGACCACCAGUAUGAUGAUACAAUUAGAUAGAUAGUUGCCGCUUUUUUUUUACCAAUCAACAAUAUUCAUAUUUGGAUUGUAUAGAUAAAGAGAAGUUAAUAAAUUACAACAUUUCCCAUUUUAUGCAAAAUAGUAAAGACCACAAGUGUUCAUAACUAAAUACAUGCACCCACAUGUACAUUUCUACACACUACCAAAAGCUUGUGGUAGGCCCAGAUAAUUAAUUCAAAUUAAAGUUUGUUUUUCUUAAGAAACCAAAUGAAAUGUGACAUUACUUAUUUCUUAGACUGAAUAUGAACUAAUAGUUUAUUAAUACUUACAAUAUUCCAAUUGUUUUCUACCUAAACUAUUUACACAAAACUAUAUAUAUAGCUUCUACCCAUUUGAUGAAACUAAAUAUUCGCUAAUAAAUAGCUUAGGUAGAAGACAAAUGAAAUAUUGUAAGUAGUAAAAGCAAUACUUAUUGUAAGAUAGUUUAUGAUGGCUUUAGUGUCUCUUCUAAAAUGUGCUGAAUAAAACUAUCAUGUGCUACAGGAAAAAUAAAAUUUAAACAUUAUAACAUUUUCCAUCUGACCCCAAAACAUACUAGUUUGACCCACUCGUGCGCAUCAUCAAACCGCGAAGCUUCUAUCAGCUGAAUAGUUUCUAGUUUUGACAACGAGCCUAUAUUGCAAGUGUUCAGCACUCAGGGAUUAACAAACUAUAGAGAGUACAAGAACUUUAAGAACCUUGUUUUAAGAUUUACAUGUCGAUCUCCAAGCUUUUAUCAAGAAUGGGUUUUGUAGUAUGCAUUGUCAAAAACAAAUGGAUAUUGCCAAGCCUUUACUGCCAAGCAUAAAUGCCCCAGAUAAGGCAAUGUACCAGAACUAGAACUAUCAAAGUUAAGGCGAAAUAUAAACAGAACAUCCAGAGCUCACAUGUUCCAUUCUAGAUAUAAUAUAACUUUUACAUUUCCAAACUUAUCGGUUCACCAACAAGUCAACAGAUAGAAGAACCUCAAAAACUAAGAGAAACACUUCUUUUCUUUUAAAAAUAAGAAAAACACUAUUACAACAAAACAACAAUAUACCAACCGAAAAAUACCCAAUUAUAAGUUUCUUAUCUCGGACCGGAGAGCUGGCUAUGAGAUAUCGAUGAUGAAGUUCCACCACCGCCUUCUUCGUUGAUCGACCUCAACUCCAACCUCGUGUAAUACGGAGGCUGAAGCACAGGGAAAACACCUUCAAGCAUCUGAACAACUUUGCUCAUGGACGGUCUCAAAUGCAUAUCUUCUUGUAUACACCACAACGCAGUUUUCAUCGCCCUUUGAACUCUCUCAUCGUUCAUCACAUCAACACCCUCCCCCUCCUCCAUAUCCCAAUCAACAUUCUCUAUAAGCAAUCCUUCCCGCAUCCUCUUAAAAGCAUAAGCAGGAAAACUAGCACUCGCUAGUAAAGACUCUUUGUUCUUUCGUCUUCUUAUUAACUCUACAAGAACCAUUCCGUAGCUGUAAACAUCGCUCUUCUCCGAGAUGGCGUAGGUUGUUAUCCAUUCAGGAGCCAUAUAACCUCUCGUCCCACGCAAAGUUGUGAAGACAUGGCUCUGUUCCCGUGUCAUGAGCUUAGCGAGUCCAAAGUCAGAUACCUUGGCGUUGAAGUCAUCGUCUAAGAGGAUAUUCUGUGGUUUAAUAUCACAAUGGAUAAUUCUUGCGUCGCAAUCUUCGUGUAAAUAAGCUAAACCUUUCGCUGUUCCGACCGCGAUGUUGAAUCUUGUGUCCCAAUCCAACAGAAUAUCUCCGUCCCUUCUCUUAAAUAUCCAUCUCUCUAACGAACCUUUCGCUAAGUACUCGUAAACGAGAAGCCUGUGAGUCCCUUCCUCGCAGAAUCCUGUGAGAUGCACCAAGUUUUGAUGAUGAAUGCUACCGAUCGUACUAACCUCGGCUUUGAAUUCUUUCUUGCCUUGACCUAUUCCUUCAAGCUGCUUCACGGCUAUGUGAGAACCGUCUGGUAACGUUCCUUUGAAAACUGAACCGAACCCUCCUUGACCUAACUUGACAGAGAAGUUAUUCGUCGCAGACUGAAGAUCUUUGUAAGAAAAUUGGAUAGACGUACCAGGUAGAAUGUUCACGAAACUAUGAGUCGUCUCUUGAGAAGCAAGCAAACGUGCUUUCGUUCUCCUAUGAAUCCGACAAAACGCGAAGAUCAAAAGACAGAUGAUAAAGAUUGCCACAAAGACGAUAAUAAUGACUAUAUAUGGAAAUUGUUUCCCAUCGUCAUCUCCGUUAUUUUUAACUCCCAAAUCAUUAGUAGCCACCUUGAUGUAAGAGAUGAAACCAGAACCUCCACUUCCUAUGCUUUUAAAGCUACCAAUCCAAUCAAACAAGAAGCAGUUACCAGAACUGUUCUGGAAGAACAAACCGAGGCACGAGCAUUUGCUGUUGCAAUACUCUUUACAGCUAUCAAGAGUAGUGUGGUUGGUGAAAGGAGAAGCAAACCCUAGUGCGAAGUAGUCAACACUCUCUCCAGCAUUUACAAGUUUCACAGACAAUGUUGCAUUGUUGUUUGUUUUCUUACAAGGAGAAGUGAUCCCGGUUUUGCAAUCUGACUGAGCGCUUGAAAAUCCGGACACACAUUGACACACUUUACUAACAGAGCAAAAGAAGUAAGGGUCACAAGACUCAGGGGUCGCACAUUGAUCAUUUGGGAUUUUAGUGAGAGAAUCAUCCGCAGCAGACACACCACUCAAAAGUCUUGUAAAGGAGAUCACACCGUUGUUUUUCAAAACAGCGAUCCAAGUGGCGUUAUCAUCAUCUCUAUUGUCUGAUGAAAUCAUAAACUGCCAUAACAAAGACUGUUUAUCAUCAAAGAACUGCCACGAGUUUCCGAGUAAAGACGAUGAAGUCACUACACCACCGUAUUUGUCAAUGAUCCUCCCUCUGUCGCUUCGCAUGGACCAGUACACUUGAGGUGUCAAGCUGUUGACGGAUAAAAACAUAUCUCCUGACUUGAUCUCGAGAGAAUAAGUCAUGUUGCUCGAAUAAGAAGCAUUGCUAGUGAGCUUCAUGCCUUGUUUAAAUACUUGAUUCGUAAUCAGAGUAUCUGUAGGAUGACCAAAGCUCUCCCAGAUCGAAGCUCCGUCGUCGCCGGAGACAACCACGAGGUUCCCCGAGUCGCGAAGCUCCAUUCUCGAAGCGUUUUUGUUUGCAUUGUCCAAUCUCCAAACCUCGGAUCCUCCUCCUUCUUCUCUGCGGAGGACGAUGGCUCCGUUGGCUUGGAACUGGAGCUUGUCGGAGUUCGAUACAGGGGAAGCUCUGUUCGCCGACCAGAUAAGUCUCGAACUGGAUUUGUGGAUGAUGCUGAGUGUGAAGAGAGUGACGUCAUCUGGUGUGGUUACGAAACCGAAACCAAAGUCUCUGUUGAUGGAUUCGAGGAAGAUACCGUCGUUGUUGAUGUAAUUCACCCGAGCUCCUUCGAAGCCUGGAGAGAUGCUUCCGUUGUAGGGUACACCGGCGUGUAGAGGAUGAGGGAAGAAUAUCAACAGAGAUGCUAAGAGGACACUGAAGAACAUUCUCAUGGCUUCCUGCUUUUCUUGUUUUUUCUUCUUUUGCUUGUUUAUGUGGAAAAAACCUCGACACACGUUAGAAAAAAAACCAAAAAUAAAUGUUUGGAUUGUGAUUCACGCUGAGAAUCGGAUAAGGAAAAGAAGAAGAAAAAAACAGUUAUUGGUCUUGUUACAAACAUUCUAGUCUAGCAAGAAGGUUUCAAAGUGGGAAAGCUUUUAGUUUUAGUGGUCACACGUGAGAUACGCGUGACUUAUUAUGUACGAGUAUAUACGAGUCUGAUCAUUAAGCUUGGAAGCUCCUCUCUUCAAAAUUGAAAUAAAAAUAAAUAAAAUUACAAAAAGUAUCUACUAGUAUCAGUAGAAAAUCGAUGAGUAGUGCAUUUUAAUCUAUGUAUACAAGUCGGAACAUUACAAAACUGAAACUGAUAAGAGCACUAAUGUUUUAAACAGAACAACAAUAUACAUACAAAUACAUGGUUGUAAUGUCAUCUAAAAACCUAUAAUAAGAAGACACUAAAAAACUAGGCUAUCUCGGACCGGAGAGUCUCACGGCCGAUAGAUAGUUCUCACUAUUACAAUCCGACGGUCCAGACGACGUACCCCCACCUUCCUCACUGAUCGACUUACAGAAGCUCGAGUAAAGCCUCGACCCCAAAGUGGAAGAAGACGGAGGCUGAACCACAUGAAAAACUCCUUCAAGCAUCUGAACAACUUUGCUCAUCGACGGUCUCAAAUGCAUAUCCUCUUGUAUACACCAAAGCGCAGUCUUCAUCGCUCUCUGAACUCUCUCAUCGUCCACGUCAACGUUCUUCAUCUUCCCGUCAACAAUCUCCAAAAGCUUCCCUUCUUCCAUCAUCUUGAACGCAUAAGAAGGAAAGUGACACUUCUCCGAAGACUCUGACGGAUCAUAGUUCUUUCUCCCUCCUAUCAGCUCUAGCAACACCAUCCCGUAGCUGUACACAUCGCUCUUCUCCGAGAUUGCGUAGUUUGUGAUCCACUCAGGUGCCAAAUAGCCUCUAGUCCCACGCAUAGUCGUGAAAACAUGACUUUGCUCUCGUGUCAUAAGCUUAGCUAGUCCGAAAUCAGAUACCUUGGCGUUGAAGUUAUCAUCCAAAAGAAUGUUCUCCGGUUUAAUAUCACAAUGGAUGAUCCUUGCGUCGCAAUCCUCAUGUAGAUAAGCUAAACCUUUCGCUGUUCCGACCGCGAUGUUGAACCUUGUGUCCCAAUCCAACAGAAUAUCUCCAUCUCUUCUCCUGAAUAUCCAUUUCUCCAACGAACCUUUCGCUAAGAACUCAUAAACAAGAAGCCUAUGAGCUCCUUCCGCGCAGAACCCCCUAAGCCGCACCAGAUGCAGAUGAUGAAUGCUACCGAUGAUACUAACCUCGGCUCGAAACUCUUUCUUCCCUUGACCUAUUCCUUCAAGCUUCUUCACCGCUAAACGUGAACCAUCAGGUAACGUACCUUCGUAGACCGAUCCAAACCCUCCUUGACCUAACUUGAUGGAGAAGUUAUUCGUCGCUGACUGAAGAUCUUUAAACGUAAACCUAAUCGGCAUCCCCGAUAGAUUCUCCAAGAAGUUAUCCUCCUCUGAGCUAUGCUCCUCAUCACCGUCCAAAACAGUUUUCGUCCUCGUUCUCCUAUGAAUCCGAAACGCCACGAAGAUCAAACAACCGAUGAUGAAAACCGUCGCCAAGACGAUAAUUACUAUAUAAGGAAAGUGUGUCCCAUCACCAUCAUCACCGUUAUCUCCACCUCCUAAACCAUUAGUAGCCACCUUGAUGUAAGAAACCAAACCAGACCCUCCACUUCCUGAGCUUUUAAAGCUACCGAUCCAAUCAAACAAGAAGCAGUCACCAGAGCUGUUCCGAAAGAACAAACCGAGGCACGAGCAGUUAGUGCUGCAGAACUCUUUACAGCUAUCAAGAGUUGUCUUCUUGGAGAAAGGAGAAGCAAACUCUAGCGCGAAGUAGUCAACACCGUCUCCAGCAUUUACAAGCUCCACAGGAGAAGAUGCGUUAUUGUCUUUCUUGUUAUCACAAAGAGAAGUAUCGAUUCCGGAUUUGCAAUCAGACCGAACUCUCGAUAAACCGGAGACGCAUCCACACACUUUACUCCCAGAGCAUGAGUAGUAAGACCCGCAAGGCUCGGGCGUCGCGCACUGAUCGCUCGGGAUUUUGGUCGAGGAAUCAGCAGCAGAGACACCGCUCCCAAGAUUCGAGAACGAGAUCACACCGUUGUUUCCUAGAACAGCGAUCCACGUGGCGUUAUCAUCUUUAUUAUCCGAAUAAACAAACUGCCAUAACAAAGACUGUUUCUCAUCAAAGAACCUCCACGAGUUCCCGAGGAGAGAGGAGGAAGUCACGACGCCGUUUUUUUCGAUGAUUCUCCCUCUGUCGUUCCCCAUGGACCAGUACGCUUGAGGUGUCGAGCUGUCGACGGAUAAAAGCAUAUCUCCUGAUUUGAUCUCGAGAGAGUAAGUCAUGUUGUUCGAAGACGGGUUGCUAGUGAGCUUCAUGUUUUCUUUAAAAGCCUGGUUUGUGAUCAGAGUAUCUGUUGGAUGAUCAAAGCUCUCCCAGAUCGAAGCUCCGUCGUCGCCGGAGACAACCACGAGGUUCCCCGAGUCGCGAAGCUCCAUUCUCGAAGCGUUUUUGUUUGCAUUGUCCAAUCUCCAAACCUCGGCUUCUCCUCCUUCUUCUCUGCGGAGGACGAUGGCUCCGUUGGAUUGGAACUGGAGCUUGUCGGAGUUUGAGACAGGGGAAGCUCUGUUCGCGGACCAGAUGAGUCUCGAGGUGGGUUUGUGGAUGAUGCUGAGUGUGAAGAGAGUGACGGAAGCUGGAGUGGUUAUGAAGCCGAAGCCGAAGGCGGAGCUGUUGGAUUCGAGGAAGAUGCCGUUGUUGUUGAUGUAGUUCAUCUGAGUUCCUUCGAAGCCUGGAGAGAUGCUGCCGGUGUAGGGUACACCGCCGUGUAGAGGAUGAGGGAAGAGAGUUAGGCAUGUUGUUAAGAAGAUGAUGAAGAUGCCGCCUCUCAUGGCUUUUUGGCUUGCAAGAUCGUAGCUAAAGCUUUUUAUAAAGAUUGAAACUUUUUGUGUGUGGAUCAAGUCAAUGGAUCUGAGAAACAAAACAAGAGAAUGAUUCUAAAAAGAUGCAAAAAGACAAAUCUCAGAGCGUUGUCAGGUGAACGGUCUGCAUCUGUAAAUGGAAACUGAUUGUUUCUAGAUUUCGUGACGGAGAAAUAAUCAAUCACAUAACUAGCCUUGUUAGAAAGUUUCAAACUUUCCGACGAGUUUCAGACCGGAAUUGGGUAAAGGAACCGGAAAUUUUGAAAUAGAAAUUGAAGAAGAGUUGGAUUAUUUGAAGGGGUUGGAGAACUCUGGUUUUGUGUGUUUUGCCUAUCUGUCUCAGAUUCAAUGAAGUUUGAAAAAGAGAGGAAGGCUACAACUGGUUUGAAACAGAGAGAAGAAGGUUGUAAGUGUGUCUUAAUUAAUAAAACUCUCUGUCUUAGCCGUUUCCUUUAAAUCCGUUUCCUAUUUAUCUUUUCCCUCUUGCGACCGUCACAAACUAUUUUGGACAGAUCCGACCGCUUGGGUGGGUCUCUCUUUUUAACCAAACAUGUUCUUAAAUUUUUUCCAGACCCUUUUGACUUUUUGACUUUUCGACUUUUCAGAGAGGACAGAAGAAGGAGACAGGUUUAAUUGAUUGUGUAAUAAAAGGGUUGUGGAUAGGUUCGCACCGUACAGAUUGCAUUUAUGUUCGUAAAAGAAUUUGCAUUUUUACUGAAUGGUUGUGGUGGAAUGAAGACUAUUCUUUUGUUCUUAACGAAAGAACAAUCUGAACAACACUUGAGAUUGCUUAAAAUUGUGUCAUGUAUGAAAUUUGAAUUUGAUGUGUAAUUGAUAUUUGUAUUGCAGAUGACGGAUUGUCUUUUCACCUUGUGCCACUAGUUAAAAGUUACAGGUUACAAUUAUGUUUUUAGUAAAUGUAAAAUCAUACAGAAUUCAAUAUCAAAUGAAACCAAAAUAAAAAUCAUGUGUAAGAGCAUCUUCGAUACAAAACGUUAUUUUUUGAAACAAUUGAGUAACUGAAGUUGAUUUUACUUCGAUCAAAUCCUAUUUGGAGUUAAAAAAUGGAGUAAAUUUAUUUUAUUUUAUUAUUUUAUUAAAAUGAUUUGGGUGUCCAAAAAUUGUUUUAUUCUAAAUUAUAUUUUGGAAUAAAAUAAAAUUGGAGGUAAAAACUCUUUCUUCUCUUUUAGUCAUGGAGAAUUCAAAGAUGGAUCAGCCAACGUCAAAACGUGGGUUUUUCGUGUGGUUGUUUGAAUACACAUCUAAUUCGUCUUUUUCUUUACCGUAAAAAAGGAAACUAUGUUUUAACUUUGUCAACAAAUAACACCUAAACUUACUUUUUCCAAUAAAAAUAAACAGCACCUAACAUUACUAAGUCUUCCCAUGGAAUAUUAAAAACAGAAUAUCACUCACAAAAACGUAGAGAUUACGAAGAAAAGAAAAACUAUGAAUUGGGUUGGAAAAGAACACAAAGAGGGACGUGGGGAAGUGUGAAAAAAUAGAUUGAGGUGUUUGUUUGAUUGUUAAGGUAAGACUGAGUACGGAAGCCACAGCUGUCAGUAUACCGAACUCCCUGUGUACUUUCUUACUUUCCAUCAAUCCAAUGUUCCGGUAAAUAUCAAAAUCCCCAAUAUACCCCUGGUUGAUGAAAUGGACCAAAACCAAAUCACUCCUUUUUCACUAGACGUGGUGUUUGGUUUGACUUCAUGGUUACAAUCUUUAAAGCAGAUUCAUCAGCCCUUCUUUUUCAACGGCCGAACGUUAUUCCUGAAUCCAGCAGUAUGAUUCACACUAUUCUCAAUGUCAAUUUUCAAUUUUUCAUUACUUAAUUGUUUGGCGACACAGGAUAUACCUAAUCGAUAUGUUGUAACCUCCCCCUACCAUUUAAAAUUCUCGGUGAUUUAUCGUUGUUGCCACUCUGUAAACCAAGUCAAUCAUGUGAAAAUUUUAACAUGUAAUUAGUUUUUUAUGGUUAUAUACUAGAGUAGCUAGAUAAAUAUUGAGACAACUCUUGAUUCCACAGAUCCUCCGGAGGGGCACAAAUAUAAUAAGAGCAAAGUUUUCAUUAAAACGUUACAUCAUAUUAAUUGCUCAAAUGAAAUGUAGUUGGGGAGUUAGCUUUGGUUUUAAUGACCGGCAAUCAUCUACUCCCAUUCAUAUCCCCAAGUUAUAAAUUAUUCUGAAAUGAGUUGGCGAAUCGCCAAGCGUAUUAUACAUCCAUAGUAUUUCAUAUCCAUACUACUGAAAAAUGACAAGCAUUAAAUUAUAAACAUAAAUUAUUGGAAAAUAAUAAACAGCUACGCAAUAGUAAUGGAUCAUAUCAUCAUAGUGAUACAGUUCGAUGUGGCCUAAACAGUGACAGCACCAUAGGUGUUUAACUAAACCUUAAAUGCAACUUCCUCAAACAUGCAUCUUCCAUUAUUUUAUAUAUAUAUACACAAUUAUGUAUGUUUACUGGAUAUGUACUAUUGUCAUCUGCAUUUAUAUUUAUAUCCAUUAUCAAUAUAUGUCAUAGCUUCAUGGUCCAUCUUCUUCUAGAAGUCCUUUUUUUCCAGUUGUAUAGGUUAUUUUACUUAUGAGCUCUAUCUUUAUAAUGUUUUAUUUUUCUCUCUUAGAGAUUUCAAAUGUACAUAUGUGGAAUUACUUUCUCGAUGAUAUGUUGAUAUAUAACUUAUAUGCAUCCUAUAACUUAUUGAAUUUAACAUAGUAAAUAGAUAACGUCAGUAUGAGUAUGAUAACAUAACAAAUUAAAAACCGAUGUCUAUUUAAUGCUAACUAUAACUCUCAAAGCAAAAAUGUUUUAAAUGUUCGUAAAAGAUAUUACGUUUAUGAAAUAAGCGAGACUUUGUUAUAUUUCAGGUUCGUAAAGUAAGAAUAUGUGAACACAGAGCUACUUUAUGAAAAUGGAGAUUAAUUUGUCUUAUUACAUAAAUCAAAGAGUCUGGGUUCACAUAUUUUAUUUGCCUUUCCACAUAAAAAAGAAUAAGAAUGCUUUUUCACGUUUGAAUAUGGUUCCGGAUACUAUAUUGUCAUUUGUUAACCAGGCAAUUAGGCGGUUUGUAAGAAACUAAAUCUUGUUCGUGGUACGUCAACGUGACAUAUCGCUCGCUUCAUUGUUAGUAUUUUCUUUCUUUCUUAUAGACAACUCAUAAGAUAUUAUAUCACCAUAUCUUUACGUAUUCUAAAACAUGUUUUAAUUCCAACAUGUUUGAUUCCGCCUAUUCUUUUUCAAAAAGACAAUUUUAUAUUCUUGUUGUUUUGUGAUUAUUGUCGAUCUAUUUUUUAAAAAAAGUUUUAUGACAAAGGUAUGCAUGGAGAACUAGAAGUUGAUCUUUUUUUUAUCAAGACUAAAGUCAAAACUCAAAAGCAAUAUAUUUUUUGGGGUCAACAAUUUAAUAUCAAAGCAGUAAAAAUUGUAUGGUCUGAUGGUCUCAUUAGUGGUUAGAAAUAUCUGCGUUUUAGGUACUCCAGGGUGUAAUCCUAUGACACCCGCGGAUGUAAAAAACACACACACACACAAGAAUCGUAUAUGUUAGUUUAAUAAACAAUAACAACGUAGCUCUUUCAUGCGUACAUAUGUUUCAUGUAUCUAAAUAUCUAUCAUAUGUUUACAUAUCAUGAUUUUACAGAUGCAUACAAUAAUACGUAUGUAGGCAUGUGCGUUAACAAGAAUAAGCAAAUCUUAUCUUAACAAAUCACAUAUAAAACAUAUAAUUUUUAUCUUGCAUAUCGGUAUAGUUCGUCAUGUCUCUUCCACUACAAUUAUACGAAUGAUCACAUUUGAGAUCAUCAGGAACGUGGUAGCCGUCAACGUACAACUGAGAUUUCUCUCUGCUUUUUCUUUUAUUAACUAGUACUAUAGUACAUAUAUAAUUGAUCAAUAAUGGAUCGCUUAAUUCCAAGAAAAAUACUAUUUAAAUUCAAAAGAACCGGUCAUUUCUUGUCAAACCAAUACGUAGAGAGUCAAUUGGUCACCAAUUUGAGUAAUUUAAAACCACUUGGAUCAACUUUUAGGUAAGAUAUAAAUUAUAAUGGACAAGGUUAUAUAUAUAAUAAUGGACAAGGUUGGGCAAUGAGAAAGAAAAGCCUCACUCAAAAUCCAAUGAGAAAUUAUCUUUGUGAGGAGAUUAGUAGAUUACAAAAAUCUUAGCAUUUUUUUAAUCUUAUUUUCCAUUUUUUCAAUAAUGGACUGCUUUGUUGAUAUAAAGAAGUCUUGAGAUCAAAGAUUCGUAUUAGGUAAACUGGUAAAGUUUAAAAUUAACGAGGUCUUCCAUGCUGUCAAAAGUUUAGUUGAAUUAUGCUUCUGAAAUUGAAAUCUGUUAAAUGGUUUACAACAAGGGAAAUAUACUGCCUCUAUGUUAUAAUAAUGUACAAGUGCAUCUGUAAAAUCAAAAUAUACACUCGUAUGGAUUUGGUUGUUGAGACAUUUUUCUGCAUGUAAUAAUUUUCUUUUUAGAUUCAUAUUCGAGUAUGCAUGUAGUACUGCAUGAGCUUUCUUUUAGUGUGUGACUCUCAACUCAACUCAAAUUAAUUUAAUUUUAUGUUAUAGUCUAACCGUACACCCAACAUAACACACAACAUCACAUAAGGUAGAUCUGUUACAUGAAAGCAUUAACGUAUGCAUGGGCAUCAAAUAGUGAUGUUUUUAGUUUUCUACCAGUAUCACUAGAAUAAUUAGCAUAUAAUUUGGUCAUGUAUGAUGCAACGUAAAAACAAGUAGGCCCAAGAGAGUGGAGGGACUAAUAAAUGGGCAUACGCUGAGUUCAAUAUAAAACCAACUAACUGGCCCAUAAAAGCCCGUAUCACGAGAGUUAGCAUUGGUUAGCAAGCUCCUAUCACAACUAUUUUCAUAAAAUCUUGUGAUUGAUAGGUCUUACGAAUAUCUUGUGUAUCUACUAUCUAUGCGAAGGUACAGAUGUAGUAGACUCGAUAUUUUUUCGAAAUCAUGCUAUUAAAAGUACAUGAAGUUUGAUGAUACAAGUCAAGAUUAAUGAACUGACAAAAAGAAGACGAAGAUUACUCUGUUUCCAUCAUUAUCUCUCUCUCCAUUUACAUAUCUAAAGACACCUAAAACCUACAGAGGAACUAAAAUAGGUAACUAAGAGACAUCCUCUAAUACAAGACUCGCUAUCUUACUCUCAAUUUUCAGCUUUUGUUGCUGUUGUUACAGCUGCUUAUCUUACUCCGUUUUUGACUAGGAGUUCUGAUAUCUCCAAGAGGCCCUAAGCGCAGAGAUAGAUCACACCCAUCAAAGGUAGUAGUGCCCUUUGUUGCAUCAGCGGCAAUCACAGGUUUGCUGCUCUUGUUCGACUUGUACGAGUCAGUGACAUUGCUAGAUCUUGGCAAAGAAGGAACCCUGAAUGAAUAACACAAAGGGUAGCUUGAGUACUUGGAGACAGAACAUCUCUCGACCCGCUUCUCUUGAACGUCGCUGUGAAAACUCAUAACCUGAAGAUUCUUCGGACAAAAGUUGUUCUGUUUCAUGAAGGCUUGGUAUUGCGGAUACAAAAUGGUGUCCAACUUAGUUGAGUCUUGGCUAAGAUAACAUCUGGGGUUUAUGUUCCGUUGGCUUCUUGAAGCUCUCCUUGGCGUGCAACCCAAAUGCAAAGCAGCUACAGAAACAAAAAAAGACUUUGCUCUCAUUGAUCUGGGCCUAGAAGAAUGAAUAAUAAUUCAGAGUGUAUACCUUCAAUACAAGGCUGAAGAAACUCCCCUGUUUCAGUGGUCUCAUCGAGUCUAAUUAUGGUGUUAAUUGCGUCGUUUGUACGGUCUAAAAGUGUAUUCAUGUCCAUAUACUCAGCCUAAAGAUGAAACCCACAAAUAGUAAAAUCAAAUAAAUAUUCAAGAUUUUAACUAACUUUAACACUUUAUUUACAAAUCUAUUAAUCAAGUACAGAUACAGUGACAUGAGUUCCAAUGUUCAUUAUGAGAUGGAGCAGAACAUCACAAGUAACACUGUAUCUAUCUCACUGUUCAAUGAACUACUUCUCUGUUUCACAUUAACUGAAGCAAGAUUACUGUUGAAAAACAGUCUUUUAAAUUUCGAAAUUAAAUUUUUUUUUUGGGAGAAUUAAAAUGUAAUAAAGAAAAGAACCUCAGAAUUGGCUUUGGAGUACAUGAUUUCUUCAGCUCGCAAGACAACAACAGGGAGCUUCUCUUGCCAUUCAGUGUUCUUCUUGGUGGACUGGCUGUGAAUCUCACAAACAAUCCUACAAAAAAUAGGUUUCGUAUAACAAUUGAGCUAAAAGAAAACAAAGAAGGGACACAUGCACACCUCUACAUACACUGAUACGGAGUGAGAGAGAGAGAGAGAGAGAGAGAGAAGAUGACCUGAAAAUCUCUUGGAUGAGCAAACCCCUCAUGGGUUGGUGUCUGUCACUAUGCCAAACUCUUCUGAUGCAUUCGUACGGUCUUGGCCCUGGCCUCGGCAUCUUCUUUCCCACCACUUUCUCUUAAGUUCCUAUGAGAGAGAGAGAGAGAGAGAGAAAGAAAGAGAGAGAGAAAAGACAAAGUCAGAUUGUUUUGCUUCCCCUCCUUUCACUACUCAACUCAAUAAUAUCAGUGUGGGAGAGAGAGAGUGUGUCUUGUCAGUUGGUCCGGUUCGGUUCGUUCCGGUUUACUCCGCUUUUUUAUUAUUUUCAUGGUCCGGCCUACCCUAUAGUCUAUUCUCUAUACUCUAUAGGGUUGCAGUCCAAUAAAUUAUUUUUAGAUUAUCCCUUUUCCAGAGAUAAUAAAACAAGAGCCUUCACCAACUACAGUUUAUGUUGAUAACCAAACAUUGACCAUAACUUAGUUCUACAUAUGUAUCUACAUUUGCACUAAUACUUAAAUGUAAAGCUUUAUUUCAAAGGUCUGCGUGAUUGGGAAGACUAAAACAUUAGAUGCCCAAAACGUUUUUUUUUUUUUUUUUGUCACACGCCCAAAACGUUUUAAUUCACUAUAUUACUGCGGUUGAGAUUUUUAUGCUAUUGUAAGACAUUUUACGUCUUUAUGGAAACUAGAUCCUUUGUCCGCGCUACGCGCGGAUUAUGUCUUUUUAAUUUAUUCUCUAUUUAUUUAAAUUGCUUAGCAAAGUUUGAAAGACAUAAGUUGAGUUUUAGAUUUUAUAGAGAAGUAGAGAUUUAAAAAAAACAAUGAUUAAAUUGUUUAAAAUAUAAAUAAAUCUAGGUAUCAAGUUAUGUGGGUAAGAGAAUAUUACUCCGAAUGAUGCAUGAAUUAAAGUCACUCUUUGCUGCAUGCUUUUGCACGAUCUCUUAUUCGUCCUUUGAAAUGCUUUAUGUAAUCAAUUGAUUUGUUGAAUUAGAAAUUUAUUGCUGGUGAUGAACUGAGUAGUAGUUGUCUUGGUAAAUAUUGGAUAUUAUUGUUGUGUUGAUAAAAAAAACUUAGAUCUGUAUUAUUUUUUGAUGUGUUUAAAAAAAAUAUUUACCUUGGAAAAGUUUAGGAAUUAUGCUUGUCAUGAUGACAACUUUAAAUUUCCUAUCCUUCUUGCUUUGUAGGAUGCUAAAAUCUGCUGCUUGCUUGUCGCACAGUAUGAGUUUAACCAUUAUCGACCUGAGAUAGAGGUGUAUGUAUGAAUAUAAUUAUGAUUUCAUUAUUACCUAUUGUGUUAGACUUACCUGUUCAGCCGUAGACCAAUCGUGGCAUCAGUAUUGAUUUUUGGGUGGUACGGAUUUCUUUUUUGGUAUUAAGAAUAUCUGCCCGACGACAUCUGCAAAAUGAUUUUGAGUUAGAAUAAAUAUUGGGAACUAGAAAUAUUGGACCGAUGUCUGUAACUUUCGAUGUUAUUGUCUUUUGGUCGAUCUGAAUGUAAUAUGGCAGUUGGGUGAGUUUUCGAUGUCGUGAAUUAUGUAUGACAGAAAAUCCUAAAAAUUCAUAUAUAUCUCCCUCGGUUAAAUUUUUUGGGUCAUUUGGCUGAAUGUAUCCGAAGAGCCGACCUUCUAAUAGUUGUCCUUGAAUGUGAACAAAUUUUGUUGUGCCGAACCAAUUAAGUAAAUAGUGAGUACUUUAAACCAAAUAUGUUGGAUAGGAAAAUACAUAUAUAUGUAUAUCUUAAAGUUUUAAUAAAAGCCUUACGUGGUGGUCGUAGCACAUGAAGCCGAUGCAAAUUUGAGUAUUAUCUGUUGGGUGUUUUCUGAUGUCCCAAACACUUCUUAUACAUACUGUGAUAGGGCGUACUGAAAUCCCUUCCUGAAGUUGGUGGAAACUUUGAAGAAUGUGUUGCAUGUGAGAUGUCACUAUAAAACAUGCGAUUUUAAUUAAGGGCAUACAUUCUUUAGAACUUUACAAAAGAAACUAUCUUCUGGGAUCAACUGUUUGAUUCUAUGAAAACAUAUAUUAAAUUAUACAUAACCUUACUAAUAUAUAUACAAAUCAAAGGCAAAAAUCAAACGACAUGAAAAUAACAAAAGUAAUCGAAAUUUUAAUAUGUAUAGUAAAAAUAUCUGAGUUGAUUCGAAAAAGUAAAUGUUAUCUAAUAUAUUCAAAUAAUAACCAAAUAGCAGAGAUAUUAUAUAUCUAAAAUUACACCUCUAAUGAAAAUAAAAUAAUGUUAUUUAAAAUAAAUAAUGCAUAUUUUUUAACAAUAUAAAUAAAAAACUAAUUAAAUAUUAAAAAUAUUAUUAUAUUUUUGUAUUAUUUAAGUCAUCUACAAUUUAUAUGUAUAAAAAUAUCACUAUAAAUAAAAUGUAUUAUUUUUUUGAGGACGUGGCAGCCUCACAAUAGAGUUCCUCAAUUGAGAAACCAACAAAAAAAAAUAUUAGCAAGAAAUUGAGAAAAUUGAGAAAAAGAAGAAAAUACGUUUUCAAAUUUGAAGUUUUUUUUUGAGAUAUUUUUUUGGAAUUUUUUUUUUCAAAUUUUUUUUUUGUAAUUCGAAAAUACUUUUUGGUUAUAUGUUUUCAAAUUCAAACUUUUUGGUUUUUUUUUUGCUUGAAAUUCUUUUUUUUUGAAGUUUUAUUUUUUUCCAAAUUUUCUUUUUGUAAUUCGAAAAUACUUUUUGAAACUAUUUUUAAAAUUUUUAUUUUCAUAUUUUGACUUUUUAUUUUCUAUUCUAUAAAAUUUUAAACAUCAAUCCAAAAUCUUCAUCCAUUAACUCUAAACCAUAAUGUUUGGAUUAGCUAACCCUAGGGGUAGAAGUAUAUAUCUAUCUUUAUAAUGUAACAUUUUGGUCAUUUUGAUUCUUAUAGUAUAUAUCUGUGACAUAAAUUUUUUGGGUGUUAUCUUUGGUAUUUCCCUUUUAAUUUUUUCUAACCAUUUAAUCUAACUUUAAAAAAUUUACUCUAACAUAGUUUUCUCUAACUUUUAAAAAAAAAUUAUAACGAAAAUUGUAUUAUAAAUGUUUAAUCUCAUUUCUAAUUUCCUCUAACCAUUUACAAUCUUUAGAAAUUUCUUUGAAAUUUUAAGCUUUCGCUGUGGGGGAUUAUUAUAAAGAAUAUAUUAAGUAAACACCAUGUUGUGGAGUUAUUAUAUAUUUAUAUACAAACCUACAAAAGUAAGAAUGCAGAAUACCUGUAGUCUCCAGAGGGGGUGAAGGAGGUGGGUUAUCCAUUCUUUUGCAGUCUUGAUCCUUACAAACAAUCCGAUUGCAAGCUAGAAAUCUGGAUGUAGAGUUUGUACGCCAAAUAUGUAGAACACAAUAGCAAGUAUAGGUUAGUUUAAUGACCUUGGGAAACCCAGUAGGAAAUGUAGGCAUGUAUAACCAAGUAAGAAAUAAGUAGUAAAAUAAUUAUUCACUUACGUAUGAAGUUUGAAGUAAGUUUUUUUGUAUGUAUUGUUUCUUGGAAGAAAACGAAAUUGAUCUGAGUCUAGGCGAAUCCAUUUGAAGAGAGAAUGUUUAUCGACGGAUUAACUAAUCCACAUUGAUUUGAGUCUUAAAUGUUAGAUUCUCUUAUCUUUUCGAAAAGGAAAAUAUUUAAUUACUUAGUGUUAGACCCAACUAAGACUAUAAAUGAUUUGAAUCUUAAACUGCCUUCAUCACGUUUGUCAUUUGAGAUAUAUGUUUCUACUUGCGGUGAUUCUGAGAAAUGAUGAGAUUCGAUUUUUAAUUUUCUUUAGACUCUAAUCAAUGUGGCACGAAAACUACUUAGUAAUUUAUUGCAUUAACACAGAAAGAACCUCAAAUUUACCAAACUUCUACAAAAAAAGCACACAUAAUAAUCUAAAGAAAAUAAAAAAUUAGAUGUUCCCCGCAAGUAGAAACAGAUGUUCUCAGCCAUAUUGCGCUUAAACGUACCUGCAACUGUAUUAAAUCGUAUCUUGAAAUUUUGAAAUUCACUUGGCUUAAGCAAGAUCAAAUGAGCUAAGAUAAUAUAAUUCAUAACCAAAUAGCGCAACACCCUAAUAAUCAUGCAAAUGAGACAUGAAAAAAAACUCUUGAAAAUUCAAAGGUAAAAGGAAAGCAUGAAAAAAUCUAAACUGAAAACAAAGACUCUGAGUGCAAUGGAACUUGCAACCUUUCAGGCUAGAAUGUAAAUUCUAGUUUCCAGACUUUAGGCGUUUAGCUUCCUCCACCUUGGCGUUGUCACACGACCUCUUACUCCCCACAUCUGCAGAACCUACACGGCUUUUGGAAGCUUCACACACAUCAUUUCCAGUCUGGAACGGUUCAUUGGGCGUUGCAGCAAUGCUGUUUCCUGCCGAGGUCUCUGUUUCGGUUGGAGUGUCUAGAGGGAGGAUCUUGGUCACAGUUAGAGCUUGGGUCUUGCCUGAUAAGUUGUGCUCUGUCAACUUCACAUAAAACUUGUGUCUUUGUCCGAUGGUGUUGAUUAGAGCUUCCGGGACAGGCACCUCUUGGUCAACUCCUAUGUCAGCAUUAGCCUGACAAUCAGCACAACAGUGUGAGUUCAAUUCAUCUAAGAUUCUAGACUGAUUAUUAGUUACCUCAAAGUAGCUGCUAACUAAUUCUGAUGCAUGCCUUCCAGUUAGCGCACGCCCAGCAUCAACAAGUAGUACAAAAACAGCUUGGUCACUGACUCAUUAGAAAAAUUCCUUCUUUCAUUAAUUAAAACGGUACAGAACCAGUGUGUAAAUGAUUAUAAACUGAAAAAGAGAUCACCAUUCACAAAAUUUCAUCAUUUAUGGCUUCUGGUGAAACCUGAAAACCGAAUCUGGUUUUUAAAAAUUUAAAAAGAAAGAAGAUAGAAGGAGAAAAACAGCUGCAUAUAUAAUCUGAGAUUCACUUGCAUAUAGCUAUAAAGAUUUUCAGAGAAUUUCAGCAUGCAAAAAUUUAAACACACAAAAAAAGAGAAGAAAAACUCAGAUUAUAUAUAUUUUUUUUUUAAAGGCAAAGAGGCAAUCAGUAAAUAGUUAUUUAAUCUUUGAAAAGAAUGUGUACCGGUGGGGGUUCAUGAUCAUCAAAACUCGUGCUUUUCCUAGAUCCGGUAGAAGAAAACAAUAUAGCACACUUCACAAAAUAUGAUCUAUAAAUCUGAGCUUUACUCCACCAAACUGCUUGAGAACAAACAUUCUAGAGAAUAAGCCAGCAAGAACCCACUUCAACCAAUACAAAUAGCUAAAGAAAAAAACGGAACCCGUAACGAAAUGAUAAUGAAAGGGCGUCAGUCUUUUGUACAGAGUAAAUAGAAUAGGUAUAUAAAGAAGGAUGAACAUGAGGAGAUGAAACGAAAACAUAAAAGACAAAAUUGAAUGAUGAAAUAAAAAAAAGAGUUUCGUUUGUGUAGAAGUUGAUCGAUCAGAGCUCUGUCUCUACGGUCUGAAUCGGAGGAGACGAAGAGGCGGAGGCGUAGAUCCUUGAGAGCUCCGUCUGCUCUAGGUUUCAUCGAGACCUCCGUGUUUUUUUUUGUUGAAUUUGUCGACAAAAGACAAUAGAGCGAAGCCCCAAACCCAUAAAAAAUACCCACCAAAGGCCCAAACGUAACAGAAACAACAAAGCAGUUCAUGUGACGUGUCCAGACGAAAUAUUGUGAUUGGUUGAUUAUUUUGGGUGAUGUGGCAGUCUAAAAUCUCAGCAUAUUGAGCUUUUAGUAGUGUUAGAUUUAAUCCUUAAUAUAUCGCUUUCAUUCUUGAAUAUGAUGCAAUACAUUUUGAAGCUUUCGCUAUAAUUGCUUUCUCAAGGAAAAAUAAACUAAAAAGAGUAAACAGUACAUACCCAUAAAGAAACUUUACAAGUUUUAUUGUUUGGUUGAAGUAAAAAGCAUUGCUUUCGUACCACCUCGAACCUUUCGCUUAUAGUUUAAUCUCUGACACUGAAACAACUCACGAUGACGACAAAAGAUGUAAAAUUUCUGAAUUGACAACCACAAAACAAAAUAAGAUCUCCUAGCUGACCAAAAUAUAAAUAUAGCUCAGUAAAAUAUUCAUUGGAGACCCAAACUGAAACCACUCACGUCACCGUUAUUGGAAGCAAGGCCCAAAAAGUCAGAUUCUAAGGCCCAAUAUGAUGCAUGCCGGGCACGUGGAUACACAGCAAAAGCUCUGUUGCGUUCGACAUGAAAAUGUUUCCUAAAAAAUGGAUCGAUUCCAUUACGAAAAAUCAUGCAGCCACGUGAUGUCAUUUAGAGGCUACUAACCAUCGGUUUCUAUCGUACCACGUGCAAGACUAUGAACAUAAUCGAAUAUUUAUGACUACUUUUAAAAUGUUCCCUUUAACUCUAAUCAACGAAUAAGCUCGUUUUUUUUUUCGAAACACCAACGAAUAAGCUCGUAUACAACCACUUUGUUGGUCUAUGACUUAGUUAGAUAACUUAGAUUAUAUGUAACAAACUGACAAGACAAAGUACAAGAAUAAUCAUAUAGUAUACGUACUAUUGAUGUCGACCAAACAUAAUUACAUAUUCUAUUUUCGGUACAAAUUAAGAGAAAUGGUGGCAAACGAAAAACUAAGAGCGUUAUGUAAAAGCAUAUUAAAUGAGAUCGUAAACAUUAAUAUUUUCUUUAUAUAGUUGUGAAUUCCAAAUAUGAAAUGCCAUUGAAUUAAAUUGAAUUGAAUAUUUCCUUAACUUGCACUCAAUAUACUAAAUAUAAUUUCUUGAUGUAAGAUAUAUGUCGAUGAAGGUUACACCAAAUCCCACUAUCUCACUCUAGAAAAUUAAAAAAAAAUACGAUUUGAUCGCUCUAACAGAAUGAAAGUAGCGGCUGGUUUUAAUUCUCCGACAAGAGAUAUGCUGUCUCCGACAUUGUUUCCUCUCUUCUGCGUUUUGUUUCUCUGCUUUCCAGUUGCUGUCAUCUUCACAGUCCAGCGAGAAAUCACCGCCGCAGUUUCGCCGGAGCUUGGCUUCCACUCACGAAAUCUACACGCUUCUACUCCGGCGGUUCGAUUUCGUCAGCAGAUUCCUAAAGACGACGAACAGCUUCUCCGACUCGCUUCCCGGGUCAACCCGAACCAGCCUUCUCCCGGGUCGAUUCGGAAGCUGGCUUUCAUGUAUCUAACGACGUCGCCUCUUCCGUUUGCGCCUCUGUGGGAAGCCUUCUUCAACGGAAGCUCCGAGGAGCUCUACAAUGUAUACGUUCACGCAGACCCGACCCGAGAAUACGACCCGCCGUUCUCCGGCGUGUUUGAGAAUCGUGUAUGGCUAGAACCGUGUUGUUUAAUGACUCGGCAUGUGGUGCGUGAAUGGUUCUCUGAUGGCUUUGUUGUAAAUUUAGAUGUAGUUUUAGUUCUUUUGUUUUGGUCAAGAAGUAGAAAAAAAUAAUUGUAAUCUAAUGGGUAGCUGGGACAAAAGAACCCAGUCUAUCAUUAUCCAAGGGGCUUGUUGAGUUAGACGUCAAAGCUCAUCCUCAUAAAUUCGCAACUGAAGUUAAGCAUCAGCAAAUCAAUUUACCUCGGUCACUGACCAAUGUAAUGGGAAGAAAAUGAAUAUAUAUAUAUGCAUGCCAAAGUUCCUCAAAAUCUUGGGUUAGUCUACAUCUCAAAUGGAUAUUAAGCAAUUUACUAAUUUUUAAUCUUCAGUUCAAGAGAUUUUACAAGUUAGAGAAUCAAAUACAGGACCAGGAGAGGUACACGAACUAUCUAUGUUUCAUGUUCUGCAUUGGCUUCUUAUUCUGUUAUAAGGAGCAAGUGCUAAUACAGUUAUUUACGAUUUAGAACACAUAACUUGGUAUUUGUUCUAGUUUGUUGUCUAGUGGCUUUAGUUGCUGAUUCGUUUAAAUAUUUAGAUUUAUUUACUUUCCUUGGUUUAUCGAAAAAGAGUGAUUUAUUUAGCAGGAAAACUGAUAUACAAGAGAACAUGAAGUAUGCUUAAUUGCUUAUAUAACCUGUUUGGUUACAAGCGAAACAUCAAAUAGCUACAAACAAGCUUAGUCACCUGAUAUUUUAACAUAAACAGAUUUUAUCACAGAAUAUAAUAUAAUUACAUUUACCAAUCGCUACUCGCUUGCUUCACCCAACUCAAACCAAAGGGGGGCAAAGAUAACCAAGGCGAUCUCAGAAGAUUUCAAUGUUUUACAAUAGGUAUAAAAGUUCAAAAAAAAAAAGGGUUUAAAUGACAUUAUUAAUCAAACUCAAAAGAUAAACAGUCUCAGAAGUUCAAGCAAACUCAUAACCAGGAAGAUACAAGAAGCAACCGGAUUAUAACACAAGAAAACAUGAGAUACCAUCUGUGUAUUGGUCGAAAAAUAUUAUAUAUUUAUGUAAAUAAAAUGAACAAAGCUCAGUAAGGGUUGUUGUAGUAAUACCCCAUCGGCGGCGGUCCCAUCCCAUUAACCGGUGGCAUCCCAUAAGGCAUUCCGUUCGGGGCAGGACUCAUCUUAGCCAAACUAGCUUGACCUCUCAUCCCUUCUUGCUGAUACUGCUGCCAUAACUGCUGCUCCUGAGUCAACAGAUGCUGCUUUUUGUCCAUCUCAGCCAUUUGCACAUACGAAGGAGGCGGGAUGGUCAGUGAAGCAGCGAAAGGGUCUUGGUUCACUUUCUGAACGGUUCCAUCAGGUGCAGGGAGUGCUAGUAUAUGGCUGUUGGUCUUACUCGGUAAAGGUAGCGCCACGCUGCUUGAACUUCCACCGGUUAACUCCGAGGUGCUCACGUGUUGUCUAACAGCUCCUUGAUCGUACAUACCGUUGAGCAGCAACGGGUCUAAACCACCGCCCAUCGCGGCUUUCUGAUGCUCUAGGUUGCUAGCUGUCUCGACCAACGCAAGCUCCCAAUCAGCCUUACCUUGCUCCGCAGCUGGAUUCUGCCAAGCUGAUGUCACCUCGCUGUUAUCAGAAGAGAACGCUUCCCAUUUUCCGUUACUACUAGCAGGACCGGCGAAAAGAGCAAGAGCAAACUUGUUCCCUUGGUCAUCAACACUAACACCAUCCUCCCUCAAGUCAACUAGAUCAUUAGUUACUUGCGGUUGCUCCGGCUUCACCUCUGGCUUUGGCGGCGGAGGUGGAGGCGGAGUGUAGUUCUCCGGAGGAGGAAGAGCUUUGAUCUCAUUCAUAUCAACCUCCGCCUCCUCCUCAGGAGCCGGAGCAGGAGGAGCUUCAAUCUCCUUCCGCUCCGGACUCUUCCCCCUCUUAGCUCUAUCCCUCACAAACUCCUCAAGCGUCUCCAACAACUUACUAGUAAUCCUCUGCACCUCAGGAUACUCAGAAGAUCUCGCCACACCUGUAUCCUUACACCAAUGGUAAAAAGCAAUGAGCUCAUCAAUCUGUUUCGCCGCGCUAGCGUAAGCAUCAAACGCCUUAACACAAUCCGUAUACUCCAUCUCAAAAAACUUAUCAAGCAGAACCGCCAACACUUCGCAAAUAUCAGCAUAAAGCCUGAAACUCUCUUUCACAAUGGGAUACAUAGCAACCAAUAUCAUCCUGCUGCUUUUAGCUAAACCGGUGGGACGAGAGGAUAAGAACCGAUCAAGAAGCCUCUGCAAAUGCCCCAUCUUCCCAAAAAUCUUCUCUGGAGGCAUGUCUCUUAACGGAGUAACAGUAACAACAUCUCUCCCUCCUCCACCAAUCUCAUUCACAUCUCCGAAAGAGCGUGACCUUUUCGGCAUACCGUAACCGUUCUCGUAAUCAUAACCUCUCUGAGGAGGGGGAGAUCGAAAAUCAUCAUUACUCUGGUGACUACUACUACUCCCGUUCUUCCCUUUCCUCUCGAACAAAGCUAACUCGAGCCUCUGGUCCAAGUAGCUAGCAUACGUCCUCACGAAAGCAGAGUGGUCCCAGGAGCUGGAGUGCGCCUCGUCGCGGAAGUCAGACAUGUUGAGGAUCCUCGUGCCACGCCUCGUCGCGUAGAGGAUCUCCUCCUAGAAGAGCGGGUCACCGUCGUUGAGGAGGCGGUGGACGAGCAUUAAGGCCUUGAGCGCGACGAUCCAGUCGCGAGUUUUGCCUAAACGGCGAGCGACGGAGGUGACGCAGGCGUGGACGUAGCCGCGGGAGAGGGAGGUGAGGCUGAGGAUCUCGCGGAUGUACUUCUCGGUGGACUGGUCGUCGUCGUGGCUUGUGGCUUUGACGAUGGCGACUUCCAGAUCUGGAGCUAUGUUGCUGGCGACCUUGGCUAUGCUGAUGCUCGUCUGGUCCUUCACCACGCCGAUCGCUUUGCGUAUGCUCAACGCCAUGGUGGUUUUGGUUUGAGUCAACUCUUCGGAAAGAAAAAAAAAUUAAGUAAACAGAAAAAAAAAAAAAAAAAAAAAAAAAAAACAGAGCAAGUUCGUUGAGAGAUUGAAGGGAGAUUCCGAGUUUAAUCAGCAAAGAUCAUUACGAAAAUUGAAAAUUGAUAUUUUAGUUUUUGGUGGAAAUAUUCUUUAGGAAAAUACCUUUCUUUCGCUAGAUCUGAGGGAGAGAGAAGUGUUCUCCGGUGGAGGAAAUGUUAAUUCACGGGCGGAGGAGACGGAAUCGGGAUCUGAGAUCUAUGAGGAAGGUGAAGAAGAAGAUCUCAUAUUACGACUUAUUUGGCGGUGUGACAGAUCCAUCGAACGAGUCCAAGAUGAAGUGGCUUGGGUUUAGACAGAGGGAGAGGAUUUAAAGAGAGUUUGAGUUGUGGAUGACGUGGAUUAAUGAAAGCCGUUUGAUCUAAAGGAGAUGCGAUGUGAUUUUGUAACCGGAACUAACGGAGCCGUUUUGUCUGAGUCUUGCACUCUCUGGUCUGAACACUGUUAGUGAUUUUUCUUUUUUUUUUGUGAAAAGCAAUGUCAACGUUUUGUAGGAGUUUUUAUGUGUGUUUACAGCUGUUUGUAUAGUUUCUUUUACUAGAUGAUUUUCUUUAUAUUUCUAAAAAAAGUAUUUUUAUUAAUUUAUGAGAAAAAGACUAGAAUAGCACUAAACCAAGUUUAUGUUCCCAAAGUAGCACUCAAGGCUCAAAGUCACAAAAAUAGGUUUCAUUAAAGAGGUAAAUAUACAUUUAUACCCCUUGGGUUAAUUAAUCCAAACCUUAGGGUUUAGAGUUAAGGGGUGGGGUUUUGGAAUUAGGGUUUAAAAUUUUAUAAAAAAAAAUACGAAAAUAAAAAAUAAAAAUUUUAAAAACAGUUUCAAAANNNNNNNNNNNNNNNNNNNNNNNNNNNNNNNNNNNNNNNNNNNNNNNNNNNNNNNNNNNNNNNNNNNNNNNNNNNNNNNNNNNNNNNNNNNNNNNNNNNNAAAACCUAUAUAUAUAUAUAUAUAUUAUAAUAUAUACCAAUUUAGAAUCGAAAACAAAAUAUUUAUAUAAAAAAAUGAAACUAGUUUAUUUUAAAUGCUAAAACAAAAAAAAAUAGAAACACUAGAUAUCAGAUAUAUUAACAAACAAAUAAUAUUUUAUUAAUUAUUUUUUGAAAUGUAAAUAUACAAAAUAAGAAAUGUAAAAAAUGUUUAAAAAAAUAUAAAAUAAAAAAAUAUUUUUGUACAGAUUUUUAAGUUCAAUAUAUAAACUAUUAUUUAUCUUUAUAGUGUGUAUUACAACCAAAAAGUUAUAAAAUAGGUUAUUUGAAAUGAAUUCAUGCAUAAAAUUUGAAUUCGUUUUAGUUUUGCAGAAAUUGGUUGAGUGUAUUACAAACAAUUUUUUUAAAAAAAUAAAGUAUCUUAACGAUUCAAUACCUUAUAUACAGUAUACAUAACAUAUGAAUAGAGAGGUGAAAAAACCUUUGUCAGGAUUAGUUUUGUUUACUUUGGUGAGAGAUGAGCUCGGAUCACCACACAAUUUGUGUUACUAAACCAAAACAAAAAGUUCAGUUCCAAUCUCCGGUUCGAUUGUUCUAAUCAAAUUUCCGGUAUAGAUCCCCACCCAUAAAGAGAUAACAUUCCAUAUAACAUAGAAGAUCUCUCCAUCCCUCGUCGUGUAGCUCCCCCCCACAGUAGCCCUAAUCUGGACGAUUGCUACACACCGAAAGGAAACUCUAUUUAUCUCCCAUUCGAUACCAACUUCGCUUCCCCCAACCUUCUCUUCAUUUCUCCCUUUCUGAUCCGUAACCCUAAUUACCCACAAUCGCCGCUACUCAGAUCUUUCAGCUGCAAUCGGGCAAUUCCGUAUCUGGGUUUUACUAAAAAUCAAACCUUUAGAGCUCUUGUAAUCCGAAUCGAAGAGAAGAUGGUGGGUGGUGGAAACAGGAGAGACGAAGGAUCGAUGCCGAUUCAGAACACCAACUUGUUCGCGGCUUUGGAUACUCGGAGGAAGAAGAAGAAGUCCGAUAAGAGCAAAGGACGUCAAGAUCCGGUGAAGGAGCCUGAGCCGCAGGUGUUCUGGGCUCCUACGCCUCUGAAAGCUAAGGCUUGGGCGGAUAUCGACAGCGACGAUGAAGAUGAUGACUAUUUCGCUACCACUGCUCCGCCCAAGGCCUUGUGGAGUACCUCUGAAGCGUCCCGUUCGGAUGCGAAAGAGGUUCACGUUGAGGUUAGAAAGUCAAUUUCUUUGGUAUGCUGAUGUGUGUGUCGUGUGGUGUGUGUUAGUGUGUUGAAACUUGUUUUGAGAAGUUUCAGAUUUCACAUGGCUUGAAACUUCUUUGAGCGUUCAAUGGCCUUUAUAAUUGACGAAUGGGGAUGAUGAAAAGUUUGCAUUUUUAUGUUCUGUUGUUGUGUUGCUUUGAUGCUUUGUUGGCAGAUUUUGAAAAGUCAAUUUCUUUCAUAUGCUGUGGUGUGUGUCGUGUGUUGAAACUUGUUUUGAGAAGCUUUAGAAUUCACAUGGUUUGAGUGCUACGGCUUGGAACUACUCUCGUUGAGGACUUGAGCAUUCAAUGGUUUUGGCUUUUAGUUUGAUGUGGAUUUACCUCAUAGCCUUUGUACUUGACUGAUGAAUGAUUAAAAGUUUGCAUUUUUAUGUUCUGUGGCUAUUGUUUUAAACCUUUGUUGUUAUAAAAUUUUAGUGAUAUGUUUGCGCCCUGGUUGUGUGCCUGUAUGUUCAUUGGGUUUCUGAUAGAGAUGCGUUUGCUUUUUAAUGUGGCAGGAAAGUGAUAGUGAAGAAGACAUUCUUGAGGAAGGUGAUGAUGAUGAUGAUUUGGAGGAAGAGAAUGAGACGCAAGUUCAUCCAGAAGCAGAGCCUGAGGUGAAGAUGGCGGCUCCUGAAGUUCCUGCACCACCCAAGGAGCCAGAGAGGCAGCUUUCCAAGAAAGAGCUGAAACAAAAGGAACAAGCUGAGUUUGACGCUUUACUAGCAGAUUUUGGAGUUGCACCCAGGGAGAAUAAUGGUCAAGAAAACUCUCAAGGUAUAUCUAUCACACAGUUCUGCUCUACACUGGCUUAUUAUUAUUAUAUGCUGAGUUUAAUAAUUGGCUAAUUCUGAUAAAAGUUUCUUCCUUAUGCAAAUACCUAACAGAUAAGCAAGAGAAGAAGGAAGCCAACGGAGAGGGAGAGAAGAAAGAGAAUGCAACCGGGGAAUCAAAGGCCUCGAAGAAGAAGAAAAAGAAGAAUAAACAGAAGGAGGUAAAAGAUUCUCAGGAUGAAGUGAAGAGCAACUCAGAAGCUGCUGCAGGUGAGUCCGGUGAGCAGAAGGAGGAGGAUGAGGCUUCUUCUUCCAUGGAUAUCAAAGAACGGCUAAAGAAGAUUGCAUCAAUGAAGAAGAAGAAAUCAAGCAAAGAGGCUGAUGCUGGUGCAAAAGUUGCGGCACAAGAAGCAGCAGCGAGGAAGGCAAAGCUGGCUGCGGAAAAGAAGAAGAAAGAGAAGAAUCACUACAAUCAGCAGCCAGUGAGGUGAAACCAAUCACCCACUAUCUCACCCGUUUUGAUAUAUGAGCAUGUGUUUCUUCCCUCUUUUUGCAGGGUCAGUACUUUUAGAGAUAUGACUUUUGAUCUUUUGAUUUAUGUUGAAUACAAUGUGGGAACAUAGACAAGAUAAAAGCUUUUCUCUUUGAAUUUGGUUUACCCUUUCUUUCUAUCUAUUCUUCAUGUUCAUCUUCGUGCUUAGAAACACCCACUAUAAUUCAGAUUUUUGAACAAAACUUUUCAAAACCGAUUAUAAUAAACCAAUUUAUAACCAAAUCGAGUUAAACCAGAUCAAACCAAACGAAAUGAUUUAUAUCAGUAAUUUAGAUCAGUUAAAUUGAUUUAAACCGAUUCAAUAAAAUGGUUUAAAUCAAUUUGAAGCGAAUAAAUCGAAUUUCGGUUUGUAGAGAUUUUUAGAACCAUGAACAAAUCUUUUAAAAACCAAACUAUAACCAAAUCAAAUUAAACCGAGUCAAACAAAAAAAAGAAGAUCUAAAUCUGGCUGAGCUCAGUUAGAAUUUAAUCAAAACCAAACCGAACCAGACAUUGAACCGAAAUGCCUUUCUUGCGUAUAUAUAAAUCGAAGGUUCUUGUUUACUCGGCGAAGAAAGAAGGCAACUCGCCGCUGUAUUUGAGACGGAGAAGUUAAAAAUGUUGAGAAGAGUGAUCGGUAACAUCGCCGUCCGGCGUCAGCUUCAACGAGCUCUAUCCAGCAAAUCCGGUGGAGGAAGUGGAAAGCCAAGCGACGUUUCAGCUGCGGUGGACUCGAUGCUACUCCGUUCCUUAAAGGAACAUUACCUCGAAGUCUCCAAGAUGACUCCUCCUCCGGUUCGCUCCUCAUCUAAAGAUUAAACCUUUUCGUUAAACCCUCUCACUCUUAGGGUUUUUGAUUUAUUUAUUUUUGCAGAAAGUGACACCUCCUUCACCGUUCGAGAUUGUGAAAGGCUCCCUUGAAGGAACUGGCGCUGUUCUGAGGAAAUCUAUUGGGAACGAAGAGAUUAAUCUCUUUGUGAUGAGGUUGGCUCACGGAGGUGAUGAUGAAGAUGAUGAUGGGAUUAACCAGCUGUUCCUCCACGUGGCUGUGUCGAAGCCAAACCAGGCUGAGUCUCUGCAUUUCCUUUGCGGGCUUUACCCGGAUGCUUUGGGUAUUCACUCUGUUUCCAUGAGGCCGAAGCUUGAGGAUUUGGAGUUGUCUGAUGAUCCUGCUCGUUACACUGGCCCUUCUUUCGAGUAACUUCUCUUCAAACUUCUCUUGUAACAACGUUGUUCAUUAGAAUUGAUUUAAAAGUUUGUAGUUAUUCAGUUUAUGAAUAUUGAGAUAUGGACUAGUAGUAGACUAAAGAAGAAUCUGUGUUUGGGAACUUUUAAGAUUGUCAGUACUAAGCAAGCUUAUGUGAUUCAUUUCUGUUUUAAGCUGUCUUGUCUUCAGAAUUUUUCAAAGUAAUAAUCGGUGGCUGUGAACAGGCUAACUAUGUUAACAUUGGUAGUUUGUUCAUUUUCUGGUUGUUUGACGUUGAGAAAUAUGAACUUAGAAUGGUGGUAGACGUGUUCUAGAGUAAGCACAAGUAAAUGUAUCUGUUCAGUUUGUUGUAUCUUGAAUCUUCUCCAAAUCAAGGAUUACUCUUUGGCAUGUUCUUUCUCAGUUUUAAAACAAGGAUCUGUGUCUGCUUUUGAGCAUUGUCUUUUAUAAAACACGGAGCUCACAGUUGAUAGCAAAGCUUUUUUUUUUUCUUACUGACAAAUAAGUGUUGGUAAAUUGUUUUGACAGGGAGCUGGAUGAGAAGAUGAGAGACGUAUUCCAUAGCUUCCUAGAGGAGCGAGGUGUGAACGAGAGUCUCUUCCCGUUUCUUCAGGCAUGGCUUUAUGUUAAGGAUCAUCGAAACUUGCUGCGAUGGUUCAAAUCAGUUGGCACGUAUGUGCAUGAAACCCCAUCUGCGGAAAACAACGCCUAGGGGGCUCAAUCAGAAGAUCAUAUCAUUUCAGUCUUUUGGUAGAGGUUUAUGCAGUACUUUCAGUCUUAAAUGAUACAGCUUCAGGGUCUGAGUCACUUUUGCUUCUUUUAAACCGUUCAAGAAAACAUAUCUGUAAUGUUGUUCAAGUUUAGAAAAGUUCAUUUUUAUCGACUCUGUGAGCUCUCUUUUAAAGGCAACGCUAUGACCUUAUUAUACUUAUGAUGAGUGGUCUUGUUACACUUCUCCGGUUCCAACACUUAUUUUAGAAAACAAGUGAACACUCUUAUCCAUGAUAAGAGCUUUCUAUAUAAUUGAUUUUGAGCUGUGAGUCUCUCUACACGGGGCAAUAGGAAUCGAAAGAACCCUGUCUCUCGUCAUAUGAAGGUUCUGUUCGUAAUAAAUUCAGAGUAAAGUAAAAGAACAAAGUAUUUGGAACACACUCAAACUCAAUCACUGAUACUUGAAAUCUCCUAUAUGUUUAAGAGGGUUUCAAACUACAAUCGCAAAAAAAGCAUUUACACCGUACGAGCUUCCCCGCCGGCUUCUUCCUUCACCUUCUUCACAAUGAGACUGUGACGAAACACAUAUUUUGUGUAGGAACAACAACGCAUAAAUGCCUUUCGUCUACCGUUUUGUCCAACAUCGAGCAAAUGUCAGACAUCUAGACAACGCUGUUGGCCAACCCGUUAUCAGCUCUAUGUUCAUUCCGCAUUUGCUGUUGUUGCGGUUGUUGAUUGUUCUCGUUUUCACCAGAAGAGAGCGAGUUUAAGACCCCCUGGCUGGUCAAAUCAGAGUUCUUCUCCCCAACUUCACUCUUGCAAAGAGGGCAACUAGCAUUGAUCUUGAGCCAUUUGUCAACGCACUCCUUGUGGAAGAAAUGUGAACAAGGAAGCUCUCUCAACUCUUCGUUAUUUGCAUACUUCGCUAAGCAAAUGCAACACACCUGCAAACAAUUGUAAACAUUCAGAUACUUGACUCCAUCUGUGAGAGAGAGUAAAUGUACAGUCAAAAGUGUAAGCAAAAAACUUACAGCGUCCUCUCCUGAAAUAGCACGUUCAUUCUCUGUUCCAGCAGCCACAACUCCGCCUUCGCCAGUACUUGAACCAUUGUCAUCGCUACCACUACUUCUGCUUUUCUUCAACUUAAACUUAUGCGUGGGCAACGCAUUUAUCGACUCAGGUGUGGCGCCUCGGGGUUGAGUUAGAUCUUCUCUGUACCCGAGAAUCGAGAUAAUGCAAGGCAAGCAGCAACAUAUCGUUGUGCAGAGAAUGAAAGGCAUCGCGUAGCCAAUACAGCUAAACGUAAGAAACACUAAACAUAACCUACACAACAUAUAAUGGACCGAGUCAUUGACAAAUGUAGCCAAGGGUUUGUGUGAAAAAUUUGGACUAACCUGUACAAGUUAGGAGCCUCGGCUGCAGAUGAAUGCCCUCCGAAUAUCCAUACAUUACCAACCACAAACCACACCGCAAAGAAGCAAUCCAAAGCCAUUUUGAAGUAUUCCACAAUAACUUUAAGCCUGAAAAAAGCCAAAACCAAAGACUCAAUUAUAAAAUGCAAAAAAACGCUCAUGUAAGAAACACUAAAGACAUGUACCUAGCAGCACUUAUGAACGCAUGGUAUCUACUACGAGAAGGCGUGUUGCUACCCUGUCUACCAUCUCCUUCAGCAGUCCUGGAUAUAGAGAACGCAAACGGCCCCGCUGCAACGUUAAGAUUAGGACGAUGCUGACCAGACUCCUGCUCAGAAGCCUGAUUAGAAUGAUAAUAUCUCCAGUACAAAAGCGGGAGCGUCGCAACGCAUCCACACGCAUAACCAACAAUCCAAGCAAACAAGGGAGCUCGAGGAUGCUCAUGUUUAGACAAAGACAAAACCACAAUAGCUGCAACGAUCUGGCCGAGAGUGAGGAACAGCUCAAUGGAGAUCCAAAGACCAGAGUUCAAAGGACUCCUUCUCCUACGGUUGGUUCUAGGAUUCGACCUCGUAGAUGAGGAAGCCGAAGAAACUGUAGCCACUGGCUGAGAAACAGGUAAUGGAGGAGGAGUGGAAGGUGAUUCGUGUUGUAGAGGCUCCAAGACGUUGGAGAUUCUAUCGUGGGAAGAGGAAGCAGUGGAUGGGAUGUCAAUGACGUGAUCUGAUGAACGUUCCAUGAAUGUAUAGAAAAGGUUUGAGCUUUACGAUGGUUUUGGCUCAGAAGAGAAACACCCAUCUAGGGCUUUUGUGCACCAUGGAGAGUUGAAUUCGAUGUCCUGCGAAAAACCCACAACACGAAAUCGAUUGAGAUUGUAGAGUUAUCAAGAUCGUGAAAUAGCAAACCCUAGAUGGGGAAGAAUUGGGGGAAAAGUCGAUAGAUUUAGCAAAACCUAAUUUUUCGCACCUGAAACUGAUUAUCACGAGAAAUUAGGGAACAAAACGACUUUUUCCUCCUUAGAAAAGCCAGAAUCCAAUUUAGGAAGAGGAAGAAGAAGAAGAAGAGUCAACUUUUUCAGCUUAUAGAAAUCCUUUCCUUGUUCUCGUCGUCGUUGUUGAUCGUAGUAGUGUUCUUUCUUCAAUUCCCUUUUGCGAUUUUUUUAUUAUUUAUUUUGUGCUCACCGAUCAACAAGGGGGAGGGAUAUUAAAAUAAUAUUAUAGAUAUUUCUGGAUAUUAAAUUUUGGGAGCCAAACAGCAAUCACACAAAACAAAACAAAAAAUAAUAAUAAAAAUUGAGGAGGAGAAGGAUGAUGAUGAUUCAGAGGGAUAUGAUAGUGAUGCCCUCUUUGGCCCCUUGCUUUUUGUUUUUUCUUUCUCAACAAGAAAAUGUUUUAAAAGUUAAUAAAUGAGCUAAAACAAAAAAAAGAUUGCGUCCUGGCUGUUUUUUUAGCGGUUAUGAGGUUUCUGUUAGGUGAUAUGUAUCAUUCAUCAGGCUUUGAUGCUAUUUGUUGUAUUUUCCGAGCUGGAAAACUGGUUUCUCUUAAUGCAACAACAACACCACCAUUUAAGUUACAAAAAAAAAAAAAAAAAAAAAAAACCCCAUCUAUGGGUUUUUAUAGUGUUUAUGUUUACAGUUUUGGCGUGCGAGAGAGAGAUACAGAGUAGAUGGUCUAUAUUUAAUUUGGUCAAGAUAUUUAUUUUGAGGGGGGGCGUAUCCAUUAAGAAUCUUCAAAUGUUGAUGGAAUGAUGGAUAUCCCUUCCUAAUUUGGCAUGAUGUCAAUCUUCUUGUUUCCUUAAGAAACCAUUUGUUAUAUUUAAUUUUCAAACGCGUAAAACCCACCGAGAGUUUAUCUCAUAUGUAUAUGACUAUUGCCAUCUACAAGAAACAGUUUUUGGAGAUAUACAAACAGAAAACUAGUAUGGGACGACAUACAUAUGGCACUCUCUUCAAUACGAGCUGAUAAACGAAUUGAGAAACAUUACACUUACAAGGGAAAUUCACUUCUUCCAUUGCGGAAUCCGCUGAACCACAACCUAAAGAAUAAACAAAUGUGAUACAUCUCAAUAAGAAACAUCAUCAAAAGCUUUCAAGUAGGUAGGUAGGUAGGGUACCUUUCCUGAGUUUUCUUUGUUCCCUACUAUCGUUUGGCACGCGAGUCUCCAAGAUUCAGGCUUCUGCACCAAUAAUACCAACAAACAAGGACUUAGGAUCUUCAAAACAUCACAGCUUCCUGAGUUAAUCUUAAUUUGCAUAUCUUAUGAUAUGAUAUACACAGAUGAGUGAUAAAAACUAAACCUUUUUCAGAUACUUGUUUUCUGUAUCUGUUCUCUCGUUCAGAAGUUCUCUCCCAUCAAGAAUCUGCACACAUGAUCAAAAGACCAAAUUGCUAAUCAAAACAGACCAAACACAAAACUCAAAUAUGAAAACAGCUACCAAUAACUCAUUCAUCUAUAGUCAGAGAUCAAAUCAUAUAUAAUCCAGAAACAAAACAGAUAAAUGAAGUUGACUUUGCCUCAACAAUGCAAGUUCCACAGCUUCCUCCACCUCCACAGUUCAUCACUUUCCCCUAAACAAAAGAGACAUUUCAAACACCUCAUUUCGUAAUCACAUAACGGAUGAGUAAAGAGAGUAGUUUAAACUCACGUAAGUAGCGUAAAGCUCGAGUUUAUUAUCUUGCAUAAUGCUUCUCAGAAGCUUCUCGCCGCUCACAGCUUUCGCUUUAUCCCUCGGAUACGUCCCGUCGCUCCCAGGCUUGGGCUGCAAAUUACAAAAACCAAUAAAGAGUUUUCAAACGAGAGAAUCGGAUCGUAACUUAACGAGAAUAUCGCACCGAUAGUUACACCGAAGAACUCGAGCUCUAUCUCAGGAGGAGGCGUCGUGGCAGAGAUCCCCUGCUGAGAUGCUUCUGAAGAAGAAGAGGAACAACAGGAGAUAACGCGAGCUCUUCCGGUUGCGGAAACUUGUCGGUGCUGGUGAAUUUUCACACCGGAGAAGGAGAAUCCGAGGUUGAAACCGAGCGAAGCCAUUUCUACCGGUUCGAGCAGCUUCCGAUCUCCGGCGAUUGAUUUUGGUAUGAAGAAGAUGGCCGAAACUAAAGAGAUAAAGCGCGAAAGAAACAUGUGGACUUGGUUAUUCUAGAAGUUAUGAGGCUUUUUUAUAUUUUAUUAGCCCAUUAACAUCAGGCCCAUUCAGCUUUUCUUUUGCAAUUUUUACAAUAAUAUUUAUUUUAACCAAUAUUCUGAGUUUUGGAUUAACUCAUUCAGCUUUUAAAAAUGUUAAUUACAGUGACUUUAGCAGUUAUCAUAAACCUGUAAUUUAAACCUCAAAUGGUAGGAAAAAUAUAAAACAUAGAAUUAUGUACCUUUGAUGAUGAUUCAUGUUAGAGGGAGACACCCUCUAAUAUUCUUAUAAAUUUUUAUAUGUUUUAUUGGUUAAUCUGGUUAGUUUUGGUUGAAAUGCAUUUAAUUGUUUUACUGGAUUGUCUAUUAUCAGCUCAUGUUUUUUCAGAUAACUGUAAUUUACUGACAAAAAAACAACUGUAAUUUGUUUUGAAAAACAUUCAAAAAUCAUAAAAAAGUGUUUUAUCACAUUAUCAGAUUUCGCGUAACAUUUGACCACAAUCAUGCACUAAUAUUGGAUCUUGGUGAAGAAAAGAUAGUAAACAGUAAACCAAAAAGUAAAUUUGGAACUUGUGUGAAUAUAGUAAGUGGGAAACAUGAAAUCAUAUCUGUCAAAGACACAUAGAUGACCAAUAUCAUUUACUUACUUGUCAAUUUAAUCAACAUUCGCCAUCAUCUUAUAGCUCGGAUCUUUUCCGGUGAAAAUUUCACAUAGUUUCUAAUAAUACACACAAAUUAAAAUAAUUAUGCAUAAUUCAUUAGUUGACAACCUUACUAACUGUCCCACGAAGGAACUAAACUUUCUGAAGGUGCGUAUAGGUCAGUAGUGUGUUGGUUACAUUAGAUACACAAAACACUUUAUUGAUUAGACGGUUUUAUAAUACCUUAAUAACAAAAAGAAGUCUGUAAUGCAAUGAUUUUACCAUCUUACUAACUACUUUUUGGGUGAAUUUAAUUAUAGUAUUUUAUAUGAUUCGAUUAUUAUAUUAUUUAUGGGAAUUAGAAUCAUGUAAGAGAAACACAAUAAAGAGAGGUUCAAGGACAUAAAGACAAAACCUUUCUCGCCUUUUUAUUUUAUGUAAAAACAGACAGACACUCUGAUCUCUCUCUCUCUCUCUUUCUUUCUUCUUCCUCGUUGAGUGUGUCCAUGAAAUAAAACGGAGAGAACCAAACUGUAAAUGGAGGAAGUGGUGGCGAAGUAGCUACAACACUGAAACACUUGUUGAUUCAAAUGAUGAAGCGCAACAACAAUGACGAUGUUGAUUCUCGUCUCCGGGUGAAAGAGCAACAAGAUAAGCUCUUGUUCCAUGACUUCCUUGGUUCCAAGACUCCAACUUUAGCUUCCACUUCCAUGUUGCCACUGGACAAGGCAGAUAAACCGGUGACAGCUUCCGCUUCCUCCGCCGGUGGACGCGGCGGUCUUUCCUCUACCUCCGAUCUUGGUUCUUCUCUCUCUCUCUUGAUGCUUUUUGAUGAAGUGUGCUUCUACUGAUGAUUCUCUGUACGUUUAGGGUUUCUAUCUACAGUAUAGAAAGUUCAAGCCUUUUUUACAUAGAUUCGAUUUGGAGUGUAGAUGAUCAUGUUUGUUAGUUUCUAAAGGUGGAAACUUUUUGGUUAUUUCAUUAUUGAUUAGAUCUCAUAAGCAGAAAAAUAAUUGGAACAUCUUUGGUUUGUGAAGUCUCCAUUGUCUUGUUUCCUUUUAGUUUCAAACUUUAUGAACAUGGUUUUUGAGUAAGCAUGUGGUUGAUUAAGCUCUAGUAGUGAAGGACACAGUUUCUCUCUCUCUCUCUUCCUGUCUGUCCAACCAUAAUGUCUCUGGUGGAUUAGUUGGGACAUUGGGAGUGAAUUUGAGUGAUGAGUUUGGUGGGUCAUACUCAUUUGAGGUUGUGAUGCUUUUUUUUUUUUUUAAUGAAUUGGUCUUCUUUAUUGCCUCUCUCUCUCUUUCCUUGAGUUCUUACUGCAGUGUGAUGUAGGUAGCGGUGUGGGGAGUCAUCUUGAUGGGAUACAAUUGUUUGGACAAAGAAGAGAAGCUUCUGGCUCUAUAAUGAGCAAUCGAUUUUCCGGAAACAAAAGGAGUAACUCUGAUUCACACAUCACAACUCAAGAGCAGCAUCCAGAGGCUCUGCAUUGGUCCAAGGUAUGAUAAAACUAGAAACCUACAUGACUUACUUCGUAGAACUCAAUUUCUGUGAUCUGUCUAGUUGCUAAGAAGCGGACCUGGAAGCCAUUCCGUGAAUGUGGCAAACCAGUCUCCACGUGGAGGAGGUCAGAUCAGUCAUUUGCUUCAUCAGCUGUCUUCAAGCAGGUUCAAGGACGACGCGGUGGCUCAGACAGCUGCAGAUGAAGGCUCACGAACAGGGAUGAAAGGUCCACGCAUCAUGAGUUCUUUUACAAUGCCAAACCCGAGCAAAGUGGAAUGUCUUACCCCUUCAAGGUGAGAGUUAGUUUGUCUCUAGUCCUUUGGUGCUUUGUCUUCAUUUCAUUGUUUGUAUUUGCAGUACCGCGAAUAGGAAAGAUUUGACAUCGAGUACUAAGCAGAUGACUAUAUUCUAUGGUGGUCAAGCUCAUGUCUUUGAUGAUGUUCACCCAAACAAAGUAAUCCUCUAUUAAGACUCUCAUAUUCAAAUAUUAAAACUUAUCUGAACGUUAUGUUUCCUUGCAGGCAGAUGUGAUAAUGGCUUUGGCAGGAUCAAGCGGAGGCUCAUGGUCUACGGAUUUGUCUCAUAAACUGAAGACAAAGAACAACACAAGCGACGGUCCAUACAAACAAGGACAAGUGUAUGAAGGAGGAGGCAGCUCUAGAGAAACACCGUUUUUGUCCCCGGAUAUUCGAGCAAGGCCGGUUCAUCAAGACACCACCUCCAGUCCCUGUCACAGGAUCUUUACACAACCAGGUGACUUUCUUGAUAAAGAAAAAUUUAGCCACUGUCUUACAAAUACACGGCGGAGUAGAUAAAACAAGUCUGUAUGUUGCAUUGCCACUUUACAAAAUGAUCAGUUCAAUCUUUCAGUCUUUUGGCUCAGGCGUUAUUUGAUUUGCAGGUAGAGAACAACAUCAAGGAAGUAUCAUCUCAAGGAGACGGGAUACCAGAGAUCCGGUUCGCAUAUCAGAUCCUGAAAAGAAGCUACAUGAUUACGUCUGAAUAUGAGAGAUGAUGAUGAUGAAUGUGGCAUUUCUUCUAAGCUGUUAUAAGUUCAGACUCUUAAUAGCUGCUUACAAUGUUCUAAGCCUCUUUCUAGGCUUGUAUUCAAACAUAUCUUCCUCAAUGAUUUAGAGUAUAAUAGUUUUCCAUAGAUUUUCAUAUACAAGCUGAGCAUAUUUUCAUACAACAUAUCACAAAGGAAUCAUGUCUAAACCAAACAGGAAGUAACAAGAAAUAACAAAUCGAGGUACAAUGACGCUCGUGCUAACGGAAAUAUUACAAAAAGGAAACAUGAUAACAUACAUAUAAAGUUUUUUGAUUUCCUUAAAUCAUGUUCAUAUAAAUAGGGGAGCAUUAUAACCCCUCACGUAAACCAUUCAAACUAACACACCAGAGAGAAUUCAAGAACCCUAAAUAUCUAACCAACGAAGAUGGAAGGAGAAUCGAGUACUCCUCAUCCUGUUAUUAUAUUUCUAAUGGUUGCUUGUCUUGCCUAUGUAGAUUACCCUAUGUGUCUCUCUCAGUGCCGUCCCAAAAUUUUGGAUGGCCUAAAGCACAAAAAAAUUAUGUGGCCUCGUAUAUAAAUACCUGUAAAUACCAACAACAAAGUAGUAACAAUCAACCAAUAAAAAAAUGUAUAAAGUCAUCAAAUGGUAAAAAUUAAAAUGUGUUGGAUAAAAGAAGGAUCGGAACUACUGAAUGCUAACUCAAAUUAAACUACUAAAUCAUUUGACCAGACUAUUACUCAGUGACAUGCGGUCUUAAUGUUUUGUUUAUAUUUUGUGGCCUAAAGCAGAUGCUUUGGCUGCUUUAUAGAAGGGACGGGCCUGGUCUCUCUUCGUCCCAUACGUGGUCUCUCUCUUCGUUGGGGCUUUCGGUGCAACCUACGCCAUCCAGCGGCUAGUUUGGCCAGCCUUCUUCGUCUUGAUCAUCAUAUGUUUCAUUUGCCGAGCGUUCGUACGCCUGGCCAUACACGUUCGUAAGGUUGAAUACGACAGGCUUUACUCUAAAGGCUACAGGCUGAUGGAUUACGACAGUGACACCGAUUCGUACGUUUGGGGCUGUGAUUGAAACGUCGAAGGCAUGCACGCGUUUUAAAUAAAUAAAGGGUGUUUACAACUUUUACCUUCGCUUUUCCUUUGAUGACUAUUGACAUUUUAAUUCUCAUGCGUUAGAUUGUCCAAGUAAUUAUUAUUAAGAAACUACAGUUUCCAUUUACGUCAGAUGAGAUUGUCUGAGAAAGAACCACAAAGACAAACACAGGUUAAAAAAACACCCCCACCAAACCCUGAAGAAUAAUACCUAAAACACAAACGAACAUGUCCUUUCCGAGGUUUGUAUUCAAACAUAUAUCUUCUUCCUCAAUGAGUAGAGUAUAAUAGUUUUCCAUAGCUAAUAUAUAACCCAAUUGGUCAACCAAUGUUGUUUCUAUGCAUAUAGAUUUUCAUUUUUUUUCCCGUGUCUAAUGCUGAGCAUAUGGAUACAGCAAAUCAAAAGAGAAUCAUGUUUUAGAUCACCUUAUUACAUUCCUUGUUUCGAGCCAGUGGUGUUGCUUAUAGCAGAUACUUGACUCCUCAGCCUCUGUCAUUUCUAGUGCAUUCUUCCUGCGAUUGAGAAAUUUGGCAUACUAUAUAAAUAGAUGACUCUCAGAAAGUUGAAACGCUUAUCAGUAUCAAUUGUUUCUUCUUUUGUGCUAACCUGGAAGGCUCAUAGUACAGUAUAACAUUUUCUUUGCUCUGCAGCUGCAGCGGUAUACUUUUCUUUUGAAGCAUCACAGCGUCUCUGCUCUUCUUGAAGACCAAGUUGUACCUUUCCUAGCUUCUGCAUUUAAAAAAGAAUAAUUGUUAUGACAAAGCAAAAGUUAUGUAAGCUUUGUGCCUCAAGCCAUGCACCUAAGUGAAUAAAACUCAGAUAACCUGCUGGAUUCCUUUCAUGACUCCUUCCAUUGAAUCAAUUAACUUCACACGGCCAGCAGGAGUACCAAUCACGUCUUGAAACUGCAUUCAAGUCAAGGGUUAACAAAGAAGAAUGGUAAGAACGGCACACCAAGAUAUAUAUAUACUAAAAGGAGAAAGCAGAAACGUAGAUCAACUUGAUAUCUAAAGGUAUAACGUAAAAGAUUUGAUGCAAACACACAGAACGUAGCUAAACAGUAAUGCAUAUGUUUUACCUGCGAACCUAUUGAAUUAAGUAAUGAUAUCUCCUUUAGCAUCAAGUCUUUUAUUUCUAAAAGAGCAUUGUAUGUCCCAUAGAGCUUCCUAGUUUGUUGAAGCUUCUCCUGUUGAACAUAAAGGUUCUUCAAUCAAUAAUAAGCUUGCAAGUAAACAAACCUGUAAAGCAACAAGGUAAAUAUUAAAUAGAUCAUUCGAACCUGAAUACAAACAUUCAGCUCUGAGAAUCUUCUUUCAUAUCUGCACAGAAUGAGAUACUGGACUUUAGCGUGUAGCAUGUACAGAAAAAGGGAAGCUAGCCAUAGUAAACUUGGAUUCCUAAAAGCUAGAGAGGUAAAUCAAUUUGACUCUUGACAUGAUGAUUCCAUUAAAACAUAAAUAUAAUUCAACGCCAAGUAGUACACACUAAUAAAAAGUGCUACAGGGCAUCAUCUUUAAAGUAAGUAAGAAGUAGUGGAAGGACACCAUACUGGAGGAGUUCAGAUUGGCAUGGUACAUCAUCAAUCUGUCGCUUCAGAGACACUAUUUCUCUUAGCGUUGCUGCAAGCUCCUACAAAGAAACGAGGGGAAGCAACCGUAACCUUCUUUGAAAACUUUAAUCUCAUCUCAAGAUGUAUAGAUUGUCUAUAGCAGAGAAAGAGUACCUUCUUUGCUGAAGUCAGAUGAUCCAGUGAUUCAACCAACAAAACAUCUAAAUCUUCCUCAGGAAUCUCACCCUUGGCGACUCUCUCCUCCAAAUCACAAACUGCAUCUUCUAACGCAGAACGCUUAGCAUCGCAAUUAGACCGGACUUCAGAUUCCUGUUUCUCUAAUUCCUGAAAAUACCUAACAGAUAUUGAGUUCCACUCACAGUAAAAAUUAACUUGUGGAAACUUACAAAAACUUUAUUCACCUUGAGUGAUCUCAAAAGAGGUAUCAACUCCUCCUGGACUGAAACAUCAACACCUUCAGCGUUUAUUCUUUCUCGCAACUGCUGCAGCUUAUCCCUAACAUCACAUUUUCUCUGAUUCUAAGUUACAAACAGCAACAAAGUAAGAAACUGUCAUUAUCAAAUAUUCAAAUCAAGAACACCAGUAUAAGAAAGACCAAUAAAAACAAAGAGACAAAGAGCACCUGUUCCCUCACUUUCCCACUCAAUUCCCUUAUGGACGCCUUCAGAUUCGUCACCAUAUCCCCAGAAGAACAAACCUGUGGUUACAGAGUAUGAUCAGAGUUUUCCUAAUUCUUAACAGAUCAAACGAAAGCAUCGAACUUUAUCAAAAAAAGUUUGGUUCUUUCAUCAAAAUACACAAAUCCUAAAUCGAGGCUCGUGCUAAACCUCUUCACUGCUAUCUUCAUUUCCCAUCAGUGAUCUUCGAAUGGAUUCGUCAAAGCAAGGAGAAAGANNNNNNNNNNNNNNNNNNNNNNNNNNNNNNNNNNNNNNNNNNAGAGUGUCCCUUUUAUGAUCCGUCAAUCUGUAACGAUCGCAGGAAACGACGGAGGCAACACAAUUGAGAGAGAACUCUUUCCGGCGUGGACCAACACCAAAUAACAGACUUAGGAAAAAUAUUAUUUAUUAUUAUAUUAUUAAAUAAAAAAUUCUUUUAAUUGUUUUUAAUAAAUACUGGACUAAUGAAUUUAAUACUUUUUAUAUACAUACGAAAUUAAAAUAACUUAAAAAUAUAUAUUUUAAAAAGUACAUUAAACCAUAAAUAAAUGGCAUAAAACUUUCACUGUCAUUAUUAAGAAACUAAGAUUACAACAGUUUCCAAUUAGGUCAAGAUCAUACAACAGUAACAUUGUUUAACCAUAUCUGGAGAAAGACUAUAUUGAGAUGGAAGAUGAAAUUGUCUGAGAAAAAGCUACAAAAGGUUAAAAAGAAACACCCCUCCUUAAGAAGAAGAAUAACACCUAGAACAUAAACGAACAUGUCCUUUCCCCUCACUUCCACAGCUUCACUAGCUUGUCGUGACUAGCUGAUGCAACCAGUCCCGUUGCAGUUGAAACCGCCAGAGACGCAAUCAGCCCAUCGUGAGCAGGCAAUGUCAUCGUCUUGUUCUGUGACAUGUUCCACAGUUCUAAAGACUGCAACAUACAAAGAUUGUAGAGUUUCAAUUUUAUGAGCAAAAUGAGUAACAUGAGUAAUGAUGACAUCAAGUUCUUACCUGGUAACAACCAACUACGAGUAGAGAAGGGUAAGUCGGAUGGAAAACACAAGACUGGAACUUGUUUCCAUUGCAGCUUAGCUCAUGAACACAUUCUCCUUCAUUACCUGUCCCGAACGUCCAAACUUUCACCAUAUCUUCACUAACCGUUGCCAAGAAGUCACCAGAAGCAUCCCAACAGACCGAGUUUAUCUGAUUAGUAUGGCCCUGUGCAGUCCUUAGUGGUUAGUAGAUGCAUAACAUAAAACAAGCAUCUAUCACACAAUAUCGAAAAGGAAAAAAAAAAGUCUGAACACUAAACCUGCAAAGAAUGUCGACAAGCUUGUGUUUCAACAUCUAGUACAGAUACAACGUUUGCCGACGAAGCAGCCAGAUACUUUCCAACACGUGGUUGGAACCUCGUCUGAGUGCUACCACCCUGUGAGAAAAAACAAAACAAAACAAAAGUGAAACUAAAUGUAUAAAUUUGCUAAAUAAAAGCAACACGAUAAUGUUAUACCUUGUACACUCUUGAGCAAGUUCCAUUGUUGAUGCUCCAGUACCUUAUCUCCCCGUCAUCGUCACAUGAACAUAUGAGAUCAUCCUUGUUGGGAUGGAAGUCAACUGACGUAAUCAUAGAAGAAUGUCCGAUGAAAUUACGAAGGGAGUAGCCUUUCUGCAAAAGUAGUUAGAUGGCACAAAAACCCUUAAGAGAGAUGCACAAACAUAGUGAAAAUCAUCAGCCUUUCAACUUACAUUAUCAGCAUCCCAAACCCUGACAGUUUUGUCAAAUGAAGAAGUAGCAAGCCGAGGCAGGUUGGGACUAAAACGAACAUCUGUUAUCAUAGCCGUGUGCUCCUCAAGUGUGGUCUUCGGCUUCAUAGUGUCUGUAUGCCAUAUUACAGCCUGCAAAAAUGGGAGCAAAGCCAAGUAUUUAAGUUUCAGAAGCGCCACAAGACUUAAUGAUGAUGGCUUUUACCUUUUUGUCAUGUCCGGCACUAGCAAGCAUUUUUCCAUCCAAUGAGAAGUGGCAACAGGUGACUUUGCUUGUGCUCGCACGUACUGAAUUCACUUCCGCAAACGUGAAGCCUGUUGAAGAAAGAGGCAUCAUUGUAAUGAUUGAGAAAUAUUGUUGUUAUUGUUGAAUAAUGUUAGAGUGGGGGCUAAGACACGCACCUUUACUAACAUCCAUACACCGUCCAACAGUGUCUCGUUGAUCACCAUCCUCAUGUGAUAAAAAAGACUCAACGUUGUCGUCAAGUGACCCAUCUUCCACAAACCGAUCCAUAUCAGCCUGCAAAAUAGCCAAUAGUUGAUGAUACUAAUUCAUAUUGAUUUGUGCCCUCUCAUUAACAGUUUUAAAGAUACUCACCAGCUGAUUUGAUGGAGAUGUAAGAGUCCCAGUAGUCCCCUCAGUGCCAAACAUAAUUACUGGUUUGGAGGAACCACCACCACCAUGAGGCAGAUUAGGCAUAGAAACCGCAUCUCCAGGAGUAUGAGUUGAAGGUGUAGAAGGUGCUGAGCUCGGUGAUGGCCCUGUAGUGUUGGCUGUUCCUGUACUAUUAGCUGGACCAGAAGACGAAACCGGUUGCUUUCUUUUCCUCCCAGUUUGAUUCUUCAAUACCUUUCAAUUAAAUGCAAAAACAUUUUAGAAAAUCAACCUCAGAUAUCACUGAAACAUGAAAUAGGAAACUAAGAACAGACCUGUUCAUUUCCUCUAAAAGAAUUUGACAUGCCACCACCAUCCAUCGAAAUACUACCACCCCCUCCCAGUUUAUCUUGUUGCUGAAUGUUGUGGUUUGCACUCUGUGUUUGCUGAUUAGAAAGGGAGUGCUGAUUAAGUGCCUGUGGCUGUGCUAGAUUCCCACCACCCUGCUGUUGAUGCUGCUGCUGCUGUAAAAGAGCCAUCUUUAACUACAAAGCAUACGCAGUUAUUAACGCAAUCGCCUUUCAAAACUAGCAGAGAUUACUAUAUCUUGUUCCAAUUUAUCAAAUAAUACUCUGAGAGCUAAUUAAAACUAACAAUAUUUAAGUCACCUACUUAAGAUUUGUAAGAGAUAAGACAAGGCAUACCUUUAGUAGCAUGUCGGUGUCUCCACGAGGCAAAAGAGAGCCACCAGGUUGCAAAGAAGAUCCAACAUUAGGUAGCACAUCCCCCACAGAACCACCCCCAAGGCCAUCCUUUCCGAGGCUCAUGUUCCGGUUGUUCAAUAGCAUUUUCAGUCUUCUGUUCUCGUCAUUGACGGUUUGUGAAUUUAGAUUCUGUUGAGCCAUCAUGAGCUGUUGCUGAUGUUGAGGAGUCAACAUGUUGAGUCCGUGAAAAGACUGCUGCGGAGACUGCAUAAAUGGCUUUUGCGGCUGGAGAAGACCAGAACGAAGCUGAUCAAAUCCCUAAAUCAGGAAAGAAAUCAACAGUAAAAAAAAAAGAAAAAUUUACAAAAGAGAGAACGAGCCGGUAAAACAAAUCUUACUGUGAGUGGCCACCCUUUAAGUGUAAGGUUGUUGCCUUGAUUUGAACCUGAAACAGGAAACAAGCACUAGUCUUAAAACUAUUACUACAUUUGACACGCUUGACCUACUGAAAUGAUAUCUUCAGGAUCGAAAACCUACCAGGAAUGCAAAUCAACGAACCUUCUGGAACAAGAAAAAACCUACCAGGAAUGCCAAUCAACGACCCUUCUGGAACAGCAGUUCUGGGAGUGAGCACAGUGUUGAUGUCACUUUUCAUAUCCUAAACACAAGUAAGCCAAGCAACUAAUUAGCUAACAGUUAGAAUUCUACAAGGGAGUAGACGCAACAUAGAUUCAAUGAUUACUUACCACCGCAGACCCAGGAAGUUGCUGAUUUCGAGCUUGAACCUGUGGAGACAUACCACUGCUUGCACCAUGUAACACUUGCCUGAGAUUCACCAACAAACAUUAGCAACAAGACAGAGAUACUGAAUGAUUUUUAGUGGAAACAAAGAAGGCAGAAGGAUGAGAACAGUACCCUGCAGGCUGUCCGGAAGCUCCAGCGGAUUUCAACAUCGAUGCAUGGUUUGGAUCCAACAUUUGCCCACCAUUGUCCCCGAAUCUCUGUAGCCAAAGGAAAUUUGAAUUCUAACGUUUGAUGAAACUACGGUAGAUGGAAACUGAAAGACAUGCCUUGCCUAAACUAACCUUCAUAGCAGCCUCAUCUAAGGAAUCCCUCUGAGUAGGCAUUUUGAUCCUCUCCUCGUAUGCCUUAUUAUUUGCUAAGGCACUCCCAGGCCCAGGAUUUUGCCUCAUAACUGGGUCGCUGUUAUUACCAACGAGUCCAUUUGCUGAUCCAUUUGCAAGGUGGGAUCCAUCUCUCCUCUGUGGCUGCUGUUGCUGCUGCUGCUGCUGUGGUGUUGGCUGUUGCUGGUGUUGAGGCGCUGCCUGCUGCUGUUGUUGCUGCUGUUGAGAAGUUGGUUGGUUUUGAUGUUGUUGUUGUUGUUGGUGUUGCUGCUGCUGUUGUUGAUGAUGUUGCUGUUGUUGUUGCUGCUGUUGCUGUUGUUGCUGUGCACGUUGCAUCAAGAGUUGUUGCAUUUGUAUUUGCUGUUGUUGUUGUUGUUGUUGUUGCUGCUGCUGUGAGACCUGUGGGUGUUGACCUUGUUGCAUUUGCUGGUCUCGCGCUUUCAUCAUCUGUGUCUGUAAAAAAACACGACAUGUGAAUAUACAACUUCUAAAUCUUCUCUUCAAACCACAAAGGAAAGCAAUGAAGCUACUAGCUAACUCUAAUAGAAUAAGACAAAUUGAAAAAAGUGUAAACAAAGAAGGAUACCUCAAUGUAAGAUGCAGCAACCUCGGAAUGCUUCUCAUUGGUCCUAGCAAUGAAUAUAUCCCAGAAGACAGACCACCACUCAAACAGAAAUCCACCAGGUGCGUCAAUAGCUAUACAAAAACAAUCCAAGAAGAAUAAGAAGUUCAUUAGGGAACAAAAGGACUUCUAUCAGAAUCGUAGUUCAAAAAGGUUAAGAAGAUUCUGAUUCCUAACCGACUGGAUCCAAUGAAAUUUUUCCUUCAGCUUGGAAAGCCUGAGCUGUAGCUUUCAAAUCUCUUUUGACCAGAUAAUCAUGGAUGUAGACAUCCAGCCUGUUACAACCAAAACAAUCUCAUUUAGAGCAGCAACGCAGACACUACCCACAAUAUAUAUAUAACACAUAAGAAGCGUCUGGAGAGUGGAGACUCUCAAGAAAGGUAACACUGUAAAAGAGGAGAGUAGCAUCAAGCUUAACAAUGUCCCACAAACAAAAACCAUCCAGUUAGUAGGAGAAGUACAAGAACUGUUGUAUUUAUAAUCAGGAAACUUUCAUAAUGGAGCUUUUAAAAGUAACACUAGCAUACCAAAAAGAAGUGUAAAUCUAGAACAGUGACAAACUGAAACCUGAUGACACAAGAGUCAACCAGAACUGGAUAAACCAAAUAAAUAUAUAUCCAGAGAUUCUCAAGGCCUUUGAAAAUGACUGAAAGCACAAAAGAACUAAACUUUGGCCAAAACAUGGAAACAUAACCAAAAGAAAAGUCCCCACAACAACAAAAUCUUGCAGGAGAGUCUUCUGAGAAACAGAAACUGAAAAAUCAGCAAAAGUAACGGCAAAACAAGCAAAAGAAUGUCAGAAAGGAGAAAGCUAAACAAUUGCGACAAGCUAUAGUCUCCAGAUCAAGUAUAACAUUAAGGACUUUAUAAAAGGUAUGGAGGAGAAGACACAAACCCUAGAAUCAAACUGAAGCUAGAAUGCAUUAUAUAGAAUCCGAACCCUAGAAACAAACGAGCAAAACAAUACUCACAGAAUCUAAAAACCUAAACCCAAAAUUAAAGACUCUUCCAGUAAGCAAUCAGCACAGAUAUCAAAUAAAAAAGGCAAUCAAAAUUAAAAUUAAAAAAGGACUCACAUUUUAUCAGCUUCCCAGUUGGUCUGAGACAUCUCUUUUUAUCUGAAACAAAACAAAACCCCCACAAAGACACAGUUAGGUUCGAAUGUCAGAUGUAAUAAAACUAAUAAUCAUAUCUUAUAUAAGAGCAGAAACCCAGAAUAAAAAUCAAUGCUUUUGACCCCCUUUUUCACCUGAUUUUCUCCAGAGAGUGAAAGAGAUUAGCACUUGAAACAAAGCCAAAGCAAAAUCAAAACAGAGACUUUAAAGGACGGAAGAGAGGGAUAUAGAGAGAGAGAGGGAUGAUACGAGUUUUGAGAGAGAGAGAACUAGUCAAGUAAAAAAAAAAAAGGAAAGCCUUUGGAGAAUAUCUUUAGCCUCUGACCAUCGCAAAUAAGAAAUAUAAUUAUUUAAUUUUUUUACUGUAAUUAAUGGAUGUACAUACAGAAAUUUAUAUAAAAGUCCAAUUUAUUUAUGGAGAGAAAUAUUCUCUUAUGUUAUAAAUUAUUUAUGUAAACAAAAUGUUGACUGAAAAUAGAUUUUUAUUUGAAUGAAAAUUAGUUUCCAUGUCAGUUUUUUUUUUUUUCCACUGAAAUUUUAUUAAUGGGUCAUGGUCCAACUGGACCAAGCCCAACACAAACAGACAAAGGCCCAAACAACGGGCAAACAGAAAACACGGGCCUAAAGCCCAAGAUGGAUCCCGUUGAGGAAGACGCUUGCUCAUCCCACCACGUGUAACGACGCCCGGCGUCUUGAGACACGCGUCAAGGAGAGGACUAGCCACCUUCCACCGGUGAUAAAGGAGGAGACUCGACGGAAAACUCCGCCGUCGACAGAGCUAAGCCGAUGAAGAACCGCACACGAAGGAGCAAUCUUCACGGCGAUCAAGUCACACACCGGAUCUAAGUUUCCAAGAAAAUCAAAUCACCUACAAUCGAUCCCACCACCAUCGAUCUUCCUGCUUGAGAAUCAGACAUCUUUAAUGAUAAGAAGAAGCUCGAAGAUGAAGCGGCUCGCGAGGAGAAGAGGAAGAGAGAACCGAGGCUAAGGAAAGAGAGGCGAUUGAACCGAUAAGAACUCGAAACGUCGAUCAACGAAACCGGGAGAACCCCGGUGAGAAGCCGCCGUCGCCAUCGAGAAGAGCACGACGCGGAGCCAAAAGCCGGAUAGCUCCGUCAUGAAGACCGCGAGCCACCAGAGUCAGAGCCGGCUAUACUCGUCAGAGAGACCGACGUAUACCGGAGUCAGAGUCGCCGACAGGAACCGGCGAUAGAAACAGAGCUUCAUCUCGAUCUCUUCUUCGUGAAGGAUACGAGAGAGAGAACGAAGAAGAGAGAGAAGCUCAGAGGUAUCCUAUUUUCCAUGUCAGUUUUGUUUUGGGUGGAUGGAAUUGCAGAGGAUAUAUACAAGAAGGGUAGCUUUGUUAAACUACUAAAAUGCCCUCACGGUGUUGUAUAUUUUACGUGACGUAUCACGCCUCCUGUCAAAGUACUUUUGUUUUUUAAUGACAAAAUUAAUCAUUUAUAAUCAAUAAAUAACGCCAAUGUCUUUUUCAUUUUUACGUUUCUCGCUUUUGUUAUUUGUCUUAUUCGGUGUAGAUCUUGUGGAAUCAUAAACUUUAGAUUCAUGUAAUUUUAAGAGUAACCUAUAUAAAUCGAAUAGAACAUAACACGUUUGUGCGUCUAUUGUGGUGUUUUUUUUUUGUUUUUUGGUAAAAUGUUAAGUCUAUUGUGGUGUUAUUAGCUCUUUUAAAAACAAAAAGUUAUCAGCUAAACGCAUUUGUUUUAUUAAUGUGAUUAACUCCUAUAAUAAAAUAGAUACUGAAAUCUUCAUAAAAUCACACAUAAGUUUCAUGACUUAAUUUUAAUAAAAAAAUUAUAGAGUUAAAUUGAGAGUUCCUAAUCCUAUUAUUAUGAAAUAAGUUUUGUUUUAGUUAAAGAAAUGAGUAAGCCGGUUAACCUAUAUUUGUUUACCAAAAAAAAAACUUAGGGCUUUAUUAUUCAUAUAUAUGUGAUGACAUAUAAGAGAUUGUUUGUAUAUUUAACAGUCUCCAAAUAUAUAUAUAUAUAUAUAUAUAUAUUAGUUUUGUAAAAAAAAUUAAAAUAAACUAUUGAGUAUUAGUCUUUUUAGGAUACUUUUAGUUACAAUUGUGGUUUACUAAAGAUUUAUGAAAGCAGCGUAAUAAAGUUAUAAAUGUAAAAUAAGUGCUUAGUAAAAUUUUAAACUGUUUGACUAAUGUGAAGAUGCUUUUACUAAUCCAAGACAAAAGAUUACAAGUCUACAGCAAAUAGAGUUGUGAAUCCUUCUUAGUGUAAAAAAAAAUCAUUGGCUUUACUGUUGAAUUCAUUAUUAGAAAAUAACUUCGAUCUUAACCAAUCGUAAAAACACAUAUUGGGACAAUUAUCAAUCAUCAUAGAGUUGUUCAAAAAAAAAAAAAAAAUCAAUUCAUCAUUGAAACUCAUACCGCGACUAUGACUAGUUGACUACGAGGAGAAUUCACUUAUCUUGGUACAGCCAAGUCAAUCAAAAAAUAUUUAAGUAAACUAAGAGUAUAUAAUCUUACUUUAUUUGAGAUUGUUUAGUCUUGAAGGAUGGAUAAACUCGAAUUAACAAUGUUUUGUUAUCUUAGUCAAUAUUGACUAAAUUUAAAAAUAUGUUCGCCGGGGGAAUUUAUUAACCCAUCUUUGAAAGUAGUCUGAUUGUAAGCCCAAUAUUAGCUCUCGAAUCCACGAGACCCAGGCCUUCUUUUCAUUAUUCUUUUGUUGGUUAUAAGUAUAAUUAAGGCCUUACAAAAGGAGGCAACUACGAGCAGCGGCAUGGUCUUGUAAGGUUGCAUUUAAAAGCAAUUUCAAAUUAUUAAGAUACUAGUACCAAGAGUUCAAUAAGUCAGUUAUAUAUGAACAAGAUGUUGUAGAAUACUUGCAAAAGAAUAAUAAUGGGAAGAAGAUUCUGCGCAGGAGAAAAUGAAUCAUCAGCAAGGACUCGUGAAGCAGAAGGAAAGAAACUGAGACAAGGACGAAGAAGAUAGAAUCAAAGGGUCACAGAGAAGAAAAGCAAAUGGUCCAUCAAGAAAACAAAGCACAAUAUAUUGAGUUCCCUGAAAGUCUAAGGUGAAAAGAUGGCAGAUAGUCCUGGUUAUAUAUAAACACAAGCAAUGAGAAAAGAAAUAUCAUGUUGGUCGAUACUUCUUUUCCAUCUAACAUACAAGUGCCUAGUAUCGUAGUUCGAUUGGCCAUUUGGGGAUGCAUAUCAUCAACACAAAUCUGAGUUCGAGUUUAAGUACUUGGCCAUUUUAACUAAACUUGUACAUCGUAAAUCUUAGAGAGAUUAAUAAGGUAAAAGAAAAGAAGAUGAAACGUUGAAUAUAAUUAUUUCUUAUUAACCUCGUAUGCAACUAUAUAUUCCCUUUAUUCUUUAGUAUCUGAUCUUCAAAAUUGUUUGUUACUACCUUACGAUCACUUUUUGUGUCUCGUAGCAGAAUUACAACUUGUUUUUGGCUUAAACUUAGCAAAUUUACGGUCACACACACACACACAGUUUUACGAUUCAUGGGAAAACAUGUGAGAAUGCAUAUGUUUUCUAAUAAUUUUUUGGUUAAAUCUUAUCGGCUAUCCGGUUAAUCCCGAAAAAACACAUUUAGUACUACUAUAUAGUAGAGUAUUCCGCAAGCGUGCCAUACUGUUUGACCCGAAUUUGAUUAGUUUUCGAUAGCCAAACAACAAUAAUUUAGUUUCCAAUGAAAAUCAAAUUUAUGACGACGCCGAACCUUUAGAGAUUACCACACUACCACCAUCGCUUGAUUCUAAUAACUAAUAACCAUAAUAUACCUAAAAUCUAGUAGUUUAAGCUUAGCAGUUCCGAUUAUAAAAAUGCAUAAAACGACUAAUUAGUAAUAAUAUUGGUAAUUCGGAAGUGAAAGUCUUCAAACACGAUUCGAGUAUUACUGCCCAUUGGAAUGGGCAUAGUUGAAGAUACUAAGAAAGAAAAAAUGGGCGUAGCAAUCUAAGAGUCAAGUUGGAUGGAGUACGCAGAUUAAGCAGAGGACACGACAUGUCUAUUCUCAUGAAAGCUUUGCUUUUGUCAUCAUAUGUACAUAUAAAUACAAACUUCAAUUUUUGACCCGCACGGUUUCUCAAGUUUCACAUAUAUGGCUACAUAUAAGACGUGAGUAAGAGAAGUGCAUUUGUUUCUUUGCAUGGCAAAUCCCCAUGCACCUUGUUUCUUUUUGUUUUAUUUGGUUUUGAUUUGUUUUUAUUUGAUUUUUAAGGGUCUUAUACCAGCUGCAUCUUAUGUGUGCAGCGGGUUGAUUAGUACAAGUGCAUGCCAACUUAAGAGUGCAAUAUGGAAGGUACGGUUUCUCGGAUCAUGAGUAUUUAUCUCGAUUCUAAUUCCCUCUCGUGGUCCAUACCUUAUUCUUACAUCACUAUUACAUAUUUACAUCCUUAUCAAACAUAUAAUAUAAGACAAUUGUAUACGUAUAUGCAUUUUGAUAAUCCUAAAACAUAGUUGGAAAUUUUACUCUUCCCCUCUCUUAUUUAUUUGUCAAUAUCCCGUACUUGUUACCAAUAGAGAUUCAGUCAUUAAUCGAUUGAGAUGUAUGAGCGUUUCGAUAUAAGCGAAACAAGAAGAACAUAGAUCGGAGUGUCAAUAUACAUGUGUGACAAAUUGACGAUACAUACAACAAUAAAUUCAUGACAUACAUGCGAAUUUGAAAUUAAAUGGAUGAAGUUAUCAAUGUCAUGAAAUCAACUAAAGUAGGAUUGCUCUAAAGAAAUAAUGCCAUUUAACAAAAAAAAGAAGAAGAGAAUUACAUGUUUAGGUUACUAACCAUUACCAAUACUAAUAUCAAUAUCAAUUAAGUGUAACCUAAAAAGUUACUAAUAAGAGAAUUACAUGUUUAGGUUAGUAACCAAUAUCAAUUAAGUGUAACCUAACAAGUUACUAAUAAAUUAAGUUUGUUUUCUUAAAUUUUUAUACCCAUACCUUGUUAAUUGAUAUGAAAAAAAUUGUUCCCUCAAUAUAAUUACUUCUAAUUUUAUUUACUGCUUUGUUUAGAGAAUUUUGUUACUAAUAAAUUAAGUUUGUUUUCUUAAAUUUUUAAAACUUAAAUUUGUUACAAACAAAAUUCUUCAAACAAAACAGACUCUCUUACACGUGCAAGAACACAGAUUUGAUAUUUCCCAAUAAAAAUAUAGAAAUACGACGAUCGAGUUACUAAAGUAUUUAAUGGCACUACAUGUUGAGAUCAAUAAAAUAAAAGGUUAGUAUCAUUUUCUCAUACAAAACACAAAAAUUUACAUUGCUAGUAGCAAUUUUAGACCAUCUCCAAUGGCUUACUCUAUUUUUUACUCUAAAAUAGAUAAUUCUAUAAUAGAGUUUAAGUUUGCUCCAAUGAUACUCUAUUUUAGAGUAGAAAAUAGAGUGAUGAACAAAAAAAAAUUACUCUAUAUUUGGAGUAAACCUAUUUUUCACUCUAUUAUAGAAUGAAAAAUAAAGUACCAUUGGAACAUUCUUUACUCUAAACUCUAUUUUAUAUUGAAAAAUAAAAUAGGGUUGGAAAUACUCUUAAGCGCAACCAGAAGUUUUUGGUUAUUCUUUUUUGGCAAAGCGUAGUUAAAAAUUAAAACGGUUAAACUCAGAUAUGAAAGAAAAUGUCAUAAUUCUCAAAAGAAGUCAUAAACCCGAAGGAAGGAAUGAAGCAGCGAGGGGAUUAAAAGAGCGGUGACACGCUUAACAUGCAAAGAUAAAUGUCAAAUCCAUCAUGAAAAUUGACAGUGCCUGCAAAAUAGUCAGUAAGCCCCUAACCAUAUUAUAAUAAAAAUAAAAGUGACGUAAGUGUCUGAGCAUAGUUAACGUAAGGUGUGCAUGGAUGCGUGUCAUAACGUUUCUCGACUUCAAUGCCCUCAAAUAGCGUUGAAUGUUUUCAAUUAAUUGCUUAGUUAUUUGACUUUUUUUUUUUGUCAACAAUUUUAUUUCAUAUCCAACUCAAAGCAGAGUACUUGAAAUACAAAGUCUGGGUACAACACCCUUUGCAAAAGCAACAGCUAAACAUAAUGCUGUGCGUAGAUUAUAAACACAUGAUAACGGAGUGAAGAGAGGAACAAGGUUUUUGAAGCUCAAGAAACCUGUAAUCUCAUUCAAGUCCAUCCCUAAGCGCAGGGAACAGAAGGGGACGAUUGAGUCCGGAAGAAUCUGAAGUCUUGAGAGUCCAGUUGAUAUUGCUGGUUGAGAGGCUUUGUGAAUCAUCACCGCUUUGACGACGUGUCCAGAGCCCACUCUACUCAAUAAGCGAUGGAGGACACGGCCUUGCAUCCACAUUCCCUUUGCCGGGCAAAUCUGAAAGUAACCAAUUGGGAAAGACCCAGCUACAAGCUCAAAGGCGACCAAACACCUCUUUGAAGAGACUGAGAGCUGUGAGGAGAACCACCAUAGCCUAAACACGCCUGAGAUAAGUGAAACCAUGUCCACAGAGACAGCAGUCCAAAUAAAAUCCUCACACUGAGGUAACAAAGUAGUAUCACAACGAGUAACUUCCUCAUACUGAGGUAAAGAGAGCUUCAACCUGAAACUCAAAGGGAGUGUAACAUCCUCAAAAAGAGGUACAGAGCUAAUCCAGGAUAGCAUUACCUCUUCAUUCCGAAUUAAAAUGGGGUUCGUAUUGAGAUAACUAAGAUCUACUAGGAGGCAAGGAUCGAACAAUCGUGACUCACUCCAGCAAAUUAAAAACACCAUACCUUGCGAGAGCUUGAAGCAAGAGAAGAUAGGCCUUGACUGAGAACUGCAUAAAGCAGUAGAGAGCUCCACUUCAAAAUGCUGCAUUGCGGUAUUAAGAGCUGCCAACAGAGAGAAAAUCACCACCAAUAUUUCAACCUUCCAAGCCCAGUCCUCAAGACUUUGAAGAGAUGAGUAAUGAAGGGAAGUCAGCUUGCACUCAGCUAUUGAUACCAAUAAUCUUGCAACAGAUAAGGAAACCACACACGACUCUUGAUGAUAAAUCGUUGAUGCCCUUAAGGCUGACUUUAACAAAACAUGUUCCACACAAGAGGUAAUAAUUAUCGGCUUUGAAACGGGAUAAUGUCGAAAGGAGGAGUAACUCAGGCCAGAGUUGAGAGCUCCGGAGGGAGAAAUUCCAACCAACGAAAGAUGCAGCAGAGCAGGCUGCGUGGAUAGCACAUCGACGUCUGGGCAGAGAGGCUUGAGCAAGCAACCGGUUGAAAAGCAGAGAUCCCAUGGCAUAAGAGAUUCGAUUUCCUUUUGAUUGAGAGGAGCGGUGUAAGACGGCGAGAACUGGCGGAGAAAGGGACAAACCAGCAGGACCGGUGGAGGGUCUGGAGGAUUUAUCGGAAACACCACGACAAGAUCCGGAUCUGGUGGUUCAGGCGGCAGGGGAGGAGAACCAAACGGGACAGUUGCAGAGGAACCCAUUGGAGGAGAAGAGGGAGAGCUUCGGGAUGGUGAGCGAAACGUCAUCAGCAGCGGAAGAGAGGCUCGUGAUUAGGACAGGAGGAGCUGCACCGGAAAGAGACCUUCAUUCUGGCGGAGAUGCAAGCUGUGCGGCUGCCUUGGACUCCGUGCCUGAGAGAGAACCAGCUAGGGCGAACUGGAGUUACUCUUGAUUGGAUCGAUAUAGUCUACUAUAAAAUCUAAAAAUGACAAGAAUGCUUAGUUAUUUGACUUAUUUACUCAUAAUUCUUCUGUAAAGGAUUUGACUCGCAUUCGCUUUUUACAUUUUCAAUUUUAAUUUAGUACUUUAGGUCCGGGUGGUUAGCAGCGGAUUCCAAUCCGGUAAAAGCAAACCAAAUAAAAUCCAAACUGAAAUAUAUAAAAUAAUUUAAAUUUGAUAGUAUCUAAUAAAUCAAAUGAAUGUUAUUUUUAAGAAACCACUAUAUAUAAAUAUGAUUUGGUAUAUAAACCGACCCAACCGAAAAAUCCAAUUAAUUAAAAUAUAUUAGUAUAUUUAUAUAUAAAUUUCAUAAUAAAAUAAAUAAUAUAUACAUACAUUAUUUUAUUAAAAUGAUAUUCAUACUUAAACCAUUGAUUUUAAUUUAAAAAAAAAUUGUUUUAAGUUAAAAAGGUUAGUUAGUUUUUCUUAUUUUCAUCGAAAUAAAUAAAACAUAACUUUUUAUUUUUAAUGGUAAAUAUUGUGUACUAAAUAUAGUUAUAUAUUAAUAUUAUGAUAUUACUAUUUUCAUACUUUUAUUUAAUAGGUAAAUAAAACAGAAAAUAUUAUAUGUCAAAAUUAGAAUAAGGAAUAUAUAUAUAUAUAUAUAUGUUUAAUAAAUCUGAUUUUAAUCAUAUAAGCUAAAUUCUAUAGAAAAAUGUUACAAAACUUGGAAACAUAAUUUUCUAGUAAUUAGAUAUAAUUAUUUCUAUGUAUGAUAUGGAACAAAAUUUGGGAAAUUAAAUAAACGUGUGUGUUUUUAUUUGGUAAUAGGUUUUCUAAAAUCAAGUGUGUUUGUUUGUUUAUUGCAAAGGAUAACUGGAAUGGGGUAUAUCUAUAUUAUAUAUUGUACCUUGAUUAUAACAAGUUAAUUAAUUUCUGUAUAUUUUCCCGUUGCUUAAUUUCACUACAAUUUAUCAAAGUGAUAUGUUCAUUCAAACUUUGUUUGUUGAAAAAAAAAUCAAACAUUGUUUUUGUAUCAAAUAUAAAUAUAAACUCUGCUUCUAGCAAUUAGUUUGCGCACAGCCAUUACUCCAAUAGUUUUUUAAAAAACCAUUCCUCGAAUAGAAAGAUAUAUUAAAGCCCUGAGUCUCUGACUAUAUAAAACUUAUACACGUAAACAAAACAAAAGUUAUUACUCCAAUGAUCCAUUCAGAUGUGAAUGCAGUGACGAUUUGCUUAAGUCAUGUGAGUGAAUGAAGUUGUAUUUUGGGUAAAAUUGCUUAAAAUGAUGCCCUAAAAGAGAUUUAUCACUUAUAAUAAAAAAAACGUGUAUGUAUGUGUGAGUUCUCUCUCGUGACGGCAAAGAGAUAGAGAAAGAUGGAUCAGUUUCGUUGAAAGAGAUCGUCCAUCCGGUGGUCGCAGAAGAGUGUCAGCUCUCUAUCUCGAUUAUCAUUUCAGUGACAAAUCAGUGCCCACCUUCUUCCAUCUUCCUUACGUCUGCAUCUCUCUUUAUAUACACACCUCGUUACAUAUCUAUUUAUCUCUCUUACGUAAAUGUGACCACUUCAAUAUACACAAGAUUUAAUUCCCACUAUAUCGACUUUUACCGUUUCUCACAUUCGGUGCCACCUCAAUUAGGUUUAGAUGUGUUGGUGUAGUUUAGAUGUUUUAGGAUGUGACUACAAGAAUCUGUUUUCAUUAAUCGGUUACUAAUAAUUAACAAUUAGAUUUAUAUGUGCUGGUAACAACUCUUUUAAUUAAGAGUUCUUAUGACCAUAUAUGUGACAAGAAAACACGCAUUUAUUUUGGUAAGGACAAGAAAAGACAUUGUUAACUAAUCCGGCUAAUUAACCACAUCUGUAAAAGUUUAUUUCUUCAAUUUACAACAUGCAAAAUUAGGUAGUAAUUGUUUAUUUUAAAACAUAAAUUAGGACUUAGAGAUUAGGACAAAACGAGAGCUGCACAUAUUCUUGAUGGGCCCCUUGAUCUCGUCUCUCCACUGGUCAGCUAUUUCCCCAGCGAUAUUAACCGCGUCUGACGCCGUUCCAAGGAGUCCUCUCCUAGUAAACCCAACCGUGUACAAUCCUUUCCCUCCUCUCCACCCGUUAGGAAACGGCGUUUUUGGCAUCCCUUCCUUCGUGAAAAAAUCACUUCCCUAAUAAAAUACAGGUGUUAUUAUUGUUUUUAGUUAAUUGCUAGAUGAGUGGGAACUAUAAGAUGUUAAGCUUACCUGAAGCCAAGUAGGCACGUUGCUUUUGUAACCAGUGGCAAAUAUGAUCGAGUCAAACUCCUUUUCUUGACCAUCCAUAAACUUUGCUCCAUUUUUUGUAAUUUCUUUUACACCUUCCAUUAUCUUCAUUUUUUACAGUAAGAAACGACAAACAUUAGGUAUACCGAGAAAAAAACAUAGAAAGUAAAACUAUUAGCUCGGACUCAUAAACAAGGUUUAUGGAAUCAUGGCGACAUUAAAAUGAAUCACGGAAGCAUAUACAGAAAAUAGUACUUAAUAAAAACAAAAUUUAGCUUUUGAGUGUUCAUCAAAGAAAGAUAGAUUAUUCUAUUAAGAAUAAGAAAACAUUUUAGAAGCAGAACAAAACUUUUUUCAACAAUUUAAAAAAAAUCUAAAACAGUCUUUUGUAGUUUCCACAUUAACACGGUUCUUUUUAAAAGUUAGACUAAUACAAUAUUAUUAGGGCAAUUGUCAAUAAUAGCAUCUUUUGAAGUUUAUGUCUCAAAAAGAGCACUAGAAGGAGAAAGUCACAAAAAUGACAUUCAUUAAAGGGUAAAAUGUCCCUAAUAUCCUUGGUUUAAAUUAAAUAAACAAACAAAAAAAAUAAAAAAAUAAAAAAAAAAUAAAAAAACAUAAAAAAAAAAGAAAAAAAUAAAAAAAAUUUACAGUUUCAGAUUAUAUGUUUUUAUAUUCGAAAUUUUUAUAAUUUUUUUUAAAAAAAAAAUUUUGAAUUUUUUUUUAUUUUUUUUUCAAAUUUUCUUUUUAUAGUUUAAAAAUAAUUUUUGAAACUGUUUUAUAAAUUUUUUAUUUUUUAUUUUAGUAUUUAUUUUUUUAUAAAAUUUUAAACCCUAAUUCCAAAACCCCACCCUCUUAACUCUAAACCCUAAGGUUUGGAUUAAUUAACCCAAGGGGUAUAAGUGUAUAUUUACCUCUUUAAUGAAACCUAUUUUUGUGACUUUGAACCUUGAGUGCUAAUUUGGAAACAAAAACUUGGUUUGGUGCUAUCCUAGUCUUUUUCUCAUAUUAUUAUUUAGUAGGUAGUGCAGAGUUAUAAAUAAAUAUUGUAACUAAAAGAUGACUACUGCUCAGUUGCUGGCCACGCAAAACUGUCACUAAAUUAAUGUAAAUAAAAAUAAAAAAUGAGGAGAAAGUCUUAAUUCAGUAAAUUAAUAGGAGACCCACCUUAAUCUUGCCAGAUCUGAUGAGAGACAUAGCUCCAACGUCGAGAACCGGACUUUUUCCUGUGACAUUUUUUAGCUCAAGCGGACCGGUUUUUGGUCGGUGUAUACCUAACCGGUCGGUAUUUCCAAACGAAAGAUUAGCCAUCAGUAACAAGAACUUAUCAACAAGCCGUAAUGGUAAACACUUGAGAAGUGUCAUCCCAACUCCAAAUGUUGAUAGCCCAAGUAUCUCCCUUGGCAACACAUGAACCUACAUGAAAUAAAUAUAACAUUUAUAAUCAAUAUAUAUACCAAAACGAUAAAUUAUUUUUUUAAUAAAUAGAAAGUACAUAUGUUUUUAUUCACUUACUGUGUUACGGACAACAAGAUGAGGAGAAGCGUUAUGUCGAACAAGAUCCAAACUAAUCUCCAUCCCGGAGUUUCCACAUCCCACGACUAAAACUCUCUGUUGUCUGAACUCUUCGCCGCUUCUAUAAUCACUAGCGUGAAUAAUUUUACCACCGGAAAACUUCACUAUCCCCGGAGUCUCCGGGACGUAAGCAUCAGCGUUCUCACCGGUCGCAACAAUAAGCCACUUCGAGAGAUACUCUGUCUUGUUUAGAGUCUUUACUCUCCACAAACCAGAUGACGUAUCGAAAGCAGCGUUUACAACGUUCUCGUUGAACCUCGGGGCGAUGCCAAAGUGUGAAGCGUAUGACUCAAGGUAAUCCAAGAACUCGUUUUUAGAAGGGUAUUUUGGGAAAUUUUCAGGGAAGUCCAGGAGCGGUAAUCUGCAAAAGUGUUUUGGGAGAUGGAGCUUGAGUCUGUCGUAGGUUUUGGUUUUCCAUAGAGAUGCUAUUGAAUCAGAACGUUCUAGGAUCAAAGAAGGGACUCCACGGUUUGAGAGACAUGCUGACGUGGCAAGACCGGAAGGACCUGCUCCUAUGAUGAUGGGACCGUGUACGAGGAUGAUCUGUUUGGUCUGAUGGUCGGUUUGGUUGUGGCGAGGAAGUGGAGGAGAGUCCAUUAUCUUCGAAGAGUGUGGAGGAGACUAAAAGAGUGAGAUAUGUUUUACUUUUGGAGAAAUGUUCUUUGGUGUGAGGCUAAAUAACUGGAAUUUAUAGAAGGGGAGUUUCACUAGUGGGACCUUUGUAAGAUUCUCUCUAUGACGUUUUUCUUUACAAAUUUCGAACAUAGUACAUUUGUUUUUCGAGAUAUAUUUAAGUUGUAAGACUAAAAGCAAUAUUCUUACUUUCUUAGGCAUUAUGAAUACUGACGGCAGAUUAAUUAAUUGAACGGGUAUAAUCAAUGAGAAGGAAUUAGAUCAUAAACAGAGCUACAUUUAGUAAUCUACAUGAUAACAUAAUGGUUUGCCAAAUCACGUAAUUAUGUGAAUUCACGAAUUUUGGAUUAAAUUAUUUGACGAUUCCACCCGCAACCAUCAUUGUUCACCAUAUGAAGCCUAAUUAGAUUUCUAUAUAGUACUAAUCAAUAAAUGGUGGAGACUUUAUUUAUUUUUAAUUGUUCAGAAGCUUAACGUUUUUGUUUUUGCUACAUAUUGAUGUCACACAUCGUAAUCUAUACUACAAAAUGUUGCAAUUCAUGUUAACUGAAUUUAAAUGAGAAAUAAAUGAAUACUGAAAAGUUUAAAACAAUAAAUGAAGAGUGUUUUCAGAACACCUUGAAUGUAAGAUUAAUCCGAUAAACAGAGUUUUGGAAGUAACAUGUAUAAAUGGUUUAGUCAUCAUCUCAAGUUCAUAUGAUUGAUCUAUGAAGUCUAGAUACAGUGUUUCUAAUUAUUUUAUAAAACUUGGAAAAUGUAAGAAAUCAAGAUAUUGAGUGGAUAAUAGAAAUAGUGGUGAAAGAGGCAUUGGAAUAGUAAAAUUGCAGUGCAAAAUGACAGUGUAAUAAAUGGAAAGCGUGAAGCUUAAGUAAAUUAUUUGCUCCUCUUCCCAUUUGAUUUUGGGAAAGAAUCGCCAAACAUAAAAAACAAAAAAAUCAAACACAGGAAUUGACCAACAAAUUGGCUGGACUUUUUAAAAUUAAUGAUCUAUUAAUGUUCUGAGUUAGCUUUUGCGCGUUGUCUUAGCCAACAUUCAUUUCAUUUCCAUUUUCAAAAGUUUCUCACAACAAAACAAAAUACUUGAAUUUGGCUGAAAGUUGUUUUAGACAUGUGUAAAUAACUGGUAAAGUGACUUUUGUUUGCAGUAAUACUCAAAAUCAUUAUGUGACAGAUGUUAUACACUUCCAAUUCAAAAAUAAUGACAUGAUAGAAUUAAUUUAUCUCAUAUAUUAUAGGAAGUUACCUAUAAUAUAUUCAGACUGUAUGAGUCUUUACAUGUCUCUUACAAAUCAUGGGUUUUGAUAGUAAAUGGAUGAUUUAUAUUUGUUGAUAUCCACCCAAUAUAUAUAAGAGGGUUGCUAGUGCCCAAUCUCUUAUAGUAACAAUUUAAUCAGACAAUCAGAUCUACGGGUUUAGUAAGUUAAACAUCUAUCCAAAUUCCAUGUAUAGUACACAAACCUAUUAUCCUUUUGUAACUUUGAAACAAAUUGGCUUUUUCAAAUUUCCAAGAUACUGGCCUAAAAUGAGCAUAUAACGUAUAAUUCCAAGGAAUGGGUUAGGAAUUCAAUAAUUUUGAUGUAACAGAUAUUUUUUGUUGGUUAACAAUAUAACAAAGAUUUUCUUAAAAAAAUGUAUAUCAAACUACAAUUUGAUUACGGGUGUAUGAACGUGCGCCGAAAUUAGCUAAGGUUUGUUCAAGAAAGCAAGUAUAAUUCACUCACAUGCUUCCUCAAGAAACUUUAUAGCUUUAAGAUGAUUAUUUCAUUAGAAUACUAAACAUUUAAGCGUGAUCAUUUUCUUUAAGGUUAUAAACUGGAUAAGACUCCCAAAGUAUGGAUAUUCAUUUUAUGGGUAUUAUAUUAUAUGAAAUACCUCAACAUUUGAUGUUCUUCUUGUUGAUAUGUAUGAAAAAUACAGUGACCAAGCAUUACAUAACUUUUUCGGUUAAUGACUUACUGUAUUUCUUUCUGGCUAAGCACACUGUAUAGUACUUGAAUUACGUAACUUCUUGAAUCGCUUAAUACCAGAAUAUUCCGGACUACACAUUAAAUCAGAAGGAACACUCUGUCAUCUAAGACUAGCUUAGGGAGAUUUGGAGACACAUCGUCGUUGUAUAUCUAACAAAAAGAUAAAACCAUACAAGUUACAACAUAUUUGAUCAUCUGAAUCUAAAUACUCCGCAUCCAAACUCUCGUAGGAACUAGGAAGCUAGGUCGAGACUAAAAUGGAAUAAUUAAAGGAUAGCUAUUAUUGACCAAUUCAUGACUUUUAUGGAAAAGAAAGCAGGUUGUAAUGAUGAAAGAUACUCGAGGGCAUAAACAAAUAAUUGCAAGUACAAUUAUAAUCAUUGAUAAGAAUUUUCCUGUUUUGUUUCAACUUUCGUUAUAAAAUUUGCAUAAGUGUCAUGCAUGUGGUUCUUCGCCAAAAGUAUAGUUCAUCUUAUUAAAUAACAUGCACAUAUUAAAUUAUCUGUUUGGGACUGCAAAAUUUGCUUAAUGUUGUAUAGUAGUGAUAUGGACAAUGGACUUAUUCUUUUCAUCAAUGGUUUGUUAACGUCUUGAUUAAAUUCUAGGAUUUACGACCUCCAGAUACUUGUACAGUCAAAUUUUUGUACCAGACAGAAAAUGUUUAUAACAUAGUUAUGAUGUGGGGUUAUAAUUCAACCGUAAGUUAUUUUUUGUUUCAAACACAAAAAUGCUAAAAUGCAAUCGGAUUAACUUCUUCUUUUGUUGGUAAAUUUAUUUUAGAAAGCAUGUUUUAAAAUACAGCCAAUUGAAAUCGUUGCGUGAAUGAUCAUUUUGGUCAAUAUGAUCUGUUUUAAAUUGACUAAUGAGAAUCUAAUGGGGUUUGUUAGGAUUUUAGAUUAGGUGAUAUGAGAGUGGUGGAUAGGUUAACUUAGAUGCAGCUGUGUUCUAGUCUUCUUUUGGUCCAUAUUUUGUUGUUAAUAAUAUUCUUAUAUGAUGGACCUAAGUUGCGCAUGCAUGCUUAUAGAUUUAAGUAAUUCAUACUGGAGGAAAACUAUUUAACUAUUUCAUACACCUUUACUCAGCUAUCGCCAAAAGAGUCGGUUAUAAUAAACUAGUAAAAGCUAGUAAUUCACUAUUUUUUAGUUUUUGGGUAGUCCAUCUAAUGAAACUUUAUCACGUUCAUAGAGUAGAAAAAAUGACUAAUCAUGUUUGUUUAAGAUUUGAGAGGCACUGGAAAUAGUUUCUGAUGGAAAUUAAGUUUAUUUUCCAAGCGUUGAUUUGUAGAGGUGUCUUAGUACAAACUGUACAAACUGAUUAUAAUUUAUCAACGAAGAAUGCAAAAUUUAAUUGCUAAUAUUCGACUUUUACACUAAUACAAGAGUUAAUUGAAAAUGAUAAUCUUGAAAAACAAUCCGUGUUUUUGCGGUACUCGUAAAAUAUCAAGUGUUCUAAUUCAGUGCGCCUACAUGGACAAAAUGUAAAUGCGUACCGACUAAUGUAUUAGUUUAUUUUCCGACCAAACCCAUUCGAGAUAUGGAUAAGCGCAUUUGUUGAGAUUUUAUCACUUGCUUUAUGAUUUGAAUUCAAUCUUUUAAUUCACUUGCAAGAUACGAACCUUUUAACGUUUGUUUUGGUUUUGGCUGUGAUGAUCUCAAGUCACUUUCAUAAACUUUUUUAAUGGUAGUAUAAUACUAAUUAAAGCUAAUUUCUCAUAUGGUCAGAAUUGUAUAGACGGUUAUUAGAGAAAAUCAGUGUUUUGAAACCUGACAAAGAUCCGCGGCUGAGCCGGUAAACUCGAUAACCCAGAGAAAAUCCAAUAUUUAAAAACCUGCAAAAAUCCACAAAAACUCAAUAAAAUUUGGAACCCGAUACCGGUUGAACCACCGGUUGAAUCAAUAAAUAACUUUUACUUUUUUAUUUAUUUAUUAUGUUUUUAGAUUAUAUUUUAUAUUUUAAUUUUUCAACUAAGAAGUUAUGUACUGACAAAAAAAUUAGGUUUUUCCUUUUCAGUUUUAUAUUUUUGAUUUUUAGAUUUUGAUGAAGAUUUCACUAUGCCAUUUGAAGAAAAUGAAGUGAACAAUGGUAGAGAAAACUAAAAUUAGUUGAUGUGAUUUGAUGUUAGCUUAUUUCCGUUAUUGAUAUUUAUUAUAAUGAUUUUUUAUUUUUGGUUUAUUUUUUAUUUGAAAUUUAAUUUAUUAUUCACAUUAGAUAUUUAAAUAUUUAUAAAUUUUAUGUCUUGAUUUCUUUUAGAUGUCAUAACUCUUACUUUACUAGAAAAAAAUAUAAAUAGUCUAAUGUAUUUUUUGAUAUUUUGUAUGUCAAAUAAAAAUAAAAAUAUAAAAAUUAAAGUUAAGUAUUUUCUAAAUGUUUUUAAACAUAAAUAUGUACAUAUCCAAAGUAUUAUUUUAUGUUUUAGAAAAUAUUUUAGAAAAUAUUAAAUUUUAGUUUUUAUAUUAUUAUUUAUAAAAUUAAUUUAUUUAUUAAUUUGUGGUCGAUCCAGUGAUGAGCAAUCUGGUAAGUCGUCUGGUUCUAUGUUGUCGGGUUUAAAAAACAUUGGAAAAAAUAUUGAUGGGAGGACAAGUGUAACUAGUGUUCAUGAAGAUUUUGUUUUGCUUGUUGGGCUGUAAUUUGAGCCCAAUUCUGGAGGAUGACCCAUUGGAAGUUUCCAAGCAACUCCAUAGUGUUUGGUAAAGAAAUUUAAAUAACACAAUAACGUUUUCUUUAGAAAUUAUUUGUCAUGAAUACAUUCCGGGAAAAUAUGUAUAUACUUUUAUAUCCGUAUUUUAAAAUUUAAUAUCAGUAUAAUUUUGUAUUGAGAAACUCAUUAAGAAAUUAAAUUGCUCUAAGAUUUCCUUUCACCUAGUUACCUUAUUUAAACAAACUAUAUCCCAUAUGUGGGGUUGUCCAUCAAGUAAUUUCAUGACUACUUUCCGGAGAGGUGAUCAAGACCUAAAGUCUACGUCCAAAAAACUACUGCACACUAAAAAGUCUAUAAACUAUAAAAAUUAAAAUUUAAAAACAAAUAAGAUUCGUGUUUUCAGUUUUUCCACAAGUCGGGUUCAUAGCUCAUAUACAUCACUGCUCGACAAAAAAAAGAAUAUAAAAAUAUACUAAAGUAUGCAAUAAGCCGAUAACCAUUGACAUUGGGAUGUUCAUAUUGAACUGUGUUUACACUGGAAGUUCCUAUGAAAUAUUAAGAACACAAACGGAUCUUCUCAUGGCAUAAUUGUAAUCUUGGCAAUUGGCAUCGAACCCAAACGGAAAAGAAAUAUAUAUAGUUUAACUUUAUUAAUUUAUAAAUCUAUCUGUGUUAAUCUUUAUUAAUUUUUUUGUUUUGUAGUCUCCAAAGUAAAACAGGGGAAAAGCUUUGAAGAAGCUCAUCCUCUAAAACCUUGACCAUUUCUCUUUGAGGAAGACUGACCAUAACCACUCGGCUCAUUGGUCCGUCCCCAGACGAUGAAGGAAGCACUAUGACCUGUCCACCUCCAGCUACAGGCCCUUCAACGUAGCAAGAUAAGUGGCUCAACAUCAAAUCCUCCUCGAACAUCAUUGGACGUGGAUUCCCCAUGUUCUCUAGAUUAGUACAAACAAGAUCCGAACCGUUGGAUAUCGGAUUGUUAUUGUUGCUACCAAGCCACUCGACCAAAUCCAUGACCGCGUGGUAGUCUAGUAGCCCCUUGGUUACAUUAUGAAUCUCUUGAACAACAUAAGAUAAUAAUAAUAACCUAUCUAUCGCCUUGACAGGUUUGGAAUAAUGAACCUUGUGAUAAACCAUGCAGUUACCGAAAUAACUUUGGUCUAAACGCAAUAGUUUCCUAACGUCUAAGCACAAUGACAUGUCCGUAAGCUCGUUCCUCUUCCCUUUGGCCCGACUCACACAGACACAAAAGAGUCCAGACAAAAUCUCAAAUGCCGUAAGCCCUGCCUCGUUCUCGCCCGAUUGGACCAUCGGAUCCGGGAACAGGAGGGUAAUAGUGACCAUAUGAUCCUCGGUUAUGUUUAGAGGUGGAGCUGUUAGGGAGCAAUAUUUAAUGUAAUGGCUAAGAAGUUGGUUGUUAGAGAGCUUAUGGCUAGAGAACCUGCGAGGUGGGAGUGAAUGGAAGAUUGGUGGAGUCAUCAUGUUUCGAGUCAGUGUUAAAUCAGCCCAUGUUCGAAUAAACAUCAUUGCACAGACUGGAUCUGCUAACAGAUGGGUACAACUUAACCCAAUAGCUAACCCACCACUUUCAAACUCAGUCACCUGUAGAUGAAAAAACAGCAAAAAGUUAGACCAAGCCAAACCGAAUCAAAACUAAACAAAAAUUAAAGAAACUAUAUGUUAUAUGAUCCAAUGGUCUAAAAAUCGGUUCUAAACAAAACAAUUUUUCUGAAAAACAAUUUGUUUAGGUGACACUUAAACGCUAAUCUAGACACUAAUCUUAAAUAAAACAUCUCUAACUAUCAUUUAAAGAUCUUUUGAGCCUUGGUUAUGGUUAUACCUGAACAUAAAAGGUAGACCAGUAAUAAGGAAGAUGAUACAUGUCCUCCCAAUGAACAAGCUUAAGCUCUUCCUCUCUAUUUACACUCCUACGCCAUUCCUCAACCGUCCCGGUAGCUCUCGCCUCAAUCAUUCUCACCCCGGCGUCGUUGCUCUUCACCUUCCACCGGUUCUCUUCCGUACCAUCAGUUUCCUUAACCAAUCUCCCGGUUACAAUUGGAUAACAAUUGAGAGUAUACGCUAAUGAUUCUCUUAGCUUCUUUGUGAUCUCUCCCGGUUCUCUAGUCUUGGAAGACUGGUAAUAGUAUACGAAGCGGAUGUGAUUCGGUUCCAUGACGUGGUCGAAUACUGAGAAUCGGUACAAUCGCCCUUGUUCAACCGGUUUCGUGCUCACUACGGUUCGUUUGCAUAUAAGUCUCACCCGGUUCUCCUCCAUUACUGUCUUCUCUUUGGCAAACAUUUUUUUUCUUUUCUUUUACUAGAAUCUGGUUCUUACGUGCUUGCACGUUCGUGUCUCUCGUAUAUAUAUACAACGUUUUCAUGUUCGAACACAUACUUUUCUCAUGAAAUGAAACAACCCCUCACGUAGGGGAAAGUAAUAUUUUCAUGCUCCCCUAAAACAUGACUAUGUGCCGCCGAUUUGUAUAUAUGUGUACGUAAAAUAACUUUUAGAACAACAAAAACAAAAUUAAAUUGAUUUAUCUCUGUUACUUGAUUGAAUUUGGUGAAGAUUGUGACAAGAAUUUGGAUAUUGAUAUGUUGUUAAAGAAAAAGAAAAAGAAUUUGGAUAUUGAUAAGAAAGCAAGGCCCAAAAGAAAAUUCUUAGUAGGCUAGCUAACUGGCCCAUGAAAUCUAUUAAAAGGCCGAAACUAACGAACACAUUGAAAAAACGUCGUCGUUACAGCUUUCUUAUAUUAGCCAUGCGCAUCAAGAGCGCGUGAUUCACAGUUCCUCAAUAUCUUCUCAAAAUCACAGGCUCUGAUAAUUUCUUUUCUACAGAAGAGAGAGAGAGAGAGAAGCAGAUCUUGUCAUCACGAUCCUUGCAAGAAGAGAGAGAAUGUCUGGAAUGGUUGAUGCGAGCUCGUGGGGCGCGGCGUUGGUAAGGAUCUCGCCGUACACUUUCUCCGCAAUCGGAAUCGCCAUCUCGAUCGGCGUCUCCGUCCUCGGUGCCGCCUGGUAAAUCCAAUCUUCUCCUUCGUCUUCUCAACGUAGAUACAAUCAUUGCCGCGUCAAUUGAUUGUGUAAAUCCCUAAAAUUUGAGAUUGAGAUUGACCUGUUUGCUUGUCAGGGGGAUUUACAUAACGGGAAGUAGUUUGAUCGGUGCGGCCAUUGAAGCUCCUCGUAUCACUUCCAAGAAUCUCAUCAGGUAUGAUCCAAAGUUCAAGUCUUUCAUUCUAAUUUUGUGGAUCAACUGAGUUUGAAUUUAAGAUCCAUUGAAGGAUUCUACUGGGUAGUAAUCACAUACUAAUUAGAAGAAACAAGUUGUUAACUUGGGAUCCAAACACUGAAUGUGAUGAUGUCUUUCCACUCAUUUCAGCAGAUAUAUAUAUAUGUUUUUUCUCAUAUCCAUUUAGCUUAUGUCAAAUGAGAGGGUAGAUAUUUAAAGCGUCUAUGAUGACAUUAGCACAAUCCGUUUGUGAACCAUAUUGAGAUGAGAGUUUGGCUCUAGAGGGUACUAUCAGGGAAUGCUUAACCACGACAGUUGUGUUUGUAAUUUGAUUGGUUGUUACAGAGCUUUGUGCUCGGACUUUGAUGAUAGAACUAUGCAAUGACGAAUCAUUUCUUUUUUUUCUUUUCUUGUCCCAGUGUAAUCUUUUGUGAAGCUGUUGCUAUAUAUGGCGUUAUUGUUGCCAUCAUUCUGCAAACGAAGUUGGAGAGUGUCCCGUCUUCAAAGAUGUAUGACGCUGAGUCUCUCAGAGCUGGAUAUGCAAUUUUCGCAUCUGGAAUCAUAGUUGGAUUCGCCAACCUCGUAUGUGGGUAUGUAUCUUUAAUUUCUAAUUCUCCUUCCUUACAGUUUUGUUUUCUUGGACCCCCAUCGUCAUGUAUGACGUUUUUCUCUUGCAGGUUAUGUGUAGGGAUCAUUGGAAGCAGUUGCGCAUUAUCUGAUGCUCAAAACUCAACACUCUUUGUGAAGAUUCUUGUGAUUGAGAUCUUCGGAAGCGCUCUGGGGUUGUUUGGAGUUAUCGUGGGGAUCAUUAUGUCCGCACAAGCAACAUGGCCGACCAAAUAGAUAUUACCGGUCUGAAACUGUUGUGAUAUCUGGAAAGAACAUGGCUUCUUGAUUAUCUUUGUUGUUAUAUGGAUACUCUCAUGUCUAGAAGUAAAACCUGUGAGAACCCGAGAACCACUUUUGGAUCCCUGAUUUUUUUUUGUAUUUAUUUAAAACUUUGGAAUAAGUCACACGUUGAAGAACGUCUUCUUCAUGUUUGUAUUCACGUUGGUCGUUCUCUAUUUAUCAAAAACAGAGUUUGUAUAUGAUUUGUUUAAAUUUGAAAAUUUCAGUCAAUGAAUAGGUUUCUCUAAACCAGUUAAGACUGCCUGCAAUAAUGUUGUUGCAUCAUAUUCUGGAUGAAGCACUCAACCCAACUAAAAAAACCAAUGAAGUAAUUCAGUUUUUUAAGUGCAAGCUGCUAACUGUACCAGCCGGUUAAUCCUAAACCGGAGAUUGAAGUAGACGACGUCGUUUACUGAUAUUUCUUUUCGGUGGUUGUCCCGUUCUUGGAACCUGGAGAGGUUUGUGUAAAACCCUAAGCAUAUAUGUACGUCGCCUGAGCAUCUGGUUGAGCGUAUCCUUCCAUAUUUGGCUUCCUUUCUCAUUUGUCGACUCCAUCUCCGUCUUCUUAGCUACCUCGUCCUGAAAGCUCAAACCUUUAUUCACAGUACCGGUGAGUAUUGCCGUUUUCGUUUCCCUCGCUUUUAGUUCUCGGAAGAUUAUUUAUUUGAAUCCACUCUGCUAUGUGUAGUAUUCGACUGUUUCGGAUUUGGUUUUGGGUCAGUAGCUGAUAAUAUGAUAUGUUAUCUCUGAUGUUACACGAUGCUCGUCCCUGAUUCAAAGUUUAAAUCUUUCUUUCUUGUUGUUUCAGAUAGAAACAGUCCGCCUCUGUUCUUUGUAUUAAUUUGUGUAGUUAUAUUGCCUCUGCAGUUUUAUUCUCACAUCUUCAUUAACUGGCCUUGUCUGUAUAUUGUGUUCCUGUAAUAAUUGCACUUUUUUUUGUGUGAGUAGGAGUAGAGAAAGAAUGGAAGCUUGUUGUGGAGCUACUUCAAUGGGUUCUCUUCAGCAAUCUGGAGGGGUUCAAAGACCUGUCUUUGCUCCAGUAAUGUCCCCAGUGAACAAGUUUUCUCAGCAACUGAAAUUCAAUUUUGCCGGACCUAACCGUUCUUUGUUUCUGAAAAGAAGCCUGGUCGUUGAAAGGAAAGCGUCUUCUGUCUCGGUACCUGCUGUGGAGACUAGCAGUAAGAGAGUUUUGUUUUCAUUUUUAUUAAUUAUGUGAAGGUUCUGUUCUAUACGUGGUUUUGAUUAUUGUGUCUGUGACGGGUUCUUAGACAAUGAAAUCCCUUUUGAGGACUAUGGUCGUUCUGAAGUUGAUCCAGAGGUCGAUGAGAUUAUCAAAAAGGAGAAAAACAGACAGUUCAGGAGCUUGGAGCUUAUUGCUUCCGAGAAUUUCACAUCCCGAGCUGUUAUGGAGACUGUUGGAUCAUGCCUUACCAACAAGUAUUCUGAGGGUCUACCUGGUAAAAGGUAAUGAACUAUGUAAGAUUGAGUUUUCUGACUCUUUUGUUCGUUAUGUUACUCAUCUCUGUUGUUCCAUGUCUCACAGGUAUUAUGGUGGCAAUGAGUUCAUCGAUCAGCUGGAGACACUUUGCCAGAACAGGGCUUUAGCUACCUUCCGCUUAGAUUCAACCAAAUGGGGAGUUAACGUUCAGCCCUUAUCUGGUUCACCUGCAAACUUUGCUGUGUACACUGCCAUACUUAAGCCUCAUGAUCGAAUCAUGGUUAGUGAAGAUUGUUAGUUUGUUACGUUCUUGUGUGUUUGAGAUGUAUUGAGUAUUGGUUACUUGUUUGAGCAUUUUUAGGGUUUGGAUUUACCUCAUGGAGGCCAUCUGUCACACGGGUUCAUGACUGCCAAAAGGCGUGUAUCUGGAACUUCAAUUUACUUUGAGUCCAUGCCUUAUCGACUUGAUGAAUCAACAGGUGUGUGUACAUUUCUUUAUGAUAGGGUCUCAGAAACUACUUUUAUAUGAGGCUAUUUUCCUGAUGUGUCUGAGUAUUUUGAGCGUAGGCAUUGUGGACUAUGAUAUGCUCGAGAAAACUGCUGUGCUGUUCCGACCAAAGCUUAUAAUCGCAGGAGCUAGUGCCUACAGCCGAGAUUUCGACUAUCCUCGCAUGAGGAAGGUAGAAAACCAAACCAUUAUCCUUAAAUAAUUGCUUAAUGGUUUCUGUCUAGUCCUGGCUUUUGGUAGUCUGAUGUUUCAUUUUUUGUGUUAAAUUUUGUAGAUUGCGGACUCAGUUGGUGCUUUUCUGAUGAUGGAUAUGGCUCAUAUCAGUGGACUUGUGGCUGCCUCUGUGGUUGCCGAUCCUUUUGAGUAUUGUGAUAUUGUCACAACCACCACUCACAAGGUAUUUAUGUUCUGUAAUCUGAAACACAAUCUUCAUUCUGAUAAAUCCAAAAGCCUAAUAGAUUUUUUAUACUUUAUUAGUCUUUGAGGGGUCCGAGAGGUGGAAUGAUCUUCUUCAAGAAGGAUCCAGUUAAUGGGGUUGAACUUGAAUCUGCCAUUAACAACGCUGUCUUCCCUGGUCUACAGGUUGAGAUACUGACCACUCUGUCUAGCUUUCUCAGAUAAUUUUAGCUUUGGACAUGAUUAAUAUAUUGUUGUCUUGUAUGGGUCACUAGGGUGGACCUCAUAACCACACAAUUGGAGGAUUAGCAGUCUGCUUGAAACACGCACAGUCGCCUGAAUUCAAGGCUUACCAGAAAAGAGUACUCGCACUUUUCACUCGAUCAUUGACUUCUUCUGCACCUGAUAGAGUUUGGAAAUGUAGCUUAUGAGAUAAUCUUGUGUUGCUUGUGUAGGUUGUGGCUAACUGUAAGGCUCUAGCUAACCGGUUGGUUGAACUCGGGUUUGAUCUGGUUUCUGGUGGCAGUGACAAUCAUCUGGUCCUUGUUGAUCUUAGACCAUUGGUAAGCUCUCACAAACGCUCUUUUCACAAAACCAGUGAAUCACUUAUGAUGAUGCUGUUAUGAAUCAAAAUUUUUUUUUUGGGGUAUGGAUAGGGCAUGGAUGGUGCUCGGGUUGAGAAAAUCUUAGACAUGGCGUCCAUUACACUCAACAAGAACUCUGUCCCUGGUGAGCCUCUUCCACUCAACAUAGAACUUGCAGAACAAAAAGUACUUGAGCUGUAAAAUAGCUAUUUGGUAUCUGUGUGUGUGUGUUUGAGACGGGUGUUGAAUGUGGAAUACAGGGGAUAAGAGUGCGUUGGUUCCAGGGGGAAUAAGGAUAGGAACACCUGCGAUGACGACAAGAGGACUAACGGAGAAAGACUUUGUGGUGGUUGCUGACUUGAUCAAGGAAGGUGUGGAGAUCACUAUGGAAGCCAAGAAGCUGGUUUCAGGAACAAAGCUUGGAGAGUUCACCAAGCUGGUGACAUCUCCUGACUUCCCAUUGAGAGAGAAGGUGGAGUCUCUCAAGGAGAGAGUCGAAUCAUUCACCUCUCGUUUCCCCAUUCCUGGAGUUUGAAGUUAUUUUUAAAAAGGAAACAAAUGGUGGUGUUUUACCCUUUUUUAAAAUUAUUACUGAGGGUUUGAUCAGCUUGCCUGUGUCACAAGUCAAGAUAAUAUUGGUGUCAAAAAUAAAAGAGAGAAGUAUUUGAAAUAAUGUUUAAAUAAGAGGAAACAGCUAUUUCGCGGGAGGUGGCGAAUGUAUCUAUUCUCUCACCCAAUCUUUCUCCUCUCUCUCUCUCUCUCCUCUUUUUUUUUUUCAAAUAUCCUCAGGCAGUCUCUCUCUCUAUAACAGAAAAAGAGAGAGAGAUCCGAUAAACAGAGUUUUAUCCUCCGUAACCGUAAUCUUACUGGAAUCGGAUCUCUCCACGUUGGUGGAUUUUUUUCCUCCGGCGUGCUUAAUACGGCGGCCAGGAUCGUUUUACGCUUUCUUCUUCUUCUUCUCCUCCAGGUGCGCGAUUGUAUCUAUAUGCGUUUCGUUUCAUGUAUUUGUAUCAAAUUUGGUCAAAACAUUUCGGAUCUCGAUUCGUUUCUUAGGUCGAAAGUUUAAGGUGAUGAAGGAUUGAUUGAUUAUCUUUGUGUGAUUCGAUCGAUUCGUUUAUUAGACAUUGCAAAUUUGCAAUGCGUUUUGGAAUCCAAUGGUGGAAUCGUUAUGUUCGUCUCAUGAUUCAGAGCUCUUCCAUUUGCAUUUGGUUUGCUGAUAUUUUUUAGUUUUGUAUCAUCGAUCCAGAGCCAUCGCUGAUCCCUGAAGGUUCAGCUAUGGAGGGAGCCAAUACCCCGUUUGCGGGAAUUGUUAAUGAUUUCAAUGGAAGAAGAAAGUGUUACAAACAAGACUGGCUUGCUGCCUUCAACUCUGGUGUUAGGUAUGUGUGAUCAUAAUGCUUAUAUCUCUCCUCCAAAUGGUUUCUAACUUUUGUUUUCUAACUCUCUCAGGAUACUGGCACCAACUCUGUACAUUUUCAUUGCCUCUGCACUCCCUGUGAUUGCGUUCGGCGAGCAGUUAAGCAGAGAGACAGGUGAGAAAAUAUAACACUAUCAUAGAUUUGUAAACUUCCGGAGAAUCUGUCCUGAAGGUUCCUUAUCAUUCUCUUUACUUUCAGAUCGAAGUCUUGGCAUAGCGGAAUCAUUAGCUUCCACUGCUAUUUGUGGAAUUAUCCAUUCUAUUUUUGGUGGACAACCUCUGUUGAUUGUAGGCGUUGCAGAACCCACUAUUAUAAUGUAUACUUACCUUCACAGCUUCAGCAAAGGCAGGCCUGAACUGGGUCAGAAACUCUACUUAGCCUGGGCAGGAUGGUAAUGUGAAUUAGUUACAUCUAUCAUUCUUCAAUCUCUUUUCUUGCUAAUUGCUCUUUCAUUUAUUAGAGAACUCUUUCCUUUCAACAGGGUCUGUGUCUGGACAGCAGUUUUGCUCAUCCUUCUUGCAACGUUAAACGCAGCCAACAUCAUUUCUAGAUUUACCAGAAUUGCAGGAGAGCUCUUUGGAAUGCUGAUUACCGUUCUGUUUUUCCAAGAGGCUGUUAAGGUGCUCUGAUGCCUAACUAACUCCAUUGGUAAAAGGUCAUACAAAACUCACUUCAAAACUUUAAGAGAUGUACUUGUUUCCUAACGCAGGGACUUCUGGGCGAGUUUCUUGUCCCAAAAUCUGAAGAUCCAAGUUUGGAAGCGUAUCAGUCCCACUGGCGGUAUACCAAUGGGCUCCUUGCAGUCAUCUUCUCAUUCGGUCUUCUUUACACCGCUCUUAAAAGCAGAAGAGCACGUUCAUGGAGAUAUGGCUUUAGUAUGUGAAACAUUUCUCUUAUCUGUAUAUAUAAAUGAAAUACUUGACAGCAUCAUUUACUGGAACAAUAACCAGCUUCAUAUUUACAGGGUGGAUGCGAGGCUUUAUAGGUGAUUAUGGAACUCUCCUCAUGCUUGUGUUGUGGAGCGCACUCUCAUUCACAGUCCCCAGAGAUAUUCCUGAAGGAGUUCCAAGGAGGCUGGAGUUACCUCUUCCUUGGGAUUCAGAGUCCUUGUAUCACUGGACAGUAGUCAAGGUACUAGCUUGUACAACCUAGUGAAUCCGACAUUAUAGAAUACUGAAAGAGUUUUUAUAACUUGUGUUGGAACAUCAUUGCAGGAUAUGGGAAACGUCCCUCCUCUUUACAUCCUUGCUGCAUUUAUACCAGCUAUCAUGAUAGCUGGUCUAUACUUCUUUGAUCACUGUGUAUCUGCGCAAAUGGCUCAGCAGAAGGAGUUCAAUUUGAAAAAUCCGUCGGCUUAUCACUAUGACAUCUUUAUUUUAGGAAUCAUGGUAUGAUUCUGAUGACGCCUAUUACCUAUGGUUUAGUUUUUACAUGAAUGAAAGUGAAUACUAAUUUGUUUCCAAAUUGUUUGUAGACAUUAAUCUGUGGCUUACUUGGACUUCCUCCUUCGAACGGUGUCAUUCCACAGUCCCCUAUGCACACAAAGAGUCUUGCAGUUCUUAAAAGGCAGCAAAUGCGAAAGAAAAUGGUCCAGAAAGCCAAAGAAUGCAUGAAGGCAAAAGCAAGCAACUCAGAGAUCUACGGUAAGAUGCAAGAUGUGUUUAUAGAAAUGGAAACAUCACCAAAGGUAUAUAGAACAUAUCCUUCUCAUUACUUAAUCUCUUACUCUUUCGCAGUCAAGAACUUAAUGUCUCAUCUAUGAAUCAGAUACCUGUGCAGGCUACUUCAGUGGUGAAAGAGCUAGAAAACUUGAAAGAAGCAGUGAUGAAAGCUGACGGUGGAGGAGGAGGAGACACAAAGGGAAAGAAGUUCGAUCCAGAAGUACUGAUAGAAGACCAUUUGCCUGUCAGAGUAAAUGAGCAACGAGUGAGCAAUCUCUUGCAAUCAAUCCUUGUUGGAUUGUUGAUAUUCGUGGUACCGCUUCUCAGAAUGAUACCAACUUCAGUUCUGUGGGGUUACUUCACUUACAUGGCUGUUGAUAGUCUUCCCGGGAAUCAGUUCUGGGAAAGGCUUCUGCUACUAUUCAUCACUCCUGGUCGUCGAUUCAAGUACUAUACAUCAAAUUUAAAACUCUAUAACUUUUUGUUCUCAUAACAUGUUCUGAGAUUUGAGAUUUUUCUUUUCUUUUGUGUGUGUGGAACAGAGUUCUUGAAGGCUUACAUGCAUCAUUUAUGGAGAUAGUACCGUACAAGUCGAUUGUUAUGUUUACACUCUUCCAGCUUCUGUAUUUUCUGAUAUGCUAUGGAGUGACAUGGAUACCAGUAGGAGGGAUUCUGUUCCCAUUGCCAUUCUUCUUCCUCAUUGCUUUAAGACAGUACAUCCUCCCCAAGAUAUUUGAUCCGUCUCAUCUCCAAGUUUUGGAUUCUUCAGAGUAUGAAGAGAUGGUUGGUGCAACACACUCCAGCUUCGGUAUCAAUGUAAGCACAGUCUCGAUUCUUCUUUUAAUGCGUUUAAAAAUGUCUAAUGUGGAUUUUUAAAUUUUUUUGAGGGGAGCAGGGGGAACCGCAUAACCUUCCUAUGAGUUCUGUUGAGAUCAGUGAAGACGACUUUUACGAUGCAGAGAUUCUUGAUGAGAUUACUACUAGCAGGGGUGAACUUAAGCAUAGAACCUUAAGUGCCAGGGAGGGAACAUCCCACAUGGUAAGUAUAUAAUAACUCAAAACCAAUCAAUUCUAGUAAUAAACUUUCAUAAAUCUUAUUUAGUUUGCAACCCUUUUCACACAUUGUAUGAUGUAAAUAUACUCAGGUGUAUCCGGAAAACAGUGGACAUUCCUAAGUCUUUGUAUAAAGGAACAAAUGUUUUUGAAGAAUGCUGCUUCAGAGAAACCGCAGAUUAAAAGCAAGAAGACGUUAGAGGCAAUAGAAGAAGUCAGCAGAAGAUGGGUGGAAAAGAGAGAUAGAGGAUACAACUACUACAAACAAAACUUCCUUGAUUGUUUCUUCUCUGAAACGUUAUUUUUGGUUUCUUCACUUUUGUUACAUAUCUUUUGCUCUCUCCAAUUGUUUUUACAACUCUAACAAAAAAAAGAAAAAGAAAUACAGAUCACAAGACAACUCUCUCGUUUUCUCUUGCCUUUAGGGCUCAACAGAGGAAGUUUUGAAAGCAGGGUGAUUGUAGUAAUGAGUCUUUUCUUGUGACUUGUGAGAAUUACUAUACUCAUUAAUCUUUGAAUUAGCGAUUAUUUUAUGUGUGGUAUAAGUAUAAGAUCUUUUUUUUUUUAACGCUGAUUUAUUAUGAUCUUACAAUUAUGAUAUAGGAAAUAUUACAUAAAAAGUAUAAGAUCUUUAAUUGUGGUAUAAGUUGCAUUUCAACGUUCUUAUUAUUAUAAAAAAUCGAUUGUAGUGGAUAACAAAAUGGAUAAUCAACAUUAUAAUAGGACAGUUUCAAGGCUCCUUAAGGUGUCCACGUAGGCAAACGUGUGGGACCAACAUUUAUGUCUUUUUUUUAAUCUUUUCUGUCGCAUAGGCUUAGAUGGACUACUGCUUUGUUGGGCUUCUAAAGUCUUGGUCUGUCAAGCGGGUAGAGUUUCUUCUUCUCUUCCAGAUACUUCGACGUCACAAGACGCUUCCAAUUUCGGCGAUUCAUUUUGGUUUCUCGAUCCUUCAAUUCAAGUUACGUUAUCUACCGAUGAUACGACUCUUCUUCCCGUAACGCCUUUUCCAUCCUCCUAUAUAUAAAGGUAGUCUACGGUGUGAGUUCAUUUCCCUUUCAACUUUUCUUCUCGAGUUUUUCUUUCGUUCGACUCUGCAACUGCCGUCACGGAAAUCAGGUGCUCCAUUCGCUAUCGCCGCCCGCCGUCGGAAGAACUGCUCAGUCCGUUGUUGGUCGCAUCAUCCCCUUUUGGGAUUCCCGGAACAUCAUAGGACAGUUUCAAGGCUCCUUAAGGUGUCCACGUAGACAAACGUGUGGGACCAACAUUUAUGUCUUUUUUUUAAUCUUUUCUGUCGCAUGGGCUUAGAUGGACUACUGCUUUGUUGGGCUUCUAAAGUCUUGGUCUGUCAAGCGGGUAGAGUUUCUUCUUCUCUUCCAGAUACUUCGACGUCACAAGACGCUUCCAAUUUCGGCGAUUCAUUUUGGUUUCUCGAUCCUUCAAUUCAAGUUACGUUAUCUACCGAUGAUACGACUCUUCUUCCCGUAACGCCUUUUCCAUCCUCCUAUAUAUAAAGGUAGUCUACGGUGUGAGUUCAUUUCCCUUUCAACUUUUCUUCUCGAGUUUUUCUUUCGUUCGACUCUGCAACUGCCGUCACGGAAAUCAGGUGCUCCAUUCGCUAUCGCCGCCCGCCGUCGGAAGAACUGCUCAGUCCGUUGUUGGUCGCGUCAUCCCCUUUUGGGAUUCCCGGAACAUCAACAAGAAUGGAGACUUUAUGGGAACCUCAAUAGUUUCAUAUAGAAAUUGGCACGUUCAUCAAUGACCAUGGUAAACCAAAAACUUCCCAAACCGGUAUCCAUACAUCAUCGAGAAACAACACGACCAGUUCCACUUCUGCCAUUGUUUUCUUCUGUCAUUGUUUUCCACUUCCAUUUCGUAAUGAUGAGAUAUAGGAAAUGAGAGUCCUAAAAAAGAUGACAAUGAUGAUGUGUUAGUGCAAGAUGACACAACAACAGUAAUGCAGAACGUAAACCAAGAAACAAAACAAUACAAGCAAUCACUAUGCUUUAUUAGAAUCUCCAUAAAUAAUCUAUUACAAAAUCUGCUUAAUUCAGUUUUUACACGUCUAAUGUUAACACCUUAAAGAUUCCUAAGCUAUCCGCUUAUGUCUUUAUACUGUCAAGUACUUCAGCCACUGCUCCAGCACGACCCAAAACAUUUCCAAGAGCUUCUCUCUUUCUCUAUAAGAUCAGUAUCUGUGUCUUUGUGUCUCUACAGACGAUUCAUAGCUAUCUUAUAAUAUUAUCCACGUUCAUGAAACCCUAGUCGCCAAGGCAACAUGGAUAUGAACAUCUUCCAUAACAUUAAGUGCAACUUUACUUUUCUUGGAAUGCACUUAUUCCUCUUUUUUUAAGUCAUAAACUUGCUCCUCAAGUUUAUUCCUCUUUCCAUAUCUCCAAGAUACUCUCCUGCUCUCCAAGUCUACACGACUCCAGCUCAACACCUUGACUCCACAUGGUCUUCACCACUCACUACGACGUCUGCUUCAGCAAUACGUCAGCGACUACUUCAGGGCAGACAUCUUAUAUCUUCAAUCUCUCCCUUUUGGCUUUGUGUGCCGAUCAAGCACAACAAACUUCUGGUUCAGCAACCACGUUGCAACCACGUUCCUCACCUAGAAACUUCCAUACCAAAUGUGAUUUUCUCCCCCACGAGAUGUGCACCACACCAUGCUUUUCUCUUCCAUGAUAUAUGCAUUUUCUGUAACAGAACAUCACCAUUCUCCCCAUGCAUGAUUGCAUACUAAGCUAAAACAUAUGCUUAGAUGUCAAGCCUUACAGACCUAGCCGUCUGCUUCUUCAUGUAUAAUCAUGACACAUCUCCUGCUGCAGCGGAAUAACAAGUACUGCAUCACGACCUGACGUACCUGUCGAACUACCCUUCGACCAGCAUCUGUUGAGGACCUGGCUUCCUUCAUGUGUCGUCUUCUUGACCAUGAGCCCUUCCUCAUCCACACCGAGUGCCCUCUGCACUCGUUGCUAUUGUCUUGGAGUGUUUUCACUAUCAUACCCCUGAAGAUCUUCCCGCACCACUUCCUCACACACUUCGAUCUCCUUCCUCUUUGUGCUACAUAAAACCUCGUGUUCUGGUUCCAAACUCGAUGCUUCUUGAUCAACCUCAAGAUCACUCUUAACAGAGCUGCACCCUUCUUCUGAUGUCUCUUCCUUGGUCAAAAUAGGCGAUCUUGGUCUUGCAAGAAUGCUCCGGGACUGCCAUGCUGCCACUAGUGUCAUCGGUAUGUAGUAGCAAAACUCAUUUGUCCUCACUUGUACAGAUCCUUUGCUUAGUAGUCCACUCUGUGCUUCUUUUUCACCUAGGCACUCCCGAGUUCAUGGCUCCCGAACUAUACGAGGAGAACUAUAAUGAACUCAUUGACGUUUAUUCCUUUGGUAUGUGCUUUUUGGAGAUGAUCACCUCUGAGUUCCCAUAUAGUGAAUGCAACAAUCCAGCGCAGAUAUACAAGAAAGUUGUCGCGGUAUGUCUUUAUAUCUGUGUGAGAAUAUGGAUGAAGCUAUCUCAGUUUAACUAUUUUUUUUUUCCAGGGAAAGCUACCAGGAGCCUUUUAUAGAGUUGAAGACAUCGAGGCACAGAGAUUCAUCGGGAAGUGCCUUGUGCCUGCCUCAAUGAGAGUAUCAGCAAGAGAGCUAUUGCAAGAUCCGUUUCUCGCGUCUGACGAGUCGUGGAUGGUGUACGCGAGUGGUGCUAGGAAUCUGAAGCCCUUCUUGAACGAGAAUGAAAUGGAUAGAUUGAAGUUGGAAGACGAUGAAACUGGGGAGCUGGACUCUGAAGAUAACAAAUUCUAUUUGAAGUUACCAAUCGCAAAUGAAAAUGGUAGAAAAGAACUGAGUUGGUUAAGCUGAUCAUUUUUGUUAUUUGGUUGCUUAAUUGUUUCUUCUUCUUUUUUCAGGUCUAGCAAAGAACGUGUCCUUCUGCUUUGACAUCAUGAAUGAUACUUCCAUUGAUGUAGCAACGGAGAUGGUGAAAGAACUGGAGAUCACAGAAUGGGAUCCGGUGGAGAUUGCUAAAAUGAUUGAUGGAGAGAUCUCUUCUCUGGUCCCUGGUUGGAGGUCGGAGGAAGAUGAUGAAUCUCCUCAUGAUUAUCAUACUCCUUUUCACUCUUCUUCCUCGCAUUCAUCCUCUCGAGCUUCACUCUCUAACUAUAUGGCUCCAGGCCGUCAAGAUUGGCUACAAGGUAUGGAAUGUAACACCAGAUCCGACCUGUGUAGUAUUGUGUGAUUCAUAUGUUUUUAUAUAAAAAAAAAAGCUUUUUGAGAGAAAAAUUUAAAAACUGCAGAUGAUUUUCACGAUGAGAAGUAUUCUCAGAGUUCUUCAAAUUCAGGGUCUUACUCCAACCUCAACUACAUAUCUGUAGAUGAGCACAUCUCCCUAGCUCCCCAACCUCCUCCUAUGAACAGAACUCACAACGUGACAAGGUUUUGCCCUGAAGAAAGCUAUCAUCUCCAUUCAGGACAAGCCAGCAUGUAUGCAGCUUCUAGUAAUAAUAAUAAAUCCAUUGAAAAGUAGGAAGAUAUCUCAAGCUUUCUUGCGUGCCUAACAAGAAACCUUGAGAAGAAGGAGAAAAUCCCCGUCUCUUAUGAGACUUAUGUCGUCGAUAUGAGCUCCUUCUCUCGUCAGAAUCUGUGUGGCAACAAACCCCAACUUCUUCUCACCAAUUUCAAUUAACUCCUCCAGUGUAUUUGGUAGCUUCACCACUUUACCGGCGGAGGAAGCCUCACCACUGAUCGUCACUCUCGCCGGAUAAACCCCACCAACUCCUUCGCUUAGUGUAGAUGCCUCUCCUUCAUCACCUGAGGAUUCAAGGGAGAAAGUUUCUCUUAUAAACAUGCAUCAUUCUAUAUAAUGGCAAAACUUUUUGUUCUGAUGGAGAGAGAAAGAGGAGCUUUACCAGUGUUUGCAGCCGACAUGAUACCAAACAGCGAGUUCUUGAAGUUACUAAGCUUCCUUCUCUGAGAGCCACCUCGAAGGAAAGGCAUCGAUUCCCUUGAACGGUGGUGAAUCAUUACAGGCUCGCUGCUGUGCUUCAUCAGUGGUGUAACAUUCUCUGGUGUACCGGAAACGGAUUUCGGUUUCUUCUCCACUGGUCUCUGACUGUGAAACAGAGCUUUAAUGUCUUCAUGCCCUUGAUGCUCAGCUAGACCACGAGCAGUCCACCCGUACACAUCUGGCAUGUCCAUAUCAGCUCCAUGCUCUAACAAGAACUCCACAAUCUCCAUGUUCCCUUCUGACACUGCUCUGUGCAGAGCUGUGGUUCCGUUGCUAUCUGGGAGUGAGGUAUCUCCGCCGUAUUUUACAAUGUCUUUGAGUGUAUCUAAGCUGCUUUGUUCAACGGCUAAGCAAGAGAAAUGGGCUACUGUGUCAGGACUUAGCUUUGCACCGUUGUCCCAUAAGAGUUUAGAGAUUUCUUCAUGUCUCCCAAAGAUGGCUUCCCACAAUGGUACACUACCUUCCGAAUCUACAAAAUGAGUUAAAAUUAAUAGAUGAUUACCGGAUUAAUAUAUUAAAAUAGAUUCAUAAAUCAUUGGUUAGUUAUACCUUUAAUGUUAGGAUCUGCCCCAUGCUCGAGAAGUAAUACAACACAGUAGUGGCAUCCUUUUGAUGCUGCUAUAUGCUGAGAUAAAAUAUUACACAGUACACAAACAUUAGCAUAGAUAUAGGGUAAGCCUUUUAUGUCUUUGGACUGAAGAAAUAUAUGGAAGUCUGUUUAUUCAGAGGACUUUGGAGACUGACCAGCGCGGUUCGACCGUUCUUAUCAGUUUCAUUAGGGUUUGAGCCUCGUUUCAGUAACUGAUGCAGCAGUAAAUCAUCACCUCUUGCUGCUGCGAAACAUAAGCUGAGAGGUAAGUCCAUUUUCCCUUGAGCCAACAUCUGUUCUGUAUCAGCCAAAAUGCCUUUCAUCACUGGAUCUUCUGAGUCUUUCAGAUGCUGCAUAAGACCAUAACAUUUCUCAGUACAAACCCCCUAAUCUGUAGUCACAAUGGUUUUAUAAAAUAAAUAGCUUCGAACCAACCUGAAGUAGAUUAUUCAUGAUUAUUGCUCCAUCACCAACAUUUGCCUGAACUAGAUUUAAGAAUGCUGUACGGUUCAGACGAAGUAGUUGACUCAAUCGCUUAGUACGAACUGUGAACAGCUGUGGCCUGUAGCAUAGCACCCCAACUUCACCAAAAACAUGACCAGGCUGUGCUUCACCAACUACCUGCAAUGAAUAAACAAAACCACGUCUUAGAAUACCACAAAUCACAGCUUGAAACAAUCUUAAGAGAAGAUUAAAAAUUCGACUUUUACCUGAUCCACUCCAUUCACAGGUGCAAUGAUUUCCUGUCAUAUAGUAGAAAUGUCGUCUAAGUUUAUAAAAAUUAUAUGGAGAAGUGUAAUUAUACAGCUAAUAAAAACCAAGAAAACGCACAGCAGCUCCUGUCACCAUAAUGUAAAAGUCUGUCGGGGCUUCAUUCCUCAAAAUCACAUCUUCUUUGGGAGGAAAAUACUCGGCCUUCAUUUCAGAGACCUACAUAACAUCAUAAGGUUAAAUGUGUGUUUUCAUCGAAGGAAGCUGGUUAGGUAGACAAGUGAAUUUUUGAGAUGAAAAACAUACCAAUUGAAACAAAAGAUCAUUGGAUAUUCCAUGGAACAAGUAAAUCUUGUCAACAACUUCAUAGAACAGAUAAUGUGAGAUGCUGGAACGGAUAGCUUUGGGUAGGGAAUCGAUAAUUUCUUGCUGCUGUAGACCUUCAGAAUCGGUUCUGUACCUCAAAGACAAAUGUGCUACCAUCUGUUCUUGCAAGCGCUCUGGAAGUUUGUUCCUCUGAGCAAACGCUGAGGCACCUUGGAUGGUAUCUCUCUGAAAGAAAGAAAAUGAAUUAGAUCGAGUUUAUUGAUUAAAUUAAACAAAUCAACAAGAUGAAGCAAUUAAUCAAACCAUAAACAGAACUUACAAAGUUUCUGGUGCGACUGGUCACAUGAACCACCAAGUUAGUCAUAUUACCAAUUAUAUAAGCUAGCAGUCCAAGAUUGAAGAUCAUGUAGAAGAGAAUGAAGGCCCUCUCACUUGCAUUAUUACCAUGUAUAUCACCAUAACCCGUUGUUGAGAAGGUGGUUAUGGACCAAUACAUCGCUGUGACAUAGCGGAUAAGCAAAGAUUUCUGUGUCCAGUUUGGCUCCGCAAGUGCCAUAAAAGUCAUGGAAGGGUCUGGGUAAUGCGCAGCAAUAGAAUAGCAGAAGCAUGCCCCACAAUGAACCACAAAGAGAGCAACCUACAUUACAACCAUCAAUGUCUUAUAAACUAAGAACAAAUAUAUCUAGCUUCUUAAAGGUAAGCUCGUGUAAAGAUAAGUUACUAACGAGGAGAAGCUUUGUGCAUCGGACCCAAAAGUAGUUGUACUUUCGAUCUUUCUCCAAUCUGAUAAUUUAAAAACAAGACAUUUCAAGAAAGAUUAUGACAAAGUAAGACAAGUGUUUGAUAUUUAAAGAAACACACAUUCAAAUCACUCACCUAGCAAAACAGUUACUAGCCCUGCGCAGACGCCAUAGACGCAGCAUACUGAAAAUGCCAUAUCCUUGAAUAGUAUUAUGCAAUAAGCUCCCAAAAAGUUCAUAAGGAACUGUGGAAACCACAUCAAAAAUGAGCCAAGACGAGACGUAUCUCCAAGCUAUUCUCUUGGGGUCAUCGACUAGAAGAUAAGUUGCCUUGUCCAAGAAGGCAACAAAGAAUGUCAAAACGAUGUCAAUAGCAAAAAAUCCAUUGACGACGUUAUCAAUAAUACUGAGCGGUGCUCUUGGCGUUUGUAGGUAGCCAAACUCAAAAGGCGAUGCCCACGCUGUGUAGCCCACCAAAAGCACUAGAAACCAAUCCCAUGCCCUGACAAAAUUCAACUUUAAUCAUCAGUUACAUGAUUCUAUUGAAUAAAAUCGAACUAAACGCGAUUCGUGUAAUGCCUCUGAACACGAGCAUUACAUCGAACACUACGGAUUCAAAAUAUUUCAUCGUUUCGGGGAAAGAUUCGCUUCAAUAGAGUAACAAAAACUUAAAGGAUCCAUUAAUCUCGUAGUAGCGAGAACGAUAAGGCAAGCAUGCAGAGAGAUAAUAACCUAGCUCCUCGUCUACCACAAAUCGUCGGCGAUUUACAUAACCACGAAUCGGUUAAGCAAAAUCGAUUAACUAACUACCUGUAGCGAGGAUCGAAGGGAGAGACGAUGAAGAAGCGGAGCUUAACGCGACGCGUAGAGCCGGAAUUAACACCGAGAGGCGGAAGAAGGCCUUUGCUAAAACUGUAAUGACUCAUCGUCUCUUCCGUCGAAACAUGCUCCGCCGCAAUAUCCUCCGCCUCCUUGAUCGAAACUCCUCCGCCGCCUUGUUUCUCCGGCCAAAACCACACUUUCCUCUUCUUAUUAUCCAUCACGAUCGAUCUUAUAAUAAUAAUACUAUCUCUCUCUCUCGAUUCGUAACAGAAUACGAACGAUUUGUUUUUUUUCUUCAACAGAAAAAACGUUCACGUUCCGUUGUCGAGAGAGGAAGCGUACACAUGGGCUGGUCUCCUUCCCGAUUACGUUGCUCUGUGACCUCUUCCUUUCUGUUAGGGCGUGUGCGUCCGUGUUUAUAUUGGUUUAGUUUUUUACCUUUUUGCCCCUUUAACUGAUUUCCCUCCUUAUUUCCUCUUCCUUCAUUGGUGCAUUGCAUAUAACCAAAAACAAAAGAAGGAAAAUUUUCAUUCUGACUUCGAUUUCUUACUAUAUAUUGAAUUGAUUGAGACUUUAUUGCUUUCAUCUCUGACUAUAUUAAAUGUACGCGGUUUAUAUUAUUAAAUUAUAAAUAUUUACGUUUUCAAAAUUAAGAAAUAUUCCAGUAAAAUAUUGCUUUUGAUUUCAAAGUUGCCAUACAUUUUUGAAAGGAUAUAUUCCUAAAAUUUUCAGACUUUUUUGCUAAACUUCUAACGCUUGUUUUGUUUUUCGAAAUUCUAAAAGAUUUUUGUGGUAGCUUCCAAAGAUAAACCCAUUGGAAAACAAUCUGGUGUUCUCUCGCAUUGAAUACUAUUUCCCUUUAUAAAUAAACGUUAGUGCAAAUGGGACAUUCAUUAGAGGAAAGAAAUUACGUGGGAUUUGACUAAUUGUCUAUAAAUCUACCGUUUAGGAUAAAUUAGCAUUUAUAUAGAUUUUAUCGAGCCUCCGUGGAUAACAGGAUAAGUAUAUUCUUUAGAUUCUUCUGACAUUUAUCAUUAUUCCUCUCAUCCAAUAUUAUUAUUCGUCUAAUCACUGCCAUUUAUAGAAAAGAGGUUUCUUGUUUUAAUUUUAUGUCAUGAAUACACGCAGCCACACGAAUGAACAUUCUAAUUGGCCCAUCAAAGGCCCAUUAAAACGACACUUACACGACGUCGUUUCGAUUUCGUUGUAAACUUGCCCUCUUCUCUCCCCAGAAGCAGCUUUUGUUGCGCAACCCGCGGUGAAGAGAGAGAGAGAGAGAGAGAGAGAGAGAGAGAGAGAGAGAGAGAGAGAAAAUGUCGACGCUUCUGCAAUCGCUCAUCGAUCCGAAGAAGAACUUCCUCGCUCGUAUGCAUAUGAAAGCCGUAUCCACUCGCCUUCGUAGAUACGGUCAAAUCUCAAUCGAAAACCUUAAUUUUCCGAAUCUGGAUUUUGUUGAAUCUGAUUUGCUGUGUUUGCCUUUGUGUGUUUUUGAUUGGAAUGAUUCAGGUCUCAGGUACGAUGAUCUGUUUGAUCAGUAUGAAAGUAUGGACAUUAAGGAAGCGCUGAACAGAUUGCCCAGGGAGGUCGUCGACGCUCGUAACCAGCGUCUCAAGCGUGCCAUGGACCUCUCCAUGAAGCACGAGUACCUUCCCAAGGAUCUUCAGGUAACUGAGGAUAUCGAGCAAAACUAAUGUUUGAGCUUAGGUGUAUGUAUAAGCUUAUUAUAUGCUUGCCUCUUGCAUUACAUUGUGACCUCUGCUCUGGCUAGAUACUGGAUUGAACUAAAAGAGUAUUGCAUUGAUUUUUCCAUAUCCGUAAAGUGAAAUGGUGAUUACAUAAUACAUUGUUAUACUAUUGUGUUACUGAUGUUUUGAGCUAUAGACGUUUUAAUAAAGAUUUCAAUAGUUUGAGAGCCUAAAACUUCUUUUUUACAAAUUUAGGGACCUAUUUAAGUCGAAUGUUUCAUCCGGUUUGGCCAGGACUGGCUCUGGUUUGAGCUAUCAUAUAGUGUAACUUUAGAAUUUUGCAUCUUGUAACUGUGAGGCUUUUUUAUUCCGUAUACAGGCGGUGCAGACCCCAUUCCGUGGCUAUCUUAAGGAGAUGCUGGCUCUCGUAAGUCUCUUGUAAUCUAUAUUUUUCAGGAAGAAGUUCCUAUGUGCAUUUUGCCUGUCUGCUUUCUUGCGUUAAUAUGCUUGUGAUCUUCAGUUGGUUGCAUUAUGCCUGAAACAAUGAUUUAAGACUAUGAAUGCAUGUUUUUUGGAUCAAGAUGUUGUUUAUUUCUCUAUACUAGGGAAGUCUUGCAUCAGAAAGAACACUGUUUAGAGUGUUUCUUUAAAGAUGGAUCAUCAUCAUUAUAUCCAUUAUCAUUAGUCAGUCUAUCAUCACUUUGUUUAUGGUGGGUGUGUAUUUAUUUGCAGGUUGAAAGGGAAAGAAAGGAACGUGACGCCUUGGGAGCUCUACCACUCUACCAGCGCACACUCCCUUAAGCACAUCCUUUUUUCCCUCUUCUUUUGAUAAACUCUACUUCUCUGCAUAAAAUCUCCUCUCCAGAUGGAUUGAAUUUUGAUAUUUUGGAAAUCACAUUUCUGAACAGAGCUGUUUACUUCCUGAAAAAAAAGCACAAGUCUUGUGAUACUUUUGCCUAAAUGGGAUGAUAUGUUUGCUUGUUACAUUUUUUCACUUUUGCUGGAAUGAAUAAAAUCGACGACCCAACACUGAGUCUGGUUCAGUGACUCUCAUUUUCUCAUGUUACUUUGGGGUUUUGUUUAUAUGAUUGGUUUCCAAGUUCAAUGCAAUCAGAUGUAAGUGCCAUGAUUUCUAUAUGUUUGUUAAAUUGGAUAAGUCAUGUUGAAAAUAACCAUUGGUUACAAGCAUAGCAGCACAUGGGUAGUAGUAGUAUCUCACAAGUUACAACAGUUUUCAACUUAUUGAUCAACAUAUUUCUAAUGCAAGCAUCUGUAGGAUUGUUACAUGUUUGGUCUCCAGCUAUAAACAUAUAUAAUCGAAAACAAAAAUCUUACGAAGUUCAAAAAAAAUAAAAGCUGCUAGAUAGAGAAAAAUAACCAGCGAGUGGAAGAGUGAAAGAUGCCCACAUGCUUGACUACAUGAGUUUUGACCUUCUGAGCAUUUCGAAGUUGGAGAAUGAAACUUGGGAUUUCAAAAACAAGAUAUUAUAUACUAUCAACACUCAACAUGAUAUGAAUCAUUCAUAUGAUAAGAGAGACCCAUGUUAUGAUAUAUACUAUAAUUACUACUGUUUGGGAGAAUUAUAUUUAAUAUAUGCAGAAAAGAACAUUUGCAUGUGAGUAUGUAGACUGGGACACAAGUCUUUAAUAGAUUCAGGCCAGAUCUCUUCUUUAGUUACCCAUCUCCCUCUCUGUCCCCUUCUUCUUUAUCCUUAUCCCCUCCUUUUCAUUUGCUCUCUUUCAUUUACAUAAAUGUAGAUUUGAUUUGUUAGGAGAAUGACAAAAAAAAACUAAAUGACUUGAGAGUACUCCAAGUACAUAAUGAAUUUUAUGAUUUUAUCCCAUUGGUGCUGCAUGCGACUGGAUCUUGGAUAGUCCAUUGAUGUGAACAUAAAGGGUUUUAGAGAUUGGUUUAUGUGGUUCGUUCAUUUCUAAACUUUUCAUUUAUUUAAAUUUGAAUGUUUCUUUAAGGCACAUAAAAUGAUUUAUUACGUUGUACUAACUUCUGGAUGAUGGACCAUAAAGUCGGUUGCAUGUGAUUCAUUGACACAGACUGGAUCGUCUUUUGUGUUUCUUUAGUAUCACUUUUCGUUAAUCAGAGCUUACUGUAAGUCUGUAAUAACUGUUUAGUUUUACCAGUACCGAUAUAUUCAAAGUUAAUGAGAGUAUUAGACACACUCUCAUCAAAUGAGAAACAUAAGACUAUUUUCUUACGUCAAAAAGAAACACAAACAGAUAAGUCAUAAAAUAGUCAUGUGAGAUAGUGUCUUCCAAGGUUCUAACACUCUGUAUUAAAUAAUAGUUCGAUGUUUUAAACAUAAGUAAAGAAUUAUAUAAACAGCGAAGAUUUAUACUAUGAUAUUGCCGUUGCCACCACAUACUGUAGUAUUCACAUGUCACAUUAAAUAGGUUGGUUAGAACUUUUAAUUCAAAUAAGUUAAAAGUGUUAAAACAUUUAACUAGUUUUGCAAACGAAGAAAGACAAUAGUCAAAAUGUCGUUUGGUUAAGAGGUUGGUCCAGUUUCCCAUGCAUGCAUGUCUAUUCGGCGAGUAAAAACAAAGUUAGACGACUCUCUGACCCCGAUUAAAUGACAGAAUCAUAAAUUUAGUUUUCUUUAUAAACCUAUCAGCUAAUCCGGUCGGUUCCAGAACGCAUUUAGUGCUACAGAACAGAUUAGUUCGAAAACGUAUCAUACUGCUUGAUCCGAAUUUGGAAUAUCUUUCAAUUAAUGUUAGGAUGGACCGAUCAUUUGUUACGACCCAUUAUAUAAACUACCUGCAUUUAAACCCAAGUCUAAACUGACUGAUAAACAAAACAAUACCGUAAUAGUCAAUCCUUUUAUUGUAAACAAAACUUUUCUCAAUCUAACUAUCUUUAAAAAAAUUGGUCUUUAUUACUUGAAUUUCUCCUAUUGACUGAUCGAUAGCCUUAUGGUCUCAUCUUAUUUGUAAAUUUAUUAAUUCUAAAAUAUUCACUUAGGACAUCUCUUAUUUCCACAACGCAUGUGUAUGUAUUUAUAAACAUGCACGCACUAUGUUGGUCAGGACAAUAAUUUGUGCAAUAAAAGCACCGCUAAGAGAGUCGGUGGCCUUUCUUGCAGUGUUCCAUUCGUUCUGACGAUGCAGAGACAAAAUUCGAUUAAUUCUUAAUAUAUUUUAAUAUCAUAUCGCUCAUUCAUAUGUUCGCGGAUCAGAUUUGCUAUAUUGACUACUCAAGAGCUAAGGAUAAACCAUUUUACAAAGAAUGAUUGCGGAUCAUAUUCAUUUUAUAAGUUAAGGUAAUAGUUUUUCUCAUAUUCCUUGUUCAGUAAAACUAGCAUUCAAAAUUUUCCGUAAGUAGUAUAAGCAUGUCUUCCACGUUAUCCAACCGGUCGGACCACGCUUAUAUCUAAACUUUAUAUUACACUAUUAUUUAAAGCCGAUUUUAGUUUAUCUUUUAAUUAAUCUAUCUAUUUAUUAAUGCUGCUUGCUUGAUUAUUUUAUAUUAAUAUUUUUCAGACAACCAAAAUGUUUAGUAUUCGAGGUUGCUUUGAUCAUGUUCACCAUGAACGGAUUAUGACAUAAUUUAGUUUUUGUUUGGUAAGCAAAGAUUUUAAAUAUAUAUAGUUUAUAGUUCGGCUUAAGAAAUAUCGAUGAUUAUUGAUCCGACAGAGGUGCAGGCUAAUUCUAAGAAAGCACAUGGAAAGAAAGUUGAAAUACUAACACUACUAACUAGUAUCUUAAGUUACAUAUCGGCUCGGACAGUUUAGAAAGAAAAAAAUAUUUUAAGCAAAAAAGAGCCACCGUGGUAUAGACUUUUUUUUUUCUGUGGUAUAGACUUUAUAUAUACUCGAUAUUUCUUUCGAUCAUGUGCUGCUUUAACGGUAGAAGCAUUUCGUUGAAUGUUGCACUAACAAAGAUUAGUCGAUAUAUGAAACAAUAAUAACAAUGUGAGCGGCCUGGUGCAAGUGUUCUGAGGAAAACCUCUAUUUGGUAAUUUCUUAUAAUGUAUGAGCUGCUAUCUAUCUUUCUUUUUUGACAUGAGCUGCUAUCUAUCUUCUUAGUCGUUAUGACAUAAGUUAUAUUAUCUGAUAUAUUCGAAGGAUUCAAAGAAAACGAAAACGAACUGGCUUAUAAUAUUUAUACUUUCCAAACAUUUUAACCCCAAAAGAACAUUACUAAGUGGUAUAUACGACAAAUGACCAACGCCAUGUGCUUGCACUUUCUUACGUCUCAAGUCCAUUAGUCUUUUGUGUAAUCUCCUUUCUUUUAUUUACCCUAUCUGAACAAUGUUUACAAACCGUAAUAGUAACAAAAAAAUGUAUAUAUACAUAUGUAUCUAUAUUUUUUUUUACUAUUAGAACCGCACUACAGUUAUUUCGCGGAUUCAGAUCCUAAGUCGUGUAGACCAACCCGCAUGAACAGGAUUGGUCAGGUUUCGACCUACACACCUCUCAUGUUUAAUGAAAAAAACAAUGGUUUUAUUUCAUAUAUAUCAGAUUUAACCGAUGCAAGCAAUAACUUUCUAUACCUGGUUACACAGAGAAAAUAAAUUGGAGAUGUUAAGAAAUAGGAAGAAGCUGAACCAAAAAGCCUUGCUUGAUUUGGCACACAGAUCAAGCAUUUGAUGCAGUUUAUAAUAUUCGUUGUGUAUAUGUGAUAGGAUAAUUCAGAACAUACGUAACUUUAACUUGUCGAGAUGGGAGAACCAAUGUGAGUAAGGCAUGUGAGAGAUGGAUCACAUUGUCCCACAGCUUUUGUCCCCUUUACCUCUGCAUUUAUAUUACCAUCACAUAUUUAUUGUUUUUCAAAUCGCAAGUUAAAUGUAUAUAGCUCAUAGUUUCUUAUUUACUCUUACAUGUUUAAAGUGUUAUUUAGUCAAACCUUCCAAGACAAAAUGACCCGUUUCCAAGGAACGAUGAAUAAAUAAAGAGACCAAUGCUGUUCGGACACAAGUCUCUAGUGGUAAAGUCGUAGUUUAAGUCCAAGACAAGGGGCUUUUUCUUGUACAACUUUGCAUAUAAAGAGCUCUCUCGUCUUCGUUAUCCUUCACUCCACUAAACAUUCCUUCUCUCGCUCACUAUUCUCCAUUUUGUAUAAGUAUAUAACAUAACAAUUGGAAUAGAAAAAGAGAAAAAAAAACAUGAAAAAGAUGGGAGUGAUAGUGUUUCUUCUGCUUCAUUCGAUCUUCUACACAGCCUUUUGCUUCAAAGAUGGUACGUCCCUACUCCCUCGAGUUUUUUUAUUCUAUGCUAAUCUCGUAUUUUCUUAUUUAAAAUUAACAAAACACAAAAACAGUCGUUAACUGCGAAAAAUAAUUUUAGAGUUUUGAUUCACAGAAUCUUCACAACUUGUAUGUAAAAAAAAUUCAUUUGUAUUGUAUCACAAGUCAUGAAACUACUUGAGAGUUGAGAACUAGUGUGAUAUCGUGACAUAAUUAGCUAGGGCUAUCUAUCGUUCAAGAUGUUAAUUUUCUUUCUUUGUAUCAUCAUUAUAUGGUUAGCCAGUAAACAAAAACAGAAUAGCUUUGUGAAUUUGAAUACCAAAAAGAAUCACUUAAAGAGAAUAAUGGAUAGAAGUAUAUACAUGUUACAAACGAAUCAGAUCUGUAUAUGCACAUGGCAUUUGUCAAUGAAUCACAAUAAAUGCAUCACUAAAUAUUCAUACCUUCUCAUCUGCAACAUUUUAUUAUUAGUUUAGUACUUUAAAUAUCUCACGCUUUAACUUUUUCUUCAAUUAUUAUAAUAUAUAUCAUAGAUCUAAAAUAGCAAACCAUUAUUCAUUAAACAUUCCCAUGUUAAAUAAAAGUGAAAAUGUACCUUACUAGAAUCAUUGUCACCAACUAUAAACGUACACUAGUUCCAUGUUUGUAGCUAUAGAAAAUUUGAUAUUCAUUACUUGUUACAUUCAUAAUUAUACUACCAUUGUAACAAAUCGCAUCAAACCUUUAUGUUAUAAACUAUAAUCCAGGUUGGUGUAUUGAUCUAUCUAUAUAUAGAACUCCAAAAUACCUAGAUGGAGAAACAUAGAAUAUAUAUUAAUCAUAUAAAUAAAUCUUCAUCAUGUCAUUAAAAUAUAAAUGUUACUUGUUACAUUCAUAAUUAUAGACGUCGACAUCUUUGUUUUUGUUCAUGGUCUCUUACUAAAAAAUAAAAUUAAAACAGGGCUACUACCAAACGGUGACUUCGAACUAGGUCCACACCACACGGACAUGAAAGGGACACAAGUGAUGAACAAAACAGCAAUCCCAAGCUGGGAACUCUCAGGCUUCGUCGAGUACAUUCCCUCAGGACACAAACAAGGCGACAUGAUCCUUGUCGUGCCUAAAGGCGCUUUCGCAGUGCGUCUAGGCAACGAGGCUUCCAUCAAACAAAAGAUCAACGUUAAGAAAGGGUCUUACUAUUCCAUCACGUUCAGUGCGGCUCGAACGUGCGCACAAGACGAACGGUUAAACGUUUCCGUGGCUCCUCACCACGGAGUAAUGCCGAUUCAAACGGUUUACAGUAGCUCAGGUUGGGAUUUGUAUUCGUGGGCGUUUAAGGCGCAGAGUGAUUAUGCAGAGGUUGUGAUACAUAAUCCAGGCGUUGAGGAAGAUCCUGCAUGUGGACCUCUCAUUGAUGGUGUAGCUAUGAGAGCUCUUUAUCCUCCUCGUCCCACCAAUAGUGAGUGUUAUUUACUUUUAACUAUUUUCAUUAAUACUCAAUAAAUAAUUAAAUGGUAAUUAAACGUUUUAUUUAUGAAUGAUUAACUUUAAGCAGAUGUUUAGUGCUAGUCGCCAAUAUUUAGAAAAACCAUUUUGUUAUAACCGAUUUUUAGAAUAUUGAUUUUUUACUUGGGUUUCAUUUGUCAAAAUAAAUUCUUAUAGGUCAAAUUCGUAAAUAUCUAAAACAUGUGGGGUUUAAUUGCAGAGAACAUUCUAAAGAACGGAGGAUUCGAAGAAGGCCCAUGGGUUUUACCCAACACGUCAUCAGGCGUUCUGAUCCCACCUAACGCCGUCGACGACCACUCUCCGUUACCGGGAUGGAUGGUAGAAUCUCUCAAAGCCGUUAAAUACAUAGACUCCGACCACUUCUCCGUCCCUCAAGGCCGCCGCGCCGUCGAACUCGUCGCCGGGAAAGAGAGCGCCGUCGCACAGGUCGUCCGCACGACCCCCGGGAAAAUUUACGUUCUCUCCUUCGCCGUCGGAGACGCGAGCAACGCCUGCGCGGGGUCUAUGAUCGUCGAGGCCUUCGCCGGGAAAGACACGCUCAAGGUACCGUACGAGUCGAAAGGGAAAGGUGGAUUCAAGCGAGCGUCGCUGAAGUUCGUCGCCGUCUCGGACAGGACUAGGAUCAUGUUCUACAGCACGUUCUACGCGAUGAGGAACGACGAUUUCUCGAGCCUGUGUGGGCCGGUGAUCGACGACGUUAAACUCCUCAGUGCUCGGAGGAUGUGAGCUGGCCACGGCGAGCUAUUCACGGGAAAAUGAGGUCACAGUGGGCUUUCUUGCGGAUCGUGAGAAAUUGGGCUUUCCGGCCUUUUACUGUUCUUAUUUAUUUUAAUGUUAAAACAGAAUAUGUCGGAACCCCCUAGUUGAGAGGAGGUUCGGCGGAGCAGUGGCUUUCGUAUGUUGUUGUUUGGUCGGAAUAUAUAAUAUUUACAAACUGGUUAUUUUCUAUUUAUUAAAAUAUAAACGCUAUAAAAAAAUUAAUUUCUGAUUUGCCAAUGAAAUUAAAUUUUAUUAAAUAUAAUAACAUCAUAUUUAUAUCUAACAAAUUAAAUCAUACUAUUUUUAAUAUCUUUUUAUUUUAAAAAUAUUUUUAUUAUAAUAAAAUCAUGUUCCAAUGCAUAAUGGUAAAUCUAUUAUUUUAAAUUGGGAUAUUUAAAAAUAAAAUUUGAAAUGAUUAAAGAGACCAAAAAAAAACUUAAUCCUUACUAAUAAAAGGGACCUUUUGAGGCUCCAUAGAGCGUCCACAUCAGCGAAAAAAAAAUCUCCCGAAAGAUGACACGUGGCAUAAAAUAUAGUUUUACAUUUUAAUAUUACUAAUUUUUAAAAAUUAUAAAUAAUAUGAAACAUUAUAUAUAAUUUCGAAAAUAAUAAAUAAUAUAUAAACAUACAACAUAAAAAAUGGAAAUACUACAUUAAACAUACGUAAGAUUACCAUUUUACAUUUAAAAAUAGCAAUAAAAUGUAAACAUACAACAUAAAAAAAUGGAAAAACUACAUUAAACAUAUGUAAGAUUACCAUUUUUCACUAAAAAAACGGCUUAUCUCCAUAAUGUAAAAUUUCUAUUUUAUAUUAAAAAAAACAUAAAUAUAACUAUUUGACUAUUUGUCCAAGUUUUUCUAUUAAACAUUGCCGUUUUACAUUAAAAAUGGAAAAAUACAUUGAGAUUUAAACAUCUAUCUUAAAAUAUAAAAUAUAGAUACUAACUAAAUAUAAAGUAUAAGAAAGAGAAAUACUCAAUAUAUUGAAAAAUAAAUAAUAAUUAAAUAUUAUAAAUAUAUAAAUAUACGAAUUAUAUAUACAAUAAUAAGUAAAUGCACAAUUUUUAAAAAAUGGAAAGAGUACAUUAAAUAUUAAACAUCUAUCUUAAAAUGUAAAAUAUAGAUAUUAAGUAAACAGAAAGUAUAAGAAAAAGAAAUACACAACUUAAAAACAAUGGAAAAAGUAUAUUACGAUUUAAACAUCUAUCAUAAAAUGUAAAAUAUAGAUAUUAUGCAAAUAGAAAGUAUAAGAAAAGGAAAUACACAAUUUAAAAAAAUGGAAAAAGUACAUUAGUAUUUAAACAUCUAUCUUAAAAUGUAAAUCUAUCUUAAAAUAUAAAAUUAUUAGUAAAUAGAAAGUAUAAGAAAUAGAAAUACACAAUAUAAAAAAAAUAAUAAGUAAAUAUAUAAUAUAAGUAAAUACCCAAUUUAAAAAAUGGAAAAUUACAUUAAGAUUUAAAAAUAUAUCUUAAAAUUUAAAAUAUAGAUAUUAAGUAAAUAGAAAGUAUAACAAAUGGAAAUAUACAAUUUAAAAAAAAAUGGAAAACGUACAUUAAGAUUUAAACAUCUAUCUUAAAAUGUAAAAUAGAAAUAUUAAGUAGAUAAAAAGUACAAGAAAUGGAAAUACAUAUACAGGAAAAUAAAUAAUAAGUAAAUAAUGUAAAUAUAUAAUAUAUAAAUUAUAUAUAUAAUAAUAAGUAAAUACACAAUUUUUUUAAAAAAUGGAAAAACUUCAUUAAGCAUUAAACAUCUAUCUAAAAAUGUAAAAUAUAUAAUAUAAGUAAAUACACAAUUUUAAAAAAUGAAAAAAGUACAUUAAGAUUUAAAUAUCUAUUUUAAAAUAUAAAAUAUAGAUAUUACGUAAAUUAAAAUAUAAGAAAUGGAAAUAAACAUUUAAAAAAAUGGAAAAAGUACAUUAAGAUUUAAAUAUCUAUCUUAAACUGUACAUCUAUCUUAAAAUGGUAGUAAAUUAUAUAAAAAUGGAAAUACCACAUUUGACAAAAAAAAAUGUAUAGUUUUACAUCAAAAAAGUCCCUAUAAAACUCAUUAUUCCAUCAAUAUCAACCUCACUCUAUCAAGAAAAACUUCAAAGCACUCGAGCAAAAAAAUGGUUCCACCAUCAACUUUUGCCGUCCCAAAAACCUUUAAUGACCUUGAAUGAGAUUUUUUAUGACAACAAAUUUUUUGUUAGGUGGAUUCAUUGUUGGGAAACCCGCAACUUCCAAAAGCCAAACUUAUUCAUGGGAAUUGAAUUGCAUUUCAUAGACUCAAAGGUAUUCUUACAAUUGUUAAUAUUCAUACUAACUCUUUCAUGAUCAAACCAUUACAGUUAAUAAUCAUUCAAGCGUUUAUCCUGAAACACUUCUUUCCUCGCCGAAUCAGGUAUUGGUUCAUGUUGGUUUAAUAUUGUUUUUGGUUUAUUAACCGGUUUAGGAUAGUCCUAUUGUAAAUAUAAUUUAAGUUGGUUUUGCAUAUAUUAUGCUUAAAAUUAAAUAAUAGUAAUAUUAUGCUUAAAAUAUAAUUUUAGAGAGUUUUCAAAUAUAGUUUAGAGAACAUUAUAGGUGAUGAAUUUAAUUUAUUAAAUUCGUUUAUUACUUAAAACUAAGUUGUUUUAAAAACAUACUGAGUUAUAAAUAUCAAUGAUGGAUUGGUGAGUAUAACAUGAAGACAAAAAUAUAAAUAUUUAUUUUCAAGAUAAGAAAUUCAGUUACUCAAUAUAUAAUAUCUUAAAUUAUUUUUUAAAAAAUAUACAUAAUUUAUAUAUAUAGAUUAAUCUUCCAAACUUAAACUAUUAUAUUAUAUAUGAAUAAUUUUUUUAAAUAAAAACAAUUUCUGAUUAAAAAAAAUAAAUAAAAAAACAAAUGGUUAAACAUCAAUAUCAUCUAGGUUAAGUAUACGAACAACACAAAUUCAAACAUCACAAAAAAUAUUUACAUAAACAUUAUAAUACAAUAAUUUAAUCAAAAAAUACAAUAAAAAAAAUAAUAUUCAAAAGAAUAGUUAUAUACUUAAAUUUGAAAAUCAAAGAUAUUUUUGCUAAAAUUGUAAUUACCUCGCCAAGAAGAUCGACCAUCUUUUUUACGGAUUGAUCGAUUGUUGAGCAUGUGGUCGAUCCGAAAAUACUCUGCAGUUUAAUUAAAUAUCUAAAACAUUUAUUCCAACACUCAACAGAUAGUUUUCCUAAAUAUGAUAACUAGAUAGCCAAUAAAAUUACAAAAAAUAUUUAAAUAGUAAAAAAUAUGUUAAUUUAACGUGUUAAAAUUUAAAAAUAAAUUUUAAUUAUGACAUACAUCUUAACAUUUAUAUAAAUAUAUAUCAUAACCUAAAUAUAAAUAAUUUAACAACUUAAAUUAGAAAAAUAUAAAAAUCCCGGGCGUAGCCCGGGUUAAUCCCUAGUCUUAUACAAUAAAGGAGACUUGUCUCUCUCCAUAGACUGCCACGUCAUUAAGAAGGAGAGGGCGUUUUCGAACACGUGUCGCUUAACCAAAUCAGCCCGCGACCAAAUUGAUUCUGUGUAUUUCGGUUUACUCAUCUAUCAGACUGGGUUAUUACUAUAACUUAUGAUGGGCCUUUGAAAACACUAUGAGAAGCCCAUCAUAAUUUAGAUUUCUUCUUCUUCUCGCAAGACAGUCGACGAUUUUUUUUCCAGAACUAAAGCGACGAUACGAUCUCUCCCGUGAUGUCUCAACCUCCCAUUAAUUCGUUUUUAACUCCGUUUUUUGUGUGAUUAGCAAUAAAAAGCAUUCAAUCAACCCUUGCAUCUCACAUUAACCGACGGAGACUCCGGCUAUAAAUCUCUGAAUUCCCAGCGAUUGAACAACACAACUUCUCCCAAAUCAAGAAGAAUAGUCUCUGCUAUUACAAACUCCUACAAUGGCGAAUUCCUUCAUCCUUAUUUCAGAUCUGAAAGCUGGCUGCUCUAACACGGCAGAUAUCCGUUUGCUGAGGUUCUGGGAGAAUGUCAAGAAAGGUGGAGAGUGUGGACAUGCUCCUCCUCGAUGAGAAGGUAACCCCGACGACUUAAUCCUUUACUUAUGUCUGCUACGUACUACGUAUCUCACAAACCCAAUUGUGUGAAUUAAUUGUUUAUUCUUGUCAAGCAGUCUACGCUUAUCAAGGAACCAUCAGGGCCAACCACCUCACCACGUUUCGACAUCGUUUCAGUGACCAUGACGAGGAAGUCUUCAGUUUCCACAGUGACAUGUAAAGUUUAAAGCUUUUUAAAAGAAAAAAAAAAUAGAUUAUGAAUGCUUAAUGAAAAAGUCACAUUCUGAAUGUGAAGGUGACAAGAGGUUUCGCUAUGACCCAGGGAGAAUUCAGUCAAGAAGAGAAAGCAACUAUAGACACCAUUGUUAACCAGAGGUAAAAAGAACGUGCAGUAGUUUCUUCUUCAUUUCAACAACUAUGUUUUUCCACAAGCUAAUUCUCCGGAAUUCCUGUCACGUUGCAUCUCAUAUGCUUUGUCAAUUGUUUUAGUCAGUGUUGUAGAUAGGCCAUUGGCAGACAUAAGGAAGUUCAAUGACAUGAUCCCAAAGCCUGAAUUCAAUAACUUUCAGGUAUCGUCUCAUUUCCAGUUUUAGUUCCUUUUGUAUACUUUUUCUUCGAUCUUGAUCUGAUCUCUGCAAAGUUCAUGAAUUUUACAGAGAUCAUGAAGAGAGAUUCAUCAGAGUUAGCCAAAGAAACUGCAUUUGCACUUGCUGCUCUAAACUUCAAGUUUUGUGAUUCUCCUGUCGCUAUUAGUUUCACUGAGCAAACAUGAGGGACACAUUCUCUCUGAAGCCAAACUUCAUGGCCACCUCUCACCAGGUAUUAUCUCCUUGACGAUCAUGGGCCUUUAUAUUAAACUUCGACAAAAAAAGAAAAAGUCUCUUUCCUUUCGGAGAAAACGUUCUGUUACAAAAACAAGACAUCUUCUCUAAAUCAACGAAUCGAUUCAUUGUCAUUCUUUAACACCGCAGUUUCAUUAUUUCUUCUGUUACUAUUUACAAACAUUCUCUUUGGGUUUUUGUUUUCCUGCUACUUCCAUUGUACCGCUGCUACUCUGAUCGUGUGGAUGUUCCAUCUCUAUCUCUAUGUAUUUGUCUUCGUAUGAUGAUGAUCUGAUAAUGGUUUCUCUUGCUGAUUACAGACGCCGAAGACAGAAAAAAGAUCCCACGACCAUCGUUUGUGUUUGUUUUUUCUAGCUUUGAAAAUCUAAUUCAAUGUGUUUGGAUAGUUAUCUUUUGCAUCAAAUACUGGUUCUUUUCUAUAGGUUUGCAUAUCAAUUAAGAGUUAUUUGUAAUCUUUUGUAAAAGCCUAACGUUUUCAACUUUUUUCUUGCUAAGCUUUUAUGGUGUACUUAGUUUUUGAAAAAAAGCUUUUAAUUUAACUCGCUGGUCCUGUAACAUAUGAGUAUCUUGCAUCAUUCUGGCUUGUGAGUUGUGACUAAAUAUUAUUACUUUCGAAUCGUUGGCACAAAGAUGUUGUACUAGAAAAUUAAUAAGCUUUUGGUCUCAUGUUUUUUUCAUUCAAAAGAAGACCGCACAAGCUACUCCAUUGUGUGGGAUGUACGGUAUGGUCAAACGGCACAAAUAUCUUAUUUCACUUUAACAAAUAACUAUGUUUUACGAAUGCAAAAUCUUUAUUUAUAAUUUCUUUUGGCAUUAAGUAAUCACGUGUAUACAAUACCAACUCUAUAUCACUACGUUUCCCCUUCCUCACCCAUCACAAAACAUCAACAAAUGAAUUCAAAUCAUCCAUUAUUAAUGAUAGAAAAAUUUCUUCAAAUUUCCAAAGCGAUGUCAUUACCCGUCCUGGCUAAUCACGAAGAUAUAAAAUUAUUAAGAUAUACAUAAAAUAAUUUAUCAAACAUGGAUGUAUAAAAUUACUUCAUUUGUACUCUUUCUUAUUUACUUUUCCAAUAACUCGCAAGACUUUGAAAUAUCGUACACUUUGCUCUUAUCGAAUUUUUGAAUAAAAACUGCGAAAUAAUAAUAAAAUCUUCAAAUAGAUCAUACUUUCUGGUAUAUAAUUAAUAAAAAUUGCAAUAUAAUAAUAAAUCUUCAAAUAUAUAAAAUCUUCACUAGAAGAAUGUCAUGAACAUUUUAAACAAAAAUAAAAGUAAGUGAAAAUAUGCAUUUGAGUACAAAUGCCAGCAUUAAAUCAAGUAUGUCGUAACAAGAUUUCCACCAUUUAGAUCACAUGCCAAAUUAGUAAAUAUACAAUAUCCUAAAAUAUGAACAACUAACUCUAUCAAAUGGAUCAAAAAAUAAUUUUUAAUUCAUUAGAGAAUAAACUAUUAAAUGGAUCAAAAAAAAAUUUGAAUUCACUAGAAAAAAAUUAUACGAACCCGGCGCGUAGCGCCGGAAUACCACUAGUAAUACAUAAACAAAUGUCUAAUGUUUUGCCACUCUCUAAACCAAGUCAAAGCAAAACACUAAUUUUGAUCACCAAUAGUCUCUGCAAGAGCAAACACCAUCUUCCAUAUGGUGAUACCUCUUGACAUCUCGCGAGAUCAUCCGUCUCCCAACUAUCUUCGACAUCAGUUUCAACGCGUUGUGGCAAUCAAUACAAACUCGUAGAUUCUUCCUCACUAGUACUUCAGAACGCGCAGGAGUGUUGAGAAACGACGAGACGAAGGCGAAUCUCUCGUUGUGGUUAAAAAGGUUCUCGUCUCUGCUCUCCUGCUCCACGUCGUGCAACGCAAGCCUAGACUCGGGCACGUAACCAAGCUCCACCAUAUGCUCCUUUAAACUCUUCAGCGCCAUGUAGUAUUCUCUGUUUUCCGGAAGAGAUAUAUCUCCAGCCCUGAAGUUAUUAUCCCUUGUCGUCAUCCUCUGUAGCUUCUCUUUUGCUGAGUCUGAUGAUUUCACAGGGACAAGACCCGCCUUUGAUUCUUUGCUCAGUCUACACGCAUCAAGCUGCUCAACCACGUCUUGACACCGGUCGCCGAGCUCUAAAUCCCCGUGAACACGUGCAAGAUUCAUCAAUGUCUCCCACAAAUCAACAGCGUUUGGUUCCACCAACUCAACAAAUCUCAACGCUUCAUCUAAGUAACCAGGCUCAGCCAACAUUUUAACGAUGCUCACGUAAUGUUCCAUAUCAGGAACGAUCCCGUAGUCUCUCCUCAUCGACUCAAAGUGAAGCAGCCCUUCGUUAACGUCACCAAGCACACCGCACGCAACGAAGACCUCUUUGAAAACCUCCCCAUCGGGUCUGUUCCCUUCAACUUUAAAACGAGAGAACAUAUCAACGGCGUCCUCUUCAUGUCCAUUCUUUGCCAAACACCUUAUGAUACCGCACCAAGUCUGCGAGUUCUUCUCAGGGAUACUCUCGAAAACGGCUAUCGCAUCUUCCACGGACUCACAAGCAGAGUACAUUUCUAUCACCGAGUUGUAAGCGCUGAUGUCCGAACGAGAAACCGAAGAAGUAAUAAACUCAUGAACAACUUUGGCUUCUUGUAAAGCCUGUGCAUCUCCACAUAGCUUAGCUAUCCACAAAAGCCUGGGUAAAUCCACAAUAUAACCCUGAUUUCUCCAUGAUUUGAUGAUAUCAACUGCUUCUUUCACAUUACCUUCUCUGCAAAGCGCAUCCAAUGAGUCAUAACCACUAUUAUCUUGAUGAGACUGGACUUGCGGAUCACUCUGGUUAGGUGAGUGAACAAAACCUGCAUUCUCCUGAUUGUGAUUACCAUAUGACGAAAAACCAUCACUACUACUUCGCCAAUUUCGUUGUCUCUGGUUAUAAAGUUCACUGCUUUGAUAAAACCCAUCUGGGUUUAAGCUCUGCCCAUAUGAAUUCUGCUGAAACCCACCUAGGAACUGAUCUCUAUUCACGAAGUCAACUUGAUUUGAAGAAGUACCAGUUGGAUUCGGGUUUAGGAAACCUAAUCUCUCAGCAGCUGUGCUUAGAUUUCUCAACAGAGGACCGAGAGGUUUCAGUGAAUCACAAGAAAAGGGAUGGCGUAGCUUACAGGUGGAGCUGAGAAGCGAACCUCUAGCCGUGUAUAUCAUUGUCGGGACAAAACCCAUUUACCGGAAAUGGAAUCCGACAAGGGUUGAGCAGACAAAAAGACCGCCUUUCGUUUAAUCUGUGAAAAGAAACGGAAAGAGGUGAAACUCGGGGACGACUUGAUGAAAUGAAAUUACAGUGAAGGAAAAAGUAAAUUACGACGUAAAAGAUGAUGAUUUAUAGUUACCAAUCAUUCCGCAUACCAUAUUGUGGUCGGAAGAUAGAGUUAGGAGUUCGGUUAAGUUAAAGGUUUGUAGGGUUUACAAUUAAGUAAAUAUUGAAUCUUAGCAUGUACAUCUCAAGAUAAUAAAAUAGUAUUAAUCAACUUCAUUACAAACAUAACACAAAUCUAUCAUCCAGUGAGGGAGGGCAUUGUGUUUAAUAUAAAAAAAUGAACUUGCAAGUACAUGACUUGAUUGCUUUUACUUUCUCAUGUUGUUGAUGCUAACAUGUCCUCUUGGAGUUAAGACAACAUUGUAAACAACUAGCUUUGCUAGAGAGAUCUGAAGAGUGAGUUUGGAGAAUUUUCACAGCGCAUAGGCGACUAACUAAGCAAAAAUGUGAGGACAUCUUCCCUUCCAUAGUCCAAAGAUAUAUGGAAGCAAGACAUGAGAACAAAUCAGAAUAAGGAAUCAACACGUUGUCUAGAUGAGCAUUAACCCUAUUCAAAGCCAUUUCACUCUUACCUCUCACCAAGCCACAAAGCUUAUUUCCAAAAAGAAUGGACUAUGCGCCUAAUAAUAGUUAGAAAACCUGCUCAAAGCACCACAGCUUUCUAUCCCUGUGGACAAAGCCAAACUCCAGGACACCUGCAAUAAGUCGCCAUAUCAAGAUAGCGACAAAAUGAAAAUAGCAUAAAAGCCAGUUACGUUUUUGAAGAACGGGAAUGGUAUUGCACCAUUCAUAUGGCCAAAAGGGAGAAGUCGUAAACCCCAGCAUCAGAGUUAAACCUCUAAAAGCAAAAGGUCUUGCAUGCCUCGGACAAGGCGACAAUGUUCCUGAAAAAGGCAGGGGAAAAUCAAUAAUGUCCAGAGGAUGACUAGGAAAAAUACGACUGGCCCAUCUUGCCACAAGUAACAGGGAUAGAGUCAAGUAUAUCAAACACACAAGUGUGCCACAGAACAUAAAACCAAACUGUACAAAAUUGAAAGAAAGCACCAUAUUAACAGCCCUUCAAAAUAUGAGAUCUCAGAGUAUUGUAUACAUUGAAUUUUGCUUUAACUUCCUUCAGGAAUUACAAUAAACGAACUAACAAAAUAGUAGAAAAGAACACCAUAAUGAACCUCGGAAAUUUUCAUUCUAAUCAGAGUUUCAGUACAUACUUAUAUUCUGCUGUGACUAUACACUCAAUAUCAAAUCCACUGGGAAAGAAACGAUAUAUGACAGUUGAAUGAUUCCACGUUGCAGGCAAAUAUGGCCAGGACAAAAAGAAAAAGAAUUAAUUUCUGAUUGAUACUAGCAAAAUUGACUGCGGGUACCAGCAGAUAUCAAAUUUUUUACCUCCAUCAAAUGUUCAUCAUCUGAUAUAUUAAGAGAAAGACGGAGAUCAGUUAAUGAUGUUUCUUGUUCCCAACUCAAGGGACCGGAAGCGAAUAAGUCCCCCAAUGUACUGCGGUAAGUAAAUAGUUCUGACCUACACGANNNNNNNNNNNNNNNNNNNNNNNNNNNNNNNNNNNNNNNNNNNNNNNNNUACCCGACCUUCUUACUCCAUCACCACCAGCUACUGAAUGCUUCCGCCUUGCUUCUUCCCUAAGGCCGCAAAAAGAUUCACCCUCGCUGCUACAUGAGUCUGCCUGUGGUCCAGAGCCAUCUAGCAUACAAGGCGGCAUGUUACUCUCAUCAUCAUCACUAGCAGCGCUACAACUACCAACUGAAGAUGAAUCGUUAUCGUAACAAUCAUCAGCGACUAAGCUUCCUGCACGAACACUCUCGCUAGAACCUUUUGAUCUUACCCUGACCAUUUGACAGCAACCAGUUUCGCGAUUCUUAGAGGAAGGCGCUUCCAGUGAUCGUAUCUUCUUAGUGUUUCCAGUGCAUGAUUCAGCACACUCAGGCCAGUUGUUAGGUGACGGCCUCUUCAACAUUCUAGCAGAGACGACAACACUAGGCUCCUGUAGACGUUUGCUGUUCACUUGGGGCUUCAGCUUCCGUUGCACGUCUGAUCCAGUCAGUAAGGAUGACUUCACAGAACCUGAUAUCUGAAAAACAAAUAAGUUUACAACACAGUUAGUUAACGUUUAUACUCAUUACCAAAUUAGUGAAAGAUUAUUUCAAAACGAUCAACAUCAUUAAGAGGCUAUGCAAAUCGCCACCUCCAACCACAUAUGUGUAGAGUCAGAGGACCAAUCAGGAGAUCUUAAUGAAGACAAGACAAAAAAAUACAUUAGCUUUGAAAAGUGAGAACAUAAAUGUGACAACCCGUCCCGCUCACUCGGAACCCCGGCUCACAGCCAUUCAGGGCACCGACCCUAACCCCUCACCGUGGGAGAAAACGCCUCCAUAUCCACCGGUAGGUUAUUGGUGUGCUUGGCGUUACUCGAACCCAAGACCUCACCAUUUAACAACACUCCUCUAGGAUGAGUUUUCCACGGGAUGGGUUGUCACAAUAAAAAAUAAGAUAAAGAAAUUACCUUUCCAAUGGCAACCCAUCUCUCAUCCUGCCACGACUGUCUGACCCUGACGUUAGCCUUGUGAAACGUAAACUCAGCUGGAGUCCCAAGCAACCGAACCACAUAGUAGUUCCCACACAGCUCCUGUCGAACGGUAGCAGCUUUCCAUGAGAAGCUAUCAAGAACCUCCACCAACUCACCAGCCUCCCAUCGCUCCACAUCAACUUGCGGAGGACACGGCCUGAUCACCUUCCUUGGAACUCUCUCCAUGACAGCCUCCUCGUGGAAAGAGAAGUACCUAACGUUGUAGGUGUGUCCAUUCCCCGAGAUGAUCUCAGCGCAUCGCCACGCACCGUAAGGUGCCUCCUUGUUGCUAAACACCUCAACUCUACUUCCUUUUUUGAAUCUCAUUAUAAAACUGCAAAAAAAAAAAAAAAACAAUCUCAACAGUUAUGAAUCGAAGCUCAGUAACAUAGAUUUCAAUCAAAAGAUUCUAAAUUAAAAUCAAAUUGAUUGAUGUAAUUAUCCAAAAUCAAAUUAAAUCGAAAUAACAAAAUCAAAGCAACGAGAUCAAUCCAAAACAGAUGAAAUCAAUUAAACUAAGCAAGGAAUCUCGAUCCAAUUUUGGAGAUCAAACACUAGGAAUGAAACAAAAUCGAAGAAGAGAUCAUCAUCAUCACCUUGUGGAAUGUCUGGAGGAGAGACUUGAUCGCCGGAAAUUUUCGAAUUUUUCUCAGAUAUUUGUGAUUGGAAGAGAAAUUUGGGGAUUAGGGUUUCGGGUAAUGGAGAAUAUGGAAAGAGCUAAUUGGGCGUUACGUAAUUUAUAUUUUUAUUUUUAAUUUCGUGACGUGGGAUUUAAGUUAAAAAUCUUUUAACUAGAAAUAGGAGAAACAACCCAUAUACAAUUUACAUUAAUGACGGUUUUGAUUAGUGAAAAUUAAAUAUGUUUUUCACUCGCCGUGCACACGCACGCGCGUUUAAUUGACAGAUCAUGAAGUUAUUUUCAUACGUCCAUGCUUUUUAACAGGGUCUACAAUAUUUGAUUUACUAAAAUUAACUAUACAGCUUGUAAAUUGAUAUGUAUCGUGCACUCAAGACUUAUCUCGUUUUGCUUACGCAAUAUAUAUUCGUUUCACCUUUUAAUUAUACUUGAACAAGUAACCACUAUCAUAAAACUAUUUUUCUCGUGAACAAAUUUCUUGAUCAUAUAUAUAGAGAAAUAACAAAUCAUCACAUGAAAUACACAGUUGGGCAAUGCAAAAUUACUUGCAUAAAAAUUCUGUGAUUACACACACACAAAAAAUUUAUGUGAUUACUUUCAUAUGAUUUAGAUUUACAUUAUAAAGAUUAUGACCAAAUCCUAAAUUGUUACAACGAUUUAUUCGCGAGAAGUCAGAGGGCAGAUCUUUCCACACAAAAAAAAAAAGAAGAUUACAAUAAUCCCUGAUAUGUGUUACACAUUUGACUAUUGACUAUGUUACAGGGGGCAUGCAUUCACAGGCCGUCGAACUUGCCUAGGAGAGUCUGUUACAAUCACUAACGUCCGCAAAUCUACCUGCUACAUGUCUACUUUAUAAGAAGUCACCAACUAUGUGCUGCACAGUUAUAGAUCCAAUCCACAACGGCUUUCUAUAUAUACAAAACUCGAUUAUGUGAUCAUUAAUUAUGUACAGCAAAUGAAUGUGAUACACUUGAACCUUCACUUCAAAGUCCAAAGGAUUAUCGUAUCUUUCGUUUUCUCACUUUUUCUCAGCAUUGAAUCACCAGAAAGAUCACACAGCUAAUACUCUGACAUAAACAUGCCAACAACUUCUUUUCCUGGAUAGUAACUUAGAGAUGAGUUUUGGAGUUAAUAAUAGUACUAUAAUUGAACGUUAAGUUGAAUGUGGUUUUGUUUGAAGUGUCAACCACCAUCCGAGUCCUGCUACAGAAAAUAUGAUUUAGUAUUAAACACUGGUAGAAAGUUAUUUUGGCAUAUAGCAAAUAAAUAAUAAAACAAGAGUCUUAUAUUAUGACUGACCACAAAAGCAUAAUGUAAUGAUUAAUGAAUAAUAUUUUUAUACAUUUUAAAUUCCUUGAUAGGUGAUCAUAAAUAUCAAGUAAUAAGUCAUAUUUGAGUUAUGAAUUUAAAAAACAUCCAUGAGAAAAAGCUUUGAUAGAGUCAAAGUCGUUAACUCGUUAAAAUAGUAGAAGUAUUAUUAAAAUGGAAAGUGUAAAGAGGGUUCUCAAGUGGGGGUAAGAUUAACGUGUUUAGGAAUAUCCGAAGUAUGAGGUUAUCGACGACGUAAACAUUCUCCCCUUCCACCCCUCUUUUUAAGUUGCUUAAGAAUAAUUUCAAAGCUACUUAAGAAAAAUAUUAUUUUAUUCACAUAUGAACUAAACAAUGAUAAAUGUAAAUGAGACGUGAAUAAGAGUCCAAACACACACCAAACUCAUACCUUAAAGCCAUCACUAGAUUCUAACCCGCCCUCGGGUAUAUUUUUUGUUUACGUUUUUUUUGUAAAAUUUGAUAUUUAUAUUUAUGUUAUUUUUUGUAAUCAUAUUUGUGUUUAAUAUUAAUUUAAUAUCAUUUUGGUAACUAUAUUAAAUAUGUCAAGUUGCAUAACUAUACACUUGUGUGCAUAUCAUAAAUUAUUUUCACUUUAUUCCUAAAGUUUGUGAUAUAUUAUAUUUUCUUAUUAUAUUAGUUACCUAACAUAACUAAUCAAGAAUAUUUCGUAUCCAAAAAACCCAACUCGGAAUCGACUCGGAAAUAAAAGUCUCAUACUCUAUUAGACCUGGCGUAUAUAUUCAGACGGUUCUCAAAGUUUAUAUCCCAUAACCAAUAUCAAAUCCAACCAGUACCGUAAACCGAAGAAUUUUUUUGAAAAAUAUUUGAAAAAAUAUAUUUUUAAAAUAUUCUGUUAUAUAUAUAUGUGGGUUAAUAUGUACUUCACUAACUGUAAGUAAAAUCAUAUCUACUAAAUAUUUUUAAUCGAAUAACCUGUUUAAAACUCGUUAAACUAAAAUUGUCACCCUCACCGUCUAGAGUAACAAUUAAGCGAAGAACACCAUCCAUGGAUGGAUGGCGAGGUUCCAUAUUGACUAUCAUAAAAUCUUUUCCUAUAACUGGUCUUUUCAUAAGUAUAUAUUUUUAUAAAUAAUACUUACAUAAUAAUAUCAACUUAAAUAGUAAUCUUAAAUUUACUUCCAAAAAUAUACUUUGUUGUUUGUUAUAGUUUUUAUAGAUUGUGCUUGCUUUUCAAAUUUCUCAUUUUAACAUAUAUAUUUUUUGCAUGCAUAUAUACGAACUAUAUAGUAUAGCCUUUCAAAGAUAAUCAUAAUGUGUCGCUCGUUAAAUAAAUUAUAGUAUUCGGUUUGUAUAUUGGCCAUAUAAUUAGAUACCAGAGUUCGAUAUUUAUUGUUUGUUGCCAUAUACCUAGCCUAUAAAAUAGGAGCUUAAGUGGUUAUGGAAGGUGGUUAUGUUUUUUUUAACAGGAAGGUGGUUACGUUUUUUUAGAUAUAGUUAUAUUUUAUGUUAUACAUUUAUAUUUUAGAUGCACUUAUAUUUUUCAAUUGGACAUAACAUUUUAUCAAUUGGUCACACUGUUCUUUUAAUAGAAUAGAUAUUCUGUUAUGGCUUCGUUAGCUUAACAAACAAUCGUACCGGUAAAUGACUUCAAACUCUGAAGACCAUGUUAAACCGUUUAUGGAAUUGAAAAAUACAAACCGGAACAGAACCAAAACCAGACCUAAACUUUCAAAUUCUGAACAGUUUUUAUAUUAUUUUCGAAACAACCGAAGCGAACUACGAACCAAAAACCGAGUAGGUACUGGAUUAUAUAAAACAUUACUGACAUAUAACAUAACCAGAAAUAUAUAUUUAUAAUUUAAAAUCUUUAAGAUAUCCAAAAGUAUUUGAAUCGUCCAAAUUAUCAAAAACCGACCGAAACCAACCCAAACCGAAAAUUUGCAUGUUCAUACAAAUCCUCUAAAGCUUUAAACCCCACCCGAACUACCAUACAUGAACUGGUAUCCAAAAUGCUCAGGCCUAGUUCUUACAAAACAGAUGCAGGUACAGUAGAUGAAAGAAAAAAAACAAAUAUAAUCAAUCAUGUAUACUCACACUCAGUGUGUUCCUACAACUAACGUUUCUAGAUUUUGAUUUCAACUUCAACCUUCUUUAAACAACUCUGAAUAAAAGCCCUGAACGUGCAACCUCCUCCUCCAAAUCCAUCUCCAAACCAAGAGUUUCCACCAUUCCAUAAAUCUCAUCAGACUUCGGGUGAGACUUAUCACCUGAAGAGAAACCUAUCGUCGUCAAAGAACCUUCACUAUCAAUAAAAUCAACCCAACUGGUUCCUAUUUCUUUCUUCACAUCUUUCUUCCUCAUCCUCCUCCUAAUCUCCGCAGCUUUUUCCCACUGUCCCAUCUCUGCAUGGAUGUUAUACAUCUGAACAUAAGAACCUGACAACUUCGGUUCCAUCUCCAUAACAAGCUCAGCCACUUUCUCUCCAAUUUUAGAGUUCCCGUGCAGCCUACAAGACCCCAGCAUGCUCUGCAGCAUCGACACCCCUGGUCCUCCAGGAACCUCAAUCAUAAGCUCCUCUGCCUCUUUCAACCUCCCGGCUCGGCCAAGCAUGUCGACCAUACACGAGUAGUGCUCAUGAGACGGCUCGAGGCAGUAGUCUUUGGUCAUCGAGCUGAAAAUCUCAUACCCUUUGUCCACCAUACCUUUUCUAUUACAAGCUGUCAACACAGACAGAAACGUGAUCAGAUCCGGUGCUAUGUUCUGGUUAACCAUCUCCUGAAACGAGCUCAUCACCGAUUCAAAAUCCCCGUGGCUUGAGUAGGCCGAGAUUAUCGAUGUCCAAACAAACUGGUUCUUUUCAGACAUCUCGUCAAAGACUUUCUCUGACUCAUCGAUGCUCCCACGCUUGGCGUACAUAUCGAGAAGCGCGCUCGAAACAACGGGACAGCUGUUUAAACCCAACUUCAGUAUAUGAGCAUGGCAACGCUGACCAUGCCUCAGAGAAAUAUUCUCCGCAGAGGCUAUUGCGUUUAGCACACUUCCGAAAGUGUACUCAUUCGGCGUUGCUUCCGCCGCUGCUGAUAAGUACAUCUUGAGAGCUUCGAGCGAGAAUCCGUUUUGAGCAAAUCCAGAGAUCAUAGCGUUCCAGGAGAUAAUCUCCUUGACAUUUAUCUCAUCGAACGCCUUCUUGGCGUCCUCCAGAGCCUCAAACUUGGCGUACAUUGUGAUGAAACUGUUGCCAAUAGAUGGUUUCGAAGCAAAACCAGUCUUGAUGCAUAUCCCGUGCAUCUUGACCCCUUCUUUGAUUUGCUCAUUGCACUUAACAGCGUUGAUUAAACCAAUAAACGUGACCUCGUUAGGGAACACUCCAUCUAACCUCAUCUUAUGAAAGAUAGACACAGCAUCGUCUUUAUUCGCGGAGAUCAUCGUUGUCCAAGAGAUAACAUUCCUCUCGCUCAUCUCGUAAAACACUGAUCUCGCAGCUUCUACAACCCCACACUUCCAGUAACUCGUCAUCAACAUAUUACCAACGGAAACAAGUGUCGCAUAACCUCUUUUUAAGCACAGACCAUGGAUCUGCCUAGCUAUCUUCAGAUCAUUUUCGUGACAACAAGUAGUGAUCACGCUAGUAAAAGACACGUGGUCAAGCUCCACACCUUGUCUCAUCAUCUCCCUAAACACAAGCACCGCCUCAAACCCGAGAUUACCUCCUUGAGAAAGUCCUGACAACAAAGAGUUCCACGUAAUCAUAUCCUUAACCACCUUCUCAUCAAAGACUCUCCUAGCAUCUCUGAAACUUCCACCACGCGAGUACAUUGUUAUAAACGAGUUCCCAACCACAACAUCACUCUCCAGACCAGUCUUCACAACAAUAGAAUGCAACUGUAAUCCUAAACUAAACCCUUCAAACCCCACACAGAAGGAAAGAGCCGUUGAAUAAGUAAACGCGUCGAAAACCACUCCUGCAGAUCUCAUCCUAACAACGAAACUCAUAGCAACUUGAUCUUCAUCGAACCCAGAGAGUAUAGUGUUCCAAGAAACAACAUCAGGAUCAACCAGACUCUCAAAUAUGCACAAAGCAUUGUCAAACCGACCGGCUUUACGGUACAUUCCCAUUACAGCGUUUGAAACACAGACGAAGGAAGUGAAACCAGAGGCUAUCGAGAACCCGUGGACUUGGCAACCAAGCUUCGUGUCUCCACGACAUGCUUUAAGAGCUAAGCAAAGAGUGACCUCGUUUACAAUAUUACGACCAGAUAACCCCAGCUGGAGAUUCUUAGUGAAGAUCGCAAGUGCUUGCGAAGGAGAUCCUCUACGUAAGGAUUCGCUGAUCGAAUGGUUAAUGUACGUUGUCGCGUUUCUUUGAGAACUUCCAUCGAACAGCUUGUGUGCACUAAUCAAAGGAUAGCGAAAAAUUCGAAAAGGAAAAGACUUUGAGGGAGUACAGUGUAAAUAACUCAAAAGGGUCAUGAGAAGAAGGAAGCUUGCCGGAUUCUAAUUAGCGAACUACCGGAGAAAGAAGCGAGGUGUUAGCUGCUGCUGUUGGGAACGGUGUACGACGGACGGAGCAAAAAAAUAGAGUUUUGAGGGUAAAGUUGUAAAUUACGAGCGAGUUUGAGGGCAAUUCGGACAAGCUGGUGUUUGUUCUUUUUAAAGUGUCCGCUAGGUUUUUUUUCCUCCAGCUCUCUCAGUCAUUCUAUUACUGGUGGCUCGGCGUGUUCUCAGGUAAAACCCUAGCGAUUCUUUUGUCCUCUGCUCGCCGAAUUGCAGUGGAAUUUUGAUGUUUGAAGAACUUGAUUCUCUGAUAAUUUUUUUUUCAUGAUUUGCACAAUUCUCCACUGAUACGAUCAGUUUAGUUUAUUUGUUGGCAUAAACUCUUGUGGGAAUCUUUUUGUCCGUGUUAGUUUUGAGUAGUUGUGAGCAUGAUUUUGUUGUAGAAAUGACAUUGUUAAUUGAGGUGUCUAGAAGUUUUCUAAUUUUGUAGUGGGUUUAUUUCAGGACUAUUUGAUAAUCAAGUCUCUUUUGUGUUCCAUGUGUGUUUUACAGGUCUGAACUUUGGAUUGCUAGAUAUAUAUUAAAAGGGCAUGGCGAAAAAGAAGAAUCCGCAGGUUUAUAUGGAUGUAUGCAUUGAUGGAGAUCCAGCUGAGACUAUGGUUUUUGAGGUACCAUGCUGUUUUGGUUCUCUUGCUUGUAUUUUUUUCGUGACAAAGCUAAAAGUGUUGAACAUUUGAACUUUGUUUCUUUAGCUUUUCCCUGAUGUAGCUCCUAAGACAUCAGAGAAUUUCCGUGCACUAUGUACAGGUUUGUUACUUCAUUGCUGUAUACAAAAUUAAUUUUUGACUUUCCUUCUCCUCUAACAUUUAUUUUUCCUUAUAAAAUCUAUUAUAUAGGGGAGAAAGGAAUCGGACCCAGAAGUGGAAAACCUUUACAUUACAAAGGAUCUUUUUUCCACAGGAUUCUGAAAGGCUCCUCAGCACAGGUUUCUUUCUGCAUCUUUCAUCUAUAAAUUUAUCGAUAUGAUGUUGCAGUCUUGUUCUCUGGUUUCUUUUUCAACAUUGUUUGGAUAUUCCCUUUUUAGUUCGUUCCUGUUCUUUAUGUUGUAGGACUACAGGUCUGAUAGCCACACCUGCUUUCGUGUCGUAUAGUUUUAAGGUUGCACUACUAGUUGUUCAUGCUCAAACUUAGGUCUUCUCAUGCAAAGAAUACACUUUAUGUACGAACAAAUUCAUUGUUGCUGCUGGUUGACUAACAACCUCUAUUGACUAUUUUUUUCAGGCUGGCGACUUUGUGAGUCGAGAUGGUAUGUGGCUUCUGACCUACAGUUUACAAGUAGAGCUAUUAGAUACAUCUACUAAUACCUGUCGUUUCUGAUCUUAUAUCAAUGGUACACAGUUUUUUGGGAUUAUAUAUUGUGAUUAAGAAAUUAAUUCUCAUUUGCGUAAUCAACAUUUAACUGAUAGUAACUUUGAAAGUGUGAUAGCCUACUGGGUGGAACUGAAUUCAUUAGAUUCCUGUGGAAGUGCUUGGAUUCAUUAGAUAACAUACAAUAGGUUAUGGAGUCAACAUUAAAAAUUCUUAUCCUCUGAACAAAUUUGUAUAUUAUCCACUUUCCAGGUACUGCUGGGGAAAGCAUAUAUGCUGGAAAAUUUCCAGGUUUGUUUACCAUUCCGUUUUUUUUUAAUCAGCUAUCUCUUUUCGUUUAUUGUGUGUGUGUGACACUGAUAUCUCUUAUCUUUGCCGUUCAUUACUUAAACUUGUAUCAACAAGUAGAAGUUCAUUUUGAAGCAUUGCUUUACUGAAUGUUUGGUGCUUGUCAUAUUUAUAAGAUAUAUAUGUUACUGAGUUGCAAACGCAAUUUCUAAUGUUACCAGAUGAGUCACCCAAACUAAGGCAUGACGAGCGUGGUCUUUUAUCCAUGGAUGUUGCUGAACGUGACAAGUUUGGAUCACACUUUCAUAUUACCUUCAGGCCAAAUCACCAACUUGAUAGGUCUACUUAACGUCACCUUCCUUUCUUUUUUAAAUAUCUAAUCUAUCAUUUCAAUAAUUGUUGAUUUUUUCCUUUAGCAUUUCGUUAUUUCUGACUGUUAUAUUUGGGAAAGAGGUACUGAAGAAAAUUGAACGUGUGGGAGACGAAGAAGGUAAACCUACCGUCACGGUGAAAAUAAUCCGUUGUGGAGAAUAUUCCGGAGGUACAAAUAUUCUACUAUUGGUUACUCCUACAUAGUCAUGAGUUUGCAGUCAUAACCAGUCCUCAUCAUCGCAUGAUUUGUCAAUGCAGACAAGAAGAAGAAUGCUGUUGAUGAUCGAAAAAGGAGCAAGCACAAGAAAUCUUCAAGAGAGAGAAGAAAGAAGAGGCGGAGACACUCAUCAUCUGAGUCUGAAAGCUCCUCAGACUCUGAGACGGAUACCUCGGAAUCUGAUAGCGAGUCAGAUUCAGAUUCCUCUUCUGACCUUAGCUCCUCGAGCCAUGAAAGGGGGAAGAAGAGGAAAAGAAGUUCAAGGAAAGAUAAGCACAGGCGGUCUAAGCGAAGAGAUAAGCGCCAUGAGAAGAAGCGGAGGAUACGUGAUAAGAGAUCGAAACGCAAAUCAAGAAGGUUUGCACGUCUUGUACACUUAUUAGGAGAACUAAAUCACUAAAAUUCUAUUUGCCGUACUUAUUACUUAUUAGGAGAAUAUUAGUGAUUUAAUUGGUCUGCACAGUUAACCGGUUUUAACUUGUGGUAUAUAGUGAGAGUCAUGUUAGCUUAUGUUUCUGGAAAUCCAUUUUUAUGGACUAAGCAUGAUUAGUUUUGUCCCGCUCGUACGUAAUAAUGUCUUGCCAACAGUCAUUUGCUUGAGUAGGUCUUUUCUGUUUUUGAGGAGCAUGUACCGGAGCAACUAGUUCUAAGUAUUAACUGGUUGAGUAUCAUAGUUAUUCACUUUGUUCUGCAACCUUUCAGGUCCCCAGACAAUCUUAUAGGGGAAGAAGGCAACAGCGAAAGUGAUGCUAAUGUUGAUAUAGGGGGAAAAACGAGGAAACCCAGAGUCUCGAAUAGAACAGGUUAUCUCUAAAACUCAGUUGAGUUUUAGCUUCUAUUCCCAGCUUCCUGCAAACCUCAGUUUUUUUUCUGAUUUGUUUUUGUAAUGGCAUGUCCAAUGAAUGAAGAUAAUGCUUUGUGUGCAAUUUGUUUUCCUAACUUGUAUAGUCAGUUUAAUAUUUUUUCUUUAUACACUGUUGUUGACUGCAAUAUUCAAACAGGUAACUCUCCACUAGAGUUUGAAAAAGAAGCUGAAUCACUUCACCAGGACAAAAAGGAAGGCCCGGAUUUGCUUGACAAGGAUGAUGAUGCAUCUGAUAGGCAACAUGAUAUUGUUGAUGAUCAUUCUGGCAAAUCUAGGUGGAGUUUCCAAUCUCUUAUAACACCUCAGCUAAAGAGUUAUCUUUAUUCUUCUCCCAUACGGAAUCUUAUUAAAAAAACGUUGAUGUGCAGGAGCUGGAGCUUGAGUCCUAAGAGGAAAACAAGCUUAAGUCCUAGGAGGAGUCCGAGUAAGAGUCCGAGCUUAAGUCCUAGACGGAAAGUGAAGAACUUGAGAGGCAAAAGCACAGAGAGUGAGGAGUUAGGCAGGCUUAUUAGGAGAAGCCUUAGCAAAAGUGUUAGUAGAAGUCCAGUGCUGAUGAAAAGGGGAAGAGAUAUUACUAGAAGUCCUUCCAGGAGUAUAAGCAGAAGUCCAUUGAGAAGCCCUGUAAGGGAUAUUAGCAGAAGUCCAGUGAGAAGUAGGAAUGCCAGAAGUCCUAGCAGGAGCCCUGUAAGAUCAGCAUCUCGGGGAAGCCUUGGAAGAGGCUCACUUAGAAGAGCAAGAAGAUCACCUAGCAGAAGUCCAGUUCGGUCUUCUAGAAGAAGCCUGAGCAGGAGUCCCUCUAUAUCACCUAGGAGAUCAGUAAGCAGGAGUCCUAUAAGAUCACCUAGGAGAUCAGUGAGCAGGAGUCCAAUCCGAUCAUCUAGGAAGAGUGUGAGCAGGAGUCCGAUUCGAUCAUCCAGGAGAAGUAUCAGCAGGAGUCCUGUUGGAGGAGAAAGAAGAAGAAGAAUCAGUAGAAGUCCAAUUCAGGCGAGGAGAAGAAGUCCUUUUGGCCGUAGAAGAAGUUUGUCAAGAAGCGCUUCUCCUGAUGGACGCGUCAGGAGAGGGAGAGGAUUUAGCCAGAGAUACUCUUACGCUCGUAGAUUCAGAGCCUCUCCAACUCCUGAUCGUUCUCCUUAUCGCUUAAGUGAUAGGAGUGACCGUGACCGUGACAGGUGAAUAUCUCGAACUCUCUUUUCUGUUACAUUCACCCACUCACUCUCAUGAUGGACCAUUUUUUUGAUAACGUAUUCAUCUGUAGAUUUCGAAGUCACAGAAGGUACUAGGGGGAAAAACGAGGAAACCCAGAGUCUCGAAUAGAACAGGUUAUCUCUAAAACUCAGUUGAGUUUUAGCUUCUAUUCCCAGCUUCCUGCAAACCUCAGUUUUUUUUCUGAUUUGUUUUUGUAAUGGCAUGUCCAAUGAAUGAAGAUAAUGCUUUGUGUGCAAUUUGUUUUCCUAACUUGUAUAGUCAGUUUAAUAUUUUUUCUUUAUACACUGUUGUUGACUGCAAUAUUCAAACAGGUAACUCUCCACUAGAGUUUGAAAAAGAAGCUGAAUCACUUCACCAGGACAAAAAGGAAGGCCCGGAUUUGCUUGACAAGGAUGAUGAUGCAUCUGAUAGGCAACAUGAUAUUGUUGAUGAUCAUUCUGGCAAAUCUAGGUGGAGUUUCCAAUCUCUUAUAACACCUCAGCUAAAGAGUUAUCUUUAUUCUUCUCCCAUACGGAAUCUUAUUAAAAAAACGUUGAUGUGCAGGAGCUGGAGCUUGAGUCCUAAGAGGAAAACAAGCUUAAGUCCUAGGAGGAGUCCGAGUAAGAGUCCGAGCUUAAGUCCUAGACGGAAAGUGAAGAACUUGAGAGGCAAAAGCACAGAGAGUGAGGAGUUAGGCAGGCUUAUUAGGAGAAGCCUUAGCAAAAGUGUUAGUAGAAGUCCAGUGCUGAUGAAAAGGGGAAGAGAUAUUACUAGAAGUCCUUCCAGGAGUAUAAGCAGAAGUCCAUUGAGAAGCCCUGUAAGGGAUAUUAGCAGAAGUCCAGUGAGAAGUAGGAAUGCCAGAAGUCCUAGCAGGAGCCCUGUAAGAUCAGCAUCUCGGGGAAGCCUUGGAAGAGGCUCACUUAGAAGAGCAAGAAGAUCACCUAGCAGAAGUCCAGUUCGGUCUUCUAGAAGAAGCCUGAGCAGGAGUCCCUCUAUAUCACCUAGGAGAUCAGUAAGCAGGAGUCCUAUAAGAUCACCUAGGAGAUCAGUGAGCAGGAGUCCAAUCCGAUCAUCUAGGAAGAGUGUGAGCAGGAGUCCGAUUCGAUCAUCCAGGAGAAGUAUCAGCAGGAGUCCUGUUGGAGGAGAAAGAAGAAGAAGAAUCAGUAGAAGUCCAAUUCAGGCGAGGAGAAGAAGUCCUUUUGGCCGUAGAAGAAGUUUGUCAAGAAGCGCUUCUCCUGAUGGACGCGUCAGGAGAGGGAGAGGAUUUAGCCAGAGAUACUCUUACGCUCGUAGAUUCAGAGCCUCUCCAACUCCUGAUCGUUCUCCUUAUCGCUUAAGUGAUAGGAGUGACCGUGACAGGUGAAUAGCUCACUCACCCACUCUCGUUUCUAUUACAUUCUCUCAUUGCUGCUGACCAUUUUCUUGAUAAUGUAUUCAUCUGUAGAUUUCGAAGUCACAGAAGGUACUCUCCAAGACGGUUCAGAAGUCCAUUAAGAGCAAGAACACCUCCAAGGUACUCACAUUAUUCUCUUUAGUCCAUUUCACAUCUAAAAGCCUCUUUAAUAAAUAAGUGAGUUUGGUUUUCCAAAUAAAAUUGGCUGUUGUGAUUUGACAACUUGAAACUAAUCUCAGGUUAAGAAGAAGAAGAAGCCGCUCUGUAUCUUCUGGUCCACGUCAUCGCCGGCGUUGCAGCCGCAGCCCUAUUCGUAGCCGUUCACCGUAUAGGAAGAAGAGAAGGUCACCGUCUCCUGCUAGCCGUAGCCCUAUCCGUAGCCGUUCACCAUACAGCAAGAGAAGAUCACCGUCUCCUGCUAGCCGCAGCCCAAGUCCAUCAGGAUCAAGAUCAAGAUCAUACUCAAAAUCUCCCAUUGGGGGGACAGGGAAAGCAAGAUCAGUGUCAAGAUCCCCAUCUAAAUCGAGCUCGUCAUCCUCCGGUAAUAGCUCAGGCGGGAAAAAGAGAUUAGUUGCCUAUGAUUAAACAAAACCCACAUAUCCUUUUGUUCUAUUACUCAGAAGAGGAAGGUGAAGAAGAGUAAGAAGCAGUUACUUUUGUAAAACAUAUGCAUUGUCUUGUUGGCGUGUCUGCUACGUCUUUUGGAUGUGUUUUACCCUCCAGCCGACAAUUUUAUUUAUUUUGGGUCAACCGACAAUUUUAUUUUUUAUUUGGUUUUUCGACCGUAACUUUUAAAUUUAACAAUUUGAACCUUAAUUAAUCACAAUAUAAUUUUUUGUCCACCGACAGAUGAUGGCGAAUAAGAGAAAACAGGCUGUUACCAGUGAACAAACGUGGCUUCUAUUUUUCUAAUAAAAUCAAUUAUGAUAAUUUGUUUUGUCCUGUCUCUUUCUUACAAUUUCGGCCACGUCACUGACUAGCAGCUGGCGCGUCUAGUGAAGAAGCCAACGGCUCAGCUUAUAGAAAAACACCAAGAUGCAUAAGCCUAGCCGAUAUAUGAGCCGAGCCAAAGAAUAGGAGAUGAAGAGGCUGCCGUCACCACUUCCGGUGAAAUAAUAUCCACUCCACUUGUCAUUAUUAUUAAAAUAAGAAAAAAAUUAAAAAGGAACGGAACACACAGACACAGCGAUUAAAUAGGCAAAAGCAGAUUUGUUAAUAAAACUCAAAUCAGACAAAGAGAUACAGAGAGAGAGAGAGAGAGUGUGUUAGUGUGAACAUCUUCUUUGGAGUUCGAGAGAGGUUUUCGAGAUGCCGUAUUGAAUCGGCCAAAGAACUGAAAUUGCAAUCUCUCUAUCUCUGUGUAUUUGUCGGUGGCUCGUUGACUUCUUCACUCAUCAGCGAUGGAAGCCAGUUCCGGCUUGGUUGCUGGAUCUUACCGGAGAAACGAGCUCGUUCGUAUCCGUCACGAAUCUGACGGCGGGGUUCGUCAUUUUAGAUCUCAUCUAGAUUUUUUUUUAACUCAAAUCAGACAAAGAGAUACAGAGAGAGAGAGAGAGAGAGAGAGAGAGAGAGUGUUAGUGUGAACAUCUUCUUUGGAGUUCGAGAGAGGUUUUCGAGAUGCCGUAUUGAAUCGGCCAAAGAACUGAAAUUGCAAUCUCUCUAUCUCUGUGUAUUUGUCGGUGGCUCGUUGACUUCUUCACUCAUCAGCGAUGGAAGCCAGUUCCGGCUUGGUUGCUGGAUCUUACCGGAGAAACGAGCUCGUUCGUAUCCGUCACGAAUCUGACGGCGGGGUUCGUUUCAUUUUAGAUCCCAUCUAGAUUUUUCUUUUUCUUUUCUGUUCUAAAUCUCAUUCAAAUGUCGGAUCAUGGAAACUCAGAUUCAGAUCUUUAACUGAGAUUUCGCUUCUGUUAGUGUGUAGUUGGUUAGUCUAUAUCUCAAGUUUCUAAAAAUAGUAACUUUUCUGCUUCAAGACUUCUAUUGCUGUCAUAAAGUGAUCAUUUACCAGAUCUAUGAAUUUUUAAAAACUCAUCUUUUUUUUUUUUGUUUUUCUUAUCACGGAAACUGUCGGUGGAGUUUGAUUCUUGAUCUAAGGAUCUAACUGUUCAGCUUCUUUUUUUGAAUCAUUGCCCCAUUUCAUCUCCAUAUAUUGACCCACGCCAACCUGGUAUUCACAUUAUUUUUGCUUUGUACACCAUAUGCCUUAGUUUUAUGUCAAUUCAUAUUCAUUUUAUAGCUUCUUUUUCUUCCUGAAAAUUGCAGUUCCUGUAAGGAUCGUGGACCCGUCCAAAGACCUGAACUCUUACGGGCUUGGAAACGUUGACUGGAAAGAAAGGGUUGAAGGCUGGAAGCUGAAACAGGAGAAGAACAUGUUACAGAUGACUGGUAAAUAUCAUGAAGGGAAAGGAGGAGAGAUUGAAGGGACUGGUUCCAAUGGCGAAGAACUCCAAAUGUGAGUUGUCUUUCUUGCUCUUAUAUGCUCUAUUUGGUUGCAACUUUCCAACUCAUAUUCAAAUUUGAGUGUGUUUUUUUUUUGGUUUCCUUCCAUUCAAUUGUGGAUCUUGUGCUUACAGGGCUGAUGACUCGCGACUUCCUAUGAGCCGUAUUGUGCCUAUCCCGCCUUCUCAUCUGACACCUUAUCGUGUUGUGAUUAUUCUCCGGCUUAUCAUCUUGGGAUUCUUCUUGCAAUAUCGUACAACUCACCCUGUGAAAGAUGCUUAUCCAUUGUGGCUGACCUCAGUUAUUUGUGAGAUCUGGUUUGCAUUCUCUUGGCUUCUUGAUCAGUUUCCCAAAUGGUACCCCAUUAACAGAGAGACUUAUCUUGACCGUCUCGCUAUAAGGUUGGUCUCUAGGUCUAUGCAUCCCACUCGUAUCUUAUGUCUUAGUGUGCUAAUUUGAUACCAUCUUACACAGUUUUAAUUAUUUAGUGGUUUGAUUAUGGUUUUCCUAUUGUAGAUAUGAUCGAGAGGGUGAACCAUCUCAGCUUACUCCUGUUGAUGUGUUUGUUAGUACGGUGGACCCACUGAAAGAGCCACCUCUUGUAACGGCAAACACAGUUCUCUCGAUUCUUGCCGUGGACUAUCCGGUAGAUAAAGUAGCCUGUUAUGUUUCAGAUGAUGGUGCAGCGAUGCUUACCUUCGAAUCUCUUUCUGAAACUGCUGAGUUCGCAAAGAAAUGGGUGCCUUUUUGCAAGAAAUUCAGCAUUGAACCCAGGGCUCCUGAAUUCUAUUUUCAGCAGAAGAUAGAUUACCUGAAGGACAAGAUCCAGCCUUCUUUUGUUAAAGAGCGACGAGCUAUGAAGGUCCACUUGAUAAUCCAUCUGCUUCUCUCAUCCAUUAUAGAGACUAGAGAUUGAUUGACUAAAAAAUAUUUUGUGUUGGUUUGUGAUGACAGAGAGAGUAUGAGGAGUUUAAGGUGAGGAUCAAUGCACUUGUUGCUAAAGCACAGAAAAUCCCUGAAGAAGGCUGGACGAUGCAGGAUGGUACUCCCUGGCCUGGUAACAACACCAGAGAUCAUCCUGGAAUGAUACAGGUACAGUAAAACAAUUCUUUACGGCGAGAGUAAUGGAAGGCAACGAUUUCAGGACAUGUUUAUUUAUGCUGCAUCUUUUUGUUUCAAUUUCAGGUGUUCUUAGGCCACAGCGGAGGUCUAGAUACCGAUGGAAAUGAGCUGCCUAGACUCAUCUAUGUUUCUCGUGAAAAGCGGCCUGGAUUCCAGCAUCACAAAAAGGCUGGAGCUAUGAAUGCCUUGGUUUGUCAUCUUUCUAAAUCCUACUGUGUCCUCUAUUUUUCUCUCUUAUUCAGUGCCUUGUACAGCCGUUGCUUCAUAUUCUUUUUGUUCUCUCCUGAUUUAGCUUCUCUUUACUUUGACAGAUCCGUGUUUCUGCUGUUCUUACCAAUGGAGCAUAUCUUUUGAACGUGGACUGUGAUCAUUACUUCAACAACAGCAAGGCUAUUAAAGAAGCCAUGUGUUUCUUGAUGGACCCUGCUUACGGAAAGAAGUGCUGCUAUGUCCAGUUCCCACAGCGUUUCGAUGGUAUUGAUUUGCACGAUCGAUAUGCCAACAGGAAUAUUGUCUUCUUCGAUGUAAGCUUCACUCCCCCAUUCGCACACAGUCUUUUGUUUUCUGUUUGUUCAUAUAUUUGUUGGAUUUACUCGUUUCUGGUAGUUGCCUGACUUAGAUGUUUGUUACUUUGGGCAGAUUAACUUGAAGGGGUUAGAUGGUAUCCAAGGUCCAGUAUAUGUGGGUACUGGAUGUUGUUUCAACAGGCAAGCUCUAUAUGGAUAUGAUCCUGUCUUGACAGAGGAAGAUUUACAACCAAACAUCAUUGUCAAGAGCUGCUGCGGCUCAAGGAAGAAAGGAAAGAACAGUAAGAAAUAUAGCUAUGAUCAAAAAAGGAGAGGCAUCAGCAGAAGUGAUUCCAAUGCUCCACUUUUCAACAUGGACGACAUCGAUGAGGGUUUCGAAGGUUUGAAAUGAGCUUAUAGUGAAACAAUUUUGAAGUGUUCAUGUGAUGAUGAUAUAAACUUAACAAGUCUUGUUUAUGCAGGAUAUGAUGAUGAUAGAUCUAUUCUAAUGUCCCAGAAGAGUGUGGAGAAGCGUUUUGGUCAGUCGCCAGUGUUUAUUGCUGCCACGUUUAUGGAACAAGGUGGCAUUCCACCAACGACCAACCCAGCUACUCUUCUCAAGGAGGCUAUUCAUGUUAUAAGCUGUGGUUACGAGGACAAGACUGAGUGGGGAAAAGAGGUAAGUAUUCAAAUGCAGCCACAGGCUCUUCUGUUGUCUUUGUCACCUCUCUGAUGACAUCUUUUUUUUUUUUGCUAGAUUGGUUGGAUCUAUGGUUCUGUGACAGAAGAUAUUCUUACUGGGUUCAAGAUGCAUGCUCGUGGUUGGAUGUCUAUCUACUGCAAUCCUCCACGACCUGCGUUCAAGGGAUCUGCACCAAUCAAUCUUUCUGAUCGUUUGAACCAAGUUCUUCGGUGGGCGUUGGGAUCUAUCGAGAUUCUUCUGAGUAGACAUUGCCCUAUCUGGUAUGGCUAUACAGGAAGGUUGAGACUCUUGGAGAGGCUCGCUUACAUCAACACCAUUGUCUACCCUAUUACAGCUCUCCCUCUCAUCGCCUAUUGUAUUCUUCCAGCUUUUUGCCUCAUCACUGACAAGUUCAUCAUACCUGAGGUUCGUAAAACAGAACCACUCUUGUUUACCUUUUUCGAAUUGUAAUCUUCAUCAUCUGGUUUCUAAAAGCUAUAACAACAUUGUUGCAGAUAAGCAACUACGCGAGUAUUUGGUUCAUUCUUCUCUUCAUCUCCAUUGCUGUGACUGGAAUCCUGGAGCUGAGAUGGAGCGGUGUGAGCAUUGAGGACUGGUGGAGAAACGAGCAGUUCUGGGUCAUUGGAGGCACAUCUGCUCAUCUUUUUGCAGUCUUCCAAGGUCUACUCAAGGUACUUGCGGGCAUCGACACUAACUUCACCGUCACAUCAAAAGCCUCAGACGAAGAUGGGGACUUCGCAGAGCUUUACAUCUUCAAAUGGACAGCUCUUCUCAUUCCACCAACCACGGUCCUAGUUGUGAACAUGAUAGGCAUUGUGGCUGGUGUCUCUUACGCUAUUAACAGCGGGUACCAGUCAUGGGGUCCGCUCUUUGGGAAGCUUUUCUUCGCCUUGUGGGUCAUUGCCCAUCUCUACCCGUUCUUGAAAGGUCUGCUUGGAAGACAGAACAGAACACCAACCAUCGUCAUUGUUUGGUCUGUUCUUCUCGCCUCCAUCUUUUCGUUGCUUUGGGUCAGGAUCAAUCCAUUUGUCUCUGUCACUCCAGCUGCCAACCCCAAUGCCGUCCCUGGUGGUGUCUUUUAGACCCUAUUUUUAUAUACAUUUUGUGUGCAUAUUAUGGUGAAACCGAGCGGUUAUGGUGAUGCAGUGUUAGCUUUCUCUGUGUAGCAAGAGAGUUAUGAAACUGUUGGUGGCUGUCAUUGUUGUGAUGAUCUUAAUUAUUUUGGUAUGUUAUAGUUUUUCCAGUGGAGAAGAUGUGUAAACCAAAUGAUACAUAAGUCUACAAAAGAUAAUCUUUAAUUCUUUUUUUUUCUUAUAUAUUUACUUUGCUUCACCUUUUUAAGACUUAAGAGUUACACUUCUGUAAUAUUAAAGCUUAGUUGUUGUAUACAACAAAAAAGAAAAGAAAAGAUUGUGUAACCUCAAUAUAAGCUUAUUUGAAUCAAAAUCAGAAUCCACAACAUAAUGGAAAAAUGAAAAUCUUUUGAAAUCUCAAGUGGUAUGAUAAAUUUAGAACUAUGAAUCCUAAUAUACCCACUGUGUUGCUCUGAUAAAACCUUUAAAAAUCGCCAUGAGAGUCCAUACAACUCCAAAACUCAGGCUUCUUGGUUGUUGUUCUCGACCAGUAUCUUCUUGCAAGCUUCAUAGCACAUGAACGAGAUUCCAGCAGCAGGAACCAGCUUCAAGCAACUAGGUCCAAGCCCAAUGUACCAACCGAGAAUACCUUCAUGCUCAAGUAUGCUCACCAGAGCGUCCAACAUGUUCUUGUACACAACUCUCCCGCUAACCGCUCCCACCUGCAUAUGCUUCCGAGCCACCUCCAGAGGGAAAGUCGCGGUGCUAGAUAGCGCACCAGCUAAAGAACCUAUCAGAAGAGUCUCAAUGUUUCCAAUCUUCUCUUGCUUUGAAAAACUCCGGUACGCUUUUCUUAGAGAGUCGUAUGCAAAAUAGUUGGUGGCUGCAUACGGAACAACUCCAAUAAGACUAGGAGCAAGACCCCUGUAGAGUUCUGUGGGUCCUUCCUCGCGUAUGAUCUUCACAAAUGCAUCGAAUAUCCCCUUGUAAACACCUCUCUGCAUUUAGUGAGCCGUAAGUAAAAAACUGUACCAGUCCAAACCCAUUGCCUCAAAAAAAGAAGUUAACAUGUUACAAAGACCUCAACUCCUUCAGCUAAUGGCUUGGAACACUAAGUUAUUAAUGUUUUUAAGAACCGAGAGGAGCCAAACCUGAAUGGUAAGACGAGUCUUGACUAAUUCGAGAGGGUAUGUCAAGAGAGUCUGGCUAACUCCAGCACAAGCACCAGCGAGCAAUGAAGCUGGGAUUGGGAUCUUUGAUUGCUCACCAUGUUCUGGUGACAGUUUCUUGUUCACUGUCUCGAAUACAAAAAGCUACACAUACAAAAAAAAAAGAGUACCAAAAGGCUCAUCAUUUUUGGCAUAAGACAGUGUCAACCAACACAACACAACACAAGACUUGUCACAGAUACAAAGUCAACGAGAGAUAUUAUUAUUAAGUAAAGUCAGAAACUUUUUAGUCAAUACUUGGUGGGAUUCAUUGUGUGUACCUCAACGGCACGAGCAGGUGCAACACGAAUGACAUUGACCAAAUUACCCCUAAAGAGACCAGUCCAACCUUCAUGCUUCAUGAUAUCACCGAACACUUCCGCGGACGAGUUCCCGCCGCUUCCCACCAUCAGAUGCGUCCUGAUCGUCUCCAACGGCGCAACCACGGUUCUCGACACGGCUCCAGCCACGGCUCCGCUUAUCAGCCGACGCAAGGAAGGGUUACCGAUCUUUAUCUUCAACUUCAUCCCACCACCAUUCUUCUUCUUCUUCUCGCCGUUAACUAGUUCCUCCCACUCUUCCACUUUCCCAUUGAGCUGUGCAGAUAAGGAGGCGUUGGAAGGGAUGGAUCCCGAACCGAAUGGAUUAGUUUGAUUGACGCUAGCGAAUAGGGCACCAAUUGUAUGGUGGUGGUGGUUAACGCCGGUUAAGCUCCAGUCACAUCCCAAAUCGGAAACGGAGAAAAGACCGUUCCUUGAAUCGUCGAACAGCUGGAUUCCGGUUUUCACCAUAGCUUCCCAAACACAAUAAGAAGCUUCUGAUGCGGUUUAAGUAAAAAGGAAAGAUCUUUUUUCUUUCACGAUACAGAGCUGACAGAGGCUGUCUGAAAGUGAUGAGCUUUAACGGCCCCCAAAAAGGAAAUAAAAGGAAUGAAAUUUCCGAAUGGUGUGAAGAGGAGGAGAGAGAGAGAGUAUGUUAUGUCUCUCUCUCAGUCGUCGUCGUCUCUUUCGUUUGAGCUUAGGGUUUUAACCAGUCUGGUUUUUUCGCCCUAUUUGGGGUUGGUAGGUGGGUGGAGUCAGUGGGUUUGGGUGGGACGUAGACGCCGAUUAGGUUUUUUAUUCUUUUCUUGCAUUUUAUUUUUAUUUUUAUUUUUAUUUUUAUUUUUAACUCAUUAUGAUAUUAUAGUAUACUUAGAAACUGGAAUGCAACACCACGCAAUAUUUGCCGACAUUGAAAUGUAGAGGCGUAGAGAAAGUGUUAUCGUUUUGUUUUUGGGAAUAUGAACAAGCAUAAACCGAAACUCCAUCAAGCUGAAUUUGAAAGAAAAUAAAUUGUAUGUAUUUUAGAAACUAUGACUUUUUUUUAAAUACGAAAAGAAGAAAAUUACAACACAUGUUAUAGAGAGACUAGUUAAGUAAAUUUUCAAUCAAGUUAUAUGCUCAAUAAUACUCUCUCAAAAGAAGAGCCCAUAGACACAUUUCAAUCAACUUUCAGGAAAAGGAUUGCGUGGAAACAAUUAGAUCCGCAUUUACAGGUUGCUUAUUUGAUAGGCUUUUGUUUCUUAUGCUUAAACCCAAAGCCUUUGUGUACUUCCUACGUAUUGGUGGUGAUACAAUGGUUAGUUUACUUGUGCUCGAUGGAGGGAAGUGUAAUAAAAGAGCAUGUGAUUGUUGUCUGUAAUGUACCUAACAACGAGACGCUUUAUUAAACCAGCAUCUGAAUGCUUUUACUUUUGUUGAUCAGUCAUCAUGUGAAGUAGUAUUAAGUAGAAUAUUAGAGAAAAUUUAGCUUAAACUAAUUUAUCCUUGAUGCAUUUUUGAUCUCUCCAACAUUAUGUUCCUUUAUCUCAAAUUUUAGGUUGAGCUUUUUAAUACGUUCUGUAACUUUUAACAUGCCUUCCUGACACAAACGGGUCAAUUUCAUGUUCAACACCACCAAAGCUCACAAUAAACAAAGAAACCAAACUUGAAUUAUAAAGUAAACUACUUAAACCAACUGUCACCAACACAGACUCAUAAAGAAGCAGGAAAAGAAAAUAACAAAGAGAUCCAUAGACCACAAAGGUUCGUGUGAUAAUACUGUAAGACAUUGUACCAUCCAAUAGUAAUUAAACCAUAACUUAGGUAAAUAACAUAGCAACUAAAAAAACUCAAAGAACAGAGAUGAUUAAGCAAAAGUAGUGAGAACCCGAAAGAUGCGCAAAAACCCUGCUGAAAAACUCCCCUCCAAAGCUACCAAAAUCAUCCUAACAAACCACCCUUCAGCUCUUAUUCCUCUGAAACAUUCCACACAUCCAUCAGAUCCACAAACCAAUGAUCAUCAGUCUUCAGCAUCAUCACGCUUACCACCACCUUCACUCUCCCUAACCUCCAAAAGCUUCCCAGCAGCUUCCUCAUCACCACCUUGCUGAACCUUCUUCUGCGCCUCCUUAGCCUUCAACGCCUGCAACUUACAAUGAUUGUAAUACGCCACCCCCAAAAACGCGAGCCCGUACCCAAACAGAUUCAACGGCGUAACCGUAUCCUUAAUCACAGACCACGAAAACGCAAUCAGCAACCAAUCCUUCACCACACCAGCCACAUUCAUAGUCAACGCCGACGUUUUCCCAACCAACAGAAACACAGCAAGAUUCAACGCAAAGGCACACACAGAGUUAGUCCCAAACACAACGAAAUCGAAAUGAAAGCUCGACGUCUCCCUAAGAACCGGCAACUCAACGAAGAUCCAAGGGAAAAACAAAAACCCCAAACAACAAGGCGCCACGUAAUACAAAGACGUAAUCGGAUUGAGAUUGAUUCCUUUAGAGGUUAGCAAGAUCUGAAUCAAAACAAGCCUCGUCGCCUCGAAGGCCACGGCUCCAAGCUGAAGCAUCACUCCCCAGGUAUCGAACUUGGCCUCUCCGUAGGCAGCGAUCGCGACUCCGAACGAGAUCGAGAGCAUGUUCGUCAUCGUCUCAGAUCUGAACGACUCCUUCUUCAAGAGGACGCCGAUCGAGUAAACGGCGACAGGCAUGAGGGCUUUGAGCAUCUGGAUGAAGGAGACGGAGAGGUAGAUGUAGGCGGAGUUCGAUAGCCAGAGGGAGAGCGAGUACAAGGCCCCGAUCGGGACGACGGAUCUGAGGUAAGUCUCGCGGGACAUUGACACCGGCUCGACGACCUUGAAGACCUUGAUGAGGAGGACGGCGAGGGAGGAGCAGAAGGCCAUGUGGAUCAUGGUGAGAGUGAUGGGGAAAGGCCAGUUGUACAUCUUCUUGUCGAGGAUGUACUUGUUGUAGACGAUGACGGUGAAGCUGAGGAAGAUCCAGAUCGCGACGUAGGUGUAGGAGAGGAUGAUCUUCUUGAUGACUCCAUCGCUUAGGGCGCCGCCUUUUCCCAUUGUGGCUGGUGGUGGCUUUCGACGGAGGAUGAGGGAGGAGGAGGAGGAGGAGGUGCGUAGGAUAGCGUCGAGGGUGCAGGAUAAAAGGGGGAGUGGAGAGGAGACUUUUUGGUGUGGUGUUAAUGUAGAGAGAGAGAGAGGGUUGGCAUGACUGGGCUACGCUACGUGGCUUUAAUGUUACUUUUUUUUUAAUUGACUAAUGGGCUUAGAUCUGGGGCCCAUUAAAAAUUCUCCCUCGCUAUUAUUUUUGAUUUUUUUAAAUGUAUAAUAGUGUUUGUUAUUCACUUUUACCAAAUUUAAUUAAUUUUUAAUUUAUGUUUAGAUUACAUCCUUAAAUAUGUUUGCUUAUUUAAAAAUUAUUUUAUUAAUUUCAAUGUUUUAUUUUAAUUACAUACUAUAACAUUUUAUGUGGAUGUGAUGUGGGAUAUUUUUAGUAUGACUAAAGUUACAGUUAUUGAUAGGCAAUGUUCUUGUACCUGUAAAAAUGUAUUUAAAUGAUUCAUACUAGUCAAUAUUUCCUUCAAAUUUCCAUUUUACGACACCUUAGUAUACUGUUUAUCAAUAAGACUAUUACUAUGUUAUUUUUCUGAAUUUGAUCGGGAUCCAUUGUCUACUUCAACAUUUACCUUUAUCAAUAUUUACAUUAAAUAUUGUAUUAUUCACAUUGAUGUUUCUAGUCUUGCCUAACAUUAACUACUGGUCUUCAGACUGUUAGGUUAGGUUGAUUGACAAAACAUAAGUUAUUGAUAAAAGAAUUGGAGGGUGGCAACUUAAUUUUUAAAAGUAUGGCGUUGUUAAGAGCUGAUGAUGACAGUUGGUUCUAACCUAAAGUCUUUAUUAUUCUUUGUCUUUGAGCUGAUAAGAGAUACUCAUGAUAAUUCAUAAACUUAAGCCAAUCCCAUAUACAAUAUAAUUUUAUUAAAUAUAUUAUAUGUAACCUGCUAUUCAAAUAACUAGCCUUCUCUUUUAAAUACUAUAGGAUGUAAAAUGAUUUAAAUGAUUAACCACUGAGAAGGCUAACUAUAUAAUAGUUUGUAGUAAAACGUUUCGAAGCAGUCUGCCUGUAGUAGAAUCGAGUAUUUUGAAGUAAUCUACGAAUGCGUAAAACAUUUUUAUUUAUAAAAAAAUCGUAAAAUUUGAACAAAUAAAAGUCUUAGGCACUGGAAUAUUUGUAAGUAGCUGGAAAUAAUAAUGUUUCUUUUUGCCCUCUAGGUGUCACUGGAUAUGAACCAGACUUGGUACAUAAUUAAACAAAAGUUGCGAAUGUAAAUGAGAAGAUGCUCCAAAAUCCAGUAGCGUGACUUCAUUAUCCUCCCCAACAAUGUAUUGCAAGACGUAGUAGGGCUUGGCCUUGGUAUUGUCAGGGCUACGUAUCCACCUUUCACGACAUGUAGCGAUUUUCUUCUCAUCAUCCACCAAGAAACUUGUCCGGGUGCAAUAGCCAAGACGAGGAUCAUCCAAAGCGAAGAUCUUGCUCCACGACACAGCUUUGGAAUCAUCAAUAGAACUGCUUAUCCAUAUCUCUAUCUCGUUUCCAAGUCUAUCAUGGGGUCGUAAUAAUACUGAAAGCUUCUCUUCUCUAACAACCGAUAGAGACACAGUAUGGAGUCUACAAUACGGGCCAGGAAGGCACAGACGUCCAAAUCUCUCUGUUGUAUAAUCAAAGCUCAGUAAAUGCAUGCACGCAUCAAACUCUUUUGAAUCCGAAGCACACCAGUAGGUCUUUCCUUUCAAAUACACGCUGUAAUGAGGAACCUGUAAUAGGCAGUCUGGAGUGACAUCAUGAGGAAUCCUCCAGCAUAAAUCGGAGUUGAUCUCACAGAUUUCAAAUAUUAGCUUCUCGUAACAAGGCACGUGUCUCAAUAAUUUAUAGCUAUAAUUAUUUUCUUGGUAGCACCUUCGAAGAGUAUAAGUUACCCAAUACAUGACACGAUCGGUGGGAUCGGUGAUCCACUUGGUUUGACCAGUACACGGGUUCCAAACCACGAUUCUAUUGUAGCUUUCGCUGGUGCAUAACAACAAGCCAUCGCAGUGAAAGGCAUGAGAUAUCCUGAAUUGAGCUGAACAAAGCGGAUCUAUUAGUCCAAGCUCACCACGGAAUGAGCAAAGCCUAUAUUCCUCCGUUAGCUUGAGAACCAUAUAUUGCUUUGGGGCUUUAUCAAAGUGAUUUUUUGCGAAUCUCCUAUCGUUGAAUAUACCGUUCCAUAGUUUGCAUGUUGAUCGUAAACGUUUCAGACAUGUGGCCGGAACACGACUUAGUAUCUCCUCUACUAAAUUAUCUGGCAACAUCGUCAUCAUUGUCUCUUAAUUUUUUUUCUCUGUGUAAACAUAGGUGAUGACCAUAUAUCCUUUAUAUAUAUAUAUAUAUGGUCAUUGUCUUUUUUUUCACAAAUAAAAAAGUAAAUAAACAAAAACAUUUCCUUUUAUUAUUUUGUUAAGAAUAAUUUAUUGGAAAAAUAGAUUUAAAAGAGGAAUUGGAUUGCAUAUACUGUACAUAAUAACUCCAAAAAUUAAUUGUGUGACUAUACAAUACUUUGAACAUGCUAUCUCUAUAAUAUUAUUUGAGAAGUCAGUUUCUUAUGUGUCGUUUUCACGUUAACUCUCACGAUGAUUGAUUACACUGAUACUCUUAAUGAAUUUAAAAUAUUACAUUUAAAAUACUAUUAUUUAUUUUUAUAUAUAGUUUCCUUUUUAAAAUUUUCCAAAAAACAUUUACAUAUAAUAAAAAAGGAAAUCUUUUACAAACUUAAAAAAACGAAUUGAAAAAUGAAAAUAGUAAUAUUACAUUUAAAAAAUAUUUUUAAAUGACAUAAAAUAUACUUUUGAAGUAAUAAAAUACUUUUUUGAUAUCUAUAUUUUCUUAGAUGAAAAAUAUAAAUUUGUAUAUAAUUAAUUGAGAUUGCUAUUAUUAGUAGAUUCUAUCCAAAUAAUUAACUAAUUGCUUUUAGUUAAAAAAUAUCCUUUGUAUAUGUUCCUAAAUAAUUUUUGGAAGAGGAGGAAACAACGGCAAAAGUUAAGGAUAUAAACCACAGUUUAUAUGGAUGUUAACGAAUGAAGCUUUCACAUCUGCAAAUUUACAAUAUACAGAGAGUUUCUUCCCCGGCUUUGCAGAUGUGAGUUUGAUAUGUUCCAUCACGAUGUUAUGACACCCUUGAUUUUCAUCGCAGUCUAGCUUUAUUGCAAUUUUACUUGCUGAAGUCCCUUCAAUAUAUCUGAAUGUUACGUCGCUUACUUUCACCGCAUUCCCCUACAAUAUUCAUAAAACAUAUAUAUGCGUUCAAUAAAAAAUAUGAAUUGAACGUAAAACUCAUACCUAAAGGAAAACUAUUGUAAGAUUUGCACACUUAUGUUUUAGCAAAAAAAUAAAAGAUUUGCAGACUUAUGUCGUGAUCGUAAGAUACCAAAGGUGAAGCAUAUUGUAAUUUAGUCAUAUGGUUUUAUUACCAAUUGGUUAGUACAGUAACAAUAUUUCAUCGAAUUUGAUUUAUCAUCCAUUUAAGAUGUCUAGUUUGCAGGACUAGAUGCAAAAAAAAAUUAGCUUAUAGUAUAUAGGUUUAUAUGUGAUUUGUAUACAGUAUUCUAGUAAAAAUUAAUAUAUUUUGAAUAUUACCUUGACAUGACCAGUGCCACCAUUAGAGUAAUGUUGAUCGAUGAUUAUGGGGUAUUUAGUAUUUGUUACCGUAAUAUUUUCAAAUAAUAUAUUCUUGGCUAACCCUUUUCCUCCCUAAAAUAUGUAAGGUUCAAUAUCUUUAUAUAUUCUUCAGAAGAAUAUAAUAUUUUGGUUGCAAAAAAAUUUACAUGCCAAGUCUUGAUUCUUGCCCCAUUUUGAGUUCCCCAAAAGCUGCAGCUUCUUACGAUCACGUUCUCAACAGUGUCAUCUAUAUCACCUUUCCCCAAACUUCCAAUGCUUCAUUUUAUUUUGAAUUUUUAAGACAUGAUAAACAAGUUAAUGUUUAAAAUAAUUUUCAUGAAACUUAAGUCAAAUAUGGAUGAAUUUGAAUCUCUUUGUGCUGUUAUGUCUACAAACCUGAUACCAUGACCUGGACCACAUGCCACACGAGUAAUGUUGAUGUCGGAAGAACCACCACGCCCACCAGUAAUUGCAAUACAAUCAUCACCUAAUAUGUAUGUAGGAAAUAUAACGACACAUAAAGAAGGAGUUUAUCAUACAUUUUCUCAAAUCCAGUCCAUGUAAUGUAAACAAAACUCAUUUUCAAAUUCAAAUAAAAAGAAGAAUUAAAGAGUACCAGUUUGGAUAGACGAGUCUAAGAUACGAAUAUUGUGUGAAAGAGAAAUACCAAUGCCGUCAGUGUUUGGACUCUUCUCGGGUGCUAGCAAAGUAAGAUUUGAUAAAGUUGCAUUGGUGCAACCAUAGACUGAAAUGUGAUUCUUUGGACUAUUGUAUUGAGUUAGCCCAUUAUAUAUUAUGUCGGUGCAUUGCUUAAAGCUAAGUGUCUGCACAUGCAACACACAACAGAAUAAUGUAUAUUACAAUAAAAUUUACUACAUUGUUAUAUAUAGAGAGUGAAAAGGAAUAUGGUGGAAAGGUGACUUACUCUGGGUCGUUUAGAGUGACGAACAGAUCGCCACCAAUUUUCUCCAUGGGGGUCAAGGACACCUGAGCCGUUGAUGAAGAGACUCUCCACGUUCUUGAACAUUAACCAACUCUCAGUUCGUUUGUUUCCCCACUGUUUUGGUCUCUUCGGCGCUUCUAUUUUCCCAUCGAUCUUACCCCAGAAAAAUAAAUUAUACAUGUAUGUGAAUAUGUGAAUCAUGUAAUACAUGUGUAUAUGUGUGAAUGGAUAACAAUUUUUGCAUGUGGUAUGUGGAUCUUCAUAUAAGUCAGUUGGAUUUAUAACGUGUUCAGAGUACCUGAAUAUGAAUGUAAGAAGAUACGCAUGGACCUUCAAACAGUUGUGGUUGUAUAGUGUAUUUUUCAUUCUCAUUUAUCACUAGCGAUGACCCGCCAGUUCCUUCACCUUCACCUUCGCAUAACCCUUUCCAUGCUUUUUGAAAUACCUUUUUUUAAAAUGAUAAAUUUAACAUAUUACGUUUGUUCUUUUGACAAGAAUCUAACUACAGAUCAAUAGUUAUAAGAGAUCAAUUACUUGUGAAUAGUCAACGUUUUUAUGGUUAGUAUCAGUUAUGAAAUCUUUGAUCCUUAGAAUCCUCCGGCCAUCUCCGUAUUCCAGAUGACACGAUACAAGUAUAAUCAUUGAGAAUAAUGUUUUCAAACACUUCAUAGUAAAAGAAAAUAUGGGACAAUUGUAUGUAUAUGUUUAAAUAAAAUGAGAAAAUGAUAAAAGGAAAUCAAUGGGAAAGAAAAGGUAUUGUAUCACCAUUUGAAUAUUGUCUUGAAGAUAAGAUUAUAUAACAAUGUUUUUAAUGUCUUUUGCGUGGUGUAGGUUAAUACAAUAUAUUUUUUUUUACUAAAGUUAACAAACAUUUGGAAAAUUUUGUAACUUGGAAAUACAGUGUAUUAUGUUGAUAAUAUAUGUGUAUAUUUAUAUGUUAACUUGAGACUCGAUAGUCUUAUGAUAUUUUUGAUUACUUGUCAAAAUGUCAAAAUGUCAAGAUACAUGCCACGUUCACAGUAUAAUCUGAUAUCAUUUAAGAGGCUAGCACAACAAAAGUUUUUUUUUUUUUUUUUUAGCACACAGCAAAAGAUUAUAUACAAAUUUUAAGAUAACUAGAUUACUAUACACGAAUAAGUUUACUCCGAACUUUAUAACAAAAAAAACAAGAGUUAGCUCGGGAUCUUAAAAGUUUGGAAAACUGAUUGUAUAUAGAAAUUAGAACAUUAUCUGAAAGCCUUAAUUAAUUUCUAUAUAACGAUUUGUAGAUUGUUAUUAAUUAAUAUAGUUUGCUUCAACAACUCUACUAUUAUUAACUAUAGAUUUUUAAAUAAUGAAGAGGAUAAAUAUUAAGAUAAAACUUCUCUUUACAUAUUAAUCUUUGGUUUUUAGUUAUAAAGUCGUUUUAGAUUAAUUGAACCUAUAUUUCAAAGUUAUGAUUAAAUAGUGAUGAAAACACAUAACUCAAUAAUAAUUAGUGUUGUAACCGCCUUCCAUUCUUCUAAACAGAAACACAUCCUUUCAAUUUUGUUUAUAAACUAUUAAAUGAAGCCCAACAUAGCAAACAAAUGAUCAAUAACUCUUUGGGGUCAAUAACAAUGUGUCAGACCAACAAUGGUAAAGUAAUAGUAAGAAGUGAGUAAUGGGUAAUAGAAUAUGUAAUCUCCAUACAGACACUAUGUUUCUCUAAGCUCAUAAACUGCUCAAAACAUUUACCUUCCUUUUAGCUCUGCAAAUCUGGCAGCCAAAUCCUCAUAGUCAGGUAACUUGGGGUGAACGUGCUUAGCUUCACUACGUUCUGGCUGAAACGAGGCGGCACGAGCAAACGUCUUUGCGGGUUCAGAUGGUCCGGCAAAUUGUUCACUGGGGAGACUGAGUGACCGAGCGGGAUGAUGAAUCUCUUCACCUUCUGCUUUUCUACGAUGUGAACGUCUGCUUUUAGAUUCUUCAUAACUUGAAGGCUUUUUACUGUAAUGCAUAAGAAGUUUAUCCAUCAUCUUUUCCUCACUGUCCUUCUCAUCUUCAUCUACUAAGACUUGAAGGCCUUUCCUUGAGUGUUCCCUUCUUCUGCUGCUUCUUGUAUCAUCAUCACCAUCAUUCGAUUGUAUAAUGUGUUUUCUUCUACUAGAUCGCCGCUUCAGAGAUUGAUCAUCUACGUCAUUCACUUGAUGCUGACCUGCUUCAGAAACCUUUUUAUCAGUGUCUUGACAGUUUCCUUCUUCACCAUCAAACCGAGCCUUUGGAUAAGCUGAAGCUUCAGGUUUUUCGAUCUUUGCUUUACCACUCGGUUUAACAUACGGAGGUGGGGGAAGGGACUUCAUCAUUCUCUCCGCUUCCCGCUCCUCAAACUUCCUUACUGGAUCAUAUCCAUCUCCACCACCCUUGAUGUUACCAGCAGAUGAAUCUUUUUCUGUGCCCUCUCGCACAGGAACUGUGUUUUCUCUCCUCUCGUGAUCGCUGCGAUGUCUACGGGCUGAAUCUAUAGAUGGUGUUCUUUUCGACCUUGGCUUUGGAGGCAUUGAGAGGUUAUCUUCUACUUUCUGAGGCGCAUGCUCUUCACCAUCCUCAUGUUUGUAGCCUUUGAAGAAACUUUCUUGCUUAAAGCCAAGAACUAACUUAUCUUCUGUUUUGGUGCUGCUACGCUUGUGUUUCUCUGUCACCUCUGUUUUCUUAGGCGCUGCAGCAGCUUCACCAUUUUGAUGUCCAACCCCUUGAACGAGAUUCUCACGUUUGAUCUUCAUCACUAUAGUGUCACCUUCGUUAAAAAUAGGUUGAGGUCUUCCUCUGGAAGACUUGUGAUUCGGUUGCAAAUGGAACUCGUUCCUUUCUGCCUUAUCGUCCUUGCUUUCCGAUCUGGAGGCGUGACGAACAUCAUCUGACUUAUUUUUAGAUGCUAGCCCACGCUGAUGUUCUCUGAGACCAUUCUGAUAAUUAUCCGGUCGAAAGAAAGGAUCUCUUCUCUCUGAUGCAACAUCCUUUUUCCUUUCUGAUGGCAAGGCCACACUUCCGUCUAAAGACUUAUGCUUCUCGUGAGUGGUAUCCUGUUCAUGACCAUGAGAAAAAUCAUAAAUCAGUGACGUUCCAAAUAUUUCAGUUUAUUGUCCCUAUUCGUCAUACCUUUACUGAACUACCAUUUUGCCUCAAGAUCCUCUUCUCAAAAGCUUUAGAAUCCCAACGAAUAGCAUACUCCGAUGCAACAUCUUCCAUCAACUUCACUUUCUUCUCCAAAGAAAAUGGCUUUGAUGUCAUAUUCUCAACAAGCUAUAAAAAAAAACAGUACGUGCUUAACCAUACAUGCUGUAUAAGAUUUCAAGAUGAGUUUUAACUGAGAAAUAAUACAUUAGAAAAGAAAAACAAUUACUUCUUGGUUGACAAACACACUAAGUGAAUCUCCAUACUUCUCGUGAAACAUCUGCCUCAGUUCACGCAGCUCAGGCAAUUCAGAAAAUCCAGCGGCUGCAAACAUUAAGGACGACACAGCUUCACGACAAUCUUCAGGACAUUCCCUGGAAAAACAAACGCAAAUCAACUAAUCAAAAUAUAAUCAUGUUUCCAUCAAGAACAAAGUACUUAAACUAUCUUUGAGAAUGUUUAACUAAGCCACAUCACUAAGCAAACAAGAACAAUGUGAGUAGGAAAACGCCAAAAGACUUUCGUUAUAUAUAUUCAAUUCAAUAUUUAUAAACAAAAGUCCAAACAACCUGAUCUUGAUUCUUCAAUAUAAAACCUAACAAGUUGAUAUGCCAGAGAAUCUACAAUAAAUUUCUCAACUACUCAUAACUAUGUUACAGCUAACUCAAGAAUCAUAAAAUAUUCUCAAAGCAAAAGGCAUUGGCCCUUACUCCAUCUUCUGCAUGGUGGAGAGUUGCUUAUACACGAAAUCACAAGUGCUCUCAACAAAAUCAAGAUUCCAGAGAUGCCUUAGUUCAUCAAGAAGCCCUCCCGCCUGCAUAUCUCAAACGUUUAUCAUCAAAAAACCAAAUCUGAAUCCCCUAAAUCAAUCCUUCUAACGAACGAUAACGUUACCCUGGUAUAAGCAUUGACGUCACGGCUAUUAGAGAUAAGAUCAGCAAAAUCUCCCUUGAGAAACUUGAUCGUGGCAGUCCUCUUCCUCCGAAGAACAUCGAUCCGAUUCUUAGUCAGUUUUAUCAGUGGUUUCCUGCCGAAUCACAAAUCACACAAUCAAAUCGCGAUUCGCACAUUAAAAAGAGUUAAUCAGAGAGAGAGAAGAGAAACAAACCCCUUGGGAGCAAAUCCGCGGCCUAAGAUACCGUCAAACAUCGUAAGAUCGCUUCGCAACAACGACGGUUAAGAUUCCGAUUGUGAUCCGCCGGAAAACGGAAGCUCGAGUGAGAGAGAGAGAAUGGCGUUUUUCUUCAGCUGUGGGUUUUUAAAAUUGAAGGCAACCGCAUCUCAAGCUGAGUGGAGAACAUGAAGGUGGUGGUGAUACGACUACGUUUUGACCUUUUGGUGUUGUUAACGUUAUAAAGGGUAUUUUGGGGAAUUUAAUUUAAUUUUUCUUUUUAGGUGGUGAGUGAGGAAUCAAAUCGAUACCUUCUGCUAGCUAGCUGUUGUUGUUCUAGUGGAAUUGGGUGGAAUGAUCUGGUGCAGAUGGGUCCACUCCCAUUGCAUGGAGUCUGUAUAACUGCACCAAUUAAGGAAUUUAAUUCACCGACGGGUUUAUUUAAGCUUUUUCUUUAACCGAUUUUCUUUCUCUUGUCGGAAAUGUUUCUUUUUUGUCUAAUUUUGUCGGAAAUGUUUGUAAAAUAUUUUACAUUUGUUUCGUUUAUGUUCGAUUUAUUUUUGUAAAUUGGAUUUGAUAUUACGGUUUAUGCAUUAGUAAAUGUUUUCAGCUUGUUAUAGGUAUUAACAAACAAAUUAAUAUGUUGACUAAUAUGUGGACAUCAAAAAACAUCAUUGCUAAUUGUCCAAAUCCAUCGUCUGCUAUUUAAUUCCUCAUCGAUUAAUUUAAAAAGAGAAUAACGCUUGUGUCCAUGUUCUUGAUUUGAUUAAGGCCGUGGAAACCGGCUAAAGAUGCGAAGGAUUUCGCCUUUAAGCCUAUUUGUUUAGGCAGAAUCAAAUUCCUUAAUCCACUUAACUUACGUGCUUCUGUGUCCAGUCAAAUUAGAUUAAAAUACUUUCCGUCCCGACAAGAAUAAUUAUCCUUUUUAGACAAGAAUAAUUAGAUUAACCAAAUUCCACAAUUUUGCCUUAAUUAAUAAUUCAUGGAUGUGAUUAAUAAAUAUUGAAACUUUGGGGUCAAUUUGAUAGUAUUAACAAAUAGCGGGGCUGAUAAGAACGUAUACUCAUAUGAUAUUUUCAGUCUCAUAAAUAUCUUUCAUCUCUCUCACACACACUCCACUAAAAAAACAAGAAGAUUACUAAAAGAUGAUCCUGAGAAGCGCGUCGUCACUGGACCUUAACAUACGCGCCGCCCAAAAAUCCUCAGCUCCACGGUGUCCAAACGGAGCUCGCGUUGCGACGACGGCUCGUCCCGUCUCUGCCUCUCUCCGAGGAUGUAAGUCGAUGCCCAGAGCUUCUUCAGACGGAAACCNNNNNNNNNNNNNNNNNNNNNNNNNNNNNNNNNNNNNNNNUCAGAGCAGAACCAAAACGUCCAGCGUCUACCACGACGACGCGGCGUCUUCUAGGGUCUUGGAGAGAUCAAGGCUCCACCAGGGAGGUUCCAACGGUGGCUUUGGCAGUAGAGGUGGAGACGGUGGUGCCGGAGGUGACGGCGGAGGGGGAGGUGGAGGUGGGAGCGUUGAUGGUUACUACGAAGAGAUGAUUCAACGUUAUCCUGGAGAUGCUCUUCUUCUCGCUAACUACGCUCGUUUCCUCAAAGAGGUAUACAUACACAAACACCGUAUGUAUAUAUAGAGACAAGAUAAAGACAAAAGCUAAACUAUAAUGUAAUAAUUUUAAUUAACACCUGGACCUUGUAAUAAUUUUAAUUAACACCUGGACCUUGGUAUACGUAUUAUAGCUCUAUAUUGAAGUCGAUCUUUGAGCAUGAGUUUAGUAUUUUGAUUGGUUAAAUUUACUAACUUUGUGUAUUAAUAUUGUGCAGGUGAAGGGUGAUGAGAGAAAAGCAGAGGAGUACUGUGAGAGAGCGAUGUUGUCUGAAGAUGGGAGAGAUGGUGAGAUGCUGUCUAUGUAUGGGGACUUGAUAUGGAAGAAUCACGGAGACGGUGCUCGUGCUCAGUCUUACUUUGAUCAAGCUGUUCAAUCUUCUCCUGAUGACUGGUGAGUAGAAACAUAACUAUAUUUGUUACAGUUCAGUAUCUGCUUAGAACCCUGAUGAUAUAUAUGCAAGUAAAGUCUCUAACUUUGGAUUUGGGUUUUUCUUAAAGUAUAUCCAAGAUGCAAACUUCACAAGUUUUUUAAUCCAUUUUUGGUAGAUUGCUGAGAUAUUGGGCCAUUGAGUAUUUGUUAUGGGUAGCUUUAUUGAUUGUUUUAAUAGGAAUGAUAUUGUUGAAAGGGAAUAGUAAGAUAACAUUUCACGUAAAUGAUUUUGUGGAUCAAAUUUGAUUCGCUCUAUAUCCAACCUUUGAAGAAGUUGAUUGGUCACGUUAUUGAAAAUGACAUACAUCUCAUUCACGAUUUUUUCUAGCUGCAUCUUCAAUGUUUAUGUGGUGUGGCAGUAGUCAGUAGAUAAUGCGUUACUUCAUCAUGAUCAAUAUAAAUCUAAUAUAACUGAUAAAUGGUGUUUAUGGCAGUCAUGUUCUUGCCUCAUAUGCUCGGUUUCUAUGGGAUACUGAAGAAGAGGAAGAGGAGGAAGAAGAAGGGGAGGAAGAAAGUAAAUAUGAGAAUGGUUUCUCUACAUAUAACCCAUCUGUGUCAGUUAUGUCCUGACCCUUGGUGCUGAUUUUAAACCGGUGUAAUAUAUAAUAACAAUUUGAAGUCCGGUUUAAUCAUAAAAUAUCUUGUGCCAUUGAGAUAGAUUGAUGCUUAUGUGUUGGAAGAAACGAACCAAGUAUCAAAACUCCAAAGAUGCAUUAUUGUGACGAAGUGUGAUAUUUCAAAGAAGAUAAAAGUGGUUUGUGUCCAUAGGCUUAGAGCUAAAAAAGGUGUGAAUUGGGAUUGGUCAUGGGCUCUGGAUAGAAUCAAUUAUUGGUUGUCAAAAAUAAAAUCAAUUAUUGAUCAAUGGUUGCUAGAGACGUCACGCUCAAGUCAAGUCAUUUGUGUUUUGUGUCGAUGCAUGCAUGAAAUGAACUUUUAUCGUUGCAAUUUGCAAUAAGGAAAUGAACCUUUUUGUGUUUAUAUGAACAAAUAUCAAGAAAUUAUAUUUUCUUUAUGCAAGAAUGUUUAUUAAAAUUUUCUGUCUACACCUUCACGUAUAUUAGAUUUUUGUCAAAAUCUAUACUCCAUGUUUACUAUGUUAAAGAUGCUCCAACUAUAACAAAAGAAAUGGCACAAUAAUAAAGAUAAAGAAUACACUGAGCAUACGAAAAAAAGAAUACACUGAGCAUACGAAGAAAAUCUCCUGAAUAUUCACUUUUUAGAAACCAAAACAUCAAAAAAGAAAAGAUCUUGACAUCAAAAUACAACAUAAAAGAUUAAAAACAUUACACCAUCAAACAUAGAAAUAUAUAAAAAAGCAACAACCUUUAGAACCAAACACAAUGAUUCUUUUCACUCUUUUACCCAUUUCUUCUCAAACAAGUUUUGGUCGAAGAUAUAUAUAUAACUAUUACAUGCUUUCUUUUCCUCUUGUCUUCCUUAAUUAACACAGAGCUCUUUAUGCUCAACAGCAACCGCUUCAGGUACCUCAACAGACUCCACUCUGUCUUCAUCCAUCCUUGGAGACACAGUCUCAUGCGAGUCCUUUUCUCCAUCAGCAUUGGGUGAUGCAGUCACUUGUGCUUCCUCUUCUUUGGGAUUUGAAGACUGGCUUUGAGUUUCUCCAUCUUUUUCAAGUUUCUUUCUUUCAGGUUUCACCUUUGCUGAGGUUGUGGCGGCUGGUUUUCCAUCAGGGAGAGUUGUUUUCUGAGAUGGCAAUCUUGGAAGUGACUUGCGCAACGGUUGCUUCUUGGGAUCAACCGUUGCCGCAGUUCCCUUAGCAGCUGGGUGAUCUCUUGAGGCUUUCUCAUCUAGGCUCAGCCUACCGACGCGAGGGGUUUGAGUUUCUUCAGCAUCAGUCUUCUUCCGUCCGAGUUUUGGAGAUUUGGGUCUUGUUGGUGGUAUCUACAAUAACAAUGAAAAUUAGUACUUGAUUAAAAAAGUGAGAUUAUGGUUUUGAGAAGAGAGGAGAAGUAAAUACCUUCUUUAACUCUGUUUUAGGCGGCUGAGAAAAGCUAGGCAUGGGUGUGGCUUUGAAGUUCAAGCUCUUCCUCAGCUUCCUAAGCUCAGCUUCUUCUGUUUCCUGUGAGCGAGCCACAAGUUUUUUGUUUUAAAUUUUAACAAUAAUAGGUCGAUGAGAAUACUAUGACAAAGAAGAGGGGUUAGAAGACAAACCUUGGACUUGGCUUGCAUGUUGUUAAUCUCCUCUUCUUUCGCAUGAGUCUUUUCCUCAAGCUUAACAUAGAACUGCACAACGCAGAAAACAUGUUUGUGGAGAGAAGACAAGUAUAUUGAAUCAAAAGUUCAAGCACACAAACCUCUCUUCUCUUCUCAGCCCGUUGGUCACAUUUGAAACUGAAUCCAUAGUUUGGAAGUGCACCAACUUUACGAGGUUUGCCAUCGUCUGCCUUGGGGCUACUAUAAAGCCAGAACGUCAAAAUCAACAUAAAAGCAGAAAGGCCUCAGCUUGCCACAAGAAAGAAAAGCCAAAGGUGAAAGAAAAUACUUAGAAGACUGAGUAUCAUCUUCUGAUGUCUCAUGGACUUGUUUCUUUUGAGGCUUUGGUUUCACCUUGUCCCUGUAUCAAAGAGAGAAACAUAUCUCCAAGUUUCAACGAUUGCUAAGGGACUAAAUGAUAUACUAAUGUGAAAACUAUAACCAAUGUCUGAUAUGGAAAUAAAUUUUUAAAAUUGAGGACUCAUACCCGGUGGCGCUUUCUGCUGGUGUAGAGUCUUGCUUUCCAUGCUGAUAUGCAAAAAAGAAUAAAUCAGAAUCAAUCAACAGCCCGAAAUACGAAGAUAAAGCAGAUCACACAAGAAUACGCAAAUAAACCUAGAAGAUUACCUCUGUUACUUUAGCCGCUCUACCAUUGGAUGAUGUGCUCUUAAGAGACUUUGUUGAGUGUGCAUUAGGAGCAACAGAACCAUUUGAUGCUGCCCCUUUAGACAUUGCACCUUUGUUCUCUUUCUUCUUUUUGAUAUGUACCGAUGGAACACUCUUUCCACCUGGGAGUUUCUCAUGCUUAAGCUUCUUUUCGCCUUUAACAUGCUCUUGAUCUUCUACAUUUAUACCUUGUGUGACCUAAAUAGUAAAAGAGACAAAAACACAAACGUUAAUCAUAUCUGUUUAUCUAAAGGACAAGUAGACAAAACCACCCAGGAGUUACAAACCUCAGCUGCUGCCUCUUUGGGCGGCUGUUCAAAUGCAUCCAAAUUGGAACUAUCUCCAGAAUUCUCAUUCUGACUAUCCGAAGUAGUAUCCAAGGUCUCUCCAGAAUCAACACCAUUUCCUUCAACACCAACAUCUUCCACUGCUACACCACCAUUUGCAAGAGCAGAGUCCGUCCCAUCAGCAGCCAUGACACUUUCCGGAUCCAUAGUAAACUACAAAAACAACAAAGAUGGAGUUCACACUGAUAUAAGUGAAGAGACAGAAAAGAUUAUGAAAAUUUUUAAGUAAAUUUUACCUAAAAAGCAUUCACUUGAAUUAACACAAACUUGAAACCCAGGCAUUGUAAUGUAAAUCAAUCAAACAUGUUUCAACAAAAAUCAAAUCAAAGUGCUUUUGUAGGGGUUAUGAAGUGAAACAAGUGACCAAGACUCAAGCUACAACAUUUUAGAAGUGUUGAACAUCAAAAGCACUCUUCUUGUCCAAUACCCAGAGGCUUCAGCUACUCAUUAAGUAAAUGGAUUCGUACAAAACCAGGUCGAUCAAAUUAAAGACAAAACCUACUCACUUAGCUUACUCAUCCAUAACUAACUGAUCUAAGUAAACAAAUCAGAGAAACACAAAUUUAAUCUGGAAUUAAAAAAAAAAAAAAAGCAAAUCUAAAUCUUGUGGUACUGAAGCUCACUAGUGAUGGCAGUUUCAACUUUGGAUCUACCGACACUCUAAACCAAGCAAUGAGAAACGAACACAAGUAGAUAACUUUCCUCAGAAGUUCCGCCAGUUUUUUCACAGCAACCAAACAAAGAAAAAAAAGACAAGGCCAAAAGAAACAAACAAACAAACAAACAAACAAAAAAAAAACACGAAGACGCACAUCUAACCAAACGCAGUUACCAGAGCAAAUCAAGCAUCCAUUGAAGGUGAAAUCGAAGGAGAAGACUAAGGAAGACGAGGUUUCAUAGAGUUUUGAGAUUUCGAUUUGUUCUUUGAGUGCUUUUUUUUUUGUUGGUUUUGGGUUUUGUGAGGGAUGGAUUCUCUCUGUCUACUCAAGUUUUUUUUUUGUUCUUGUCUUUUUUUUUUUCUCUAUGUGAAUAGAGAUGUCAAAACUCCCAUUUAAUAUUUUAUUACAACGACUAAUCUAAUUACCACGUCAUCGGUGAAAUUACGGUUAAUCGGCGGUUUAUUUAUAUUUUAAUCGUGGGAUUGAUGGGGAGAGUGGAGGUUUUAUGGAACUAAUAGUAUUUUCCUAAUUUCCACUGUUAAAACUAAAAGAUAAUUUUAAUAUUUUUCUUUUUAUAUACUACAAGUCUAUAACUAUAAGACAUAUGCAACUUGGGGGAGACAAAAAACAAACCAUACGCGACUGAAACACUCUUUUUUUUUAUUUGAAGCGAUUUGAGUUAAAUUUUAGUCUGUCUAAAACUAUAUAUCAAGAUAGUGGAAAAUCAGUAAAAGAUAUAAAUAUAUAUACUAGCUAAUAUAUUUUUUUUAAUGAAUCUUUAAUUUUGAAUGGAAUGGGUACAGUGCUAGCUAAUAUUUAUAGCUUUCAAAGAAAAGGUCUGGAAUCAGGUGAAUAAUAGAUGGUAAAAUCACAAGAUCCUCAGGAUGUUAAACUAUUUAGCUUACUCUUUGAGUCUUUUCACACAUAUUUUCAUAAUAUUACAGUUUUGGGUAAAAUCCACUAAUUGAAUUUAGAUGGGAUAUUUUAAGAACAUAUGAGAAGCUUAGGAUUUAAGAACUAAAAGGCAGAAGUAGUUGGCCAAAAAUAGAAGAAAACAUAUGUGGGAAACAAGUCCAAAUUAAACAUAUGCUAAUAGAAAAAGAAACCCGGAUUUUAAGGGGGUUUUGGAUAUGGUUAGGUUACUUUUUACAUAUUGGUUUACAUACAAAUGAGAAAGAGGUACGUGACCUUCUCCAACAUCCAUUGGUAUUAACAAAUAAAAAAAGAACUUCACAUUUUCUUAAUCAAACAGUAUAAACUUUUCGUUAAUUAUUAUACAUAUUUCAAUCUAUUUGGGUCGCUUUAAUAAGGUGAACCAUGCUAUUCCCCACACUAUUAUAACAUACUUUACUCUUAAAUGGGAACUUUACUCAUCCUGUUAAUCAUCAGAAAUAUUAAAGCCAGCUCAUGGAAUCUGCACUAUCUGUUAUUUAAAUGUAUACGUUUUAAAUAUACUUUUCAAAAGUAACAAUCAAACUAAAAUAAAAGCCUUUUAUUAGGCGCAAGAGGCGCAAAUUCACCAACAUCAUGGCGCUUUGGAUCAGAUGACCAGGUCAUAUCCAAUAGCCAAAAAUCUACUACCUUUCUUGUUUUUUAUCUAAUUUUUGCCAAGAAAGAUGUAUGUAAAAGCCUUUUAUUUUGUAAAAGACAAAAGUUUCAUUUUUAAUGAUAUUUACAGUUUAGCAAAGACACAUGACCUAACCGGCUCGAUAUACAACUUGACGACUGUAGAACUACAUGUAAAUACAAAUUGAUUGUCUUGUAGACCACCAGUAUGAUGAUACAAUUAGAUAGAUAGUUGCCGCUUUUUUUUUACCAAUCAACAAUAUUCAUAUUUGGAUUGUAUAGAUAAAGAGAAGUUAAUAAAUUACAACAUUUCCCAUUUUAUGCAAAAUAGUAAAGACCACAAGUGUUCAUAACUAAAUACAUGCACCCACAUGUACAUUUCUACACACUACCAAAAGCUUGUGGUAGGCCCAGAUAAUUAAUUCAAAUUAAAGUUUGUUUUUCUUAAGAAACCAAAUGAAAUGUGACAUUACUUAUUUCUUAGACUGAAUAUGAACUAAUAGUUUAUUAAUACUUACAAUAUUCCAAUUGUUUUCUACCUAAACUAUUUACACAAAACUAUAUAUAUAGCUUCUACCCAUUUGAUGAAACUAAAUAUUCGCUAAUAAAUAGCUUAGGUAGAAGACAAAUGAAAUAUUGUAAGUAGUAAAAGCAAUACUUAUUGUAAGAUAGUUUAUGAUGGCUUUAGUGUCUCUUCUAAAAUGUGCUGAAUAAAACUAUCAUGUGCUACAGGAAAAAUAAAAUUUAAACAUUAUAACAUUUUCCAUCUGACCCCAAAACAUACUAGUUUGACCCACUCGUGCGCAUCAUCAAACCGCGAAGCUUCUAUCAGCUGAAUAGUUUCUAGUUUUGACAACGAGCCUAUAUUGCAAGUGUUCAGCACUCAGGGAUUAACAAACUAUAGAGAGUACAAGAACUUUAAGAACCUUGUUUUAAGAUUUACAUGUCGAUCUCCAAGCUUUUAUCAAGAAUGGGUUUUGUAGUAUGCAUUGUCAAAAACAAAUGGAUAUUGCCAAGCCUUUACUGCCAAGCAUAAAUGCCCCAGAUAAGGCAAUGUACCAGAACUAGAACUAUCAAAGUUAAGGCGAAAUAUAAACAGAACAUCCAGAGCUCACAUGUUCCAUUCUAGAUAUAAUAUAACUUUUACAUUUCCAAACUUAUCGGUUCACCAACAAGUCAACAGAUAGAAGAACCUCAAAAACUAAGAGAAACACUUCUUUUCUUUUAAAAAUAAGAAAAACACUAUUACAACAAAACAACAAUAUACCAACCGAAAAAUACCCAAUUAUAAGUUUCUUAUCUCGGACCGGAGAGCUGGCUAUGAGAUAUCGAUGAUGAAGUUCCACCACCGCCUUCUUCGUUGAUCGACCUCAACUCCAACCUCGUGUAAUACGGAGGCUGAAGCACAGGGAAAACACCUUCAAGCAUCUGAACAACUUUGCUCAUGGACGGUCUCAAAUGCAUAUCUUCUUGUAUACACCACAACGCAGUUUUCAUCGCCCUUUGAACUCUCUCAUCGUUCAUCACAUCAACACCCUCCCCCUCCUCCAUAUCCCAAUCAACAUUCUCUAUAAGCAAUCCUUCCCGCAUCCUCUUAAAAGCAUAAGCAGGAAAACUAGCACUCGCUAGUAAAGACUCUUUGUUCUUUCGUCUUCUUAUUAACUCUACAAGAACCAUUCCGUAGCUGUAAACAUCGCUCUUCUCCGAGAUGGCGUAGGUUGUUAUCCAUUCAGGAGCCAUAUAACCUCUCGUCCCACGCAAAGUUGUGAAGACAUGGCUCUGUUCCCGUGUCAUGAGCUUAGCGAGUCCAAAGUCAGAUACCUUGGCGUUGAAGUCAUCGUCUAAGAGGAUAUUCUGUGGUUUAAUAUCACAAUGGAUAAUUCUUGCGUCGCAAUCUUCGUGUAAAUAAGCUAAACCUUUCGCUGUUCCGACCGCGAUGUUGAAUCUUGUGUCCCAAUCCAACAGAAUAUCUCCGUCCCUUCUCUUAAAUAUCCAUCUCUCUAACGAACCUUUCGCUAAGUACUCGUAAACGAGAAGCCUGUGAGUCCCUUCCUCGCAGAAUCCUGUGAGAUGCACCAAGUUUUGAUGAUGAAUGCUACCGAUCGUACUAACCUCGGCUUUGAAUUCUUUCUUGCCUUGACCUAUUCCUUCAAGCUGCUUCACGGCUAUGUGAGAACCGUCUGGUAACGUUCCUUUGAAAACUGAACCGAACCCUCCUUGACCUAACUUGACAGAGAAGUUAUUCGUCGCAGACUGAAGAUCUUUGUAAGAAAAUUGGAUAGACGUACCAGGUAGAAUGUUCACGAAACUAUGAGUCGUCUCUUGAGAAGCAAGCAAACGUGCUUUCGUUCUCCUAUGAAUCCGACAAAACGCGAAGAUCAAAAGACAGAUGAUAAAGAUUGCCACAAAGACGAUAAUAAUGACUAUAUAUGGAAAUUGUUUCCCAUCGUCAUCUCCGUUAUUUUUAACUCCCAAAUCAUUAGUAGCCACCUUGAUGUAAGAGAUGAAACCAGAACCUCCACUUCCUAUGCUUUUAAAGCUACCAAUCCAAUCAAACAAGAAGCAGUUACCAGAACUGUUCUGGAAGAACAAACCGAGGCACGAGCAUUUGCUGUUGCAAUACUCUUUACAGCUAUCAAGAGUAGUGUGGUUGGUGAAAGGAGAAGCAAACCCUAGUGCGAAGUAGUCAACACUCUCUCCAGCAUUUACAAGUUUCACAGACAAUGUUGCAUUGUUGUUUGUUUUCUUACAAGGAGAAGUGAUCCCGGUUUUGCAAUCUGACUGAGCGCUUGAAAAUCCGGACACACAUUGACACACUUUACUAACAGAGCAAAAGAAGUAAGGGUCACAAGACUCAGGGGUCGCACAUUGAUCAUUUGGGAUUUUAGUGAGAGAAUCAUCCGCAGCAGACACACCACUCAAAAGUCUUGUAAAGGAGAUCACACCGUUGUUUUUCAAAACAGCGAUCCAAGUGGCGUUAUCAUCAUCUCUAUUGUCUGAUGAAAUCAUAAACUGCCAUAACAAAGACUGUUUAUCAUCAAAGAACUGCCACGAGUUUCCGAGUAAAGACGAUGAAGUCACUACACCACCGUAUUUGUCAAUGAUCCUCCCUCUGUCGCUUCGCAUGGACCAGUACACUUGAGGUGUCAAGCUGUUGACGGAUAAAAACAUAUCUCCUGACUUGAUCUCGAGAGAAUAAGUCAUGUUGCUCGAAUAAGAAGCAUUGCUAGUGAGCUUCAUGCCUUGUUUAAAUACUUGAUUCGUAAUCAGAGUAUCUGUAGGAUGACCAAAGCUCUCCCAGAUCGAAGCUCCGUCGUCGCCGGAGACAACCACGAGGUUCCCCGAGUCGCGAAGCUCCAUUCUCGAAGCGUUUUUGUUUGCAUUGUCCAAUCUCCAAACCUCGGAUCCUCCUCCUUCUUCUCUGCGGAGGACGAUGGCUCCGUUGGCUUGGAACUGGAGCUUGUCGGAGUUCGAUACAGGGGAAGCUCUGUUCGCCGACCAGAUAAGUCUCGAACUGGAUUUGUGGAUGAUGCUGAGUGUGAAGAGAGUGACGUCAUCUGGUGUGGUUACGAAACCGAAACCAAAGUCUCUGUUGAUGGAUUCGAGGAAGAUACCGUCGUUGUUGAUGUAAUUCACCCGAGCUCCUUCGAAGCCUGGAGAGAUGCUUCCGUUGUAGGGUACACCGGCGUGUAGAGGAUGAGGGAAGAAUAUCAACAGAGAUGCUAAGAGGACACUGAAGAACAUUCUCAUGGCUUCCUGCUUUUCUUGUUUUUUCUUCUUUUGCUUGUUUAUGUGGAAAAAACCUCGACACACGUUAGAAAAAAAACCAAAAAUAAAUGUUUGGAUUGUGAUUCACGCUGAGAAUCGGAUAAGGAAAAGAAGAAGAAAAAAACAGUUAUUGGUCUUGUUACAAACAUUCUAGUCUAGCAAGAAGGUUUCAAAGUGGGAAAGCUUUUAGUUUUAGUGGUCACACGUGAGAUACGCGUGACUUAUUAUGUACGAGUAUAUACGAGUCUGAUCAUUAAGCUUGGAAGCUCCUCUCUUCAAAAUUGAAAUAAAAAUAAAUAAAAUUACAAAAAGUAUCUACUAGUAUCAGUAGAAAAUCGAUGAGUAGUGCAUUUUAAUCUAUGUAUACAAGUCGGAACAUUACAAAACUGAAACUGAUAAGAGCACUAAUGUUUUAAACAGAACAACAAUAUACAUACAAAUACAUGGUUGUAAUGUCAUCUAAAAACCUAUAAUAAGAAGACACUAAAAAACUAGGCUAUCUCGGACCGGAGAGUCUCACGGCCGAUAGAUAGUUCUCACUAUUACAAUCCGACGGUCCAGACGACGUACCCCCACCUUCCUCACUGAUCGACUUACAGAAGCUCGAGUAAAGCCUCGACCCCAAAGUGGAAGAAGACGGAGGCUGAACCACAUGAAAAACUCCUUCAAGCAUCUGAACAACUUUGCUCAUCGACGGUCUCAAAUGCAUAUCCUCUUGUAUACACCAAAGCGCAGUCUUCAUCGCUCUCUGAACUCUCUCAUCGUCCACGUCAACGUUCUUCAUCUUCCCGUCAACAAUCUCCAAAAGCUUCCCUUCUUCCAUCAUCUUGAACGCAUAAGAAGGAAAGUGACACUUCUCCGAAGACUCUGACGGAUCAUAGUUCUUUCUCCCUCCUAUCAGCUCUAGCAACACCAUCCCGUAGCUGUACACAUCGCUCUUCUCCGAGAUUGCGUAGUUUGUGAUCCACUCAGGUGCCAAAUAGCCUCUAGUCCCACGCAUAGUCGUGAAAACAUGACUUUGCUCUCGUGUCAUAAGCUUAGCUAGUCCGAAAUCAGAUACCUUGGCGUUGAAGUUAUCAUCCAAAAGAAUGUUCUCCGGUUUAAUAUCACAAUGGAUGAUCCUUGCGUCGCAAUCCUCAUGUAGAUAAGCUAAACCUUUCGCUGUUCCGACCGCGAUGUUGAACCUUGUGUCCCAAUCCAACAGAAUAUCUCCAUCUCUUCUCCUGAAUAUCCAUUUCUCCAACGAACCUUUCGCUAAGAACUCAUAAACAAGAAGCCUAUGAGCUCCUUCCGCGCAGAACCCCCUAAGCCGCACCAGAUGCAGAUGAUGAAUGCUACCGAUGAUACUAACCUCGGCUCGAAACUCUUUCUUCCCUUGACCUAUUCCUUCAAGCUUCUUCACCGCUAAACGUGAACCAUCAGGUAACGUACCUUCGUAGACCGAUCCAAACCCUCCUUGACCUAACUUGAUGGAGAAGUUAUUCGUCGCUGACUGAAGAUCUUUAAACGUAAACCUAAUCGGCAUCCCCGAUAGAUUCUCCAAGAAGUUAUCCUCCUCUGAGCUAUGCUCCUCAUCACCGUCCAAAACAGUUUUCGUCCUCGUUCUCCUAUGAAUCCGAAACGCCACGAAGAUCAAACAACCGAUGAUGAAAACCGUCGCCAAGACGAUAAUUACUAUAUAAGGAAAGUGUGUCCCAUCACCAUCAUCACCGUUAUCUCCACCUCCUAAACCAUUAGUAGCCACCUUGAUGUAAGAAACCAAACCAGACCCUCCACUUCCUGAGCUUUUAAAGCUACCGAUCCAAUCAAACAAGAAGCAGUCACCAGAGCUGUUCCGAAAGAACAAACCGAGGCACGAGCAGUUAGUGCUGCAGAACUCUUUACAGCUAUCAAGAGUUGUCUUCUUGGAGAAAGGAGAAGCAAACUCUAGCGCGAAGUAGUCAACACCGUCUCCAGCAUUUACAAGCUCCACAGGAGAAGAUGCGUUAUUGUCUUUCUUGUUAUCACAAAGAGAAGUAUCGAUUCCGGAUUUGCAAUCAGACCGAACUCUCGAUAAACCGGAGACGCAUCCACACACUUUACUCCCAGAGCAUGAGUAGUAAGACCCGCAAGGCUCGGGCGUCGCGCACUGAUCGCUCGGGAUUUUGGUCGAGGAAUCAGCAGCAGAGACACCGCUCCCAAGAUUCGAGAACGAGAUCACACCGUUGUUUCCUAGAACAGCGAUCCACGUGGCGUUAUCAUCUUUAUUAUCCGAAUAAACAAACUGCCAUAACAAAGACUGUUUCUCAUCAAAGAACCUCCACGAGUUCCCGAGGAGAGAGGAGGAAGUCACGACGCCGUUUUUUUCGAUGAUUCUCCCUCUGUCGUUCCCCAUGGACCAGUACGCUUGAGGUGUCGAGCUGUCGACGGAUAAAAGCAUAUCUCCUGAUUUGAUCUCGAGAGAGUAAGUCAUGUUGUUCGAAGACGGGUUGCUAGUGAGCUUCAUGUUUUCUUUAAAAGCCUGGUUUGUGAUCAGAGUAUCUGUUGGAUGAUCAAAGCUCUCCCAGAUCGAAGCUCCGUCGUCGCCGGAGACAACCACGAGGUUCCCCGAGUCGCGAAGCUCCAUUCUCGAAGCGUUUUUGUUUGCAUUGUCCAAUCUCCAAACCUCGGCUUCUCCUCCUUCUUCUCUGCGGAGGACGAUGGCUCCGUUGGAUUGGAACUGGAGCUUGUCGGAGUUUGAGACAGGGGAAGCUCUGUUCGCGGACCAGAUGAGUCUCGAGGUGGGUUUGUGGAUGAUGCUGAGUGUGAAGAGAGUGACGGAAGCUGGAGUGGUUAUGAAGCCGAAGCCGAAGGCGGAGCUGUUGGAUUCGAGGAAGAUGCCGUUGUUGUUGAUGUAGUUCAUCUGAGUUCCUUCGAAGCCUGGAGAGAUGCUGCCGGUGUAGGGUACACCGCCGUGUAGAGGAUGAGGGAAGAGAGUUAGGCAUGUUGUUAAGAAGAUGAUGAAGAUGCCGCCUCUCAUGGCUUUUUGGCUUGCAAGAUCGUAGCUAAAGCUUUUUAUAAAGAUUGAAACUUUUUGUGUGUGGAUCAAGUCAAUGGAUCUGAGAAACAAAACAAGAGAAUGAUUCUAAAAAGAUGCAAAAAGACAAAUCUCAGAGCGUUGUCAGGUGAACGGUCUGCAUCUGUAAAUGGAAACUGAUUGUUUCUAGAUUUCGUGACGGAGAAAUAAUCAAUCACAUAACUAGCCUUGUUAGAAAGUUUCAAACUUUCCGACGAGUUUCAGACCGGAAUUGGGUAAAGGAACCGGAAAUUUUGAAAUAGAAAUUGAAGAAGAGUUGGAUUAUUUGAAGGGGUUGGAGAACUCUGGUUUUGUGUGUUUUGCCUAUCUGUCUCAGAUUCAAUGAAGUUUGAAAAAGAGAGGAAGGCUACAACUGGUUUGAAACAGAGAGAAGAAGGUUGUAAGUGUGUCUUAAUUAAUAAAACUCUCUGUCUUAGCCGUUUCCUUUAAAUCCGUUUCCUAUUUAUCUUUUCCCUCUUGCGACCGUCACAAACUAUUUUGGACAGAUCCGACCGCUUGGGUGGGUCUCUCUUUUUAACCAAACAUGUUCUUAAAUUUUUUCCAGACCCUUUUGACUUUUUGACUUUUCGACUUUUCAGAGAGGACAGAAGAAGGAGACAGGUUUAAUUGAUUGUGUAAUAAAAGGGUUGUGGAUAGGUUCGCACCGUACAGAUUGCAUUUAUGUUCGUAAAAGAAUUUGCAUUUUUACUGAAUGGUUGUGGUGGAAUGAAGACUAUUCUUUUGUUCUUAACGAAAGAACAAUCUGAACAACACUUGAGAUUGCUUAAAAUUGUGUCAUGUAUGAAAUUUGAAUUUGAUGUGUAAUUGAUAUUUGUAUUGCAGAUGACGGAUUGUCUUUUCACCUUGUGCCACUAGUUAAAAGUUACAGGUUACAAUUAUGUUUUUAGUAAAUGUAAAAUCAUACAGAAUUCAAUAUCAAAUGAAACCAAAAUAAAAAUCAUGUGUAAGAGCAUCUUCGAUACAAAACGUUAUUUUUUGAAACAAUUGAGUAACUGAAGUUGAUUUUACUUCGAUCAAAUCCUAUUUGGAGUUAAAAAAUGGAGUAAAUUUAUUUUAUUUUAUUAUUUUAUUAAAAUGAUUUGGGUGUCCAAAAAUUGUUUUAUUCUAAAUUAUAUUUUGGAAUAAAAUAAAAUUGGAGGUAAAAACUCUUUCUUCUCUUUUAGUCAUGGAGAAUUCAAAGAUGGAUCAGCCAACGUCAAAACGUGGGUUUUUCGUGUGGUUGUUUGAAUACACAUCUAAUUCGUCUUUUUCUUUACCGUAAAAAAGGAAACUAUGUUUUAACUUUGUCAACAAAUAACACCUAAACUUACUUUUUCCAAUAAAAAUAAACAGCACCUAACAUUACUAAGUCUUCCCAUGGAAUAUUAAAAACAGAAUAUCACUCACAAAAACGUAGAGAUUACGAAGAAAAGAAAAACUAUGAAUUGGGUUGGAAAAGAACACAAAGAGGGACGUGGGGAAGUGUGAAAAAAUAGAUUGAGGUGUUUGUUUGAUUGUUAAGGUAAGACUGAGUACGGAAGCCACAGCUGUCAGUAUACCGAACUCCCUGUGUACUUUCUUACUUUCCAUCAAUCCAAUGUUCCGGUAAAUAUCAAAAUCCCCAAUAUACCCCUGGUUGAUGAAAUGGACCAAAACCAAAUCACUCCUUUUUCACUAGACGUGGUGUUUGGUUUGACUUCAUGGUUACAAUCUUUAAAGCAGAUUCAUCAGCCCUUCUUUUUCAACGGCCGAACGUUAUUCCUGAAUCCAGCAGUAUGAUUCACACUAUUCUCAAUGUCAAUUUUCAAUUUUUCAUUACUUAAUUGUUUGGCGACACAGGAUAUACCUAAUCGAUAUGUUGUAACCUCCCCCUACCAUUUAAAAUUCUCGGUGAUUUAUCGUUGUUGCCACUCUGUAAACCAAGUCAAUCAUGUGAAAAUUUUAACAUGUAAUUAGUUUUUUAUGGUUAUAUACUAGAGUAGCUAGAUAAAUAUUGAGACAACUCUUGAUUCCACAGAUCCUCCGGAGGGGCACAAAUAUAAUAAGAGCAAAGUUUUCAUUAAAACGUUACAUCAUAUUAAUUGCUCAAAUGAAAUGUAGUUGGGGAGUUAGCUUUGGUUUUAAUGACCGGCAAUCAUCUACUCCCAUUCAUAUCCCCAAGUUAUAAAUUAUUCUGAAAUGAGUUGGCGAAUCGCCAAGCGUAUUAUACAUCCAUAGUAUUUCAUAUCCAUACUACUGAAAAAUGACAAGCAUUAAAUUAUAAACAUAAAUUAUUGGAAAAUAAUAAACAGCUACGCAAUAGUAAUGGAUCAUAUCAUCAUAGUGAUACAGUUCGAUGUGGCCUAAACAGUGACAGCACCAUAGGUGUUUAACUAAACCUUAAAUGCAACUUCCUCAAACAUGCAUCUUCCAUUAUUUUAUAUAUAUAUACACAAUUAUGUAUGUUUACUGGAUAUGUACUAUUGUCAUCUGCAUUUAUAUUUAUAUCCAUUAUCAAUAUAUGUCAUAGCUUCAUGGUCCAUCUUCUUCUAGAAGUCCUUUUUUUCCAGUUGUAUAGGUUAUUUUACUUAUGAGCUCUAUCUUUAUAAUGUUUUAUUUUUCUCUCUUAGAGAUUUCAAAUGUACAUAUGUGGAAUUACUUUCUCGAUGAUAUGUUGAUAUAUAACUUAUAUGCAUCCUAUAACUUAUUGAAUUUAACAUAGUAAAUAGAUAACGUCAGUAUGAGUAUGAUAACAUAACAAAUUAAAAACCGAUGUCUAUUUAAUGCUAACUAUAACUCUCAAAGCAAAAAUGUUUUAAAUGUUCGUAAAAGAUAUUACGUUUAUGAAAUAAGCGAGACUUUGUUAUAUUUCAGGUUCGUAAAGUAAGAAUAUGUGAACACAGAGCUACUUUAUGAAAAUGGAGAUUAAUUUGUCUUAUUACAUAAAUCAAAGAGUCUGGGUUCACAUAUUUUAUUUGCCUUUCCACAUAAAAAAGAAUAAGAAUGCUUUUUCACGUUUGAAUAUGGUUCCGGAUACUAUAUUGUCAUUUGUUAACCAGGCAAUUAGGCGGUUUGUAAGAAACUAAAUCUUGUUCGUGGUACGUCAACGUGACAUAUCGCUCGCUUCAUUGUUAGUAUUUUCUUUCUUUCUUAUAGACAACUCAUAAGAUAUUAUAUCACCAUAUCUUUACGUAUUCUAAAACAUGUUUUAAUUCCAACAUGUUUGAUUCCGCCUAUUCUUUUUCAAAAAGACAAUUUUAUAUUCUUGUUGUUUUGUGAUUAUUGUCGAUCUAUUUUUUAAAAAAAGUUUUAUGACAAAGGUAUGCAUGGAGAACUAGAAGUUGAUCUUUUUUUUAUCAAGACUAAAGUCAAAACUCAAAAGCAAUAUAUUUUUUGGGGUCAACAAUUUAAUAUCAAAGCAGUAAAAAUUGUAUGGUCUGAUGGUCUCAUUAGUGGUUAGAAAUAUCUGCGUUUUAGGUACUCCAGGGUGUAAUCCUAUGACACCCGCGGAUGUAAAAAACACACACACACACAAGAAUCGUAUAUGUUAGUUUAAUAAACAAUAACAACGUAGCUCUUUCAUGCGUACAUAUGUUUCAUGUAUCUAAAUAUCUAUCAUAUGUUUACAUAUCAUGAUUUUACAGAUGCAUACAAUAAUACGUAUGUAGGCAUGUGCGUUAACAAGAAUAAGCAAAUCUUAUCUUAACAAAUCACAUAUAAAACAUAUAAUUUUUAUCUUGCAUAUCGGUAUAGUUCGUCAUGUCUCUUCCACUACAAUUAUACGAAUGAUCACAUUUGAGAUCAUCAGGAACGUGGUAGCCGUCAACGUACAACUGAGAUUUCUCUCUGCUUUUUCUUUUAUUAACUAGUACUAUAGUACAUAUAUAAUUGAUCAAUAAUGGAUCGCUUAAUUCCAAGAAAAAUACUAUUUAAAUUCAAAAGAACCGGUCAUUUCUUGUCAAACCAAUACGUAGAGAGUCAAUUGGUCACCAAUUUGAGUAAUUUAAAACCACUUGGAUCAACUUUUAGGUAAGAUAUAAAUUAUAAUGGACAAGGUUAUAUAUAUAAUAAUGGACAAGGUUGGGCAAUGAGAAAGAAAAGCCUCACUCAAAAUCCAAUGAGAAAUUAUCUUUGUGAGGAGAUUAGUAGAUUACAAAAAUCUUAGCAUUUUUUUAAUCUUAUUUUCCAUUUUUUCAAUAAUGGACUGCUUUGUUGAUAUAAAGAAGUCUUGAGAUCAAAGAUUCGUAUUAGGUAAACUGGUAAAGUUUAAAAUUAACGAGGUCUUCCAUGCUGUCAAAAGUUUAGUUGAAUUAUGCUUCUGAAAUUGAAAUCUGUUAAAUGGUUUACAACAAGGGAAAUAUACUGCCUCUAUGUUAUAAUAAUGUACAAGUGCAUCUGUAAAAUCAAAAUAUACACUCGUAUGGAUUUGGUUGUUGAGACAUUUUUCUGCAUGUAAUAAUUUUCUUUUUAGAUUCAUAUUCGAGUAUGCAUGUAGUACUGCAUGAGCUUUCUUUUAGUGUGUGACUCUCAACUCAACUCAAAUUAAUUUAAUUUUAUGUUAUAGUCUAACCGUACACCCAACAUAACACACAACAUCACAUAAGGUAGAUCUGUUACAUGAAAGCAUUAACGUAUGCAUGGGCAUCAAAUAGUGAUGUUUUUAGUUUUCUACCAGUAUCACUAGAAUAAUUAGCAUAUAAUUUGGUCAUGUAUGAUGCAACGUAAAAACAAGUAGGCCCAAGAGAGUGGAGGGACUAAUAAAUGGGCAUACGCUGAGUUCAAUAUAAAACCAACUAACUGGCCCAUAAAAGCCCGUAUCACGAGAGUUAGCAUUGGUUAGCAAGCUCCUAUCACAACUAUUUUCAUAAAAUCUUGUGAUUGAUAGGUCUUACGAAUAUCUUGUGUAUCUACUAUCUAUGCGAAGGUACAGAUGUAGUAGACUCGAUAUUUUUUCGAAAUCAUGCUAUUAAAAGUACAUGAAGUUUGAUGAUACAAGUCAAGAUUAAUGAACUGACAAAAAGAAGACGAAGAUUACUCUGUUUCCAUCAUUAUCUCUCUCUCCAUUUACAUAUCUAAAGACACCUAAAACCUACAGAGGAACUAAAAUAGGUAACUAAGAGACAUCCUCUAAUACAAGACUCGCUAUCUUACUCUCAAUUUUCAGCUUUUGUUGCUGUUGUUACAGCUGCUUAUCUUACUCCGUUUUUGACUAGGAGUUCUGAUAUCUCCAAGAGGCCCUAAGCGCAGAGAUAGAUCACACCCAUCAAAGGUAGUAGUGCCCUUUGUUGCAUCAGCGGCAAUCACAGGUUUGCUGCUCUUGUUCGACUUGUACGAGUCAGUGACAUUGCUAGAUCUUGGCAAAGAAGGAACCCUGAAUGAAUAACACAAAGGGUAGCUUGAGUACUUGGAGACAGAACAUCUCUCGACCCGCUUCUCUUGAACGUCGCUGUGAAAACUCAUAACCUGAAGAUUCUUCGGACAAAAGUUGUUCUGUUUCAUGAAGGCUUGGUAUUGCGGAUACAAAAUGGUGUCCAACUUAGUUGAGUCUUGGCUAAGAUAACAUCUGGGGUUUAUGUUCCGUUGGCUUCUUGAAGCUCUCCUUGGCGUGCAACCCAAAUGCAAAGCAGCUACAGAAACAAAAAAAGACUUUGCUCUCAUUGAUCUGGGCCUAGAAGAAUGAAUAAUAAUUCAGAGUGUAUACCUUCAAUACAAGGCUGAAGAAACUCCCCUGUUUCAGUGGUCUCAUCGAGUCUAAUUAUGGUGUUAAUUGCGUCGUUUGUACGGUCUAAAAGUGUAUUCAUGUCCAUAUACUCAGCCUAAAGAUGAAACCCACAAAUAGUAAAAUCAAAUAAAUAUUCAAGAUUUUAACUAACUUUAACACUUUAUUUACAAAUCUAUUAAUCAAGUACAGAUACAGUGACAUGAGUUCCAAUGUUCAUUAUGAGAUGGAGCAGAACAUCACAAGUAACACUGUAUCUAUCUCACUGUUCAAUGAACUACUUCUCUGUUUCACAUUAACUGAAGCAAGAUUACUGUUGAAAAACAGUCUUUUAAAUUUCGAAAUUAAAUUUUUUUUUUGGGAGAAUUAAAAUGUAAUAAAGAAAAGAACCUCAGAAUUGGCUUUGGAGUACAUGAUUUCUUCAGCUCGCAAGACAACAACAGGGAGCUUCUCUUGCCAUUCAGUGUUCUUCUUGGUGGACUGGCUGUGAAUCUCACAAACAAUCCUACAAAAAAUAGGUUUCGUAUAACAAUUGAGCUAAAAGAAAACAAAGAAGGGACACAUGCACACCUCUACAUACACUGAUACGGAGUGAGAGAGAGAGAGAGAGAGAGAGAGAAGAUGACCUGAAAAUCUCUUGGAUGAGCAAACCCCUCAAGGGUUGGUGUCUGUCACUAUGCCAAACUCUUCUGAUGCAUUCGUACGGUCUUGGCCCUGGCCUCGGCAUCUUCUUUCCCACCACUUUCUCUUAAGUUCCUAUGAGAGAGAGAGAGAGAGAGAGAAAGAAAGAGAGAGAGAAAAGACAAAGUCAGAUUGUUUUGCUUCCCCUCCUUUCACUACUCAACUCAAUAAUAUCAGUGUGGGAGAGAGAGAGUGUGUCUUGUCAGUUGGUCCGGUUCGGUUCGUUCCGGUUUACUCCGCUUUUUUAUUAUUUUCAUGGUCCGGCCUACCCUAUAGUCUAUUCUCUAUACUCUAUAGGGUUGCAGUCCAAUAAAUUAUUUUUAGAUUAUCCCUUUUCCAGAGAUAAUAAAACAAGAGCCUUCACCAACUACAGUUUAUGUUGAUAACCAAACAUUGACCAUAACUUAGUUCUACAUAUGUAUCUACAUUUGCACUAAUACUUAAAUGUAAAGCUUUAUUUCAAAGGUCUGCGUGAUUGGGAAGACUAAAACAUUAGAUGCCCAAAACGUUUUUUUUUUUUUUUUUGUCACACGCCCAAAACGUUUUAAUUCACUAUAUUACUGCGGUUGAGAUUUUUAUGCUAUUGUAAGACAUUUUACGUCUUUAUGGAAACUAGAUCCUUUGUCCGCGCUACGCGCGGAUUAUGUCUUUUUAAUUUAUUCUCUAUUUAUUUAAAUUGCUUAGCAAAGUUUGAAAGACAUAAGUUGAGUUUUAGAUUUUAUAGAGAAGUAGAGAUUUAAAAAAAACAAUGAUUAAAUUGUUUAAAAUAUAAAUAAAUCUAGGUAUCAAGUUAUGUGGGUAAGAGAAUAUUACUCCGAAUGAUGCAUGAAUUAAAGUCACUCUUUGCUGCAUGCUUUUGCACGAUCUCUUAUUCGUCCUUUGAAAUGCUUUAUGUAAUCAAUUGAUUUGUUGAAUUAGAAAUUUAUUGCUGGUGAUGAACUGAGUAGUAGUUGUCUUGGUAAAUAUUGGAUAUUAUUGUUGUGUUGAUAAAAAAAACUUAGAUCUGUAUUAUUUUUUGAUGUGUUUAAAAAAAAUAUUUACCUUGGAAAAGUUUAGGAAUUAUGCUUGUCAUGAUGACAACUUUAAAUUUCCUAUCCUUCUUGCUUUGUAGGAUGCUAAAAUCUGCUGCUUGCUUGUCGCACAGUAUGAGUUUAACCAUUAUCGACCUGAGAUAGAGGUGUAUGUAUGAAUAUAAUUAUGAUUUCAUUAUUACCUAUUGUGUUAGACUUACCUGUUCAGCCGUAGACCAAUCGUGGCAUCAGUAUUGAUUUUUGGGUGGUACGGAUUUCUUUUUUGGUAUUAAGAAUAUCUGCCCGACGACAUCUGCAAAAUGAUUUUGAGUUAGAAUAAAUAUUGGGAACUAGAAAUAUUGGACCGAUGUCUGUAACUUUCGAUGUUAUUGUCUUUUGGUCGAUCUGAAUGUAAUAUGGCAGUUGGGUGAGUUUUCGAUGUCGUGAAUUAUGUAUGACAGAAAAUCCUAAAAAUUCAUAUAUAUCUCCCUCGGUUAAAUUUUUUGGGUCAUUUGGCUGAAUGUAUCCGAAGAGCCGACCUUCUAAUAGUUGUCCUUGAAUGUGAACAAAUUUUGUUGUGCCGAACCAAUUAAGUAAAUAGUGAGUACUUUAAACCAAAUAUGUUGGAUAGGAAAAUACAUAUAUAUGUAUAUCUUAAAGUUUUAAUAAAAGCCUUACGUGGUGGUCGUAGCACAUGAAGCCGAUGCAAAUUUGAGUAUUAUCUGUUGGGUGUUUUCUGAUGUCCCAAACACUUCUUAUACAUACUGUGAUAGGGCGUACUGAAAUCCCUUCCUGAAGUUGGUGGAAACUUUGAAGAAUGUGUUGCAUGUGAGAUGUCACUAUAAAACAUGCGAUUUUAAUUAAGGGCAUACAUUCUUUAGAACUUUACAAAAGAAACUAUCUUCUGGGAUCAACUGUUUGAUUCUAUGAAAACAUAUAUUAAAUUAUACAUAACCUUACUAAUAUAUAUACAAAUCAAAGGCAAAAAUCAAACGACAUGAAAAUAACAAAAGUAAUCGAAAUUUUAAUAUGUAUAGUAAAAAUAUCUGAGUUGAUUCGAAAAAGUAAAUGUUAUCUAAUAUAUUCAAAUAAUAACCAAAUAGCAGAGAUAUUAUAUAUCUAAAAUUACACCUCUAAUGAAAAUAAAAUAAUGUUAUUUAAAAUAAAUAAUGCAUAUUUUUUAACAAUAUAAAUAAAAAACUAAUUAAAUAUUAAAAAUAUUAUUAUAUUUUUGUAUUAUUUAAGUCAUCUACAAUUUAUAUGUAUAAAAAUAUCACUAUAAAUAAAAUGUAUUAUUUUUUUGAGGACGUGGCAGCCUCACAAUAGAGUUCCUCAAUUGAGAAACCAACAAAAAAAAAUAUUAGCAAGAAAUUGAGAAAAUUGAGAAAAAGAAGAAAAUACGUUUUCAAAUUUGAAGUUUUUUUUUGAGAUAUUUUUUUGGAAUUUUUUUUUUCAAAUUUUUUUUUUGUAAUUCGAAAAUACUUUUUGGUUAUAUGUUUUCAAAUUCAAACUUUUUGGUUUUUUUUUUGCUUGAAAUUCUUUUUUUUUGAAGUUUUAUUUUUUUCCAAAUUUUCUUUUUGUAAUUCGAAAAUACUUUUUGAAACUAUUUUUAAAAUUUUUAUUUUCAUAUUUUGACUUUUUAUUUUCUAUUCUAUAAAAUUUUAAACAUCAAUCCAAAAUCUUCAUCCAUUAACUCUAAACCAUAAUGUUUGGAUUAGCUAACCCUAGGGGUAGAAGUAUAUAUCUAUCUUUAUAAUGUAACAUUUUGGUCAUUUUGAUUCUUAUAGUAUAUAUCUGUGACAUAAAUUUUUUGGGUGUUAUCUUUGGUAUUUCCCUUUUAAUUUUUUCUAACCAUUUAAUCUAACUUUAAAAAAUUUACUCUAACAUAGUUUUCUCUAACUUUUAAAAAAAAAUUAUAACGAAAAUUGUAUUAUAAAUGUUUAAUCUCAUUUCUAAUUUCCUCUAACCAUUUACAAUCUUUAGAAAUUUCUUUGAAAUUUUAAGCUUUCGCUGUGGGGGAUUAUUAUAAAGAAUAUAUUAAGUAAACACCAUGUUGUGGAGUUAUUAUAUAUUUAUAUACAAACCUACAAAAGUAAGAAUGCGGAAUACCUGUAGUCUCCAGAGGGGGUGAAGGAGGUGGGUUAUCCAUUCUUUUGCAGUCUUGAUCCUUACAAACAAUCCGACCGCAAGCUAGAGAUCUGGAUGUAGGUUUGUACGCCAAAUAUGUAGAACACAAUAGCAAGUAUAGGUUAGUUAACGAAAUCUGGAUGUAGAGUUUGUACGCCAAAUAUGUAGAACACAAUAGCAAGUAUAGGUUAGUUUAAUGACCUUGGGAAACCCAGUAGGAAAUGUAGGCAUGUAUAACCAAGUAAGAAAUAAGUAGUAAAAUAAUUAUUCACUUACGUAUGAAGUUUGAAGUAAGUUUUUUUGUAUGUAUUGUUUCUUGGAAGAAAACGAAAUUGAUCUGAGUCUAGGCGAAUCCAUUUGAAGAGAGAAUGUUUAUCGACGGAUUAACUAAUCCACAUUGAUUUGAGUCUUAAAUGUUAGAUUCUCUUAUCUUUUCGAAAAGGAAAAUAUUUAAUUACUUAGUGUUAGACCCAACUAAGACUAUAAAUGAUUUGAAUCUUAAACUGCCUUCAUCACGUUUGUCAUUUGAGAUAUAUGUUUCUACUUGCGGUGAUUCUGAGAAAUGAUGAGAUUCGAUUUUUAAUUUUCUUUAGACUCUAAUCAAUGUGGCACGAAAACUACUUAGUAAUUUAUUGCAUUAACACAGAAAGAACCUCAAAUUUACCAAACUUCUACAAAAAAAGCACACAUAAUAAUCUAAAGAAAAUAAAAAAUUAGAUGUUCCCCGCAAGUAGAAACAGAUGUUCUCAGCCAUAUUGCGCUUAAACGUACCUGCAACUGUAUUAAAUCGUAUCUUGAAAUUUUGAAAUUCACUUGGCUUAAGCAAGAUCAAAUGAGCUAAGAUAAUAUAAUUCAUAACCAAAUAGCGCAACACCCUAAUAAUCAUGCAAAUGAGACAUGAAAAAAAACUCUUGAAAAUUCAAAGGUAAAAGGAAAGCAUGAAAAAAUCUAAACUGAAAACAAAGACUCUGAGUGCAAUGGAACUUGCAACCUUUCAGGCUAGAAUGUAAAUUCUAGUUUCCAGACUUUAGGCGUUUAGCUUCCUCCACCUUGGCGUUGUCACACGACCUCUUACUCCCCACAUCUGCAGAACCUACACGGCUUUUGGAAGCUUCACACACAUCAUUUCCAGUCUGGAACGGUUCAUUGGGCGUUGCAGCAAUGCUGUUUCCUGCCGAGGUCUCUGUUUCGGUUGGAGUGUCUAGAGGGAGGAUCUUGGUCACAGUUAGAGCUUGGGUCUUGCCUGAUAAGUUGUGCUCUGUCAACUUCACAUAAAACUUGUGUCUUUGUCCGAUGGUGUUGAUUAGAGCUUCCGGGACAGGCACCUCUUGGUCAACUCCUAUGUCAGCAUUAGCCUGACAAUCAGCACAACAGUGUGAGUUCAAUUCAUCUAAGAUUCUAGACUGAUUAUUAGUUACCUCAAAGUAGCUGCUAACUAAUUCUGAUGCAUGCCUUCCAGUUAGCGCACGCCCAGCAUCAACAAGUAGUACAAAAACAGCUUGGUCACUGACUCAUUAGAAAAAUUCCUUCUUUCAUUAAUUAAAACGGUACAGAACCAGUGUGUAAAUGAUUAUAAACUGAAAAAGAGAUCACCAUUCACAAAAUUUCAUCAUUUAUGGCUUCUGGUGAAACCUGAAAACCGAAUCUGGUUUUUAAAAAUUUAAAAAGAAAGAAGAUAGAAGGAGAAAAACAGCUGCAUAUAUAAUCUGAGAUUCACUUGCAUAUAGCUAUAAAGAUUUUCAGAGAAUUUCAGCAUGCAAAAAUUUAAACACACAAAAAAAGAGAAGAAAAACUCAGAUUAUAUAUAUUUUUUUUUUAAAGGCAAAGAGGCAAUCAGUAAAUAGUUAUUUAAUCUUUGAAAAGAAUGUGUACCGGUGGGGGUUCAUGAUCAUCAAAACUCGUGCUUUUCCUAGAUCCGGUAGAAGAAAACAAUAUAGCACACUUCACAAAAUAUGAUCUAUAAAUCUGAGCUUUACUCCACCAAACUGCUUGAGAACAAACAUUCUAGAGAAUAAGCCAGCAAGAACCCACUUCAACCAAUACAAAUAGCUAAAGAAAAAAACGGAACCCGUAACGAAAUGAUAAUGAAAGGGCGUCAGUCUUUUGUACAGAGUAAAUAGAAUAGGUAUAUAAAGAAGGAUGAACAUGAGGAGAUGAAACGAAAACAUAAAAGACAAAAUUGAAUGAUGAAAUAAAAAAAAGAGUUUCGUUUGUGUAGAAGUUGAUCGAUCAGAGCUCUGUCUCUACGGUCUGAAUCGGAGGAGACGAAGAGGCGGAGGCGUAGAUCCUUGAGAGCUCCGUCUGCUCUAGGUUUCAUCGAGACCUCCGUGUUUUUUUUUGUUGAAUUUGUCGACAAAAGACAAUAGAGCGAAGCCCCAAACCCAUAAAAAAUACCCACCAAAGGCCCAAACGUAACAGAAACAACAAAGCAGUUCAUGUGACGUGUCCAGACGAAAUAUUGUGAUUGGUUGAUUAUUUUGGGUGAUGUGGCAGUCUAAAAUCUCAGCAUAUUGAGCUUUUAGUAGUGUUAGAUUUUAAUUCAUUAAAAAUAGUAUUUCUUAGACAUGAAAAAUAUAUACCAUAUCAACUGUUUCAAAUUCUUAAUUGGUGUAACGUCAUAAAAACAGCAAUCAUUAUUAAAAGCAAUGCCCUUUAUAAAAAAAACAUUAUUAAAAGCAGUAAUUGUUAAACUGGAUGUUUUUCUUAUAUAAAUCAUACCUUUUUUGGAGAAAAAAAGCUACUAUAAAUCAUAAGUUGAGAAAAAAGAAAGAUAUAAGUGAUAAAAUACAAACAAACUUUAACUUGUAAUGAAUACUGAUGUACAUAUGUAAUACAAUAAAAUUAUACCGUUCAUGAUGAGAGAAGGAAACAAAAAAGGUUGAGAGAAGGAAACCCUAAUCUUAAUAGGGGAAGCCCGACAUUGUUUCCUCUCUUCUGCGUUUUGUUUCUCUGCUUUCCAGUUGCUGUCAUCUUCACAGUCCAGCGAGAAAUCACCGCCGCAGUUUCGCCGGAGCUUGGCUUCCACUCACGAAAUCUACACGCUUCUACUCCGGCGGUUCGAUUUCGUCAGCAGAUUCCUAAAGACGACGAACAGCUUCUCCGACUCGCUUCCCGGGUCAACCCGAACCAGCCUUCUCCCGGGUCGAUUCGGAAGCUGGCUUUCAUGUAUCUAACGACGUCGCCUCUUCCGUUUGCGCCUCUGUGGGAAGCCUUCUUCAACGGAAGCUCCGAGGAGCUCUACAAUGUAUACGUUCACGCAGACCCGACCCGAGAAUACGACCCGCCGUUCUCCGGCGUGUUUGAGAAUCGUGUAUGGCUAGAACCGUGUUGUUUAAUGACUCGGCAUGUGGUGCGUGAAUGGUUCUCUGAUGGCUUUGUUGUAAAUUUAGAUGUAGUUUUAGUUCUUUUGUUUUGGUCAAGAAGUAGAAAAAAAUAAUUGUAAUCUAAUGGGUAGCUGGGACAAAAGAACCCAGUCUAUCAUUAUCCAAGGGGCUUGUUGAGUUAGACGUCAAAGCUCAUCCUCAUAAAUUCGCAACUGAAGUUAAGCAUCAGCAAAUCAAUUUACCUCGGUCACUGACCAAUGUAAUGGGAAGAAAAUGAAUAUAUAUAUAUGCAUGCCAAAGUUCCUCAAAAUCUUGGGUUAGUCUACAUCUCAAAUGGAUAUUAAGCAAUUUACUAAUUUUUAAUCUUCAGUUCAAGAGAUUUUACAAGUUAGAGAAUCAAAUACAGGACCAGGAGAGGUACACGAACUAUCUAUGUUUCAUGUUCUGCAUUGGCUUCUUAUUCUGUUAUAAGGAGCAAGUGCUAAUACAGUUAUUUACGAUUUAGAACACAUAACUUGGUAUUUGUUCUAGUUUGUUGUCUAGUGGCUUUAGUUGCUGAUUCGUUUAAAUAUUUAGAUUUAUUUACUUUCCUUGGUUUAUCGAAAAAGAGUGAUUUAUUUAGCAGGAAAACUGAUAUACAAGAGAACAUGAAGUAUGCUUAAUUGCUUAUAUAACCUGUUUGGUUACAAGCGAAACAUCAAAUAGCUACAAACAAGCUUAGUCACCUGAUAUUUUAACAUAAACAGAUUUUAUCACAGAAUAUAAUAUAAUUACAUUUACCAAUCGCUACUCGCUUGCUUCACCCAACUCAAACCAAAGGGGGGCAAAGAUAACCAAGGCGAUCUCAGAAGAUUUCAAUGUUUUACAAUAGGUAUAAAAGUUCAAAAAAAAAAAGGGUUUAAAUGACAUUAUUAAUCAAACUCAAAAGAUAAACAGUCUCAGAAGUUCAAGCAAACUCAUAACCAGGAAGAUACAAGAAGCAACCGGAUUAUAACACAAGAAAACAUGAGAUACCAUCUGUGUAUUGGUCGAAAAAUAUUAUAUAUUUAUGUAAAUAAAAUGAACAAAGCUCAGUAAGGGUUGUUGUAGUAAUACCCCAUCGGCGGCGGUCCCAUCCCAUUAACCGGUGGCAUCCCAUAAGGCAUUCCGUUCGGGGCAGGACUCAUCUUAGCCAAACUAGCUUGACCUCUCAUCCCUUCUUGCUGAUACUGCUGCCAUAACUGCUGCUCCUGAGUCAACAGAUGCUGCUUUUUGUCCAUCUCAGCCAUUUGCACAUACGAAGGAGGCGGGAUGGUCAGUGAAGCAGCGAAAGGGUCUUGGUUCACUUUCUGAACGGUUCCAUCAGGUGCAGGGAGUGCUAGUAUAUGGCUGUUGGUCUUACUCGGUAAAGGUAGCGCCACGCUGCUUGAACUUCCACCGGUUAACUCCGAGGUGCUCACGUGUUGUCUAACAGCUCCUUGAUCGUACAUACCGUUGAGCAGCAACGGGUCUAAACCACCGCCCAUCGCGGCUUUCUGAUGCUCUAGGUUGCUAGCUGUCUCGACCAACGCAAGCUCCCAAUCAGCCUUACCUUGCUCCGCAGCUGGAUUCUGCCAAGCUGAUGUCACCUCGCUGUUAUCAGAAGAGAACGCUUCCCAUUUUCCGUUACUACUAGCAGGACCGGCGAAAAGAGCAAGAGCAAACUUGUUCCCUUGGUCAUCAACACUAACACCAUCCUCCCUCAAGUCAACUAGAUCAUUAGUUACUUGCGGUUGCUCCGGCUUCACCUCUGGCUUUGGCGGCGGAGGUGGAGGCGGAGUGUAGUUCUCCGGAGGAGGAAGAGCUUUGAUCUCAUUCAUAUCAACCUCCGCCUCCUCCUCAGGAGCCGGAGCAGGAGGAGCUUCAAUCUCCUUCCGCUCCGGACUCUUCCCCCUCUUAGCUCUAUCCCUCACAAACUCCUCAAGCGUCUCCAACAACUUACUAGUAAUCCUCUGCACCUCAGGAUACUCAGAAGAUCUCGCCACACCUGUAUCCUUACACCAAUGGUAAAAAGCAAUGAGCUCAUCAAUCUGUUUCGCCGCGCUAGCGUAAGCAUCAAACGCCUUAACACAAUCCGUAUACUCCAUCUCAAAAAACUUAUCAAGCAGAACCGCCAACACUUCGCAAAUAUCAGCAUAAAGCCUGAAACUCUCUUUCACAAUGGGAUACAUAGCAACCAAUAUCAUCCUGCUGCUUUUAGCUAAACCGGUGGGACGAGAGGAUAAGAACCGUUCAUUGGGCGUUGCAGCAAUGCUGUUUCCUGCCGAGGUCUCUGUUUCGGUUGGAGUGUCUAGAGGGAGGAUCUUGGUCACAGUUAGAGCUUGGGUCUUGCCUGAUAAGUUGUGCUCUGUCAACUUCACAUAAAACUUGUGUCUUUGUCCGAUGGUGUUGAUUAGAGCUUCCGGGACAGGCACCUCUUGGUCAACUCCUAUGUCAGCAUUAGCCUGACAAUCAGCACAACAGUGUGAGUUCAAUUCAUCUAAGAUUCUAGACUGAUUAUUAGUUACCUCAAAGUAGCUGCUAACUAAUUCCGAUAAAAAAAAAAAAAAAAAAAAAACAGAGCAAGUUCGUUGAGAGAUUGAAGGGAGAUUCCGAGUUUAAUCAGCAAAGAUCAUUACGAAAAUUGAAAAUUGAUAUUUUAGUUUUUGGUGGAAAUAUUCUUUAGGAAAAUACCUUUCUUUCGCUAGAUCUGAGGGAGAGAGAAGUGUUCUCCGGUGGAGGAAAUGUUAAUUCACGGGCGGAGGAGACGGAAUCGGGAUCUGAGAUCUAUGAGGAAGGUGAAGAAGAAGAUCUCAUAUUACGACUUAUUUGGCGGUGUGACAGAUCCAUCGAACGAGUCCAAGAUGAAGUGGCUUGGGUUUAGACAGAGGGAGAGGAUUUAAAGAGAGUUUGAGUUGUGGAUGACGUGGAUUAAUGAAAGCCGUUUGAUCUAAAGGAGAUGCGAUGUGAUUUUGUAACCGGAACUAACGGAGCCGUUUUGUCUGAGUCUUGCACUCUCUGGUCUGAACACUGUUAGUGAUUUUUCUUUUUUUUUUGUGAAAAGCAAUGUCAACGUUUUGUAGGAGUUUUUAUGUGUGUUUACAGCUGUUUGUAUAGUUUCUUUUACUAGAUGAUUUUCUUUAUAUUUCUAAAAAAAGUAUUUUUAUUAAUUUAUGAGAAAAAGACUAGAAUAGCACUAAACCAAGUUUAUGUUCCCAAAGUAGCACUCAAGGCUCAAAGUCACAAAAAUAGGUUUCAUUAAAGAGGUAAAUAUACAUUUAUACCCCUUGGGUUAAUUAAUCCAAACCUUAGGGUUUAGAGUUAAGGGGUGGGGUUUUGGAAUUAGGGUUUAAAAUUUUAUAAAAAAAAAUACGAAAAUAAAAAAUAAAAAUUUUAAAAACAGUUUCAAAAAGUAUUUUUAAAUUAUAAAAAGAAAAUUUGAAAAAAAAAAAUAAAAAAAAAAUUCGAAAAAAAAAAAUUAUAAAAAUUUCGAAUCUGAAAAAUAUAAUCUGAAACUAUAAAAAAAAAAAAUUCUUUUUUUCAUUUUUUUUAUUUUUAUUUUAUUUAUUUUUAUUUAUUUAUUUUUGUUUGUUUAUUUAAUUUUAAACCAAGGGUAUUAGGGAUAUUUUACCCUUUAAUGAAUGUCAUUUUUGUGACUUUCUCCUUCUAGUGCUAUUUUUGAGACAUAAACUUCAAAGGUGCUAUUAUUGACAAUUGCCCUUAAUUUAUUGCAGAUUUUCAUUUUGUUUACUUAAAAAUCUUUAACAAAAUUUAGAUAGAAAUUCCUUUACUGUUAAUUUUAACAAUAAUUAAAUAAUUAAUUUUGACAACAGAGAUUUUUUCAUAAAAUAUCUCAGUACGUAUUUAAUUAAUAAUAAUAAAAUGAGAAAAUACUUUCAUUUAGUAUUUUCAUGAAAUACUCAUAAAACAUGUUAUUUUAUGAAUGGUACAACUUAAAGAAAUAAAAUUAUUGCAUUAUUAAUUUAUAAUAAAAUAUUAAUAUUUUGUGAAAAAAAUAAAAGAAUUAAGAUGUCAUAGAUGGAGAUGCUAUUACAGCCUGACAACACAAUUCCGCUAUUAAAGCCUGACAACACAAUUCCGAAAGUACAUUUCUUCGAUCAUUCCUUUAGAUGGCACUAAACAUGUCAUUAGCAUUAAAUAAUAUAUCACAAUGCAAAUCUAUAACUAUCAUAUAAGACUUCUUAUCGAGAUUAUCCAUUAGUAGCAUCACUCUUACAGAAGUGGAUCCAGAUUAGCCAAGUAUUAACAGUCUACAUUAAAUUCCCUGACUUUGGUAAUGUCAAAAUCUUAAUUUCCCAGUAGACAUGACUAGAACCUUUAUGGCUUCACCAUAUUAAACUUUACCCUCAAAUUAAUCACCACCUGAGACCACAAGUUCUGGUUAGACUAUCACUCCCGUGGAACAUAUAUAUCUAAUAAGCGGCAUGCCAAUCUUAUAUUCUUUCAUGUCAUUCAUUUUUGUUUAUUCAUGAUUAUCCAUCUUGUUCUGAUCUGUUCAAAACUUAAGAUUUUGGAUCAUCCUCAGAUCAAUUUAAAGUGGUUUCAGAUAUUUAAGUGACAUGCCCAUACUGACACAACCAGUCACGAAUUUAAUAUCAUGGUUCCACAUCCAUCGAUUUCAGUUUAUGUUUCUUGUUCUUUUUUUUUCCUAGUUUCUCAAUUAAACGAGUUUAAUUUUUUAAAAAAUUUGGAAUGCCAGGAAGGGAUCGAUAAUAUCUAAAAAGCUAUUCAGUUUCCACUUGAUUUAUUCACUGAAUUCUUCUUAUUUACAAUCUUACUUGUAGACACGCUUUGAACCACUAAUUGAAUAGAUCAGAAAGAGUGCAACCAAAGAGGGUAAACACUCUGCGACAAUUGAUGGUCAGUUGAUGUUCAUAGGAUCUAUUUUUCGAUCAUUUAUGUGUUCCUUAAUGAUCUAUAUUUCAUCUUGUAGUUUAUUUGGCAAAUCUGUUGCCUGUUUAUGCUUCUUUAUGUAUCUUUUCCUCCUCUAGAGGAGGUUGAAACAUGAAAUUAAUAAGAGUAUGAUUUGUCCAAAAAAGAGGAAAUUUCUUUAUGUUACCGUCCAUGUUUAGCCAUGAUUCUUGAUAAGUGACAAAAUACCUAAACCAAUGAACUGGAUACUAAAGGAGAAUACAGAACAAGAAUUCGAGUAGAAAUUUAAUCAGAUAGAUAGUAUUCGAGUUGAAUAUUUUCUUAUCAUUAAAACAAAAGUCUUGUAUAUGGACACGGACAAUCUCUAGUUAUUGAUAUUCGAUGAACAGAUUCAGCAAAGAUCCUGCAAAACCAAAUCAAGAAUUUAGACAUUGAUAUGCCAGUCACCCAUAUCCGAAUAUAGAGAAGUAAUUACAUACUUCCAUGGAACAUCCCCUGGUAAUAGCCAGUCACCCUCUUUCCCCUGGAAGGUGAAUUUGUAACUUGUAUCUUCUCCAAUCUUGGUCUGACAAAACAAAAAUAUAUUUAGUGUUCAGAAGACUCUUGAAAAGUUAUAUGAUAUGUUUCAUUUGUUUUAUAGGCUUAGGAGAGUGUUUACUCACAUUGACUAAACAUGGCGAUCAAGGAGUUCGUGAGAGACUCGUAAGAGUUGAAAAGCUUGAUGUCCACCUUUCUUGUUAUUGCGACACCAUCCAUCUUCACUUUAACAUACAUUGAUGAUCUCAAUGAGGUUAACGGUCCACCUCUUUCAGUGGUAGCCGGUUGAUUAGAUAUGUUGAUCCUCCUACCAUGAUGGUGAUAUGGGUGAUUACGACUACGAUGACGAUAAUUAAGAUACUUUUUCAUACAUGACUUUAUUGGUGGCCAUCCAACGACUUUGCAAUUCUCUUCCUCGCUAUAUAUAAAAAUUUAAUUAAGUAUUUUAAAGAUACAAUGCCUCCCCGAUUUUUGUAUAACUACGCAACGAUUCUAAGAAACUUGUAAGUACGUAAUCCAUAUAUUAUAUGUAGAGAUAACUGUUUUUUUAACCUUACUAUUGUCAAAUAUAGAGUUUGUUACUCACUCGUACACAACAGAAGAGUCGGGCUCCAGAGGAUCAUCAUCUUCCUUGUCUGACUGGCCAUUCAAAGAAAAUGAACGUGGUUUUGAUACAUAACAAUCUUCUUCCAUAUUUUCCAACCCAAGCAUCGCAUCAAAACGUUUUUCUUUGGUAUUCAAAUGCUUGUUGAGAUCGAAGCCUAACCCGAAAUUUGAAGAAUUAGUAUGAGGUGAAAGAGAAAGAUCAAGAUCCAGCUCCAUUUCUGGUGAAGCUUCGUCUUUGAUGAAAAAAGUUUAUGUUCUUUUGUUGUUUGGCUUUGGAAAAGGUUGUGUGCAUAAUUAGAGGAUCAUGAGUAUUCCCUAUUUAUAGUAAAAAGGAAAGGGUACCAAAGUCAAGGAAGGAUAUAUGGCUUUAUCGUCAAUAUAUAUGUACUCACACAAAUAUAGAUGUCGAUGGAUGUGUUAUGGUAUCUUAAGCAACACGAUGCUACAUAAACUAAACAAGUAAUCAAUCAAAGUAUUAGAAUACUAAUUAUUCCUUUUCCGUUAAAUCCUCAACUAUUAUAGUUCAUAUAUUUUUUUCUUGGACCAACAACUAUAACAUAUACUUGACUAGAGGAAAUCAUCUUCAAAAGUUACAUCGUAUUUAAUUAAAUUUCAUAUCCAACAUGAAUUAAAUAACGUUUCACCGGUUAAACGAACUAUGUUUAGGUGAAGAUAAUAACAGAGAUUCAUUCUAACUAUUAUACUUAAGUAGCUUAGCAGACUAGCAAUCGUGCAAAAUUAAGCAUUUAAAACAACGAGAACGAUGACGAUAAUUAAGAUACUUUUUCAUACAUGACUUUAUUGGUGGCCAUCCAACGACUUUGCAAUUCUCUUCCUCGCUAUAUAUAAAAAUUUAAUUAAGUAUUUUAAAGAUACAAUGCCUCCCCGAUUUUUGUAUAACUACGCAACGAUUCUAAGAAACUUGUAAGUACGUAAUCCAUAUAUUAUAUGUAGAGAUAACUGUUUUUUUAACCUUACUAUUGUCAAAUAUAGAGUUUGUUACUCACUCGUACACAACAGAAGAGUCGGGCUCCAGAGGAUCAUCAUCUUCCUUGUCUGACUGGCCAUUCAAAGAAAAUGAACGUGGUUUUGAUACAUAACAAUCUUCUUCCAUAUUUUCCAACCCAAGCAUCGCAUCAAAACGUUUUUCUUUGGUAUUCAAAUGCUUGUUGAGAUCGAAGCCUAACCCGAAAUUUGAAGAAUUAGUAUGAGGUGAAAGAGAAAGAUCAAGAUCCAGCUCCAUUUCUGGUGAAGCUUCGUCUUUGAUGAAAAAAGUUUAUGUUCUUUUGUUGUUUGGCUUUGGAAAAGGUUGUGUGCAUAAUUAGAGGAUCAUGAGUAUUCCCUAUUUAUAGUAAAAAGGAAAGGGUACCAAAGUCAAGGAAGGAUAUAUGGCUUUAUCGUCAAUAUAUAUGUACUCACACAAAUAUAGAUGUCGAUGGAUGUGUUAUGGUAUCUUAAGCAACACGAUGCUACAUAAACUAAACAAGUAAUCAAUCAAAGUAUUAGAAUACUAAUUAUUCCUUUUCCGUUAAAUCCUCAACUAUUAUAGUUCAUAUAUUUUUUUCUUGGACCAACAACUAUAACAUAUACUUGACUAGAGGAAAUCAUCUUCAAAAGUUACAUCGUAUUUAAUUAAAUUUCAUAUCCAACAUGAAUUAAAUAACGUUUCACCGGUUAAACGAACUAUGUUUAGGUGAAGAUAAUAACAGAGAUUCAUUCUAACUAUUAUACUUAAGUAGCUUAGCAGACUAGCAAUCGUGCAAAAUUAAGCAUUUAAAACAACGAGAAUACGAGAUAGUUUCCCUCACAAAAUUAAUUUUAGUUGGUUUCUAAUAUGUAUACAUUUAAGGCUUUCAAAUGAAGAGAAAGGUAGUGAGGAAGUUCCGAAGGGGAAAAGAGAAACAAUGACCUUUGUCUUUUGGGAUGGAAGUAAUGACUUCCGACAUUAAUUAAGUUCAGGUCGGCCAAUAUCCUAACAUUGAUGCUAACACCUUUGUACAUUAGUAGUAUUAUUUUAUCUAAAUUGUUAUGCUUUUCAUAUAUAAAAUAGUUACUUUUAUUCAAUAUUCAUCUACACUAAAUGUUAACUCCUUUCUUUGCAGUUUUGUAACUUCGGCUACAAAUAUAUAACUACAAUCGAUACAAUAUAUGGACUUGUAGAUACAUUUCUUACAUGAUAAAUUAUUAAUUAUAUUUAAUCAUAUAAACUUGUAAUCGAUUUUUUUUUGUGGUUGGCUUAUACCUUAUUUUCUAUGUUUGCGUUACAACUCACAUUUAUCGCAAUAUCCAAUUAGCGUAUUUAUUAAGAGAACUAAAGCAAAUACCAAAGAUAUGAUAAAAGUGUGUUUGUAUGAUUGUAUCUAUAUUACUAAGCUAGAAAUAAGAAGAGCCAUCGACCAUCGUUAAGGGACACAUGAUUCAACGAAUAUAGACAUGCAACAUCCAUCUAAUAUGGAUAUUAAUAGACAAGUUUGGUUAUUGUUGGAACGGACUACCUCCUAUAUUUUUGUUUACAUUCUAUGUUUCUACUAGAAAAUUGAUUUCACACGGAGUACAUUUAAGAAUGAUGUUAUCCAAUAGCAACCUCUGAAUUGUUUACAGCUUGUCACAAUUGUGUUAACCUCUUAAGAGGCAACUAUCACUAGGCUCUCUUCCAGCUUGAUUUCACUAUUACAUUUUUGACUUAAUCUACACAUGUUUGGGGAAGAGUUUAGAUCACUAUUAUGACUUAUGAGUAAGAGCUAGCUAUUAACUGUAUGCCUAUCCUGAGCUUGAGUACACUGCCUAUUUGGGUAGAAAUAUGUUACUUUUAUAAACAUUUUCUUUAACAAGUGUUUUGUUUUUGUUAUUUGCGUAUAUGGAUCAUACAACAUAUUUUUGUUAUUGCGGAUGUUUUGUGUAGAUAGCAUAUCAUGUCAGUCGACAGACUCGCACUCAUAACCAAGUUACCUCUCUCCGGUAGAAUUACUAACAACUGUAUUAAAACUAAAUUAUACUCUCUCUGUUUUUUAAUAUAAGUCGUUUUAGAGAAAUUUUUUUGUUCCAAAUUAUAUGUCGUUUUCGGUUUUCUAUGUAAAAUUUAUUAAUAAUUAAUGUUAUAUGACCAAUGGUAAUAUAUCUUCUAUUUUUUUAUUGGUUGAAUUGUGGUUAGGUAAAUAAUUAAUGAUGUUUUUGUUUAGAAAAUAUAAGAAAUUAAUGGUUUUUUUAAUCUACGUGCAUAGCUGUAAAAAGACUUAUAUUAAAAAACGGAGGGAGUACUAUUUGGUCAAGCCGAUUAAGCAAGCAACAAAAACACCAUGAAGACCAGAUAAAUACAUUAAACAAAUACUAGAAGACUAUAUUGUUUUUGUAUAGUUUUUAAUCGUCUUUUAUUUGUUUUACUCUGAUCAUAUAACUGUGUAUAUAUAUAUUCAGUUGUUAGCUUGACGUUGACAUAUGUUUGUUUUAAUUUAAGAAAAAGUACUGUUGUUAAAAGGAUAUAUGCUGUGCUUGUGCAUAACACAACAUUUAAGAACUUAACCCACAACCUUUUUAAGAAAUAAUUCCGUAAGAUGUAAAUCUGGUUUACGAAAGUGACACUUGAAUCUGAAGUCUAUAUCGUAUAUUAAUAUGAAUUUUGGUUGGUCUACAUGUUUUUAAGAUCAACCAAACAGCUGAGAGUAGAUGGGGAAAUAUCAACGUGAAUGUCACGUGGACAGAGUCGUGCGUGCGUGACUACUCGUGCCGUAGUGUCGGGUCGACCACUGAAGUAAUGGGCUUUAAAGGUUGAAGGACCAUAUGACUUUUUUUUUCUUGUAAAAGAUGAAGAACCAUAUGACUUGUGGGAACCACUUUUCACAUUUGUAGUCUAGCUCGUGAAAUCGAUCUGGUUUGUUAUUAUUAUUUUUUUUAGUUUUUUUUUAUUUUUUUUUGGUAAAAAAGUUUGUUAUUAUUUCAUCAGAAAAGUAGCAAAACAUAUAAAAAGAAUAAAAACUUAUUAGUUCGUACCAUUUUUUGGUUAAGAUUAUUAGUUUAUACGUGCGACGUCAUAUUUUUAAAAACUAUAACCCAUCAACAUUUUUAGACUGAAACACCGUCAAUUUUUGCAUGAUUUCAGGGAUGCAUGUAUUUUUAAAACGGAGACUACCGAACAAAUAAAUACAACAUACUAAAAUAUCUCACCAUCAUAAAUAUAUAUAUAAUGAAAGCUAAUGUGAUAUGAUAUUAAAAUCUCUAUUUUAGGAUCGGAUGCGAGUUAUGCAGCAGGAGCAGGUACAAAACGAAUAAAAUUAUACCCAAAUCUAAUAAUGUAAUGGUCACAUAAUUUACCGACAAGAAACCUAAUCCACUCGAAAACUAAAAUUCAAGAUCUAGAAGUAGUGAGAUGUAUUAUAAAGGUCGCACGUGGGAUGAUAGAAAGUGUUUGUUUGAGUGAGGGAAGGGGACAAACAAGUGUUAUAGGAAAGGGGGGAAGUGAAUGAAUCUAACUUUGUAACUCAAAAACACUGAGAAAAAAGAGAGCUUUGAGUGCUGUUUCGGACAGCUUUGGCUUAAUGUCUUGUCUCCAUCAAGUUGUAAAUACCAAAGUCUUAUCAUGUUUCUUCUAUGUCUCCUCAACUACUAUUUUACGAAUCGUACCACAAACUUUACCCCAUUCAUUCAUUAUUCAAACUUCUUGAUACAAAGAGAUUAACGGUUCAAGAUGAAACUUUAAUGAUCGUUGGAAAUAUUCAAAUAUAUAUGAUCUAACUUUGGCUUUUCAGCACCAAAAAUAAAAUAAAAAACUAUACCAAAAUCAGAAUUUCAGAGAUUCUUGUAUAGUGUAUAACUUCCUAAUUACAAAGUCAUCUUAUUCUUCAACAUCUCAUUCACAUUCCUAGGUUUUACCUUACCUCGCCUUUACACGAGGCUACACGUUCCAGAAGGAUGACACAUGAAGUCUUAUCAGUCGAGUUUUCCCCUUAAGAGGAUGAGAUAGAAGAGUUUUUUUUUUCUUCUGCUAUCCAUCUCGAUCUCGCAUAAGACCUUUGUUUGGAUAGUAACGUCAGUUGAAUUGCACGUCCAAUACAAAUGUUGAUCCAAAAUUCAGAAUCUGGCUUCUAGUAUGCCAGCAUAUCUUGUGGAUUUGCAUGUAAAAGAUCAGCUCGUCAUCAACCUCUUCCACAAUCAUUGCUUCUUAGCCUAAAAUAUACAUUGUUUUUCUUACAGUCGAUCUUGAAUAUUUGUUGUGCUUGUAACUGAAAUAAGCUCAAAACAUAUAACAAUAUAAUGUCGACCCAAAACAAAAAGAGGGGUAAACAACAUAUUUCCAUACAAAAGUAUCGUAUAUGUUCAUCUUAAUUGCACAUAUUUAACACAUUUAACGUAAAUAAAUCUAUUUACUUUCAUUUUCAAAGAUCGAAACCUGAAACCACACAAACGAAGGUUUAGUUUGGUUUUAAUGGUUUAGAAUCUAAACCGAUUUCCAAACCAAUAAACCGAUAUCAAACCAGUUGGCAUUGAACUAAAACUAAAACCUGACCCAAUCUGAUAUCCAAAUAGUGCUCUCGACCAAACUCUUUAGAAUGUUGGGUCAGUUUCUAAUACAAAAACUAUUUCUUUAAUUGGGCCUUAGCUCACAUAUAUACAAACAUGUGACAUUCCCUAAAUAAUUUGCGGUCAAGAGAGGAAGUGAACAUUUGGAGUUACAAAUCUCACUGCAAGAGAAAAGAGUUCAUGACAAAUUAAUAUCUCUGUUUUUUUUUCUUCUUGAGGACUACUGAGUUUUCUGCAAAGUACUCUACUAGUUCCAUUUCACCAGGGAGUCCUCUAAAAGUGCCUGCUAUCUCUACAAACUCGAGUGAUGACAUGAAACACUGAGGCACAUGCGUGAAUAUUAUUUUUUUUUCCCAAGACAAUGAACGAGAUAGAUUCUGAAAAUACACAACACAAUGAAUGGAUUUUAGAUAAUACUUGACAAAACACAUAACAGACUAUGCAAGCCAUUACCAAGAUUAGGGAUCUUAGAUUGGGACAAAUUUCAAGAAGAAUCCAUAUAGUAUUUAUAAAUCUAAGUAAAUUAUACAAAUCCGGAGGUUUUUUUUUGGAUUUGAGUCUUUGUAUUUUUAACUAAAAAAUCAAAACAAAUCCAUUCAAAUCCAUUAUUAAAUCAAAUAUAUUAGUAAAUCCUUACAAUUGAAUAACACUUGAUUUUAUAUAGAAUUUAUGAAUCAUUAAACCAGUAACACAUGAUUUUAAUAUAAAUUUGAAAAUCAUAGAACCAAUAACUUUAGAUUUAGUUCGGAUUUUCAAAUCCAUUAAAAUACAACAACCAAUAACCCCUACUUAGGAUAUCCAUAUCCCAAAAACAAACAUCUGCUUCCAAACAUGACAGGUUGCAAAAUUGGGGGCAAUGGCUUGAUCUUGAGGAGGAACUACUCACACACAAAACAAGAUCUGUAAGCAAAAUAUUCAUGAACGAGAAUUAUGUGGAGACAUACCCUGAAAGCUGAGUCAGAGAUCUUCAUAUCCCUAACUUGCGAGAUACUGGUGAAGAAAUGAUCAGGGGCACGCCUACCAAGAUUGACCUUGGUUAAGGAACCUAGAUUGCUUAUGGUUUUACACUCGGAUAUGAAAUCACAGAGACUCAGAUACUUGAGCCUAGGGGCAUUAAUCAAAACCCUCACAACGCUAAUACGAUCGUUAUUCUGAAAGUCAUAGUCAUGGACACAAGUUUUUAUGGUGAGACUAGUUAAUGUCUUGGAGUGCACUCGUAAAACAUUUACACCACAUGAUCCAGGCAUUCUAACAAAGCUGAAAUCUUCAAGAACUGGACAAGAUGAGAUAAGCAACUCUAGACACGCUUCAUCGGCGUAUGUAUUGUUUUCCAAACGCAUAGUCUUGAGACAAGGCAAGGAGACAGACUCCAAAGACGUGCUCCCCACAAACACCCUACAAACUAUGGUGAUUGAGUACAUGCUCACAGGUCAGAGAUAUACGCGGUCUAUCAUUGGAAGGUGAAUCACAGUUUUUUUUCUUCUCAUACUCCUUGAUUCUUAUAUGCACAAAACUAAAACUCUUGUAAGAUUGAUGAUAUCAGUGUCAGCGUUAUCAUGUUUGGCGCAUUUUUUGCUGGAGCUAGGGACUUGUCAUUUGAUUUUUUAUGGAUAUGCUGUUGUUUUCGUAGCCAAUAUAACAACAGCAGUAUAUCUAGCAACCAUCACCCGGACUGGUACAAGUUGUUAUAGUCCUUCCUACCGGUUUGAAUCCUAUCUUAGUCAAUGUCUAAUGUCUAAUUCUCCAGGGAAGUCAAGUGGUUUGAAUAGCUUUGGCCUCAUGUGGUGCAAUGGUAAUCUAAGUAGAUAGUAAGAUUGGCCUAAACUCCCAAGACUUGCUUUCAAUUUGUUAGUUUUGCAAUGAUAGGAGUUAGUUAUAUGCGAACCUAUAUUGAUGGUUAGGACAUAUAUGUGUGGUGACUGGGAGAAGACGAUUAACUUUCCUCAGCUCUUUUCUCCUGGCUUCAUGGUACUGUAAAUCUCUCUUCUGACUUAUACUGCUUAUCUGUUUUCAUGUUCACCUAGGUUGUGUUACUCUGCUUGCGUGUUAGCUUUCUUUUUCAACUACAUCAUUUUUCUUAACACCACUCUCAACUCGGCUCUCACACAGACAAUUUGUGGCAAUAUGAAGGUCGGUUUCACUGUAUAAUUUUUGUUUUAAGUUCUUUUAUGUCUAUGAUUUUGUAAACGAAAGCAGAAACUUUGAACAUUAUAUAUCAUCAUUGCAGGACCUAUUCACGGUUGGAUUAGGCUGGAUGAUCUUUGGUGGACUCCCAUUCGACCUGGUAUUAUUCUUCACCUUCCCAUUUACUCUAUUGAUCCCAAAAUCGCCUAUCUACAAUUUGCUACAUCUCAGUACUGUAAUUUUGGUUCGUUGACGCAGAUGAAUGUGAUUGGACAGCUUCUUGGCUUCUUCGGAUCUGGUUUAUAUGCAUAUUACAAGAUCAUUGGGAGGUAGCUAGAGAAGGGUGACUGACUAUAAGCCGAGGCCCCAUUUUUUGACACAUUACUGGAUUAUAAAGGAACUGAUGUUUUGAGAUUGUUUUGCUCUUUAUCAUUUUCUUAUGUUCUUUCCGUUUGAAUAUAAACUAUAGAGUGACUCGGUCUUUUCUGGGAUCUAAUAUAAAUGCGUUCACAAAUCUUACUUUUCUUUGUUAACCAUGGUAUCAACUUAUUAAGCUUUCCUUGGUUUUCAUGGCGAUGUUACAAGUGAAAGGAUAGUAUGAAUAUCUUGUUAUAGCUCUAAACAAACGGUAGGCGAGACAAGUAGGAAGAGUUUAGCUGCGAGCAUGUUGUACUCAGUUUAACAUGAAAAGUGGAUGAAAGAAGACAAAUAAGAAAAAAAUUCAGAAGACACACCCAGUGGGACUCGAACCCACAAUCGCUUGAUUAGAAGUCAAGCGCCUUAUCCAUUAGGCCAUGGGUGCUUGUUGAUCUUCAUUCCCAUUAAAUCUUGUGAUUAGGUAAGUGUUUCUAUAUUGCUCUCUGAAAAAGCAAAACAUAUCUAACCGGGAAAAAGUAAAGUAAGCUGGAAAGAAGCAGAGAGAGAUCCCUGAAGUAAACCCUGUUUCCCUUCAAAGUAUCUCCACUAUCUCUCAUCCUCUUCCACUCUGACACUCAACUUCCACACUUUUAUCUUUCUUUAGUCUGGUAUAAGAAAAGAAAAGAAAAGGAAACCAUUUGUUCUUGUUCUUGAUUUUGCGAUGGAAGUUCCACGCCGCUCUUUGGCUGCUUCUCUCUCUCCUCUCCGCCUCAUCGAUGGUCUCCCUCGCCGGAGGAGUUUUAAUUAUAACCAGAUGCCUGAGGAGCCCAUCAAACUCACUGUUCUCAAGCUUGAUGGAUCUUCCUUUGGUACACAACCAUCAUCUUCUUGCUUUCUUGUUUCUUACCAUCAAUCUUCAAGACUUGUUUCUUGAGUUAGCGGUUUACGAUUUUGUAGGUAUUGAAGUAUUGAAGACAGCUACAGUAGGUGAGCUCAAGAUGGCUGUAGAAGCUGCGUUUUCUCACUUGCCCAUCACUGGCGUUGGCAAGGUCUCAUGGUAUGAGGACUCCUCUCCUCUUGUGUCUUUAUCUUAUAUGUAAUUCUUGAUGAUCUUAAUCUUACCCUGUGAUUAUCAUUUCGAUGAAAGGCCGCAUGUUUGGGCACAGUUCUGCUUAUCCUAUGGAGAUCAAAGACUGCUCAACGAGGCUGACUACCUCAUUGAGUUUGGCAUUAAAGACGGAGAUCAGGUUUGUUGUACUCGCCUCCCUCUUUUCUUCACUCAUGUAACAACUCUUCUAAAUGAAACUACAAAGUUUGAUUCAAAUGCAUCUUUUAAUUCUUUUGGACAAACAUCAUUCAGCUUAGGUUCAUCCGCCAUAUAUCAAACUACUGCACCAUGAUGGUGAACCAUAAGAGCAAGAAGACACCACAUGUUUCUUCUUUGAAACAACUCAAACUGUAAGAAGAGUCUUUUCUCUUUCCAUUUUCUCUUCAUGUUUUUAGCAUCUCAUCAGACAGAUACAUAUUUUAGACCAUCUAGGUUCUCUCUUAAACCCGAAACCUGGAAAAAGAAAGGAGCACAAGGACAAGAAGAUGGUGUUGACUCAGUCACCAAGACACAACCAAGCUUUCUAUCGACUGUAUUGGGAGGUUGGCUCUCUUACAAGUCAACACCAAGUCGGUCUAAACACAGAAACGUGACUGCUUCUACUUCGAGUCACCUCAGAGCUUUUAACAACAUCAUCGCAAGGUUUCGUUUCAAGUGUUACUCGGAGAAAGAUGUCUGGAACAGGAAAAAACUCAUCUCUGAAAACAUGAAAUAAUACUCAUUACUAUCUGUCUGCUUCUGAUUUGGUUCUUGUAGAGAUUUUGAUUUCCCAGUGUUCAUGUUUAUAUGUAAGAAACAAAUCAUAAGACAAGUCUGUGGUUUUAUAAAAGAUGAUGUUAUAUGCUUGAUACCAUCAAACAUCAUACAAGAGUCUUACUACGUUCAAAGAAAGUGAAACAAUGUUAUUAUGUACAUGUACCCAUACAUAGAUUAUAUAAGAGCAUUACCAGACCAAAGCAAUAUCCUUAAACACUGAACACAAGCCACUUUGAUUUGCCAGAGUCCUGACCAUCAACAAUCUGACAAUCACCACCUUGUCCACCAGAGCCAUCCCUCUGUUUCCCAUCCUUUGAUCUUCCUGCUUUCUUCCCAACUAACAACCCCAACUUCAUCGCUGUCAACAGACCCAUGGCAAUCAGCAAAGGUCUCACAGCCCAGUGAAAGUCCUCCAGAUGCUGAUACUUUUUCACAACUCCUUCACAUGUGUUGAAGUCCACAAUCUCCACUUCAGCUGGAUCCGCAAGACAGCUGCUUCCAUGUUCCUCUCCGAAAGGCAACGCUCCAGGGAACUCCACCUCGAGGCAACCGUUUGGUAAAACCUUAGAGAUCCUGCCCGUUGCCCAAAUCCCUCUACCUUUACGCAUCCACUUGAAUCUUGGGAUGACGACAUUGGCUUUGAUCUUCACGAACUGACCCACACUGUAUCCUUUAGCCAUCUGAAGCUGCGAUGAAGUUCCUUUCCAGAGAGUUGGCAGCCCUAUAAACCCAACAGCUACAUUACCCUCACGGUCUAUUGAAUGUAUAACACCAACAAGAGAGUGCCUCUUGUCUUCUCCAUCCUUCAGACGCACCCAAUCUCCAGCAGCUAAGCCGUUAGUUACCCGUUCAAGAACAGAGACAUGAACUCUUAACGGAUCAUGAACACCAUGGACUUUAACGAGAGCAAACUCAUCUGGAUCGGUGUCACGUUCUAGACCAACCACUGUUCCUUCUGGCACAUCCAUGUUCUCAUGCUUAAAAGAAUUGGCAGGCUUUCUUGAACGCACCGUGUCGCCCACUCGGAGUUGAUCCUUUGAAAGAAACCAUUCUGUGUAACCGAGAGCAGCCGAGCUCUUCCUGAUCUCUCUACUGUCAAUGCCUCUCCACACCUCUUCCUCCUCUGAGUCCUGCAAGCUGCACAAUCAUUUCCAGUUAAUAUCACAAACCAAGAUGGACGAAGACGGGCAAGAGACGGUUUACCUCUUCAAGACGUGUAAGAUGUCAGUCAUAGAUGGCCUGCUUCGAAGAUCAUACAUAAAGCAACCUCUAAGUAAGUUCUCAAGAGGAGGCGGUAUGCCACUGGGGAUGCUACUCUUUUCUUGCUUUCUGACCACUAAGUUGUAUAUCUCAUCGGCGGAUUUGCCACACCAAGGCUGCACACCGGUCAGCAUUUCCACAACGCUGCAACCAAACCCCCAAGAAUCAGUCUCAAAGGACAUGGGACCUCUUACUAUUAAUAUCACAAACCAAGAUGGACGAAGACGGGCAAGAGACGGUUUACCUCUUCAAGACGUGUAAGAUGUCUGUCAUCGAUGGUCUGCUUCGAAGAUCAUACAUAAAGCAACCUCUAAGUAGAUUCUCCAGAGGAGGCGGUACACCACUGGGGAUGCUAAUCUUUUCUUGCUUCCUGACCACUAAGUCGUAAAUCUCAUCGGCGGAUUUGCCAGACCAAGGCUGUACACCGGUCAGCAUCUCCACAACGCUGCAUCCAAACCCCCAAGAAUCAGUCUCAAAGGACAUGGGACCUCUUAAUUCCGGUUGCCACUGCUCUGGAGCCAUGUAGUUUGCAGUUCCAAGCCUCAUUGUCAUAUCAGAACUCGGCAGAGGGAUGCUAAGAAGGAGAUAAGGGACUCCAACGUCUCCGAGGAUGGCCUUGUCGUUAUCACUGAGAAGAAAGUUAGAGGGCUUGAGAUUAAGAAUCAGAAACCCUUUUGAGUGCAGCUCCAGGAUCCCUGUAACCAGAUCAACGCCGUACCUGUGGUUCAACAUAGAUAAAGAAGACAUUAGUAUCACUACUAGCUGCUUGCUUGUAUAAUGCAAUGUUACCUCAACACAUCAGGCAGUGAAAGCUUUCCUCCUUUAAGCCUAGCCAUCUUGUCACCAACACAGCCCUCAUAGAACUUCAUGAUAAUACAUAUCUACAAAACACAAAUUUUUAAACAAAAACGGAAACUAAGAGAAACCACCACAUGUUGUCUUUUUUAACUUACCCUUCCACUGAUACUAGAGACACCACGGAGCAUACAGACACUCUCAACCCCCUGACACUUGGAAAACAAAUCCUCAAACUUAUCAACCACAACCUUCCUCUGAUCCUCCUUGAUGGGAUGAAGCAUUUUGAUGGCGACUUCAUGAUGCUCAUCGUAGUCCUCGGUAGACUGAUGAUGAGUAGCCAACCAAACGUCACCAAAUGGACCUCUUCCAAUCCGGUGGCGAAGCUUCAAAGUUGCAGAGUUCAUCCAGGGGCUAGCACCGGUUGCUAAAGCGCUCUCGGAGCCACCUUCAAUGAUCUCGUACUCAGAAUCAUCAGGCUUCUGAGGAGCUAUCUUUGAAUCCAUAUCUGAAACCAGGAGAAAAAAAUAUAGUUUCACAAGUUACAACUCAAAGUUUGUUAAGUAAGAACUCAAAUCUCACAAACCUAUGUUUGGUAAUAAAAAGGAACAACCUUUCAGUUAUUUAACUAUCGUUAUGAAGCAAAAAAUGUGAAACAGAUUCGUCACAAGUCAGAUACGUGUGUGAGUUCUAUUUUGAAGAGAAGUAAGCGAUACAAACAAGGGACAAAGACAAGUGUCGUGGAGAUGUAGAAGUAGGAGAAGGAGAACAAGCAACAGUAUCCCAUCACAAUGGAACUCAAUUAGCGCAAGAUAUAGAACCAUAAGUCAAAUCUCAUUAGAUCAGAAUUUGCAAAACGAAUGUAAUUAAAAUGAAAGUUAACUCGAGUUACAAAGAAAAAAUCUCAAAAAAAAAAAAUCACGGAGAAGGAGAGUAACCGAGCAAUGAAGGAGAUAAACUUGCGUUAUGUCGACGGAUUAAGGCUUUUGAAGGUAGUGACGGCGAAGACAGAAGACAAAUGAUAGAAACCUAACACCGCCGGUAAUGAUAACUACAAGUUCCUGAUGAAAGAGAGAAAACAAACAAAUAACUUAGAGACGAUCAUCGGAAACUGAAACAAGUAACUUGAGAAGCUGAUAAAGACAGGGAACCGAGAGAGAGAGAGAGAGAGAGAACCUGUGAAGGAAGAAGGCGUGGAGGCCCCGUAAGUUUUUGUUUAAUGAGACACACCUUACCGUACUUAAUACCACAACCACAACAAAGCCCACUUUACUUCAUUUUAUGUCAACCAAAAAAAAACUCUUUUUAUUUUUAAUUUUGUUGUUAUUAAAAGCUUUUUUUUUUGGUUAAGAGGUUAUUGGUUGGUGUAUUUUGAUACAUUUGAAAAUCUAAACUAAAUUUUAGUGUUAUUGCUUCUAUGAUUUUAAAAUAUGUAUUGAAAUCAUGUGUUAUUGGUUUAAUGAUUCAUAAAUUUUAAUUCAAAUCAAGUGUUAUUCAAUCAUACGAAUUUAUUAAUAGAUUUAAUUUCAUAAUGGAUUUGAAUUGAUUUGCAUGAAUUUCUUUGUUAAAAAAUACAAAAACUCAAAUCCGAGGGAAAACCUCCGAAUUUGUAAAUAAUAAUCCGAAAAUUUUUGAAAUUUGUAUAUUUUACUUGGAUUUAUAAGUACUAUAUGGAUUUUUAAAUCAAUCCAAAUAUAUAAACCAAUAACAUCUAAAACAUAUUAAGAAAUUUUAUAUUAGUGCAAAGUACACCAUGUUUAGCUUAUCAUAGUACCGAUCACACAACAAAUACGAUUUCAUGAUUGUAUCCACGACAGUAAGACUGAGGACCAUAGCUUCAGGUGUUACGGUGGUGUGAGUGGAACAAGACUGUAAUGCUAUUCACACCAAGUAGUUUCCUCUCUUUUUCGUCUGUUGCUCAGGCGCUGUACAAACAAACAUCACAUCUCGUGACAACAAACGCCGACAACAGUGAAGGUUGAAGUUUGGGCUUCCUUGCUGGACCUGAGCCCAAGAGCCCAUUUUGCGGUUUUGUGAAUCUCCUUUAGUUCACAAAACAUCUUCAAUGUCUUCAAUGUCUCUCUGUUCUUCUUACUUCACUCGCAGACACAACCCUCAAUUGCUCUUUGUUUUCGUUUCAAGAAGAGACAUGUAAAUCUCGUGACAAUAAGAGUCUAUGAAGAUUCAUCCAAAAUCAAAUUUUCAAUCUUUAUCAAACUAAAUAAGAAAAGAGAGCUAAUCAUUUAUAAAAACUUACAUAUAAAAUUGUUGUUGAUUCAUCCAACGAUCAGACAAAGACAUAGAGAGAAAAGAAGAGAGAUUUACAGUAAUUUCAUAUAAAUUGAGGAUUGAGAAAAGACAGAACACACAAGAGUUUGUAUUAAGAAGGAAGAACCUUCUUGACAAUGUCUUCACUAAGAGCAGCGAUCUGAGAAUCAAGAGCCUUAAUGGUCUCCUCCUUCUGCUUCUCCAAGCUCGCCAAAGCUUCCUGCAGCUCCGCCUCCACCUUCUUCCUCCCUACCGCCAGCUGCUGCUCCACCUCCACCUGUCCCAACACAAACAACCAUCAAUGCCUUUCUCACAAUCAGACAUCACAAAUGUCAGUUAACGUUUCCCUUACCUCCGUCUCCUUCUUCAUCUUGUUAAGCGCGGCGGCGAUCUCAGCCCUAGCCGCCCUCAUCACAGCAGCCGCCUGUUCAUCGAGCGCCUUCACCUCAGUGGAAGUAUCCUUCACGCUCGCGAGCUUCUCCUUAAUCUCACCGUCUCUCUUAUCCAUAAAGUUCCCGAGGGGAGAGUAGUAGACUUUGUCGAGCGCGAACAUGAGGAAGAGAAACUCCACGACGAUGAUCGGGAGCGUCAGGUUGAAGUCGAAGAGCUGGGCCUUCUCCAUAGCUUCGGCCAUGGAAGGGGGAGCGAGGGCGGCGAUUAAAGCUAGAGACUUUACGGUGGCGGAGGAGAAAGACAGAGCCUUGCUGCUGAGGGAGGAGGAGGAGGAGGAGGAGAUGGGUUUGGGGAUCUGGGGGAGUUUGAUGGAUUUGGGGAGGUUGACGCGGGUUGGUUGAGUGGAGGAGGAGAGGGAGAUGAGGGGUUUGGAGGAAGCCAUUAUCGAGUUAGCCAUGGCGACACGAGCAGAGACAGAGAGAGAGGGAGAGAGCUUUCGCUUUGAGAGAUGAGAGAAUGCUCAAAAACUGAUCUCUCUGUGUAAUCUUCUUAGGAAUGUUAUCUCUUCUCUUCACCACACAAAUAAUCAAAGGCUGUGGUGGUGAGCUUACAAAUGUAAUGUAAGGACCCGAAAAAAAAUUAUAUAAAAACAAUAAACAAAUAUAAAAAGUUAUAUAUAAAAAAAAUUGCAUUUUUUAAUACUCUCCCGUUUUUACAAAAUCUUUAUUUUAGAAAAAGUAUAUUUUCUAUGCAUUAAUUAAUAAUAAAUUUUAAAAACAAUAGUUAUUUUAUUGUAAUUCAUUUGGUUAAAAUGUUAAAAUGGUUAAUUAAAAAAAAUAGAAAUUAAUGGUAUUAGCUUACUGUUAUUUUAUCACAAAUUUAAAGUAUUUGGAAAAAUAGUUAUUCAUUAAUGAUAAAUUUGAAAAGUAGUAUCAAAUUUGUGGUAUAAUUGAAAAUUUUCCUUAAUAUAUUUUAUACGUGUAAAAAUUGUAAAAUUAUAAUUCUUUUUAACAGACGGAGUUUAUAAUUACUUUUUGGUUAAAUCGCAAAUGUAAAUGUAAACAAAUGAUGUCAAACAAAUAAAUACCAGACUUGUCUUACCAUUAACCAUAAUGUCAUUGAAGAUCACAGAUGUUUUAUCCUUACAAGGUGACCUAAGAGGAUACAAGUCUCUUGCUACAUGUCUAACCUUCUCAAAGACAGUCCUUGAAUGCAGAACAGAUCUUAGUUUUGAGACAACAUAUUUAUUCAACACCCGGUAACUCUACAUAUAUCCACAUAAAAAAUCACAUCACAGAUCAAGCUUAUAAAGUUAAUCUGUAUGAUCUAAUCUUCACAAUCCAUUAAUGCAUGUGGAUGUAGUACCAUCAACGAUUCCUGCAUUCUCUAGGAGCUUCUCUGUCAAUGACCAGAGCCUCCCAACUUCUGAUUUCACCUCAGCAAUACAAUCGGCUGAACUGUUUUCGUUCUCUGGCACUACAAAGAAAUCAGAAUCUACCUCCACACUCAUGUCAGCUUGACUUAGAAGCUCUGUGCUCAUCUCCGCAAGCUUCUGUAACGCGCUCGUUGCAGCUUCCACUUCAAGUUGAGCUGCUUCAAGCUGAAGCUUCUCUAUAGCUAGAUCACCCAUUGUUCUCCCCUCGAUCCUCUCUUGCGCCAAUGCAUAUAGCAUUUUCAAAUCUUCACCGUCAUUAACCGUUUCUUCUUUUAGUUUCUUGACUUCCCUCUCCUUGGCUUCUAGUCUCCCCAUGAGUACAUUGAUCUCUUCGUCCUUCAACGUCAGAGCCCUCUGCGCAGCUAAAACUUCCAUCUCUUUCAACCGUAGAUUCUCUCUGGUGAAGUUUAGCUCCAUCACUAGCCGUUUGUUCUCCAUCCCGUAAUCACCAUAAGGUUGUUUCUCUAGUGGUUGUUGCUGCAUCUGAUCUUGAACCAAUCUGCUCGUCAGCUCUGCGAUUCUCUCCACCACCAUCUCAGCUUCACUGGCUUGAAUCUUGGAGCUGCCUAACUCGUCUUCGAUUCUGUUAAGGUGGACAUCUUUCUCCUUCAGUAAUUCAGUUGCCUGCGUAAGCUGAUCUUCUCUAGUUCUCAUAAGCAUCUUCAGCUCUGUAACCUCCCGGUUCACCACUUCCAAUUGAUUCCUCGCUUCCGUGAGCUCUUCAUCUUUCUCUUGCAGUAACAGCUCUAGAGAAGCCUGUUCAGACUUUAAAUGCUGAAUCUCUAGCUUAGCCUCCACCAAGCUUGACUCCUUCUCCUGAAGUAGAGUCUGUGAGACUUGAAACUCGUUUGUUUUCUUGUCAAGCUCGUCUUGUAUGGUGGAGACAUCAUGCAUAGCUUGCUCCAACAGAGACUUCUCUUUCUUCAACUCCUCUCGUAGCUCCUCCAGGAGUUCUUUUUGGAUUGAUAUCUCUCGCUCGAGUGCAAAGUUCUUAGCCUCCGCGACUCUGAGCUUUACUCUCUCACUCUCCACUUCACCGCGAGCGUCUCUCAAGCUUUGCAUAUACGACAACACGCUUCUCCUCUGCUCCUCAAGUUCCUCUAACUGUUUCUCUAAUAGCACUUCCUUUUCUCCCAUCUGCUCUCUUGAAGAUAACAAAACUUCCCGAGAUGAAACAAGCUCGAAUCUCACAUCGGUCAGAAGCUUCCUCACUCUCCUAAAGUCCUCCAUGGUUUCAUUAGCUUCUCCUAACCGCUUUACUGUCUCCUCCUGAAGCUUACUCACUUCCUCCUGAGCCACCAACCACUCUUCCGUCUGCUUCUUCAAGCUGGCUUCUGUUUCUCUGAGCUUCUCCUGCUCAAGCUUCUUCGCCGCCGUAGAAACCUCUAGCUCUUCUUCCUUCUCCUUGAGUGCUCUCUGAAGCGCUUCUAUCUCAUCUUCUUGUCUCUCCACAAUCUCAUUAGCUUGGAUCAAGAGCUGUGACUUGUUCUCAAACUCAAAACUCGCCACGGAAACCUCCUUGGUUUUGAUCGAAAUCUCAACGCGCAUUCGAUCCAGCUCACGUUCUUUAAAAGUCAAUGACGCUUGCAUAGCAACAAGCUCCUCGUCUCUUUCCNNNNNNNNNNNNNNNNNNNNNNNNNNNNNNNNNNNNNNNNNNNNNNNNNNNNNNNNNNNNNNNNNNNNNNNNNNNNNNNNNNNNNNNNNNNNNNNNNNNNNNNNNNNNNNNNNNNNNNNNNNNNNNNNNNNNNNNNNNNNNNNNNNNNNNNNNNNNNNNNNNNNNNNNNNNNNNNNNNNNNNNNNNNNNNNNNNNNNNNNNNNNNNNNNNNNNNNNNNNNNNNNNNNNNNNNNNNNNNNNNNNNNNNNNNNNNNNNNNNNNNNNNNNNNNNNNNNNNNNNNNNNNNNNNNNNNNNNNNNNNNNNNNNNNNNNNNNNNNNNNNNNNNNNNNNNNNNNNNNNNNNNNNNNNNNNNNNNNNNNNNNNNNNNNNNNNNNNNNNNNNNNNNNNNNNNNNNNNNNNNNNNNNNNNNNNNNNNNNNNNNNNNNNNNNNNNNNNNNNNNNNNNNNNNNNNNNNNNNNNNNNNNNNNNNNNNNNNNNNNNNNNNNNNNNNNNNNNNNNNNNNNNNNNNNNNNNNNNNNNNNNNNNNNNNNNNNNNNNNNNNNNNNNNNNNNNNNNNNNNNNNNNNNNNNNNNNNNNNNNNNNNNNNNNNNNNNNNNNNNNNNNNNNNNNNNNNNNNNNNNNNNNNNNNNNNNNNNNNNNNNNNNNNNNNNNNNNNNNNNNNNNNAUGUCUAUCAAAAAUCCACCCGCAAAGAAUCAGCCUUUUGGCGGCAAAACAGUUAUGUUAGGUGGUGAUUUCAGACAGAUCCUACCAGUCAUUCCGCAAGGUGGAAGAGCUGAUACUGUAUUAGCUUCGAUAAGCCAUUCAUAUAUAUGGAAUAGCUGCCAGAAGUUCUCUUUGAAAACAAAUAUGCGAGUAAAUCAGGAUGAGAAAGAGUUUUCUGAAUGGCUUCUCAGAGUCGGGGAAGGUCGUCUAGAAGCAGAACAAGAAUAUGAGGAGGAUGGGUACCAUGACCAAUUCAUAGAUAUCGAUGAAUCAUUGAUUUGUCAGAGUUUUGUUGACCCAUUGAAAGAAGUUGUUGAUGCCGCAUAUGGACAAAUCAGCAGCCCGAUGAAUUCCAAGACUUCCUACACCGAUAAAGCUAUCCUCACACCCCGUAACGAAACCGUUGAUGAAAUCAAUGCUUACACCAUCUCACGGACCGACGGGGUAUCAAGAGAUUACUACAGCUCAGACAGCUUUGAGUUAUCAGAUACUACAUCAGAUCAAAAUGAUAGACUAUACUCCAUUGAGUAUCUUAACUCAUUGGAAUUCUCGGGUUUGCCUUCGCACAAACUUACUCUGAAAGUUGGUGCCCCAGUUAUGCUUCUCAGAAACAUAAAUCAGAAAAAGGGAUUAUGCAAUGGUACGCGGAUGAUCCUAACCCACGUUGGUGAACGCGUUCUGAAGGCCGAGAUCAUCACUGGAUCCCACAUUGGAGAAGAGGUCUUGAUCCUAAGAAUUGUGUUUUUGUAUGAUGAAACAAAAUUACCGUUCACAUUACGUCGGCGGCAAUUUUCUAUCAGAUUGUGCUACGCAAUGACAAUCAACAAAAGCCAAGGCCAGAGUUUAAAAGAGGUCAUCUUAUAUCUGCCUCAACCAGUCUUCUCUCAUGGUCAACUUUACGUGGUCCUCUCCCGUGUCACAAGCAAAGCAGGAUUAACGAUCAUCAAAACUGAAGAUCCCCACCAGCUGAAAGUGAAGAAUAUAGUCUACAAAGAAAUAUUCAAAGGCCUUCAUCCCGAGACAAGUAAUUUUAAAUAAAUUAUUUUUUUCCUCUCAUCUUUUUCAGAAAUCUGAUAAAAUAUUAUAUUCACAGAUUAACAAUCUCGAAAAUAUAUCGACCAAGCGAUGAUACAAGCCAAUAAAGAAGAGACUUACACAUAGGUUUACUCCACCUAAGCCAGGUACAAAACUUUUAAUAUAAAUAGCAAUACUACUAUAUUCAACUAAACUUAUGCUGACUAACUAUUCUUAUCCAAUUUCAGGUCUUUUCUUUCUCAUGACCCUCAAAAAAACUUCUGAUCUGCGAAAGACUUAAUCUGCUUCCUCCAUUAUCUACUUUACUUACAGUUUUUUUGGCUUUUAAACAUUUGCGUAAACUCGAUAUACACAAAUUUUCCACACAUAUUAUAACACACAAUCUUUCCAUCUCAAACAAAAAUAUUGAUUACCAACAAACUUUUUGUGUUCAAACAAACAAUACCUACAUCUAAUAUGAUAUUUUGGAUCAAAAUUUUAUUAGAAAAUAACCCGGGCGUAGCCCGGGAACUGACCUAGUCAUAAUAAUAGUUGCUCACAAGAAAAAGAAACAUUCUUAAGGUUACGAUAAUAAUAGUCGCUCAAAACAAAAAAAAGUUUACCAUAAUCUUAUACAAUAAAUAUGGCUUUUUUUUUUCCCCUAGAGGGAAAAAACACGUCUCGCACAAUGUUUUUAAUUUUCAAAGAUUCUUUGUCGUUACAAUCUCUUAAUAAAGCUGGCCUAUGUUACAUUUUUUUUUACAUUAUUGUAAAAGCCCAAGCCCAAAAUUGCUUAAAACAAAGUCGAAGUUUUAUAUCCACUAGCUCUUACCCUUGCAUCGCCUCACCUUCUUCAUCUUCCUCAAUCGCGUCGGCUUACCCAGCCGUUUCAACCUCGACUGGCAUUCCUCCAUAACGUCGGCUUAGCACGUUUUUCCGUCUUAAAACUAGCGCCGCUAUCAAUCGAUCACAUUUAACCAAUGAAAAAGGAAGUACAUCAACAGAGAAGGCAACGACAACCAUAGAUUUUUGAAUUAAAAAAGUGAAUAUAAUGAUAAAUGUUCUUUGUUAAAUAACACAAAUGGCAAACACUCCGAACUCUCGUGACGGUAACAGUCUAUGAAGAUUCAUCCACAACAGUUCAUCGAAAUUUUCAAUCAGAAUCAGACUCAAUAAGAAAAGAGAGCUAAUCAUUUAUAGAAACUUACAUAUAAAAUUUGUUCUUCUUGAUUCAACGAACAAUCCAAGAGAGACACAGAGAGAGAAGAUGAGAGAGAUUUACAGUAAUGUCUUAUAAAAUGAGAUUGAGAGAGAGAGAGAGAGAGAACACAGAAGAGUUUGUUUUUAAGAAGGAAGAACCUUCUUGACAAUGUCUUCACUAAGAGUAGCGAUCUGAGAAUCAAGAGCCUUAAUGGUCUCCUCCUUCUGCUUCUCCAAGCUCGCCAAAGCUUCCUGCAGCUCCGCCUCCACCUUCUUCCUCCCUACCGCCAGCUGCUGCUCCACCUCCACCUGUCCCAACACAAACAACCAUCAAUGCCUUUCUCACAAUCAGACAUCACAAAUGUCAGUUAACGUUUCCCUUACCUCCGUCUCCUUCUUCAUCUUGUUAAGCGCGGCGGCGAUCUCAGCCCUAGCCGCCCUCAUCACAGCAGCCGCCUGUUCAUCGAGCGCCUUCACCUCAGUGGAAGUAUCCUUCACGCUCGCGAGCUUCUCCUUAAUCUCACCGUCUCUCUUAUCCAUAAAGUUCCCGAGGGGAGAGUAGUAGACUUUGUCGAGCGCGAACAUGAGGAAGAGAAACUCCACGACGAUGAUCGGGAGCGUCAGGUUGAAGUCGAAGAGCUGGGCCUUCUCCAUAGCUUCGGCCAUGGAAGGGGGAGCGAGGGCGGCGAUUAAAGCUAGAGACUUUACGGUGGCGGAGGAGAAAGACAGAGCCUUGCUGCUGAGGGAGGAGGAGGAGGAGGAGGAGAUGGGUUUGGGGAUCUGGGGGAGUUUGAUGGAUUUGGGGAGGUUGACGCGGGUUGGUUGAGUGGAGGAGGAGAGGGAGAUGAGGGGUUUGGAGGAAGCCAUUAUCGAGUUAGCCAUGGCGACACGAGCAGAGACAGAGAGAGAGGGAGAGAGCUUUCGCUUUGAGAGAUGAGAG
rnacentral:lncRNA from 1 species